AAGCUUGCAGAAGAUCUCUCUUUUCAUGUGUGAUAUCGGCCAAGGUUUCGUCAAAAUUUUAGAUGCACUGCCAAAUCUAGUGGAAUUGAACAUUGAUUAUUGCUAUGAUCUGGUGCAACUUCCUGCCAACCUUUGUGACCUUGUUCACCUUAAGAAGCUUAGCAUCACCAACUGUCAUAAGCUAUCUGCCUUGCCUGCAGACAUCGGAAAGCUAGUCAAUCUUGAAGUGUUGAGGCUUAGGUCAUGUGCAGAUUUGUUAGAGUUGCCAGGCUCGAUUAGGAACCUUAAAGUUUUGAAAUUUCUCGACAUAUCUGAUUGCUUUAGCGUAAAGGAGUUGCCAGAGGACAUUGGUGCAAUGUGCAAAAGCAGCAUUGAAGAAAAUGGAUUCAAACGAAGUGCCUGUUUCAAAACUGAAAGGCUGCCUGCUUCUGUUAUGGAACUUAAAGCCAUUGAAGUGAUAUGCGACGAUUUCCUUGAAAACUUUAUGGGAACCCUUUUUGCCAAUUCUCACAAACAUGCGCAAUUAAAGUGAUAAUGAUAUCAACCAAAUUGGAAAAGUCCUUUGCAUCAUGAUAAUGCAUCGUGAUUUGCCCAUGUGUUAAAAAACUACUUUAAUGAUAAAUGCAGUACUCCUGCUUGCUUGCAAUAUAUGAUCCUUGAAGCAUGUUAAAGUUGAACAAGUUCUUGCAACUAAGGCAACCAUGGAAUCUUUUCAAUCAUCUCUCUUGCCAAGUUCUUGAUUAAACAAUGUCUUCUCAAACUGAUAUCAAUCAAAACCUAAAUUGCAAACAAUUAAUAUUUCCAUCUCAAGAUCUCUGGUUGCCAAAUGUUCUGCAUUUUGUCGAUAAUCAUUGCAAGUUUAAUGAUUCUUUGAAUUCUCAUGUUUAAGAUAGCUAAACUCAUUUGUAUGCAAAGACUUUUUUGAUUUCAAGUAACACACAUUAAGUCUGCCAUGAAAAAGCACCAAUGAUAUAGAGGACUGGAACAUUGAGCAUGUCCUGUGAGAGGCUAGUCUUUCAAGCCUUUCAAUUCUUGCUGUUCGUAGAAAGCAACGAAAGGCCAGUCUUGAAGCUUCCUGCCAAUCUCAAUGACGGCUUUCUUAGAAUUGGUUUUGUGAAAAUUCAAAUUACAGAGAGAGCAGAGAAACGAGGAAGAGUGCACAUGUUAAAGUACAAUUUUAUCCAUGUAUUAACAGAUAGUUAAUGGAAAAAUCAAAUUUUGGGCUAAACGGAGUACCAACAAUGAGUUCAAAUCUGAGUUUUUUUAGCAUAUGGGCUAUCUUCCGAAUACCUUAUGAUCAUAGGGAUUAUUUAUCCGAUUUGGCCUUAUUGUAAUUAUUCACCAUGGCUAUUAUUGUAAAUAACAUGUUUGCACUCCUCAUUUAUUGACUCUUUUGAUUCUCUUUGAUUUAUCCAAUCAAUGGUGUGCAUAAGUGCAUGGAAAGAAAAUAAAGUUCAAAAAUAACUACCCUUUGAUUUAUCCAAUUAAUGAGUGUUGGUGCAAAAUUUGUUUUCUUAUUCUCUCUCUUGCUGCACCUCUUUAUCCCCCUUCAGUUAAAAUAUGACAUAACAUUACUAUUUUAUUUAAGGGUAAUUCAAAUUAGUAGAUAAAAUUUUGCAAACUAAGUGACAUGGAAAUUGAUGAUUGGAAUAUGACUUAAACGUAGAUAAAUGUGCUUAAUCCUAUUGGUAACAUAUCAUUUAGUUUGUAAAUUUUGUCCUCGUAACAUUACUCAUAUAAAUUAUUUAUUCAACAGCACAACAUUUUUUUUACUAUUUUAUUUUCAACUAUAAAUGCUACAACACAAAAUUUUAAAAGCAGUGCAAUACCAAAUCAUAUGCACUAGAAAAUUCUGUAUCUUCUCGCCUCCUAAUAGCGCGUCAAAUGUCUUUCCCGGCUCGUUCGUUUUCUUUGGGUGAAAUUCAUUGCUCUUCGUUAAGUUGUAUAUAUGUGUGCUGAAACCAACAGACACCUUACAUAACAUUCUCACUUUCUCAUCAAACUAAAUUAACAAAGAGGAUUAAGGGUUAGUUUGGGACUAUUGUGUUUAAAAAAAAAAAAAACUAAUAUUGUUAUGAUUUAAGAAUAAUCAGCUGUAAAAUAAAGGUGAUGAGCGUUUGCUUAACUAAAUUUUAAAAGUGCUGUGAAUAUGAAAAGCAACGCAAAAGUGUUUGGUAAAAUUUAAUGUAAAAGUGAUAUAAUUGUAUACAAUGAUAGAUGGACAUAGUAGUAAGAGUGGGGGCAACGACAGCAGUGGUGGUAAUGGUGAUGGUGGUUGUGGUGGAGUUGGUGGUUGCGGUGGAGCUGGUGGUGGUGCUAAUAGUGGGAUAUGUUGGUUGAGGUGGAAAGGUAACAUUGGUGGUAUGGCGGUGGUAGUGGUGGCAGUUGCAGUUAUGGUGGUGUCAGUGGUGGCGGCAAUGAUGGUGGUAAUGAUAGUUGUGGUUGUGAUGGCGAUGAUGGCAGUUGCAGUAAUGAUGGUGGUGAUGGUGUUGGCAAUGAUAGCAUCGAUGGUGGUAAUAGUGGCGGUGGCAAUGGCGGCGGCGGUAGUGAUGGUGGUGACAAUGAUGGUAGUGAUGACAGAGGUGAAGGUUGUGGUUAUGGCGGCGGUGGUGGUGACAAUAAUGGUGGUUGUAAUGGAGGAGAUGGUGUAAGGUUAGUAUUUGUAAUGGUAGGUGAUAGCGUUUAUUUUAUUCUCUAAGGAAUGUGUUUGGAAGGUUAAACAAUGUCAUUUAAAAAAAAAAAAUUAAUGAAGGUAUUACAACAAUUGAAAAUUAUUAUUAUAGACACAAUUCUACUUUUUUUUUAUUAAAGCCGCUUUUAAAAGCAACUUACAUGCUGCUUUUAAAAGAUGCUAUUUGGAGUCUCUUUGUUUUGGUAAAUAUGUCUGGCUCCAGUCGGAAUGGGUGAUUUCAGAACGACAUUUGAAAUGCUGUUUGAUGCUGUAAAAUCAGUGCAGGAGGAGAAUAAAAUGUUCCAGCACCUCUCCCGAGACAUCAAGUUCGCACAGGACUCUGUACAACCACUCAUCAAAGACAUCGAAAAGUAUAACUCGAAAGAGGGACCGCAAAUUUUGCAAUACAGAUGGAGGAGGGAACAAGCUUUCAACAACUGUUACAUAAUCUCAGUGGCAUUCCCGAAUAUAGAAGAAAUGUAUAUCGACUAUUGCAGUGAUUUAAUAGAGUUGCCCGCCGAGAUUUGUGAUCUUAGUAAACUAAAGAAGCUCAGUGUCACUAACUGUCAUAAGAUAUCUGCCUUUACCUGAAGGGAUUGGAAAGUCGGAAAAUUUAGAAAUGUUGAGGCUAAGAUCCUGCACAAAACUGUCAAAGCUUCCAACCACGAUGAAGAACCUUGGAAAGGUAAACUUUCUUGACAUAUCUAUUUGCUUCAGCAUCAAGAUGUUGCCCAAAGACAUAGGUGAAAUGAGUAGUUUAAAGAAGAUGAACAUGAGACAAUGCUCAAGGUUGCAAGAGCUGCCUCCAUCAGUCAUGGAUCUUAAGCAGUUAAGGGAAGUUGUCUGUGAUGAAGAUACAAAAUACUUAUGGGAAUCUUUCUCAUUGUGUCUCAACAACGUAAGGAUAAUUGUGGCCAAAGAGAAUAUCAACCUAAAUUGGAUCCACAAGACUCAGUUCUAAUACCUGUGUUUCCUUGAUGAUCGUUGCUCUUCAACCUCUCUUGACUUGUGUUUCAUUGUCUUCCUAUUUUAGGCUAUUUCCCAUCUCCUUUUUAGUUUGUUCGUGGCUAGAAUUUCCGUUGGGGAUGUUUCCUAGCGGACGAGCACACAGCUCACCAAGAGGUUGGCACCGGUUGAUGCUUUCUGUUAGGCUUCUGCUCACUGGCGGGCUUGUCAGGCAAAUCUUGUUGGGCAAGGCUUGUCGGGCAAGGCUGAAAGAGAAGGACAUGGUUAACUUUGAAAUGUGCCUUUGUAGGGCCUUAGGUGUAGGUCUUGAGGCUCACAAUCAAGAUUAACUUUUAGGUGUUCAGGCAUGCCACUGCCAUCUUUAGCAUGAUAGAUGUAAAACAGAUGUUGAGUUUUAAUUGUAUAUAUACCCGAGAGGCUGUUUUAGUUAUGAAAGGUGCCUUUGUAGGGCCUUAGGUGUAGGCCUUGAAGCUCUCAAUCAAUAACUAACCCAGUACUCGAACAUAUAAUGUUUGUUUCAUUGAUUGCAGAAGUGUUAUGACUAUUAUACUUCUAAUUACCUGAGCCCGAAGAGCAGAAUGAAUCCAAAUAGGUGCCUUUGUAGGGCCUUAGGUGUAGGCCUUGAGGCUUCCCAUCAGAAUUACUUCUAUACUCAAACGUUCUACGAUAAUCAUAAUAUAACAGAAAUAAAACUAGGAAAUAGGUCGAUUACUUGCGCCCUAAGUAACUUCGGACUUCUUGUUAUCAAAGUCUGUCGUGGAUGGGUUAAGUCCACAUAAGGUUCUUUUUUAUGCCUUGAGACCAAAGACUUUUGAAUGAUCAAUCUUACAUGCCCGAGGGUUUAGAACUUAGAUCUGAUUUAAACUGUGACUACAUAUUCCAAUCGGAUUCAAGCACUGAGGAGUCUUUUAAUCAUCAACUUGCUAGAAAUAACUUGGAUACAAAUGGAAGUAUACAACAUAUUACUAGACUUAUGAAUGAAAAGACAAAAACAAAGAGGGUCGGGCAAGGUUUCACUUUGUCGGGCAAAGCUGGUCGUCUUGCAACUUCCUAUCUUUGUGAUUUAUAGAGGGGUUUGAGAACUUGGAAAGAGGGAUAAGGAGAUGAGUUUACAGAAGGAAAUCGAUACUACAGUAAGAUUUAGACAAAGUAGCAAAGCUUUUACAAAAGCUUUUGGUGAGGGUUGAUCCCGAAAUGGAUGAAGGCUUGGGCUGACUACAGCUUCGUUGAAAGCAAAUCUGGCUUGAGCAGAGUUUGUGCUUAUAUUUGUUUGGUUGUUUGAGUGUCCUCAUCUCUGAUUUUCUUUCUUCUUUUAUAGACAGUUUGGCUUGGCAUCCAGUAGCUUUAAUCUUGCCCGAAUGCAGCUUGAAGGGCAAUGACUCAUCAGCUUUUUACUUGUACUGCUACUGUAAAGUGCUUUUGGGCUGAUUAGCUGGCUGGUCUACACCACUUGGUCUCUAGGUAGGUGAACAAGUGGUUCAAAUGAUCUGCACCUAGUCGGGAAAAGGCCUUUUCUUCCUUCUGGGCUUUAGCUGGACUUCGGGCUUCUUUCCUCCUAGUCAUUCUUUUGGACCGACUCCCUUUUGAGCCCAAAGUUCAAGUUUUAACCCAAACAGUGCCCCCUUCAAUUAAUAUUCAGGCUGGAAUUCCAGGCGCCAAUAUUGAUUGAAUAGCCGCAUGCAUGUAUACCUCAUCUCGGAACUUGUGUUUUCUAAACGGGACGAAUGCAAUCUUGCAUCUCUUGCUCUUCUCAUGACCUUUGAGCUAUCCUCUGAGGUUUCUAUAAAUUCAGGCUCGAAAUUGCUCCUGUCCAGCCAACAGAUCCUCUUCAGCCUUCUCUUUUAUCUCCCUUAACUGGAAAAUGGGUUCCUCCGAAUUCAAUUUGGGUUUCCUAAAACUCCCUUUUCAUGAGAAAAAGGAUUUUCAUCAAAUGUCUACUAUCUUCAACACCUUUGGUCAAACACCCCGUUAUCUCCAACACCUUUGGUCAGACGGUCUCCUUCUGAUAGUUUACCCUCAUGCUCGUUGCUUUUAUAAGUCGGGCUUCACCAUCAUACCUGGUGACGGUUCGCAUUGAGGGUCCUCUACCAGGCUCAUCUUGGCCGCACAACCCGAUCACCUGAUCGGGUUCUAUCCAUGAAGAUAACAGAAAACUGGUUGAGACACCACUGCAUCCAAAAGGAACCAUACAUAGUGCACUGAGGCAGAAUAUGAUGUAAAUUUCACCAAUUUGUCGAAAUGAAUAAAACAUUAUUUUAUCAACUUUUUAUCUUUCUGUCUUCUUGAAUGGUUGAUGAACAAACACUGUACUUUGACAUCUCGAAUCCUGCUUUAUCUUGCAUCCUCUUCAAUAUAACAGUCUCUAACAUCCCAUAAUGUAGGACAUUACCUUUUUAAGAAUUUGACAUUAAUGGGAUGUCUCUGCCAAUUUCCUUCGAGGUCCGCCAAGUAAUAUCCUCCCUUGUCUAAUACUCCACUAAUCAUGAAAUGACCUUCCCAUGUCGGGCUCCAUUUUCCAAAGCCCCUAAGUUGAGCCCCUAGAGGGAGGACUGUCUUCCACACUAAAUCUCCUUCAUUGAAAGACUUUAUCUUUACCUUUUUGUUAUAAGCUCGGGCAAUAGCUCUUUUUCCUUCUUGAAUCUGGUUCAAGGCUUCAAUUCGGGCUACAUCUAAGUCUUCAAUCCCUUGGCACAUGGCUUCGAUGUACUCCUCACUAUGUAACCCAAACUGAUUUUGAAUUCUGACAGAACUUACAUUGAUCUAUAUGGGAAACACUGCAUCUUGCCCGAAAGUUAAAGCAUAAGGAGUUGUCCCUAUUCCUGCCCUCUUAGAGGUUCGGUAUGCCCACAGAGUAUUCCCCAACUUUUCAUGCCACUUUUCCGGACUAUCUGUCACCAUUAUUUUGAUAAUGUUUACCAAAAUCUUGUUGCUGAAUUUUGCCUAGCCAUUUGACUGUGGGUAGUAAGGACUGGACUGGAUCAUUUUUAUUUUGUAUUUGCUUGCAAACUCUUCAACUACUUUUGAGAUAAAAGAUGGCCCACGAUCUGUUACUAUAGUUUCGGGCACCCCAAAUCUGUGCAGAAUCUUGGUCUCAAUAAAAUUCUUGACUGCAGCUAAGGGUAUGGAUUUUACGGCCGAGGCCUCUACCCAUUUGGUAAAGUAAUCCGUUGCUACAAUUAUGAAAGUAUCCCCCUUGCUAGAAGCUAGAUAAAUCUGCCCAACGAAGUCCAUUGCCUAUCCUCUGAAGGGCCAAGGCUUGACUACUGGAUUUAAAGGUACUGAAGGCACAUGUUGUAGUGGUCUAUGUCUUUGACAUUCUUCACACCCUUGGGCAUAGGACUUGCAAUCUUUUUCCAUGUCGGGCCAGAAAUACCCAUACCUUCUAAGCAACCACCUCAUCUUCGUUCCAGCUUGAUGUGCCCCGUAUAUUCCUUCAUGUACCUCGACCAUCACUCUCAUAGAUUCCUCUUGGCCUAAGCAUUUCAAUAGUAACUCGUCUGGAGUUUUCCUUAACAGGUUCUUUGCCCAUAAGACAUACUUGGUUGCUUGCUGUCUAUUAUUCUUGCUUGUGGGUGAAGAAGGAUCCUUUAAAUGAUGAAUGAUAGGCGACCUCCAAUCUUCUAUCUCAGUUUCUAGAACCAUUACAUCCAGACAAAAUCCUCUUUCUAGGAUAGAAGGAAUGUUUCUUCUUUGAAUCUCGACAUCUACCCCAUAUUUUCUUUCCUGUAUUGGCACGCCUGAGGCUAAUUGCGCCAUCUCGUUGGCCGCUAGGUUGGAUCCCCUGGGAACAUGAUUAACUGAUAUCUCAAAAUCCCAAUAACUCAACAAUUGCAUGGCCGCCAAGUAAUACCCUGCCAUGGUGAUAUGUCUGCACUUGAAAUCCCCAUUUAGCUGGUUUAUUACUAACUCUGAAUCACCAAACACCUUUACCUCUACUGCCCCCAGAUCCAUCAAGAUUUCCAAACCAAUUAUUAAGGCUUCAUACUCUGCCCGAUUAUUGGUGUUCCCUUGGUAAUCUAGGAGGAACGAGUAAUAAUGAUAAACCCCUUAAGGGUUCACAAUGACAAUCCCAGCUCCAGAGGCAUUCUGAGUGUAAGAACCAUCAAAAUAAAGCUUCCAAGGAGUAAUCCAGAGGCCAGUCACUCUUUUUAUCUCUUGCUGGACCCACUCCUUUUUACCCGAGAUAUCUUUGCUUGGCGGGAUCCAAACGCUAGUAACUUCCAAGGUCCCCGAGAUAUUGAUUAUCUCAUCUUGAGACUCUUGAUGCUCCACCAAGAAGUCGGCAAUUGCUUGGCCUUUGACUGCCCUUUGGGGUACAUACUGAAAGCUGAAUUCUGAUAAUGCUAGAAUCCACUUCCCAAUUCUUCCCGUCAACAUUGGUUUUGACAACAUAUACUUUAUCACAUCUAUUGGUAAUGAUGUGCACGUGACAAGGUAACAUGUAAUGCCUUAGCUUACUGGCAGUGAAAUAUAGAGCUAGGCACAAUCUUUCCACUGGGGAGUAUCUUGUUUCUACCUCGUUUAGAAUUCUACUGAGGUAGUACACCGCCUGCUCUUUCCCACCUUCAUUGUUUUGAGUUAGCAAACUUCCGAUUGAUUUUUCUGAAGCUGAGAUAUAUAGCUUUAAGGGUUUUCCCCUUUGAGGUGGUACCAACACUGGUAGAGAAGUCAAAUAGGCUUUGAUACUGUCAAAAGCCCUUUGGUGUGGUGGUCCCCACUCGAAAUCUUCUUUAUCUUUCAGUCUCAGCAUAAGAGUCAGUGGUUGGAUCUUACCCGCUAAAUUGGCAAUGAAUCUCCUUAAGAAAUUAAUUUUGCCUAGCAGCCUCUGAAGUUGUACUUUAUUGGUGGGUGAAGGCGACUCCAUUAUUGCCCGAGAUUUGUUUUUGUCGACUUCUACUCCUCUUUAGGUCAGCCAUGGGCAUGGGAUAUUCAUCUUUUGGUGUGGCGCCAUUAAUAUUUCUGUAAUCAACACAACAUCGCACUGCUUUUGUUAUGGCUUUUAAAACGGGUACAAUGUUGGCUAACCACUCUACAUACUUAGCUGGUCUAAUAAAUCUAGCUUUUACUAGUCUUUUAAUUUCUUCUUUGACCUUCUCUUCUAUCUCAUUUGACAUCCUUCGUGGUGCUUGCUUAACAGGUUUAUACCCCUCCUUGAUGCGCAUUCUGUGUUCCAGCAAGGUUGAAUCCAAACCUGGCAUCUUAGUGUAAUGCCAAGCAAAAUAAUCUUUAAAUUCUUGUAAAAGACAGAUAAUCUUCGCCCGAUCAUUAGUUUCUAACAAGCCACUGAUUUGUAUAGGUCUUGGAUCUUUUUCUGUCCCCAAAUCAAUGACUUCCAAAGGAUCCUGAACCUCUGGUGGUGGUUUGUCUGGUUCUGCGCACAAAAAUUCAACUAACUCCAGGCUUUUGGGCAAGUUGUCUGGCCCAUCCAAGUCAUAUAUGCACUCGGCCAUUCGUAUGGCCAUAUCCAAUUCUUCUCCGUAAAGCUCUUCUCUGCUUCUAUCCUGAUUGGUCGGAGUUCCUAGCUGCAAUUCCUGCUCUUCUUUGUCUAAGAGCUCCCUUUCUUGCUUUCUUCCUUUCCCAUACACCAACAGUCUUUUGAUCAGGGACAUGACUGCCAUUACUUGAUCCUUCCUAUUUUGUUCUGUCAUUGAUGAUGUAGGGGUGUUGAGACGAUACAAGGUCUAUCCCACUAUUCUCUAGUAAUGAGCAUUCCUUGUUCUAAAAGCUUUUGGGUCGUCACCUUGGUAAGGCGGCCGUUCUCAUCUGCUCCUGAACAUUUCAGAAUUCCUACGUUGGGAUUGUAGAAACUCGCCUCCGCAACAUUGGUUGUGGGGAGAAAUGGCCGUGAUUCGGCCUCCACCAUUUCCCAAAAGCCUAGUCCCUAUGUCCCUGCCUCAUGAUAAACAACCACUUGUUGAUGUAGAGUGGAGGGUAUGACGAGACUUUGGUGGAUCCAGUCCCUUCCAAGUAAGGCUCCAUAGGUGGAAGUGCAAUCUACCACAAAGAAUGCCAACAUGAUUUGUUUGGACCCCAAAUCCACUUCUAAAGGCAAUAUCCCAUGAGUUUUGGUAAUAGUGCCCGAGAAGCUUGAAACCGUGAAGUCCGUAGGAAUAAGAUCUUCUGUGCCUCUCCCUAUUCUUUUCAUUUGCUUGGCUGGCAGUACAUUAACAGCCUCUCAUCCAUCAAUUAAAAUUCUUUUGAAAGACACCCCUUCCAAAUGAGCCGCAAAAUAUAUUGGCUUAAGAUGGUUGGCUAGUAACAUGUUUGGACAACUGAACACCAUUUUAUCCGUAUAGAUCCUUAAAGGACUAUCUUUGGAUGCUUCGGAAAAUUCAGCUUUUCCUGACUCUCUUUCUCCAGCUAUCUUAACACUGACAUGGGCCAUCAUUGGCUCCGUCGUCACAUAGUCUCCUUUCAUAGUGGCAGGUUGAUUAGGCUCAGCACCAAACAUGGCGGAUAACACAUACACCAUGUUGAUAUGAAAAUUGCUAGGCUCUAGCAGUUUUUCUUUCUUGCUCCCGAUUUGUUCCAUGAACUCAUCUAACCAGGCCAUCGUAUCUUCUGGAAGUAGUGGUUUUGGUGCCCCCUUAUGUUGAUUCAUGCCCGAAUAUGGUGUUUGCUUUGGAACUUCACUGAAAGGAUCCACUAAUGAUAAAGAAGGUGGUUUUCUUUCAGGCGAAACAGUUCCAAAACAAAUAGGCUCCGUCUUCCAUCUGGGAGUUGGCAUCAUGAUCAUAUCUUCUUGAGCUCUCCUCAAGUACCUAUAUUUCCCAGGGUGUAGGCUUUGCGGUACAUGGUUUCCUUCACCUUCUGUUUUACUAUUAGCUCUCUCCACCUCUUUUUUACUCCUCCAGCGGAACUGACUACUCCCCCAGAUGACGUUUUUUCAAACUUUUGAUUCUUGGAUGCUUCAGACGUCGCGGGGGUCUUUAAAGAAUUCAUGUAGGCUUUGUGCUGCCUCUGGACCCUUCUAACCAUCGAGGCUCCCAUUUGUUUAACGGGCUGUCCAUUUUUUCCAACCACAUACCAUUUUCGCUCGAGGCGGGCAGGGUUAUCUUUCUUGACAGGAUUUGUUAUCCUAUCAUUUCUCUUAACUUCUUUUCCCAUAUGGCCAUAUUGAAGAUGUUCUACACCCCUAUCUUUUGGCUUUUUGGCAUCCUUGUCUUCUGCCUCCUUAGAAGCUUUAUGAUUACGAAAUAUCUCUGAUAAAGCUCUGGGUUGGGAAUCGCCUCCUAACCGCUGAAAAACACUUCGAGAAGUAUCUAUUCCUGCAGUCCGCCUAGCUUUCUCACGGGCCUCUUUUCUUUCUUCUUCUUUCUUCCUCCUGAUCAGCUCAUGAUCCAUGAGGACUCCUGCUGGUGGUAUUUCGAGCUCACACUUGCAUUGGCAUUUAUUGCAAAGAACCAUCCCUUUGAUUAUAGCUGCUUUUGGAUGUUCGGUCAAUCUGAUCACCCCUUUUGUGGAUUUGUCAGCCAGUCUUCCUUUUUCUAUUUCCCUUGCGACCUUUUCUUUCCCCUUCUCGGCCCAUGCCAUACUGAUCAUAUUUAUUGGGGCUUUUGAGAAGGGAUCUGUAUGUUUGCCCACCACUGAUUCCUCUGGCUGGUUGGUUUUAAGUCUCUCUUUCCCUAUUAUCUUUUACCCCAAGUUGAGGUAAAGAUAUAGGAAUAGUUGGUCUUACAACUAGGUCUGCUUUCCUUCUGAAGCCUGCGGAGGCGCUAUCCAGUCUUUGUAACAUUUGCAAUAAGGUAGUUUACAAGUCUUCAUCAAAAUGUUCUGGAACAUCUGCUCUUUUUAAAUCUUCAAGUUUUCUUGACAUAUUUCUUUGGUAAGUAAGAUCUGAUUAAAGGAAUCUCACCAGGCGUGCCAAAACUAUGUUUGUGGCUAGAAUUUCCGUUGGGGAUGUUUCCUAGCACGAGCACACAGCUCCCCGAGAGGUUGGCGCCGGUUGAUGCUUUCUGACGGGCUUCUGCUCACUGGCGGGCUUGUCGGGCAAGGCUGAAAGAGAAGGACAGGGUUAACUUUGAAAGGUGCCUUUGUAGGGCCUUAGGUGUAGGCCUUGAGGCUCACAAUCAAGAUUAACUUUUAGGUGUUCAGGCGUGCCACUGCAAUCUUUAGCAUGGUAGAUGUAAAACAGAUGUUGAGUUUUAAUUGUAUAUAUACCCGAUAGGCUGUUUUAGUUAUAAAAGGUGCCUUUGUGGGGCCUUAGGUGUAGGCCUUGAGGCUCUCAAUCAAUAACUAACCCAGUACUCGAACAUAUAAUGUUUGUUUCAUUGAUUGCAGAAGUGUUAUGACUAUUAUACUUCUAAUUACCCGAGCCCGAAGAGCAGAAUGAAUUCAAAUAGGUGCCUUUGUAGGGCCUUAGGUGUAAGCUUUGAGGCUUUCCAUCAGAAUUACUUCUAUACUCAAACGUUCUACGAUAAUCAUAAUAUAACAUAAAUAAAACUAGGAAAUAGGUCGAUUACUUACGCCCCAAGUAACUUCGGACUUCUUGUUAUCAAAGGCUGUCGUGGAUGGGUUAAGUCCACAUAAGGUUCUUUUUUAUGCCUUGAGAUCAAGGACUUUUGAAUGAUCAAUCUUACAUGCCCGAGGGUUUAGAACUUAGAUCUGAUUUAAACUGUGACUACAUAUUUCAAUCGGAUUCAAGCACUGAGGAGUCUUUUAAUCAUCAACUUGCUAGAAAUAACUUGGAUACAAAUGGAAAUAUACAACAUAUUACUAGACUUAUGAAUGAAAAGACAAAAACAAAGAGGGUCGGGCAAGGUUUCACCUUGUCAGGCAAGGCUGGUCGUCUUGCAACUUCCUAUCUUUGUGAUUUAUAAAGGGGUUUGAGAACUUGGAAAGAGGGAUAGGGAGAUGAGUUUACAGAAGGAAAUCGAUACUACAGCAAGAUUUAGACAAGGUAGCAGAGCUUUUACAAAGGCUUUUGGUAAGGGUUGAUCCCGAAAGGGAUGAAGGCUUGGGCUGACUACAGCUUCGUUGAAAGCAAAUCUGGCUUAAGCAGAGUUUGUGCUUGUAUUUGUUUGGUUGUUUGAGUGUCCUCAUCUCUGAUUUCUCUUUCUUCUUUUAUAGACAGUUUGGCUUGGCCUCCUGCAGCUUUAAUCUUGCCUAAAUGCAGCUUGAAGGGCAAUGACUCAUCAGCUUUUUACUUGUACUGCCACUGUAAAGUGCUUUUGGGCUGAUUAGCUGGCUGGUCUACACCACUUGGUCUCUAGGUAGGUGAACAAGUGGUUCAAAUGAUCUGCACCUGGUCGGGAAAAGGCCUUUUCUGCCUUCUGGGCUUUUGGUGGGCUUCGGGCUCCUUUCCUCCUAGUCAUUCUUUUGGGCCGACUCCCUUUUGAGCCCAAAGUUCAAGUUUUAACCCAAACACAGUUUACGCCCUUUGUUUCGUAAAUAGUAGUGUGGGAUAUUGCAAGGUAUAAUCAUUGGUCGUUAAAUGAGCACUAUUUUGAUAACCUUAAGAAAUUUUCUAAACUUGUGAAAUGUGAAGGGAAAUUUAAUAUCUGAGCAAUAAGUUUAAUGUGAAAGUUUUUUUUUCAGAGGGAAAAUGUGGUUUGUGUUUUUAAUGGGACUUCUUAAACUCUACUUUAACAUAGUUUCACAAUCAAUCCCUAUACACAGUUUCUUAACCUUUUGGUUUGAAAAUCUGUAUGUAUAGUUCAACACCACAGUGUGAUUAUGCUCUCCCAAACUAAGUUUUAUAAGUAACAACAACAACAACAAAGCCUUUUCCCACUAAGUGGGGUCGGCUAUAUGAAUCCUAGAACGCCAUUACGCUCGGUUUUGUGUCAUGUCCUCCGUUAGAUCCAAGUACUCAAGUAUUUUCUUAAGGUCUCUUCCAAAGUUUUCCUAGGUCUUCCUCUACCCCUUCGGCCCUGAACCUCUGUCCCGUAAUCACAUUUUCGAACCGGAGCGUCAGUAGGCCUUAUUUGCACAUGUCCAAACCACCGGAACCGAUUUUCUCUCAUAUUUCCUUCAAUUUUGGCUACUCCUACUUUACCUCGGAUAUCCUCAUUCCCAAUCUUAUCCUUUCUCGUGUACCCAUACAUCCCACAAAGCAUCCUCAUCUCCGCUACACCCAUUUUGUGUACGUGUUGAUGCUUCACCGCCCAACAUUCUGUGCCAUACAACAUCGCUGGCCUUAUUGCCGUCCUAUAAAAUUUUUCCUUGAGCUUCAGUGGCCUACGACAGUCACACAACACGCCGGAUGCACUCUUACACUUCAUCCAUCCAGCUUGUAUUCUUCUGUUGAGAUCUCCAUCUAAUUCUCCGUUCUCUUGCAAGAUAGAUCCUAGGUAGCGAAAACGGUCACUUUUUGUGAUCUUCGCUAGAUUGCUCCGGUCAUUAGUGUGGAUAAGUAUAUAAAUGGAUAGAGAUAGGAAAGCAAACACAAGAUGUACGUGGUUCACCCAGAUUGGCUACGUCCACGGAAUAGAGGAGUUCUCAUUAAUUGUGAAGGGUUUACACAAGUACAUAGGUUCAAGCUCUUCUUUAGUGAGUACAAGUGAAUGAUUUAGUACAAAUGACAUUAGGAAAUAUUGUGGGAGAAUGAUCUCGUAACCACGAAACUUCUAAGUACCGGAGUGUGGUAUCGUCUUAACUUGCCUUAUCUGUCUCAUAGGUAGAUGUGACAUCUUCUCUGGAAGUACUCUUCCUCCAUCCAGGGUUGGUAUCUGUAACUGGUGAAGAUGCACAAGGUAAUGUAUCAAUUUCACUUGAAGCUUACUUGUAGUUUCAGGCUUGGUCAAGCGCGAUACAAACCAUGUAGUAGGAGUCCCCUAAGUCGCCGAGCUAGGGGAUCUGCUGAAAGAGGUGACAGACAAGGUAAGCAAUCAGAGCUCCGGCUGAUUGUUCACAUUCUCCCUAUCUUGCAGGCAGCAUGAAGGAUAAAGAGAAGAAAAAUGAGAAGAGAUGAUAUGGGAUACUUUUGCUUUUGAAGAAGUAACUUUCCACAGGCUUAUUCUUGAACUGGGCUGGAGGGUUUUCUGGUUUCCUCCAGAGUAUAAGGCCGACUGAAGAAUUUGAGGGUCAAAACAAGUCCAUCAAAUCUAGAGUACGUUCGACCCUGCUGAUAUGGGAUACUUUUGCUUUUGACAGAGUAGUGGAUGUAUCGGCACGUGUGCUGUUAUGCUUGUCUCCACAUGCUUCCUUGUAUCCUUCUCACUUGCCUUAUAUGUUCCUCAGGCAGAUGUGGUAUCUUCCCUAGAAGCAUAAGAUGUUGAAGAUGAGUACUCGAGAGCAAUGCCAGGUAAGUAAUCAAGUAAGGGGUUCCAGGCAGUCAGUUCCUGGCUGGAAGCUUGAUUCCAAGUGCUGACUGAUUGCUCUCUCUCUCCUUAUCUUGCAGGUAAGAACAAGGCCAAAGGAAAAGACAGGGAAAAAGCAUGAUAUGGGAUACUCUUGCUUUUAACCCUGAUGAUAUGAGAUAUUCUUGCUCUAGUAUAGCUUGUUUACAGAGGUAUUAUCGGGGGGAAAGAAAGCUGAAUAUUUCGAAAGGCUUCGUUGGGAGUGCCCUGUCAGAUAAGAGGAAGGGUUGAGCAUUUUUGCAGGUCUGCCUGUCCGUUGGGAUGGAGGUCGACAUAUAUAGGAGUCUCCCUAACAUCAAGUAAUAAUGCUAUUCCUUUACCCUACCCUGCUUGGUCAUAGCACGGUAGUGGGAGCUGCCAGCUUCACAUGUUUUAACUUUGUCAGAGCACUUUGAAAAAGUGGUCUGUGGUAUCUGGAAAGCUGAUGUUGCGUGUGAAGAUUACAGACAAGCUUUAUCCAAGGAGAUCCAGCUCUUGAAGUUGGGAAAGUGAUGCCUCUUCGGUUUUCGAACAAGCAAUCCUGUCGGGGAUCUGACUCUCGAGAUUCGAAGAACGAUGCCUCUUCGAUUUUUGAGAAAGCAAUCCUGCUGGGGUCUGGCUCUCGAGAUUCGGAGAGCGGUGUCUCUUCGAUUUUUGAGAAAGUAAUCAUGUUGGGAGUCUGGCUCUCGAGAUUCGGAGGGCGGUGCCUCUUCGAUUUUGGAGCAAGCAAUCUUGUUGGGAGUGUUUUCUCGAAUGUGAGUAAAGGUUGGGCAUGUUUGCUAGUCUACCUUGCCACGAAGCACAGAGGUUGACACACAGGGACUUUCCAGUUAUCCAGCAGUGGUACUGUUCCUUUACCCUCUCUUCGAUUUUUGAGAAAGUAAUCAUGUUGGGAGUCUGGCUCUCGAGAUUCGGAGGGCGGUGCCUCUUCGAUUUUGGAGCAAGCAAUCUUGUUGGGAGUGUUUUCUCGAAUGUGAGUAAAGGUUGGGCAUGUUUGCUAGUCUACCUUGCCACGAAGCACAAAGGUUGACACACAGGGACUUUCCAAUUAUCCAGCAGUGGUACUGUUCCUUUACCCUUGUGGGUAAUAAUAUGGUAGCUAGACCUUCAAAAUUUAUGUGUCUAAACUUUGUUAGUGUUGUUUCUUUGCUAUUAUUUUACCCUUCUUGGUCAGAGCGAUGUAGUGGGAGCUGCAAGCUUCACGUGUCUCAACUUUGUCAGAGAACUUUGGCAAAGUUAUCUGUGGUACCCAUGAGCUACUGUUGCCUGUGGGAAGUGGGUGAUUGAACAGUACGAUUCAUGUGCUUUCUACUUCUCCAGAAAUCUUCGACAGAAUGCCCAUAAUUUCCGCAAAGCUGAGUGUGCGUGUGACAGGUGCUGACAAGGCUGGAAAAGUAGGUGCCUCUUCGAUUUCUGAGAUCGGCCCUCGUGGUCUCUGAGCAGCCCAGCUUUUGAGAAAGCAAACGCCUCUUCGAUUUCUGAGCAGGCGCCUCUUCGAUUUCUGAAGCUUCGUCGAGUGCAGAUUUUUAUAAGGGGUGACAUUAAGUUCCAAAGCACACUUGAAUAUCCACCAGUAGAAGCUCCAUUCUUGCACUUCUAUGAUCUUGAUUUGUCCGACCUCUUCUUUCUUCAACACCUUUGAAAAUGUCUGGCCCCUCCGACCGUCGUUUUGACUUGAACCUUGUUGAAGAGGCAGCCCCGCCUUCUCCAGACAACAUAUGGCGCCCAUCCUUCGUCUCCCCUACUGGUCCUCUUACCGUCGGGGAUUCCGUGAUGAAGAAUGAUAUGACCGCUGCGGUAGUGGUCAGGAACCUUCUCACUCCCAAAGAUAACAGACUACUUUCCAAACGGUCUGAUGAGUUGGCCGUUAAGGAUUCUCUAGCUCUCAGUGUUCAGUGUGCAGGUUCUGUGUCUAAUAUGACCCAACGCCUAUUUGCUCGAACCCGCCAAGUUGAAUCAUUGGCGGCUGAAGUGAUGAGUCUCAAACAGGAGAUUAGAGGGCUCAAGCAUGAGAAUAAACAGUUGCACCGGCUCGCACAUGACUAUGCUACAAACAUGAAGAGGAAGCUUGACCAGAUGAAGGAAUCUGAUGGUCAAGUUUUACUUGAUCAUCAGAGAUUUGUGGGUUUGUUCCAAAGGCAUUUAUUGCCUUCGUCUUCUGGGGCUGUACCGCGUAAUGAAGCUCCAAAUGAUCAACCUCUGAUGCCUCCUUCUUCUAGGGUUCUGUCCAGUACUGAGGCUCCGAAUGAUCCCCCUCCGGUGCCUUCUCUUUCUGGGGCUCUACCGACUGCUGAGACUUCUCCUAAGCAACCUUUGUGAAGGCUCCCUCUUGUUUGUUUAUUUUGACUCAAGUAUAUGUACAUAUUUGUAACUGAUCGGGGAUAUCAAUAAAUAAGCUUUCCUUCAUUUCAACGUAUUGUGUUAAAUACACCAAAACCUUCUUCGCUAAGUUCUUUGAAUUUUCUUUUGUUGAAGCUUGUAGUUGAAGCUUUGUGAGUGGAGCAUGUAGGUUGAGGUAGUGUUCCCUUAAUUUCCCGAGUGAGGAAAACUUCUCGGUUGGAGACUUGGAAAAUCCAAGUCACUGAGUGGGAUCGGCUAUAUGAAUCUUAGAACACCAUUGUGUUCUGUCCUGUGUCAUGUCCUCCGUUAGAUCCAAGUACUCUAAGUCUUUUCUUAGGGUCUCUUCCAAAGUUUUCCUAGGUCUUCCUCUACCCCUUCGGCCCUGAACCUCUGUCCCAUAGUCGCAUCUUCUAAUCGGAGCGUCAGUAGGCCUUCUUUGCACAUGUCCUAAUCACCGUAACCGAUUUUCUCUCAUCUUUCCUUCAAUUUCGGCUACUUCUACUUUACCCCGGAUAUCCUCAUUCCUAAUCUUAUCCUUCCUCAAGUAUAUGUAAAAGGAACAAAAAAGAAGAGGCUGAAGAGUCUCCAUAAGACAAGAACUUUUAUGUCACAGAGUCAGGUAUUAAUCUUGUCGUCGGUAAGUUUCUCAAGUAUCUAUAUUCACAUUUGUUGGUCAAGUUUUCAGAAUUAUGUUCACAUAUAAUCUGAAUUCAUUGCCAAAUGUUGAGGAAUUGAUUGUUAUUGACUAUUGCGAUGAAUUGGUCUCAAACUACGUUUUCCAACCAACACAGUUUGAUCAGUUUUAAAAAAAAAACACUGUUUGAUUAGUCUCGUUCAAUACCAUUACGUGAUCAGCUUAAAUUUACUUUUCAUGUUCAAACUUUUAAUAGUUAAACUAAGAAAGAAUGGGCCAUAUUUUAUUUCUUUUAAAAGUUGUUCACAUAGAAGUGGACAUUGACAAAGUAGAUCAUGAAUAACAUUAUAACAUUGUAAUUUGGAUGAAAAUACACACAUCCAAUACUUUAAUUAGAUGCAUUAUACUUUAAAUGAAAAUAAAUAAAUUUAAUAUUCUUAGAGAAGGUCACAAUAGAAAUUUCACAACUAAGAACGGAUUAGAGCAUGCCAAUACUUAAAAAGCCGACUUGGCUUUGUAAUGGGAAGGGUACAAAGAAAUUUCACAGCUAAAAAUUAAUUAGAUCGUGACAAUGAGGUAGAUGAGGGGGUUCUUUUCUCCAAAUAAACUCUUAAAGUAUUUUUAUAUAAAACUUAUAGUUUUGAAACAAAUAAUUUUACAUUAGAAAAGAUAGCUUAUACUUUCACUAAAAAAGAGAUCUGAUUUUUAUUAAUUAACAUUGAAGUUUUUGCCUAUUCAAGAGAUGUGGGUCCCGUAUUUCAAUCAACACAUGUGAGUUUCAUCUCUAUUAAAAAGAUGAUACAAAUGAUGGUUACAAAUAAAUGGUAAGAACAAUAUUUUUAUUUACAAAAAAAUUAUUAUGCACUGCUAUCUAAUAAAGUAAACAAGGUCAAAAGGAGGACAAAGUGGGUUUCUUUUAGCGCUAAUAUUCUUUUAGAAACUAUAUAUUUGAUUGUAUGAACAAUAAAGUCAUUGUACAAUUUAAAUUUAAAACUCAUAAAGAAAAUUAUACAAGGCAUACAAAGUUUAUUAAUCAACAUUGAACCUUUUGUGCAUAUUCUAUGAAAACAUAAGGAAAUUAUACAAUGGUCUCCUCACAAGAAAUUCUCAACUCUUUCAUUUUUUGUGAACUUGUGAUACACGCUAAAGGGGAUGAACUCUUCAAUGAAAUUUUGACACGUAAAAAUGAGACCUAUUCGUAAGUUUAUUGAAAAUAAUAAAGCUCAUAUGAGUAGCCUAGAAUACAAUUUCCUUGUGUUUUCAUAGCAUAUGCACACAAAAUAUAAUGUUGCAAAAUAAGUUUUAUAUUUUAUGUAUAUAAUUAUAAGUAUAAUAUUUUCUCAUCUUCUAGUACAAGUUUUGUGCAUAUUCUACAAAACCAAAAACAAAUUAAAACUCAACAUCUUAGCAAUAUUUUCUCAAAAAAAUAAAAAAACAUUUCGUAGUAAACGAAUAUACUUUUCCCUCACACUAAAUUUCGUAAAUAUUUUAUGAAAAUGUAAGGAAAUUACACUAUGGUCUCCUUGACACGCCCCGAUCCCGAUAUUCCUCGAAUACCAGGAUAGGCACGUGUUGGCCGACACCCGAGGGUGACGAAAGCCAUUUAUUGAAUGCAAAUGCUGAGAAUAAGAAAUAGAUAAGACCUAGAAAUAUAAAAGAAUAAUGAUUAUGCAUUUAAGAAAUGUGUUCAGAGCAUACAACUAACUAGAACACUAAAAGAAAUAAUAUAAAAAUUGAGUUAACAAAGGAGUGGGUCCUACACCGAGAGGACUCGAAGAUGCCGAUGCAAAAGUGCUUGGACGUCGGGAUUGUAUGCACCGAUUUUAAGUCCUGAAGGGGGCGCAAAACAAAGGUGAGUGGACCAAGUUUAUAUAUACAUAAUAAUAAAACAAUUAUCAACGUACUAACCCCCAGGUUUAUAUAAAGAAAACUACUAGCAUAAUAAGUGAUAGGUUUACUGAAAACCCUAGCAUGCCAUAAAACAUCUCAACAGGUAUAAUACGGAAAAACAUAUCAUCGCAUGUAUCAUUUCGUAGAUCGUCUCGUAAGUGUGGUGUGCUGCUAGUAAGAUCAUUGAAAUAAAAAUAACUCCCGACCCUAUGCCAGCACCGUGGUCUCUGCGCCCGUAGCCAGAUAUUACCAACUCCCGGCCCAAUGCCUGCUCCGUGUCCCUCAGCCCGUAGCUAGGGAUUAUUUCUCCCGGCCCAUAUGCCAACACCAGAUCCUCGCCCUAGGCGACAUACUGUCCACUAGGUACGCACAAAUAGUUAUGCCUCUCAUAAAUAACCAUUUCAUAGUAUAAAGUCAUCCAUCGUCUAUACCAUAAAAAAGGGUUUUGAAGACACGUUCUAGUAUCCUAUCGUCAUCCAUCAGAUAGUCUACCAGUUCAUGGUUUUUAUAGAAAAUACGAUAUAUUAAAAUAUAGCUCAAUAUAGGCCAACAAUUAAUUCCUCACUAAAAACACGAGACGAAAAUCAACAUAUUCAAUAAACAUGCUUAACAUAAAAUCAAAUCAUAAACUCGUAAGGCAUGCUAUUCAUUUAUGAAAUUGAACUAUAAAAAUCAUGUAAUUUUAGAAGGGGUCCACUCACAGUACUUAGGCGCAAAAAACUGCGCUACUAGCGAAGACGGAAACGUCACAAUAAUUGUCCCUAAACAUUUAAAAAAACUCUACUCAAACAAUUUAAUUUAGGAAAACGGACUUCAGAAACGGGUCCAGGACGUCGAAAUUAACCUAAGAGAGGUCCCAGACAAAACCUUGAAAAGUCAACCCUAAAGUCAACGCUGACUGUUAACCGAUCAAAGUCAAAGCUGACCGUUGUCCGAGUCAACGGUCAGAGUAAAGGGUCAAAGGUCAACUAGGUCUGGGCUAAGGGUUUGGAUCAGGAUUAGGGUUUAGGUUUAGGUUAAAUAAGGUUAUGACCUUUUGUGUUUUGGUUUUGGGUAGGAAUAAAUGGGUGGUUUGGGCUUGAGCCUAAACCCAUACAACACACACAUACAAAUGCCAGCACACACACCUGCACGACAUAACACACACACACGGUACAACACACUCACAUACACACGCACUGACACACACACACACACACACCACCUACAUGGACACACACAAACACACACACCACACACAAACACAAUCCUCAGCCUAAGGCAAAGCACGGCCCAAUACACACACACACACACACUCACUCACAUGCACGGCCCAUGCAUGGCACGGCCCAUAGGCCAAUUAACCCACCAAAAGAAUAGAAACUGGGCUGGCUAAAACGGGCCUAGAGCCCGUGGGCUUGAGAAACGGCCUAAAAGGCCUGGUGUCACUGGAAUUAAUGGAGAAGAACGCCAGAGUAUUUUCUGGGAAUGAAGGACCGAGAAUCACAGAGGUGAAAUAGGGGUUAAAACCCUUGAAUUUCCAAUCAAAUUCAACAUGCAAGGAAUAGGAAUUAUACCUGAGGUUUAAUGGAAGUCAAUUCGAGUCCACAGAACUUCGAAUUUGUCGAGCUUAAACAUGAUUUGCGCUGGAGCCUCUCAUCGGGAAACUGGUAAAGGAAGAACAGGGAAUUACAGAGGUCGUUAUCAGUGAAUUCCAACUCAAAUUUCUUCCAUAAAAUUAGAAAACCCAACUAGGGAUCGAUUGGAAGAAAUCCUAAGCUGAAUCAAUGACUGGAACAUCAAGUUCCAUCUCUAGCUCGGCGGAACUCAUGGAGCUCUCCAUUCCGCUCCAUCCCGUAACCAGCUCGAACAUGCAGAGCAACACUUCAAAUAUACAAACCAACCAGAUGACGGAUUUGGUGGUUGAGGGUCAUGAUUUGAUUGGAAAGGAUGAAGGUUGUGGGUGAGGAUGCAUGGUGGUGUGCGUGGUUUAUAGAGGGAGAGGGAGUGAAACAGAAACAAAAAGAAGAAGAAGAAAGAGUCAUGGGGGGGGAACAAAGAGAAAGAGAGAGAGAUGAGGUUUGUUAGGGUGCUACCACGUGACAGUUUGAGGGAGUUUAGGAAUUUGGAUAAAAGGUCUAGAUUUAGUCAAGCUAGGGGACCAAAAUGAUAAAUUCAAUAAAACUUUGGGAAAAUAUAAAAUUACAUAUAAGUUCAGGGGUGGGGUUUAACACUCCUCUCAAGAAAUUCCAAGAAAUUCCUAGCUCCAUUAUUUUUCGUUAACUUAUAAUUCAUGGGAUCAAUUUAUGAAAGGAUGUAUGAUACACGUAAAUAAGAUCAAUUUAUAAGUGCAUUGAACAUGACAUAUUAUGUUAAUAGAGAAACAUAUAAUUUUCUUAUGUUUUCAUGCCAUGUGCACAAAAAGUUUUAUUGGUGUUGAAAAUUUUGUAUGUAUAUAAGCAUAUUUUCUCAUCUUAUAGUAUGCUAAAAGGAAACCAGAUAGUAGCAUCUUCCUAAUAAAUUCUCUAACUAACUUACACCAGGCCUAUGAAUUCACUCGCAACAAAAUUUGAACUGAGAAAAAAAUUCAUCUUACACUAUUCUCCAAUGAAAUAAGAAAGGUCAAAAUGAGGGCAAAGUGACUUUCUUUUAGCAAUAGUAACCGUUUUUUUUUAACAAACAAUAUAAUCCACACUAAGGAGCUGAGGGAGGUGGGUUAAGCCUCACAAUGACUAACAAUAAUGUGGUUCAAAUUCUCCUUUGGUGAGAAUUGAACCUAAGAACUCUCACUUACAAGUGAAGAGGAAUACCACUAGACCUUACUAUUAAGUUGCCUAAUAAUAGUUCUUUUAAAAACUAUAUAUUUGAUUACAUGAACAAUAAAGUCAUUGUAUAAUUUAUAUUUAAAACUCAUAAAGAAAGUUAUUUAGGAAAUAAAAUUAUAUUUACAAAGACAUACAAAUUUUAUUAAUCAAUAUUGAAACAAUUGUGCAUAUUUUAUGAAAGCAUAUUGAUGAGAUUAUAAUAUAGUCUCCCACAUGAAAUUCUCAGAUCUAUUAAUUUUCGUGAACUUGUGAUACACGGUAAAUGUGUGAAUUCUUCAAUGAACUUCUGAUACAUGUAAAUCAAAUCCAUUCUUAAGUUUAAACUAGAAAUGACGAAGCAACCAAGAAGAACGAAGUAGACCCAGGAGGAGCCAAUAACGCACCAACACAAAACUAAAAUACUCAUUAGGAGAGACUCACAAAUAACGUCAAGAAAAUAGUAAGGCUAGGAGAAUGGAGAUGGGCACCCAUUGGCCACAAGCUGAAGAAAGGGGUCGGGAGCUGUGAAUUUUAUAAAUAUAUGAUUUUGGUAGAGGAAAGGAGAGAGCCGCUAGCAGUAGUUUCUUAUAUAUUAGCAUUCCAAGAAUCCAUCCUGUUGACUUUUAUUAAUGUACUUCUGGUACAAUUUUAAUAAGAGUAUUAUCGGAAAGUGUAAAUAUGUAUUUUACACUAAUAAGAAAGAUGUAAAUUUGGGAGCUCAUUUAUUUAUGGUCUCUUUUAACCAGUGAAAAUGGAUAUACAUAUUUUAUUAGUCCACCUCUUAAAAAUGCAAAUAUACAUUUUAUUCACAUGUUUACACUAAUCCUUUGAGAGCUUUCCAACCAAAAAAAUUUAAAUUGUACAUUUGUAGACAUUUUGCAUCUUGUAUUAGGAGAUAAAAUUUUCAAUGUGCUUGGUACGAGAUAGUACACCACAUGCUAUUAUAUAAUUGGAAUAAAAAAUUAAUUUUUCAAGUGUUAUUCUAUUUGUAUAACGAUAUGUGUUAUAUUACUUUGUGUUUCGUGCACUGAAAAAUAUCUCUUAUCAGAUAUGCUAGUGGAGUACCAAUUUGGGGUUGUUGAAAUUAAUAUUUUUUUUUUUGUCAAAGGGUUGUUGAAAUUAUUUAAAAGAAUAAAUUAUAGUAAUGGUAUCUCAAUUUUAAUGAAAUUAGAGCAAUAAUUCUUCAACUAAAAACCUAUUAUCAUUCGUCAUUCAACUCAUCAAAAUGUGUAGUUAUGAUCAUUUUCGUCAACUUUGUCAAAAUUUUGUCAGAAUGAAUUAUGUUAGAAGGACCAUUGCUACAAUUAGAUUAAAGUUGAGGGAUCGUUCUCCAAUUGGGUUAAAAUUAAGGGACCAUUCUUCAGUUAAAUUAGAGUUGAGGGACCAUUGGUAAUAGAUUUUUAGUUGAGGGACUAUAACGGCUCGUUUUACGAGUUAAGAGACCAAUGCUAAUAGAUUUUUUGUUAGAGAUCAUUAUUUCAAUUAAGUUAAAGUUAAUUGACUAUUACUACAAUUUACUAUAUUUAAAAAGCAACUUAUUAAAAAAUCUGAUGAAUGGUGAACAGUAAAGUUUAAUGAAAAUUUUAUGAGGAUAGUGUUACCCUGGGUUUUUAAUUAAAAUUACAGCCAGUAUCUUCGCUUCUCCUUUCCCCUUUCUCCAUGUCGUCCUUCAAAUCGAAGGUUGGCGACCUUCAAUUACCUGGAGAAAUCAACAAUAAGCCAUAAUUCCUUCAAUUAGAGGAUGCUCUGCCUGUCUUCUGCUGACUUUUCUUUAAAUUUUGAGCUUAUAGUGCUCACAUGGGAACAUAGAGAGAGAGAGAGAGAGAGAGAGAGAGAGAGAGAGAGAGAGAGAGAGAGAGAUUGAAGUUUUUAUGGAAGGAAAGAAAUUUGAGCUUUGUGUAGGAUAGAGCAGGCGAGUGAGAUUGCAUGCGACGAAUCCGUUAGGUUUCUGACUUCAAAUGGCGCCGUUGUGGUCUGAUCCGUCCGAGUUAUGGAGAUCGGACAUUGGAGCUCCUAACUAGCGAUAAUUUGGAGCUGCAGAUCCGAUGAGAAAUUCAAAAUAUUUGGAAUGGCUAUGGGGAAACGGGAUGACACAGAGAGAUUGGGUGAUUAGGAUUGUGCCGUGGGCUGGGAGGUCGCGGCGGCGGCGGAAGGAACCCAGACCUAUGGGUAAAACAGUAAAAUUAUUAGAAAUAUUUUGAAAUUUAUGGGCUGGUAUUUGUUCAAUUAAUCUACGGGCUGCUAUGUGUUUAAUUAAUCUAUGGGCUGGUAUGUGUUUAAUUAAUAUAUGGGCGGGUGUUUGUUUAAUUAAUCCAUGGGCUGGUGUUUCAAUAUGACUUGGAUUUAACGUGAAAUUAUUAGAAAAUUUCUAUUAAACCAUUUGAUGGUUAUUACUUGCACGUAAGUGAAGACGCAGAAGAUAAACAUUGAAGAAGAUAAACAUCGAAGGAAAAAUGGAGAAGAUAAGAUUAUUAAAGAAAAAGGUUAGAUAAAUUAUCAUCCAACCUUAUGAUAUUUUUAGUCAUCUCUAUAUGGGCUUGUUUGACGGCCUGAAAGAUAUUGGACCUUAGAGAGAAAAUUAGAUUAAUAGCGAUUUGAAAGGUAAAACUUGUAACCUAUGUAUAAAGAUAAAUUAGAUAACACAUUUUAUUAUGAAUUCAUAACUCAUCAUUACAACAACAACAACAACAACAACAACAACAACAAAGCCUUUUCCCACUAAGUGGGGUCGGCUUUCAUAUAUGAAUCCUAGAACGCCAUUGCGCUCGGUUUUGUGUCAUGUUCUCCGUUAGAUCCAAGUACUCUAAGUCUUUUCUUAGAGUCUCUUCCAAAGUUUUCCUAGGUCUUCCUCUACCCCUUCGGCCCUGAACCUCUGUCCAGUAGUGACAUCUUCGAACCGGAGCGUCAGUAGGCCUUCUUUGCACAUGUCCAAAUCACCGGAACCGAUUUUCUCUCAUCUUUCCUUCAAUUUCGGCUACUCCUACUUUACCUCGGAUAUCCUCAUUCCUAAUCUUAUCCUUUCUCGUGUGCCCACACAUCCCACGAAGCAUCCUCAUCUCCGCCACACCCAUUUUGUGUACGUGUUGAUGCUUCACCGCCCAAACAUUCUGUGCCAUACAACAUCGCUGGCCUUAUUGCCGUCCUAUAAAAUUUUCCCUUGAGCUUCAGUGGCCUACGACGGUCACACAACACGCCGGAUGCACUCUUACACUUUCAUCCAUCCAGCUUGUAUUCUAUGGUUGAGAUCUCCAUCUAAUUCUCCGUUCUCUUGCAAGAUAGAUCCUAGGUAGCGAAAACGGUCGCUUUUUUGUGAUCUUCGCUAGAUUGCUCCGGUCAUUAGUGUGGAUAAGUAUAUAAAUGGAUAGAGAUAGGAAAGCAAACACAAGAUGUACGUGGUUCACCCAGAUUGGCUACGUCCACGGAAUAGAGGAGUUCUCAUUAAUUGUGAAGGGUUUACACAAGUACAUAGGUUCAAGCUCUCCUUUAGUGAGUACAAGUGAAUGAUUUAGUACAAAUGACAUUAGGAAAUAUUGUGGGAGAAUGAUCUCGUAAUCACGAAACUUCUAAGUAUCGGAGUGUGGUAUCGUCUUGACUUGCCUUAUCUGUCUCAUAGGUAGAUGUGGCAUCUUCUCUGGAAGUACUCUUCCUCCAUCCAGGGGUGGUAUCUUUAACUGGUGGAGAUGCACAAGGUAAUGUAUCAAUUUCACUUGAAGCUUACUUGUAGUUUCAGGCUUGGUCAAGCGCGAUACAAACCAUGUAGUAGGAGUCCCCCAAGUCGCCGAGCUAGGGGAUCUGCUGAAAGAGGUGACAGACAAGGUAAGCAAUCAGAGCUCCGGCUGAUUGUUCACAUUCUCCCUAUCUUGCAGGCAGCAUGAAGGAUAAAGAGAAGAAAAAUGAGAAGAGAUGAUAUGGGAUACUUUUGCUUUUGAAGAAGUAACUUUCCACAGGCUUAUUCUUGAACUGAGCUGGAGGGUUUUCUGGUUUCCUCCAGAGUAUAAGGCCGACUGAAGAAUUUGAGGGUCAAAACAAGUCCAUCAAAUCUAGAGUACGUUCGACCCUGCUGAUAUGGGAUACUUUUGCUUUUGACAGAGUAAUGGAUGUAUCGGCACGUGUGCUGUUACGCUUGUCUCCACAUGCUUCCUUGUAUCCUUCUCACUUGCCCUAUCUGUUCCUCAGGCAGAUGCGGUAUCUUCCCUGGAAGCAUAAGAUGUUGAAGAUGAGUACUCGAGAGCAAUGCCAGGUAAGUAAUCAGGUAAGGGGUUCCAGGCAGUCAGUUCCUGGCUGGAAGCUUGAUUCCAAGUGCUGACUGAAUUGCUCUCUUUCUCCUUGUCUUGCAGGUAAGAACAAGGCCAAAGGAAAAGACAGGGAAAAAGCAUGAUAUGGGAUACUCUUGCUUUUAACCCUGAUGAUAUGAGAUAUUCUUGCUCUAGUAUAGCUUGUUUGCAGAGGUAUUAUCGGGGGGAAAGAAAGCUGAAUAUUUCGAAAGGCUUCGUUGGGAGUGCCCUCUCAGAUAUGAGGAAGGGUUGAGCAUUUUUGCAGGUCUGCCUGUCCGUUGGGGAUGGAGGUCGACAUAUAUAGGAGUCUCCCUAACAACAAGUAGUAAUGCUAUUCCUUUACCCUGCUUGGUCAUAGCACGGUAGUGGGAGCUGCCAGCUUCACAUGUUUUAACUCUGUCAGAGCACUUUGAAAAAGUGGUUUGUGGUAUCUGGAAAGCUGAUGUUGCGUGUGAAGAUUACAUACAAGCUUUAUCCAAGGAGAUCCGGCUCUUGAAGUUGGGAAAAGUGUUGCCUCUUCGGUUUUCGAACAAGCAAUCCUAUCGGGAUCUGGCUCUCGAGAUUCGGAGAACGAUGCCUCUUCGAUUUUUGAGAAAGCAAUCAUGCUGGGGGUCUGGCUCUCGAGAUUCGGAGAGCAGUGUCUCUUCGAUUUUUGAGAAAGUAAUCAUGUUGGGAGUCUGGCUCUCGAGAUUCGGAGGGCGGUGCCUCUUCGAUUUUGGAGCAAGCAAUCUUGUUGGGAGUGUUUUCUCGAAUGUGAGUAAAGGUUGGGCAUGUUUGCUAGUCUACCUUGCCACGAAGCACAGAGGUUGACACACAGGGACUUUCCAAUUAUCCAGCAAUGGUACUGUUCCUUUACCCUCUCUUCGAUUUUUGAGAAAGUAGUCAUGUUGGGAGUCUGGCUCUCGAGAUUCGGAGGACGGUGCCUCUUCGAUUUUGGAGCAAGCAAUCUUGUUGGGAGUGUUUUCUCGAAUGUGAGUAAAGGUUGGGCAUGUUUGCUAGUCUACCUUGCCACGAAGCACAGAGGUUGACACACAGGGACUUUCCAAUUAUCCAGCAGUGGUACUGUUCCUUUACCCUUGUGGGUAAUAAUAUGGUAGCUAGACCUUCAAAAUUUAUGUGUCUAAACUUUGUUAGUGUUGUUUCUUUGCUAUUCUUUUACCCUUCUUGGUCAGAGCGAUGUAGUGGGAGCUGCAAGCUUCACGUGUCUCAACUUUGGCAGAGAACUUUGGCAAAGUUAUCUGUGGUACCCAUGAGCUACUGUUGCGUGUGGGAAGUGGGUGAUUGAACAGUAAGAUUCAUGUGCUUUCUACUUCACCAGAAGUCUUCGACAGAAUGCCCAUAAUUUCCGCAAAGCUGAGUGUGCGUGUGACAGGUGCUGACAAGGCUGGAAAAGUAGGUGCCUCUUCGAUUUCUGAGAUCGGCCCUCGUGGUCUCUGAGCAGCCCAGCUUUUGAGAAAGCAAGCGCCUCUUCGAUUUCUGAGAUCGGCCUUCGUGGUCUUUGAGCAGCCCAGCUUUUGAGAAAGCAAACGCCUCUUCGAUUUCUGAGAUCGACCCUCGUGGUCUCUGAGCAGCCCAGCUUUUGAGAAAGCAAACGCCUCUUCGAUUUCUGAGCAGGCGCCUCUUCGAUUUCUGAAGCUCCGUCGAGUGCAGAUUUUUUAUAGGGGCUGGCAUUAAGUUCCAAAGCACACUUGAAUCUCCACCAGUAGAAGCUCCAUUCUUGCACUUCUAAGAUCUUGAUUUGUCCGACCUCUUCUCUCUUCAACACCUUUGAAAAUGUCUGGCCCCUCCGACCGUCGUUUUGACUUGAACCUUGUUGAAGAGGCAGCCCCGCCUUCUCCAGACAACAUAUGGCGCCCAUCCUUCGUCUCCCCUACUGGUCCUCUACCGUUGGGGAUUCCGUGAUGAAGAAUGAUAUGACCGCUGCGGUGGUGGCCAGGAACCUUCUCACUCCCAAAGAUAACAGACUACUUUCCAAACGGUCUGAUGAGUUAGCUGUUAAGGAUUCUCUGGCUCUCAGUGUUCAGUGUGCAGGUUCUGUGUCUAAUAUGGCCCAACGCCUAUUUGCUCGAACCCGCCAAGUUGAAUCAUUGGCGGCUGAAGUGAUGAGUCUCAAACAGGAGAUUAGAGGGCUCAAGCAUGAGAAUAAACAGUUGCACCGGCUCGCACAUGACUAUGCUACAAACAUGAAGAGGAAGCUUGACCAGAUGAAGGAAUCUGAUGGUCAGGUUUUACUUGAUCAUCAGAGAUUUGUGGGUUUGUUCCAAAGGCAUUUAUUGCCUUCGUCUUCUGGGGCUGUACCGCGUAAUGAAGCUCCAAAUGAUCAACCUCUGAUGCCUCCUCCUUCUAGGGUUCUGUCCAGUACUGAGGCUCCGAAUGAUCCCCCUCCGGUGCCUUCUCUUUCUGGGGCUCUACCGACUGCUGAGACUUCUCCUAAGCAACCUUUGUGAAGGCUCCCUCUUGUUUGUUUAUUUUGACUCAUGUAUAUGUACAUAUUUGUAGCUUAUCGGGGAUAUCAAUAAAUAAGCUUUCCUUCAUUUCAACGUAUUGUGUUAAAUACACCAAAGCCUUCUUCGCUAAGUUCUUUGAAUUUUCUUUUGUUGAAGCUUGUAUGUUGAAGUGAGUGGAGCAUGUAGGUUGAGGUAGUGUUCCCUUAAUUUCCCGAGUGAGGAAAACUUCUCGGUUGGAGACUUGGAAAAUCCAAGUCACUGAGUGGGAUCGGCUAUAUGAAUCUUAGAACGCCAUUGUGCUCGGUCCUGUGUCAUGUCCUUCGUUAGAUCCAAGUACUCUAAGUCUUUUCUUAGAGUCUCUUCCAAAGUUUUCCUAGGUCUUCCUCUACCCCUUCGGCCCUGAACCUCUGUCCCAUAGUCGCAUCUUCUAAUCGGAGCGUCAGUAGGCCUUCUUUGCACAUGUCCAAACCACCGUAACCGAUUUUCUCUCAUCUUUCCUUCAAUUUCGGCUACUCCUACUUUACCCCGGAUAUCCUCAUUCCUAAUCUUAUCCUUUCUCGUGUGCCCACACAUCCAACGAAGCAUCCUCAUCUCCGCUACACCCAUUUUGUGUACGUGUUGAUGCUUCACCGCCCAACAUUCUGUGCCAUACAGCAUCGCCGGCCUUAUUGCCGUCCUAUAAAAUUUUCCCUUGAGCUUCAGUGGCAUACGGCGGUCACACAACACGCCGGAUGCACUCUUCCACUUCAUCCAUCCAGCUUGUAUUCUAUGGUUGAGAUCUCCAUCUAAUUCUCCGUUCUUUUGCAAGAUAGAUCCUAGGUAACGAAAACGGUCGCUCUUUGGUAUUUCUUGAUCUCCGAUCCUCACCCCUAACUCGUUUUGGCCUCCAUUUGCACUGAACUUGCACUCCAUAUAUUCUGUCUUUGAUCGGCUUAGGCGAAGACCUUUAGAUUCCAACACUUCUCUCCAAAGGUUAAGCUUUGCAUUUACCCCUUCCUGAGUUUCAUCUAUCAACACUAUAUCGUCUGCGAAAAGCAUACACCAAGGAAUAUCAUCUUGAAUAUGUCCUGUUAACUCAUCCAUUACCAACGCAAAAAGGUAAGGACUUAAGGAUGAGCCUUGAUGUAAUCCUACAGUUAUGGGAAAGCUUUCGGUUUGUCCUUCAUGAGUUCUUACGGCAGUCUUUGCUCCUUCAUACAUAUCCUUUAUAGCUUGGAUAUAUGCUACUCGUACUCCUUUCUUCUCUAAAAUCCUCCAAAGAAUGUCUCUUGGGACCCUAUCAUACGCUUUUUCCAAAUCUAUAAAGACCAUGUGUAAAUCCUUUUUCCCAUCUCUAUAUCUUUCCAUCAAUCUUCGUAAGAGAUAGAUUGCCUCCAUGGUUGAGCGCCCUGGCAUGAACCCGAAUUGGUUGUCCGAAACCCGUGUCUCUUGCCUCAAUCUAUGCUCAAUGACUCUCUCCCAGAGCUUCAUUGUAUGACUCAUUAGCUUAAUACCCCUAUAGUUCAUGCAAUUUUGUACGUCGCCCUUAUUCUUGUAGAUAGGCACCAAAGUGCUCGUUCGCCACUCAUUUGGCAUCUUCUUCGUUUUCAAAAUCCUAUUGAAAAGGUCAGUGAGCCAUGUUAUACCUGUCUCUCCCAAAACUUUCCACACUUCGAUUGGUAUAUCGUCUGGGCCUAUUGCUUUUCUAUGCUUCAUCUUCUUCAAAGCUACAAACCACUUCUUCCUUCCGGAUUCGACGAUAAAAAGAGUAGUUUCUACACUCUUCUGAGUUACUCAACUCCCCUAAAGAAGCACUCAUUUCAUGUCCUUCAUUGAAAAGAUUAUGAAAAUAACCUCUCCAUCUGUCUUUAACCGCGUUCUCUGUAGCAAGAACCUUUCCAUCCUCAUCCUUGAUGCACCUCACUUGGUUUAGGUCCCUUGUCUUCUUUUCCCUUGCUCUAGCUAGUUUAUAGAUAUCCAACUCUCCUUCUUUGGUAUCUAGUCGUUUAUACAUAUCGUCGUAAGCCGCUAACUUAGCUUCUCUCACAGCUUUCUUCGCCUCUUGCUUCGCUUUUCUAUACCUUUCACCAUUUUCAUCGGUCCUAUCCUUGUAUAAGGCUUUACAACAUUCCUUCUUAGCCUUCACCUUUGUUUGUACCUCCUCAUUCCACCACCAAGAUUCCUUUUGGUGUGGGGCAAAGCCCUUGGACUCUCCUAAUACCUCUUUUGCUACUUUUCGGAUACAACUAGCCAUGGAAUCCCACAUUUGGCUAGCUUCCCCCUCUCUAUCCCACACACACUGGGUGAUUACUUUCUCUUUGAAAAUGGCUUGUUUUUCUUCUUUUAGAUUCCACCAUCUAGUCCUUGGACACUUCCAAGUCUUGUUCUUUUGUCUCACUCUUUUGAUAUGUACAUCCAUCACCAACAAGCGAUGUUGAUUAGCCACGCUCUCUCUUGGUAUAACUUUGCAAUCCUUACAAGUUAUACGAUCCCCUUUCCUCAUUAGAAGAAAAUCUAUUUGUGUUUUUGACGACCCACUCUUGUAGGUGAUCACAUGUUCUUCUCUCUUCUUAAAGAAGGUGUUGGCUAAGAAGAGAUCAUAUGCCAUUGCAAAAUCCAAGAUAUCAUAUGUUCUUUCUCCUUAUUCUUGGACAAAAUUGCACCUAUAAAACAAAUAACAACUUAGAUCAAGGCCAAGAGUCUCACGCGCCCACGAUGAAUUUGGAGGGGGGGCUUUGGUCGAAAAACCUCCGAUGCCAAAGUUAGAAUUUUGAGGGAAAAGUGUUUUGAGAAUUUUGAGUGUUUAGCAAGAGUGAAGACUAAGGUUUUUAAAGAAAAUAAGGUAGAAUAUAUAAGGCAUGGCCGGCCCCCUUGGGAGAGAAGAUGACCAGCUUCUUGUGUGUAUUUUUGGGUUUAAUUGGUAGUUUAAUUAGACAUUAAUAGAUUAAUUAGGUAAUAAAUUCACUAAUUAGCUAAUUAACAUAAUUUAAAAGGAAUGUUUUGGGGGUUACCUUGUGGAGAAGAUAUGAUGAGGGACGGAUGAAAUAUGUUAUAAAUAAAUACCUAUUUGGGCACUUUUAACUUGAUUGAGGGAUGAUUGUCCACUGCUCACGUGUAUAAAUUCCGGUGUGCCUCAAAGAUAAUUUUGUCCUUUUAACCCAAAAAUCCACGUGUCGCCUCUUGACUAUUUUUUGCUCCACAAUCAUGUCCUGUCCACUUUACUUUUAACACAACGAACAACGAAUUAGAUUAAAGUCUAUUUUAACUAGUACAUGCUUACAUAUAUUGUGUGAACAAUUUCAUUUUAUUUUGUUUUGUAUUAUAAAGUGUUGAUUAUUUUAAAAUUUCUUGAAAAAGCUUACAUGAGGUGCUCGGAUCAGAGUCGAUCGUUUUCGAGUCGUAACCCUUUUCGGAGCAGUGGGGAAGAUGGUGGCUUGGUAGUUGUGUUGGGUGAUCUCUGCCUCUUAUGAAGCUUUUUCUAUUUUUCUAUUUUUCUAAUUUUUAUUGUUAAUUUUCUUUUUAUUUGUUUGUUAUUAAAUUUUGUGGGAUCCACAUAUGUGUCACGUUAACAUUCUAACAGAAGUUUUGACGAAAAUAUAAUGGCAAAUUGAUUUGUAACAUCCAAUUCAAAGGCUACACUGAUCGAUUUCAAUUUCAAAGGUCACCUUAAUUAGUGCGUCGAUUUCCGACUAUUUGCGUUAAAGACACAUUUUAGAAAAAUCUACUACACAAAGCAGUGGGGAAGAUGGUGGCUUGGUAGUUGUGUUGGGUGAUCUCUGCCUCUUAUGAAGCUUUUUCUAUUUUUCUAUUUUUUAUUGUUAAUUUUCUUUUUAUUUGUUUGUUAUUAAAUUUUGUGGAAUCCAGAUGUGUGUCACGUUAACAUUCUAACAGAAGUUUUAACAAAAAUAUAAUGGCAAAUUGAUUUGUAACAUCCAAUUCAAAUGCUACACUGAUCGAUUUCAAUUUCAAAGGUUACCUUAAUUAGUACAUCAAUUUCCGACUAUUUGCGUUGAAGACACAUUAUAGAAAAAUCUACUACACAACGUGUGGGGGGUGUUGAUUUGAACGCCCGGUGAAGCACGGGAAGACCAAAACAUGUAGCCAGAAAAUUCGGUGUCUCGCCUUCCCAACUCGCUCGACCUAUAUAUGUGUGCUGAAACACAGAGUCGAAAACAAACAACGCACGACAUUCUCCGUUUCUCAUCAAACUAGAUUAUUUUACGUUCUCUCUGCAAAGCGUUGGAAUUUCUGUUCUUCUUUCAUCACCCAAGAACAGAUUACGUAAUUGAAUUAAGUUUUGAGUCUCAUUGUUUCCGUAAAUUAUGUCUCUGGUUUCGGUCGGAAUGGGUGCUCUGAGAACGUCAUUUCAAAUGCUGUUUGAUGCUGUAAAAUCAGCGCAGGAGGAGAAUACAAUGUUCCAACACCUACUCGGAAACAUCAAAUCCACACUGGAAUCUCUACAACCACUUAUCAAAGACAUCGAAAAGUAUAACUCCAAGGAGGGGCGGGAAAAUUAUGCAAUACAGAUGGAGGAAGGAGCAAAGCUUGUUCAAAAGUGCAGCAAAGUUGGCGUGUGGAGAAAACACACAUACACCAAGAAGCUUAAUCAACUGGACAAAUCUCUUCGAAGAGUGUUUGAUGUGCUUAAACUGCAGGUUAUGAGGGAUGCGAGGGAGACGUUGGUUCCUUUGAGGAAUAUCGAGACGGUGCUCUCUCGAAUAGAAGAGAGAUUGAAGAUAAAAAAUAACCAGCCUGAAAUGGUUAAAUGUUCGUCUGCGGUGCCUGAAGCGCCAUCGGUUACAGUCGGGUUGGAUUUGCCGUUGAAGGAGUUGAAGGUGAAGCUCCUUAAGGAUGAAAAGGUGUCUAUGCUUGUGCUGACCGCUGCUGGAGGAUGCGGGAAAACCACCUUGGCUAAAAUGUUUUGUCAAGAUCAAGAAGUCAAAGGUAUACUAUUUAUGAUUUCAACCAUACACAGUAACCAAAAUUUGUUAAAAGAAAAACAACGAAGGGGACAUGAAACUAAAGCGCACGAAAGGAAUAUAAGAAAGAUUAGAAAGACCUAUAUUCUCUGUACUAAAGUUAAGCUGAUGCCUUCCUUUUAUUAACACCUUUCCUACAUUCUGUUUGAAUAGAUACAUUCAAGAACAACAUCUUCUUUGUCAAUGUCUCGAAAAAACCCAACUUGGACCUUAUUGUACACGAACUAUAUCAACGGAAGGGGUCCGAGCUGCCUGCUUUCGAAAACGAAGACAUGGCAGCUAACUGGUUGCAACAAUUUCUGAUGGAAUCAAGACAAAAUCCUCUACUGUUUGUCCUGGAUGAUGUUUGGUCAGGAUCAGAGUCCCUUCUUGAGAAGUUUGAUCAAUUCAAGUUUUCAAAUUACAAGAUUUUGGUCACAUCAAGAUUUGCAUUUCCAAGAUUCGGUUCUCCUUAUCAUUUGGCACCAUUGAAUGAUGAAGAUGCAAUGGCUCUUUUUCACUAUUCUGCAUCCUUGGAAGAUAAGAGCUCUUAUACUUACGAAGAUCUUUCGAGAAAGGUGAUUUCUUAGUCCACAAUACACACACACACACACACACAUAUAUAUAUAUGCUUAUUUAUGCCUCAGAAGAAGGUAAAGAAAUAACAUUUGAGCAUCCACACACGUUAAUGAACUGUGAAGAAUGAGGUAAGAAGAAUGAAUGACUAGACAGUUUACAAUUUUAUCAUCUUUAUGAAACCAUUUAGAUGAUUUUCAACAAUUUAAUCAAAUAAUAAUAAUUGAGUUCAUUUUGGAUAAUGAUAUUGCAGAUUAUCAAGCGCUGUAAGGGAUGCCCACUUGCCAUUGCAUUGGUUGGGAGAUCACUUCGCGGCCAGCCUAUAGAAAUCUGGCAGAAAAGAGUAGUGGAAUGGUGCAAAGGUUCAUCUAUUCUUGAUUCUGACAAGGAUUUACUUGCUUGCCUCCAAAGCAGCUUAGAUGCCUUGGAUAAGGAGAAGGUUAUCAUCAAGGAAUGUUUCCUCGAUCUAGGUUCUUUUCCGGAGGACCAAAGAAUUGCUGCUGCCGCUCUCAUUGAUAUGUGGGCGCAGUUAUAUGGUCUAGAUGAAGAAAUUCUGACCAUUGCCAACCUUCACGAGCUCACCGCUCGAAGUUUAGCUAAUCUUGUUGUCACAAGGUAUGCAGGCUGCUCAUAAGUUUUUCUAUUUAAUUAUGUAUGCCGAACAAAUCAUUAAAGAAAAUAGUAUUGAUCAUCCAGACAUGAGAGGGAGACAGAUGGCUAUUACACUGAACACUUUGUCACCCAGCACGACAUGCUUAGAGAGUUGGCGAUCCAUCAGGCGAGUCAAGACCCAAUAGAACAUAGGAAACGACUAUUUAUAAACAUAUGUGGGGUCAAACUUCCUAAGUGGUUGACAGAACAAAAGUAUAAAGCGAUCAAGGCUCGACUAUUAUCUAUCUCAACAGGUUCCAUCAAUCUCUCCUUAGUUAAUACUUAAUACAUGUGCACUCGGGACACACGUGUGCACACACACACACACACAUUUAGGACUUCCACACAUUUAGGCUAAUAUCUUGAAGCUUAUUGUUUGCAGAUGGAGCCUUCUCAGCAAAAUGGCCAAACAUGCAAGUACCCGAAGCAGAGGUUCUAGUUCUGAAUUUUCAAACAAAGAACUAUGCCUUACCUGAGUUUGUGGAGAAAAUGGAUAAACUAAAAGUUCUAAUACUAAAUAAUUAUGGUUUGUUACCUGCUGAACUAGAUAAUUUUGAACUACUUGGUUCGCUAUCAAAUCUUAAGAGAAUUAGAUUAGAACAUAUUUCAGUUCCUUCCAUAAGCAAGGUCCUCAAACAGUUGAAAAGUUUGCAAAAGAUAUCUUUUUUCAUGUGUGAUAUCGGCCAAGGUUUCGUCCAAAUUUUAGAUGCACUGCCAAAUCUAGUGGAAUUAAACAUUGAUUAUUGCCAUGAUCUGGUGCAACUUCCUGCCAACCUAUGUGACCUUGUUCACCUUAAGAAGCUUAGCAUCACCAACUGUCAUAAGCUAUCUGCCUUGCCUGCAGACAUUGGAAAGCUAGUCAAUCUAGAAGUGUUGAGGCUUAGGUCAUGUGCAGACUUGUUAGAGUUGCCAGGCUCGAUUAGGAACCUUGAAGUUUUGAAAUUUCUCGACAUAUCCGAUUGCUUUAGCAUAAAGGAGUUGCCCGAGGACAUUGGUGCAAUGUGCAGCAUGGAAAAGAUCAACGUGAGCCAGUGUUCAAGACUGAGAGAGCUGCCUGCUUCUGUUAUGGAUCUUGAGCAGUUGAACGAAGUGAUAUGCGACGAGGAGACGAAAACCUUAUGGGAACCCUUCUCGCCAUUUCUCACAAACAUGAGCGUAAAGGUGAUCAAAGAAGAUAUCAACCUAAAUUGGCUCAACAAGCUUCCAUCCUAAGGCUAUGGUCCUUCCAUCAAUGAGUGUUGGUGCAAUGUAUGCAGUAUGAUUGUGUUUAAUGUUAUUUUUCCUUUGUAAUUUACUUCUAUUUUAUGUUUUAUGUGUUUUUAAAUAACAUGGCAGCACUGUAAAUUAUUGUAAUUAUUCACCAUGGCUGUUAUUGUAAAUAACAUGUUUGCACUCCUCAUUGUUCAAUUCUUCAUUGAUUCUCUUUGAUUUAUCCAAUCAAUGGGUGUUUGUGCAAUGUAUGCAGGGAUAAAGGCAAGGAAAGAAAAUAAGGAAAAUUAAUUAAAAGGACUUGAAAACUUUGAGUUUUAACGAAAAUGACAAAAUAAAUGGGAAAAUGAAUAGUACCAUGAUUGACUUUUUAGUGUAAAAAUAUGGUUUUUUGUUAAAAUGAACAGUAUCGGAAGUUUUUUGUUAAAAUUCCCAAGAAAAUAAGAGUUAAAAAAUAACUGGCCUUUGAUUUAUUCAAUCAAUGUAUUAACUCUAUUGGUUGUUUCUCCGCUCUCUCUCUCUUGUUGAACCUCUUCAUCCCCUUUCAGUUAAAUAGGUCAUAACAUUACUGUUUUAUUUUAAGGGUAAUGCUAAGGAUAUUAAAUUUGUAGACAAAAUUUUGCAAAUUAAGUGACAUAGAAGUUGAUAAUUAGAUUAUGAUGUGCUUAAUCCUAUUGGUAACAUAUUAUUUAGUUUGCAAAUUUUGUCCCCAUAACAUUACUCGUAUUUAAAACUAUUUAUUCAAGAGCACAACAUUUUUUUUACUAUUUUAUUUUAAACUAUUUAUGCUACAGCACAACAUUUUAAAAGUAGUUCAAUACCAAAUCAUAUGUACUAGAAAAUUAUAUAUCUCCUCGUCUCCUAACAGCGUGUCAAAUGUCUUUCCCAGCUCGUUCGUUUUCUUUGGGUGAAAUUCAUUGCUUGUUCGUUAAGUUGUAUAUAUGUGUGCUGAAACCAACAAACAACUUACAUAUCAUUCUCACUUGCUCAUCAAACUAGAUUAACAAAGAGGAUUAAGGGUCAGUUUGGGAUUGCUAUGUUUUUAAAAAAACUAAUUAUGUUAUGUUUUAUGAAUAAUCAGUUGUAAAAUAAAGCCGAUGACCGUUUGGUUAAUUGAAUUUUAAAAGUCCUAUGAAUAUGAAAAGCAGCGCAAAAGCGUUUGGUAAAAUUUAAUGUAAAAGUGAUAUAAUUGUACACAAUGAUAGAUGGACAUAGUAGUAGGAAUGGGGGCAACGACAGCAGUGGUAGUAAUGGAGGUGGUGGUUGCAGUGGAGGAAGUGAUGGUGGUGCUAAUAGUGGGAUGUGUUGGUUGAGGUGGAAAGGUAACACAGGUGGUAAGGCGUGGUGGUGCUAAUAGUGGGCUGUGUUGGUUGAGGUGGAAAGGUAACACCGGUGGUAAGGUGGUGGCAGUGGUCAUGAUGGCAAUGGUGGCAGUUGGAGUUAUGUUAGUGUCGACAAUGAUAACAAUGAUGGUGGUAAUGAUAGUUGUGGUUGUGAUGGCAAUGGUGGUAGUUGUGGUAAUGGUGGUGGUGAUGGUGUUGGCGAUAACAGCAUCGAUGGUGGUAGUAGUGGUGGUGGCAAUGGCGGCAGUGCGGUGAUGGUAGUGAUGGUGGUGACAAUGAUGGUAGUGAUGACAGUGGUGGAGGUUGUGGUUAUGGCGGUGGUGGUGGUGGUGACAAAAAUGAUGGUUGCAAUGACGAUGAUGGUGUAAGGUUAGUAUUUGGAGUGGUAGGUGGUAGUCUUUACUUUAUUCUCUAAGGAAUAGAGGAACAGAAUGUGUGUGGAAGGCUAAACAAUGUCAUUUAAAAAAAAUUAAUGAAGGUAUUACAGCAAUUAAAAAUACUUAUUAUAGACCUUUCUUUUUACUAAAGCAGCUUUUAAAAGCAACUUGCAGGCUGCUUUUAAAAGCUAUUGUCUGGAGCCCAUUGUUUAGAGUCUCUUUGUUUUGGUAAGUAUGUCUCUGGCUUCAAUCAGAAUGGGUGCUCUCAGAACGGCAUUUAAAAUGUUGUUUGAUGCUGUAAAAUUAGCGUAGGAGGAGAAUAAAAGGUUCCAACACCUCUCCCGAGACAUCAAGUUCACACUCGACUCUGUACAACCACUCAUCAAAGACAUCGAGAAACGUAUAACUCGAAAGAGGGACUGCAAAAUUUUGCAAUACAGAGGGAGGAGGGAGCAAGCUUUCAACAAUUGUUACAUCUCAAUCUCAUUGGCAUUUCUGAAUCUAGAAGAAAUGUACAUCGACUAUUGCAGUGAUUUAAUAGAGUUGCUUACCAAGAUUUGUAAUCUUAGUAAAUUAAAGAAGCUUAGCGUCACUAACUGUUACAUCUCAAUCUCAUUGGUAUUCCUGAAUCUAGAAGAAAUGUAAAUCGACUAUUGCAGUGAUUUAAUAGAGUUGCCUUCCUCUCCCUUUCAUUGUUUUCACUUUCUUCUUCCUCCUCCGACAUACACACACGGACGACAACGGCAACACCACCAUUUGUGUGGCCGUGAAAUCCUUAAUCCAAAACCCUAAAAAAUCAAGAACCUUCCUCACCGCCACUGCCCUCGCUUCGCUUCUCGCUGUCUCCAAUCCAGCCUAUCUUCAUCUCGCUGUCUCCAAGUUGUAUACUUUGAAGGAGGAGAAAUUGAAGAUGGAUAACGGAGGCAGCGACUCAAUCCUCUUCUUCUCGCUGUUUUCAGUCCAACCUCUUUUCCUUCCACAAGCAGCGACUCAAGGUUAUCUUCUCCACCUCCUCCUCGUUUUCUUUUUUCUGAAUUGAAACAAAUUCAAAGUUGUAAACUUUGAAGAAGGAGAAAUUGAAUUGUUGUUGUUCUUUUUGUCUACAGAUUCUUGAAGUAGCAGAGGAAAAAUGAGAGUUUUAUGUUUUUGUUUGUUUGUUUGUUUUUUUUUUUUUUUUUUUGCAAUUAUCAGUUUUGGCUGUGGUAGUCUAGUGGGUUUCUGGGUUUCUGUGUUUCCAUUUCUAUUGCAGAUCAGCAAAGCCAUUUCUGGUGGGUUUCUGGGUUUUGUGGAGAUCGGCAAAGGAGCACUGUUUCUUGUUUGAGGGUGUUAUUGGACUUUAGAAAGUUUCAUUAAAGGAGCACUGUAGCUCUGCGUGCUUUGAAAAAAAGCCAGUUUUCCAAAGCAGCAUUUUAGGUGCUUCAGCUUUUCUGAUGAUUUCAGCUUAUUCAAUCCAUUUUUUUUGAGUUUACCAAACACCUUCAACAUAAAAACUUUGAAAAUAAGCAACUUUUUUUUAAGCACCUCAAUGCCAAACCAUACGUAACUGUCAUAAGCUAUCUGCCUUAGCUGAAGGGAUUGGAAAGUCGGAAAAUUUAGAAAUGUUGAGGCUAAGAUCCUACACAGAACUGUUAAAGUUUCCAACCACGAUGAAGAACCUUGGAAAGGUAAAAUUUCUCGACAUAUAUGUUUGCUUCAGCAUCAAGAUGUUGCCUAAAGACAUAGUUGAAAUGGGUAGUUUAAAGAAGAUCAACAUGAGACAAUGCUCAAGGUUGCAAGAGCUGCCUCCAUCAGUCAUGGAUCUUAAGCAGUUAAAGGAAGUUGUCUGUGAUGAAGAGACAAAAUACUUAUGGGAAUCUCUCAUUGUGUCUCAACAACGUAAGGAUAAUUAUAUCAACCUAAAUUGGAUCCACAAGACUCAGUUCUGAUACUUGUGUUUCCUCGGUGAACGUGGGCUUCAUAAAUAGUAGUGUGGGAUAUUGCACGGUAUAAUCAUUUGUUGUUAAAUGAGCACUAUUUUGACAACCUUAAGAAAUUUUCUAAACUAGUGAAAUGUGAAGGGAAAUUUAAUAUCUGAGCAAUAAGUUUAAUGUGAAAGUUGUUUUAUCAGAGGGAAAAUGUGGUUUGUGUUUUUAAUGGGACUUCUUAAACUCUACUCUAACAUAGUUUCACAAUCAAUCCCUAUACGCAGUUUCUUAACCUUUUGGUUUGAAAAUUUGUAUGUAUAGUUCAACACCAUAGUGUGAUUAUGCUUCCCAAAAUACGUUUUAUAAGUAAAGGAACCAAAAAGAAAAGGUUGAAGAGUCUCCAUAAGACAAGAACUUUUAUGUCACAGGGUCAGGUAUUAAUCUCAUCGUCAGUAAGUUUCUCAAGUAUCUAUAUUCACAUUUGUUAGUCAAGUUUUCAGAAUUGUGUUCGCAUAUAAUCUGAGUUCAUUGCCAAAUGUAGUGGAAUUGAUUGUUAUUGACUAUUUGCGAUGAAUUGGUCUCAUACUAUAGUUCAACACCACCAUCUGAUUCAUGCUCUCCAAAAUAAAUUUUAUAAGUAAAAGGAACAAAAAAGAAAAGGUUGAAGAUUCUCCAUAAGAUAAGAACUUUUAUGCCAUGGUGUCAGGUGUUAAUCUCGUCCUCGAUAAGUUUUUCUAGUAUCUAUACUCACGUCUAUUGGUCAAGUUUCCAGAACAUGUGUUCACAUAUAAUUUGGAUUCAUUACCAAAUCUAGAAGAAUUGAUUGUUGUUGACUAUUGCAAUGAAUUGGUCUCAAACUAUGUUUUCCAACCAGCACAGAUUGAUCAGCUUUUUUUUUUUUUUUUUUUUUUUAAUAAAAAAAAGUUGUUUGAUUAGUCUCGUUCAAUACCGUUACGUGAUCAGCUUAAACUUAGUGGAAAUUAGGUUCACAUCCUUCUUUUUGUUACUCCAUUGAUUAAAAUCCUAUUCAUUUUCAAUUUUUGAUCAAGGUCCUUGGGUAUUAAUUACAUCAUUAAUUAUUUGAAUAAUAAAAUAUUUUUAUUUUUAAAUAUAUUCCUUUAGUGUUAAAAAUGUUACAUUUAGUAUAUUUAUAUUUAUGGUUAAAAAUUUUACCAUAUAUUUUUAUUUUUAGUUUGUACCUAUUUUUAAUUUGCAAAUAUUUUUUAAUGUACCAAUUUUCUUUUCAUUUUUAAUUUGUACCCAUAUAUUAGUUUCUUUUUGUGCCCAUAUUUUUAAAAUUUUUAUUUGUGUUUGGAUUCAUGUGUAUACCGUCACGUGACAUUGUAUAUUUAAUCAAUGAUAGAAAAAUUACAUAUGGUAUAUUUAUGUUUUAUGCCUAAACUUUGUAUCAUAUAUUUAUAUUUUUAGUUUGUACCCACUUUUAAUUUGCAACAUUUUUUUUUUAAAUUUGUAGUAUUUUCUUUUUAGUUUUAUUUUGUACCCAUGUAUUAAUUUCUUUUAGCGCCUAUAUUUUUUUUAAAACUUCAUUUGUACUCAUAAUUUUCUAAUCUUUUAUCUGUACCCUAAUUUAUUUAUAAUGUAUCCAUUCUUCUUUAUUAAUGUACCACUUUGUUAUAUGUGAAAUGUACCAAUUUUUUUAACACUAUUGAUAGAUUCUUUUGCCAUUUAUUAUUUCUUAUUUUAACAUAGUUUUUAUCCAUUUAUUCAAUCAAAAUGUUUGAAUUUUUUUAUUGUAACUGUUUCUAAUAGUAUUAUAAUGAGGGAUUUUAAAUUUAUAGGAUUAUAAAUCUCAUAAAAUAUCAAACAAUUAAUGUCAAAACUAUAAAAAUAUAAAUAUUAAUAGUAAUAUAAUGAGGUGUACAAAGUCAAGGGACUUUGAUCAAACUUUGAAUACUAUUAAAGUUUUAAUCAAAGAAUGUUAAGGAUUAGAGACCGCAUCCAAAAUAUCUCAAAAUAUUUUUCUUGUUCAAAAUUUUAAUAGUUAAACUAAUAAAGAACGGGCCAUAUUUUCUUUCUUUUAAAAGUUGUUCACAUAGAAGUGGUCAUUGACAAAGUAGAUAAUGAAUAAACAUUGUAAUUUGGAUGAAAAUACACAAAUUCAAUACUUUAAUUAGAUUUAUAUACUUUAAAUGAAAAUAAACAAGUUUAAUAUUCUUAGAGAAGGGCACAAUAGAAAUUUCACAACUAAGAAUUGAUUAUAGCAUGCCAAUACUUAAAAAGCUGACUUGGCUUUGUAAUGGGAAGGGUACAAAGAAAUUUCACAGCUAAAAAUUAAUUAGAUCAUGACAAUGAGGUAGAUGAGGGGGUUCUUUACUCCAAAUGAACUCUUGAAGUAUUUUUAUAGAGAACUUAUAGUUUUGAAACAAAUAAUUGUACAUUAGAAAAAGAUAGCUCAUAUUUUCAUUGAAAAAGAGAGCUGAUUUUUAUUAAUUAACAUUGAAGUUUUUGCCUAUUAAAAAAAUGUGGGUCUUAUUUUUUAAUAGAGGUAGGACCCACCAACACAUAUUAGUCUCAUCUCUAAUAACAUUUUUUUGCAAAAAUUAUUCACUGCUUCCUAAUAAAGUAAACAAGGUCAAAAGGAGGACAAAUUGGUUUUCUUUUAGCACUAAUACUCUUUUAGAAACUAUGUAUUUGAUUGUAUGAACAAUAAAGUCAUUGUACAAUUUAAAUUUAAAACUCAUAAAGAAAAUUAUACAAGGCAUAAAAAAUUUAUUAAUCAACAUUGAAACUUUUGUGCAUAUUCUAUGAAAACACAAGGAAAUUAUACUAUGAUCUCCUCACAAGAAAUUCUGAACUCUUUCGUUUUUCAUGAACUUGUGAUACACGGUAAAGGGGAUGAAUUCUUCAAUGAAAUAUUGAUACACAAAUGAGACCUAUUCAUAAGUUUAUUGAAAAUAAUGAAGCGCAUAGGAGUACUCCAGCCCAUAAUACAAUUUUCUUGUGUUUUCAUAGCAUAUGCACCCAAAAUAUAAUGUUGAAAAAUAAGUAUUAUUUUUUAUGUAUAUAAAUAUAAUAUUUUCUCAUCUUCUAGUACAAGUUUUGUGCAUAUUCUACAAACCCAAAAAUAAAUUAAAAAUCAACAUCUUAGCAAUAUUUUCUCAAAAAAAAAAUAAAAAAUUGCUCGGUAAACAAAUAUAUUUUUCCACACUAAAUUUCGCAAAUAUCCUAUGAAAAUAUAAGGAAAUUAUACUAUGGUCUCAUCUAAAAAAAAAUUCCAAAAAUUCUCAGCUCUAAACUUAUAAUUCAUGCAAACGGGAUCAAUUUAUCAAAGGACUUAUGAUACACGUAAAUGAGGUCAAUUCAUAAGUCCAUUGACCAUGACAUAUCAUGUGAAUGGGAAUAGAGAAGCAUACGAGUUUCUUAUGUGUUCAUGGCAUGUGCACAAAAUGUUUUAUUGGUGUUGAAAAUUGUGUAUGUAUAUCAGCAUAUUUUCUCAUCUUGUAGUAUGCUAAAGGAGUAGAUCGCAACAUCUUCAUAAUAAAUUCUCUACCUAGCUUACUCUAGGCUUAUGAAUUCACUCGCAACAAAAUUUGAACUGAAAAAAAAAAGUGACUUUCUUUUAGCACUAAUAAUAGUUUUUUUUUUUUUUGAAUAAACGAUAUUAUAUACCCUAAGAGGGUGGGGAGUGAGCUAAACCUCACAAUGGCUAGCAAUAAUGUGGUUCAAAGUGGUUCAAUGUGGUUCAAAUUUGUCUUUUGUGGAAAUCGAACUUAAGACUUCUCACUUACAAGUGAAAAGAAACACCACUAGACCAUAGUAUUAAGUGGCCUAAUAAUAGUUCUUUGAAAAACUAUAUAUUUGAUUGCAUAAACAAUAAAGUCAUUGUAUAAUUUAUAUUUAAAUUAAAACUCAUAAAGAAAAUUAUAAUUGUCAAGCCCUGAUCCCGACAUAUGUCCAAGAUCGACACAUGAUGUCAGCUCAUCCCUAUUUAUUUAUCAUCUCAUCUCCGAGACAAGUCCAAAACCCAAUCAAUGAUUCAACCAAGCAGUGACUUUCCUUUAUUUCAUGGCUGAAUCUAACAUUUGCAUUAGACUGCCUAUGUACCCUAAAUAGGGAUCAAGCCAUUCAUAGUUCACCAUUCACUACACUCCAAUGUUUAUCACAGUACGUUCUAACAAAAAGGCAUAGCAUCCCUCAAUCAAUUAUUAAAACUUGACAAGCAUGAAAUUACUAGAUUUAGGGCUACAUAAUAAACCCACAUGACAAUCAAGAUUUCCACAUCAUCCAUCAUAUAAAUCACUAUGUUUCAACAUAAUAUUGCAAUUCAUAGCAUGCAACAUCUCAAAGAACAAUCAACGAAGCGUAAUAUUAUUCUCUAGCCACAUUGGUCAACGAGUCUAACCAUAAUAAUAACAAUCAUAUCCAACAUCAUUCCACAAUCACUCCAAUUAAUCAAUUCCAUGAAUCAAAGAAGCACGAUAUUAACAUUUAACUACGUUCAUCAAUCAAUACGAUCACAUAUUAAUUCACAAAAUUUAAUAAAGGAAUCCUACAUAAUUUCCUACCUGGAUUCCAAGUAAUAACAUGAUAAAUCUAAUUUAUAAACACAAUGUCUACUGUGAGCAAUUCCUAUUCACUCGAAUCUAGGGGCCGGAAAUGAGCAAGAAUAGGGAUUAUGGACAGUCACCGGAAUCUAACUAAAUUAUGGUUGCCUAUCGAACUGUACUGAGUACAACUAAUCCUCAUCACCCCUAGAAUGCAUAUGGUCCCCUAUUGCGAAUAUACCAAGCAGAACCAUAGGCAUAAUCUAAGCAUGCAUGCAGUGAUCACCCAUCGAGGAUAUACCAAGCAUGAUCACCCUUGAAAUACGUAUGGUCCCAUAUCACAGAUAUAACAAGUAGGGCAAUAUCCUAUAGCUUUAGGUUGUGAUCACCCAUCGCGGAUAUACCAAGCAUGGUCACUCCUAGAAUGCGUAUGGUCCCCCCAUUAUGGAUAAACCAAGCAGAACCAUAUGCAUAGUCUAAUAAUGUAGGCAGUGAUCACCCAUCGUGGAUAUACCAGGCAUGAUCACUCCUAGAAUGUAUAUGGUCCCUCAUUGCAGAUAAACCAAGCAGAACCAUAAACAUAGUCUAAUAGUGCAUGUGGUGAUCACCCAUCGCAGAUAUACCAAACAUGAUCACUCCUGAAAUACGUAUGGUCCCCUAUUGUGGAUAUACCAAGCAGAACCAUCCUAACCACUGCUACAUGGUGCAGUCAUAUCAAUACACAAUAAUUACCAAAUUAAUAUGAAUCAUAAUUCCUAGCAUACACACCAUCAAUCCGAUAAGACAACGAUCAUUGAAUCACAUCGUACACAUUCUAUAACAUGUGUCAUUUCAUCAUGAAUCACAAUUUCAAUUGUACAUGCUAUCAAUUCCACUUAACUAACCAGUCUCCAAUUAUCCAUACAAAUGAGUUCUACGGAAUAGUUCUAACGAGGUUCCAACUCAUAUUUUCAUACAAUAUAUAUAUGAUAGAAAAGUAAUAUUUUAAUAUAAAACACAUUUAUAAAACCAUGCCAUAUCCAUUAAAUAUACUAGCAAGGGAAUUUUUAGGGUAAUCAUUGAUACCACAUGAUUAGAACAUUAGUCCUUGCCAAAAAAAAAAAAAAAAAAAAAAAAAAACCUAACCCUAGAUUACAUAUUCAAUUUAAUCUCUUGAAGUGUACUUUUAUCAAAAUUUAUAUUCAAUUUUUGUUAUUUAAUGUGUAUUUUUAUUUAAUCUCUCUACAUUAAAUUUUAAUUUUAUUAAUGCACAUAUUUAGUCCUUUAAUUAUAAAUGAACACAAAUGAGAAAAUAUUUAAAAAAAGUUGCGAUACAAAAAUAUAUAAAUACAUAAGUGUACAGAAAUGACUGUGCAGAAAUAUAUAAAAUUAACUUUUUUUGCACCGAAAUAUUUGUACCUGCAUGAUUGUACCGAAAUAUAUUAUAAUGAAUCUAAAUGUAUGUACCAAAAUGUAUUAUAUAGAAUUAAUGUACCAAAAUGUCAAUACCGAAAUGUAUGUACCAAAAUGUACAUACCAAAAUGUAUAUGUGAACACGGAAAAUUCCUGAAACGAAAGAGACAAGAACGACGUGCACAAACAAAAUAUUUGUAUUUUUGAAGAUUUUGGGUUACAAUCUCUCUCUAUUUUGAUCCUCUGAUUCGAUCUCCGUAAGGUGUUGAUUGAUGGAUGUUUUGUUGAUCCAAGGGUCGUUGAUGCUUAAUCUUGGAUGAACUGUUGGAAGUUUCUUCAAAGGGCCGUGGGCUUGAUCUUUAAGGUGGAUUUGAGCGGAUCUUCAAGGAGCCGUUGGGGCUUGAUCUUGAAGAACAGUGAUGAACGGAUCUUCAAGGGGUUUUGGGCUUGAUCUUGAAGAACAGUGAUGAACGGAUCUUCAAGGGCUUUUGGGCUUAAUCUUGAAGAACGGUUGGAUGUGUGUGGAUUUGUCGAUGUUUGUUGAUCCAAAGGGCCGUUGGGGCUUGAUCUUGGAUGAACGGAUGAUGAACGAUGGUGCUUUCUUCAAGGGCCGUCGGGGCUUGAUCUUGAAUUGGUGGAAGUUCUUCAAGGGCCGUUGGGGCUUGAUCUUGAAUUGGUGGAUGAUUGUUGAUCCAAAGGGCCGUUGGGGCUUGAUCUUAGGAUGAACGAUGAACGAAGAACGCUUUCUUGAUUCUUCGGGAACCUGGAUGCUUGAGAGCUUCGGAGUUUCAGAGCUUCAGGGCUUCAAGGUGUAAUCUCAAUUGGUCCCCCCAUUUGGAAUGAAAUAGCCUUCUAUUUAUAGAAAUUUCCAAGGCCUAAUUUUGAAUAUAAUAUUCCAGAUGAAAUAAGUCGUUUCUGCCAGGUGUUGACACGUGUCCUAUUUGAUGACUUUUCCAACUCAUUUCAAUUUUCAUUGAGUCACACGCUACGUGUAAAAUUUAUGUAAUACAUGAGCGUUGACACACUUUGAUUUAUCGGUCAACAUUUAUUUACCGAAAUUUCGAUGUCUACAAAUGCCCCCACUUCAAGGCACGUCGUAUACAUGUGCUUGUCACGUGUAGGAGAUGCGUUUUGAAGUCCCUUACUGUAGAUGUCGAUCCAAGGGCCGUCGAGGCUUGAUCUUGAAUUGGGCUGGAGAUUUCUUCAAGGGCCGUUGAGGCUUGAUCUUGAAUUGGGCUUGAGAUUUCUUCAAGGGCCGUUGAGGCUUGUUCUUGAAUUUUUGUUUGAAAUUUCUUCAAGGGCCGUCGAGACUUGAUCUUGAAGGUUGAAAUUGGACCACAAGGAGCUUCAUGUGGUAGAUGAUCUUUGGCUUUGGUAGUGGGUGAAUCGGCACAUAUUUUGUUGCGCUUGUUGACUUUCCACAGCUUUGAUCUUGAACUGGGUUGAAGGAUUUUCUGGAUUCCUCCAAUUGUUGAUUUUCCACAGCUUAUUCUUGAACUAGGUUUUGAUUCAAGGGUGGUAGACACUUAAUCUUGAAUCGGACUUGUAAUUUCCUCAAAAGCCGUCGAGGCUUGAUUUUGAAUUUGGCUGGAAGCUUCUUCAAGGGCCGUUGAGGCUUGAUUCUUGAAGGCUGACUCGAACACAUGGCAAGAAGGCACGAGGUGAAGGUGACGACUUGUUGCUUUGUUCAAUCUUUCUAAUUCACACCUGAGCAGUUUGGUCAACGGUAUGAUCUUCAAGAUUGAUGGGCUCUUCUUCCAGUUGGUGACUUGAUCUUUAAGGAUUUGAUUCAAGGGUGGUGAAUCGGCACGUGCAGCCCACAACGCCUAGUAAGUCGACCCAAGAAUUUGAGGGUCAAAACGAGUUCUUCAUCUCAGACUCUUUCUGCCGAGUUGACUGUGCAUGCUGCAUUCUUCUCUGCUUGUUUCUUCAGGCAGAUAUGGCAGCUUCUCGAGUUCUUCAGCUCGGACUCCUUCUGCUGAGUUGACUGUGCAGACUGCAUUCUUCUCUGCUUGUUCCUUCUGCACCUUGUCUCCACAUGCUGCAAGGUAUCAUUUUCACUUGCCUUAUCUGUUCUCCAGGCAGAUGUGGCAGCUUCUUUGGAAGUACAACAGCAGUGGGAAACGAGUACUCGAGAGCAGUGCUAGGUAGGCAAUCAGGGAAGGGUUCCAAGCAGUCGGUUCCUUACCCGAGUUUGAGUGGAAGUUCCGGCAUAUUGUUUUCUUUAUCCUUGUCUUUGUAGGUAAGAACAAGGACAAAGGAAAGGACAGGGAGAACGCAUGAUAUGAGAUAUACUCUUGCUUUCUACCCUGGUGAUAUGAGAUACUUUUGCUUUGGAGUCAUUGGCUUGCAGAGGUACCCCAAGGAAUAAGGAACAUUGAAUGACUCGAGAGGCUUCGUUGGGAAAGCAUUUUUUUGGAGAUGAAGAAAGGCUCUGUAUGUCUGCCUUGCUAUGGAAGGCGAAGGUAGACAAUUAUAGGAAGUUCUUUGAUACCUGUAGAGGUACUAUUCUUUCACUCGUGUCGGCAACCAAUGCGUGAUCGAUCUAUAUGGCUUCACAUGCUUUCUUCUUUAUCAGAAAUCUUUGACAAAUUGUCCGUAAUUUCCGCCAAGCUAAGUGUGCAUGUGACAGGUGUUGACGCGGCUGAAAAAGACUGACGCCUCUUCGAUAACUGGGAUCGGCGCUUCGACAAAUUACCCGUGAUUUCCGCAAAGCUGAGUUUGCGUGUGAUGGGUGCUGACGUGGCUGAAAAAGACUGGCGCCUCUUCGAUAUCUGGGAUCUGCGCUUCGACAAAUUGCCCGUGAUUUUCGCAAAGCUGAGUUUACAUGUGACGGGUGCCGACGCGUCUGGAAAAGCAAGAUGCUUCUCCGAUUUCUGAGCUUGCCUCUUCGAUUUUUGAAUGGCCUCUUCGUAUUCUGAGCUCGCCUCUUCAAUCUCUGAAAUCCCGUCGAGUGCUGAUUUUUUUUUAGAGGCACGCUGUUCGUUUCAAAGCACACUUGAAUUUUACUUGUGAAAACUCCCUUCUUGCACUUCUAAGAUCUUGAUUCGUCCGACCUCUUCUUUCUUCAACACUUUGAAAAUCUCUGGUCCAUCUGACCGUCGUUUUGAUUUGAACCUUGGUGAAGGGGCAGUCCCUUCUUCUCCAGACAACAUAUGGCGCUCAUCCUUCAUAUCCCCUACUGGUCCUCUUACCGUUGGGGAUUCAGUGAUGAAGAAUGAUAUGACCGCUGCGGUGGUGGCCCGGAACCUUGUCACUCCCAAAGAUAACAGACUACUUUCCAGGCGGUCUGAUGAGUUGGCUGUUAAGGAGUCUCUGGCUCUUAGUGUGCAGUGUGUGGGUUCUGUGUCCAACAUGGCCCAACGCCUAUUUGCUCGAACCCGUCAAGUUGAAUCGUUGGCGGCUGAAGUGAUGAGUCUCAAACAGGAGAUUAGAGGGCUCAAGCAUGAGAAUAAACAGUUGCACAAGCUCGCACACAACUAUGCCACAAACAUGAAGAGGAAAAUUGACCAGAUGCAGGAAUCUGAUGGUCAGAUUUUACUUGAUCAUCAGAGGUUUGUGGGUUUGUUCCAGCAGCAUUUGCCUUCGUCUUCUGGGGCUGUACCGCGUAACGAAGCUCCAAAUGAUCAACCUUUGGCUCCUCUUCUUCCUGGAGUUCCGCCGAGUGGUGUGACUUCAAACAGUCAACCUCCGACGUCUCUUUUUCCUAGAGCUCCACCGAGUACUGAGACACCACUUGAGCAAUAAAGACUCCCUCCCGUUUGUUUGCACAUUUGUAAAUUUUUUUUUUUUUUUUUUGGUAUGUAGAAUGCAAUUUUAUGUAAAAUUUCGAGAAAAAAAAACAAAUAAAAUGGACUUUUAUUUCUCUUAAUGCUUUUUUUUUGUUUGCUGUAUAUAUUAUACACACACACAUUUAUAUAUACACAUACAUACAUACAUACAUAUAUAUAUAUAUAUAUUUUUUUUUCUUUCACGUGGAGUGAUCCACCAUCCCAAACCCAUUUUCCCUUUGUUUUUUUUUUUUGCAUGGUGCUAGCCAUCAAGAAUCCACCUUCCCUUUUUUUUUUUAUUAUUUUAUUUUAUUUUUUGGUCUGCUUUCACAUGGUGCUGAUCCACCAUUCCCCUUUUCUUUUCUUUUUUCACGUUGUGCCAGAUGCACCAUCCCCUCCUUUUUUUUUUUCUUAUAAUUAUUAUUAUAUUUUUUUUUCUGUAUAAAUUUGGGUGAUGGGUAGAGGAAUUUGCAGGGAGCGGAGCAAGGAGGCCGAGAAGAUGGUGCUUCGAGCUUCACGACCGGCUAGUCGUUUGACGGCAGUCGUUGAAGUUCUUUGCUAUCAUGGUGGUCAUAGUGACGAGCUCGAGGGAGGCUAGGCGCUGCGGUGGAAGAUGGGCAGAGAUGAGCGGUGCAGCUUUGGAAGUAGCAGGAGAUGACGGAGAAUGAGUCUCGCUCGAUGGCGUUUGAGAUUGGGCUGCCCCAUGCAUUCACAAGUACAUCCUUACCUCGAACCUUUGCGGGGACCAGCUUCUGCUUGGGAACGAUCCUGCAGUGAUGAAGGUGGACUUGGCGAGGCGGAGUGCUAAGACCGGGAGCUGGAUUCGACAGAUGAAGACUCGAAGUUGAUGCCGGUGUUGUGGCGACGGAAGCGUUGUGCAGCAACGUUGUGGGCCCUGGCGUCCGUUUGGCUGUGGGACCACGCUUUUGUACUUGGAGGAAGGGAGCUUCCGAGACUCGACCUCGAAGCUGCCGGUGCCGCCGCUGUUGCUGAGCUUUGAGUCCAGAAGUGCACUGCCCGUGCUGAUGUUGCCGAUGCGGUCGGGAAGGAGGAGUUGACAGCAGGCUGAUCACUAUGAACGGCUUAAGCGGCGGAGAUGGCGACUUGGUCUACUUCAACGGCAAGGAGGAGAUGCAUGAGGCUCAACUCUUGUAGUGCCGUGAGGUGGGAGACCUUCUUGUGGUUGUCAGGGUCUCUGACGGUGGUUCUGACGGCGUAGCCCUUCUGGAGUAGCAGCUUGACCAGCAGAGACACCACGAACCCGGUUCUGCCGAUGACGCAAGCCGUCUUCUUCGAGAUGGGUUGUUGGGUGGCCAUGGCUUCCUCUUCCUCUGUCAGAUUUUUAGUUGAAAAGGUGGGUGAUUUAUAACUCUUUGGAGAUUGGGAACCCUUGGCCGUGGCAGGAACUGAUAUGUUACUUUGUAGAUAUCUCUGGCUUGCUGAUACCGUGCUGUCUAAAGAAAUGCUUUCGUUGCUUGUUUGAGAUGCAAAAUUUGAGGCGUGAUCAUUUCCUGUAUCUAUCAUUCCUUUCGUCUUCUGCAUCGCUUCAAGUAUUUGCUUAAGAGCUUUGAGAUCAUUUCCUGAUUUUUUGAACUCAAGAUCUGCCAGCCUUUUUUUUCAUUUCAACAUAUACUGAAGAUGAUGAAUUUGGAGCUUUUAUAGGUUCUUCUUGUUGUUUGAAAUCUGAUCGUUGAGAACCCUUGCUUCUGUGUGGCUGCCUCCAUGGAGCUGCUUCUAUUGGAAACUUUAGAAUUGGAGAUGGGCUUCAUGACCAGAUCAGUGCCUCUCAUCUGCGGUGAGCUGUCUUUCUUUGUAUUUGCGAGGAGUAUCCCAGAAUAAGUAUCUUGCUUGUUUUCAUUGGUUGCUCUUGAUGAUCUGGAGAAGGGGAAGAGAGAGAGAGAGAGGGAGAUCGAGGAUGUUGAUGUCGGUUGGUUGGGUUGAGCUUGGUGUCGGCGCGGUGGAGCGAAUUGAGAUCAGGACCAAAGCGUCGUCGUCCAGGCUGAUCGAUUUGCGAUCACAUCGAAGCGCAAGCUUCGUGACCGAGUCGAAGUGGGCGAAGAGAGCAGGCAGGAAAGGAAGAAGCCCAGCCUGGGCGUUGAGAGAGGCGGUGCCGGCUCUGUCCGUCGACUCUCAGACACCGGUGGCAGACGAGCGAGCUCCGUUUCCGGUCGCCGGCGCAGAGGAAAUGGAAAAUACUCGCCAGACACUCGUCGGGAAGAUCAGACGUGUAGUCAGGGCCCUGAGUGACUUCCCCGUACAACUCGGAGUCUUCGUCGGUCGAGGAUGAAGCAAUCGCCACCGUUUUGAAGCUGAACCGUCGGCUCGUUGAAAUUUCUCUGGAGCUGUGCUCCGCCGGAGCCUCAGGAAGCCAAGAGGACUGUCCCAUAGUGCUGCUGCAAGUGAAUUGAACGCGCCGCCAGAAGAGAGACAGAGGGAGAGAGAGGUGGUGGUUGGUAUUUUCAACGUUAUCUUAAAAUGCGUGUGUGGGAUCUGUGAGCGACGGCGGAUCUUAGACUGAUCAUCGAGAGCGCGGUAAAUUUACCGGAGGAGGAGACGGCGCUUGAGUCGGUGACUGGAAUGGAGAAGGGUCUGGUUGGAGGAGAAAACCCGAAGUGGGUUUUGAGAGCUGGGCUUAUUGGGAUUUAGAAAGAUGGGCCGCCCUCUUUUUUUUUUUUUUUUUUUCACAAAGAAAAUGUUUGUAUUUGUAAUAAAAAUAUACUCUCAAUAGUCAAAUAUUCAAUAAAAUCUUAUUUAUUUAUUUAUUUAUUUUGAUGUGACUGAACUCGAAAUUGAAUGCUCGAGCUGCCUACGUACCCUUCCAACGAAAAGAUCAAGUCAAAACGUAGUUCAAAUACAUACAUAUUUUUUUUUGGUAUUUUCUCUUUUUUUUUUCUUUUUUUUUUUUGUGCCAUUUGCAGUUUCAGCUCAUGCAAGCAAGGAGCGUUGGUGUUGCCUUUUAUGCUCGUGCAGACCAGGAGCGUUGUGCCAUGCAGUUUAGGCUCGUGCAGGCGAGGAGCUUUGGUUCGUGCAGUUUAGGCUCGUGCGAACAAGGAGCAUUGGUGAAUUUGUCAAGCAAUUUUGGAGAGGCGUUCCUCACAAUCUUCAUAGCAAGGAGCCUUGACCGAGUGAUUGAAGAAGUCUUCGGGCAAGAAAUCACGCAUCGUGAUGGGGACGGACGAUCUAUAUGUCGAAAUUUCAUCAUCUUCAACACGUUCAUGUUGCUUUGAAGGUUGACAAGAGCUGCUUUGCCCCCUUUCCGAUUGGCGGACUUGUGGAGGAGACGUAUGCUUCUUGUGCAAUUUCUUAGGAGUGACUUGAGUCCAUCAUUCAACUUUGCUUGUCUUGGAGGAUGCCCUCAGCGGUUGAGGUGAAAACUUUGAGUCGGAAGAGCCAGAAGUGAAGGUGGUAUAGUUUGACUUCACCACAUCGUCAAGAUCUAGCUCGAUGAUUCCUUUCUGAGCCAGCUUCAUGAUGAGAUCUUUCAGCACGAAACAUUUUUCUGUCGGAUGACUGAUGAAGCGGUGGAAUUUACAGUACCUUGGACUGUCAGUGCGAUUCAUCUCUUCUGGCCGUUUGCACUCAGGCAAACCAAUCACCUUCUUUUCCAGCAAGUCUUCUAACAUGGCAACCACAUCAGAGUCGGGGAAUGGAUAAGUCCUCUCCUCAAGCUCCUUCAAAGUGCGUCUACGCAUCUCUUGAUCACGAAAAGCUUCAGUUUGAAUCGCCUUGCCUCGUGUGGAGAUUUUGAUGGGAGCUGUGACCGUCAUCGCUUCCUUGGUGGGUUUCCAUGCAGCCUUUUCCACCUUUGUCCAAAGAACUUUGUCGUUCUUGUAAUCGGCGAUCGGUUCUUUCUUCCCAUGAUGGGCGAUGCUCAACUCCAUGUCGUGGGGGCGAGUGGCCAAUUCCUCGAAGGUCCGUGGUUUAAUGCCUUGAAGGAUGUAUUGCAAACCCCAUUGCAUGCCUUGGAUGCACAUCUCGAUUGAAGAGGUUUCUGAGAGCCUGUCUUUAUAGUCGAGGCUUAGAGUGCGCCAUCUGUUGAUGUAGUCAAUGACUGGCUCGUCCUUCCACUGUUUUAUGCUCGUUAGCUCUAGCAUGCUCACAGUGCGGUGGGUGCUAUAGAAGCGGUUGAGGAAUUCCCGCUCUAAUUGAUCCCAGCUGUUGAUGGACUUAGGCUCUAGGUCCGUGUACCACUCAAAGGCGUUUCCUUUCAGCGAGCGCACAAACUGCUUGGCAAGGUAGUCCCCUUCGGUCCCUGCGUUGUUGCAAGUUUCAACAAAAUGGGCAACGUGCUGUUUCGGGUUUCCUUUUCCAUCAAACUGCAUGAACUUUGGUGGUUGAUAACCCUUUGGCAUCUUCAGGGCAUCAAUCUUCUUGGAGUAGGGCUUCGAGUAGAACAAUGAGGUAUGUGAGCUCCCUUCGUACUGUGCCUUGAUGGUGUUGGUGAUCAUUUCUUACAGUUGCUGGAUAGAAAGAGGUCCCAUAAGUGCCGCUGCUUGGUCUGGCUCCGGCUUCGCAUCGUUUUUCUCCACCUGAGGCUCAUCUUCUUCGUCAUCUCUUCUCUUUAGUGGAUCAUUCUCUAGGUCGGGUUUAUCGAUGUCCUGUGGCUCCAGUCGGCUAACGAGUGCAGCAAUUUGCAAGUCUUUUUCUUCCACAAUCUGUGUUAGCCUUGCAAUCGCUUCAUUCAUUUGAGCCAGUUGUUCUUCAACGGAGGUAACACCAAUAGUCAUAACUUGUGCGACCAAUAGACGUGACUUUCCUUUAGACAUUCAGGAUGCUAAUGAAGAACGUCGUUGGCUGCUUUGGGAUGUCAUCUUGUGUGCCUCAACAUCAUGCUUCGGUGCCCCCAGCGAGGUCAGGUUGAUGACAGACUCACACCUUGGAUGCUCCCCUUGCUCUUUUAGCGGCACCAAUUUUGAAGUGGCAUGUUGAGGAACAGUUGUGGCGCCAAUGAAUUGUCCGUUUGGGGCAGAAGUGCUUAGGAUCCUUCCCUCAGUGGUUGCAAGAACGGCUUGUCCCUUGCUUGAUGCCAUUGACUUUGAGGUGUGCUUGGAUUCCUUGAACGGAAAAAGAGAUGAGAGGUAGAGAUUGUCCCACUGGGCGUGCCAAUUUGUGAACACGGAAAAUUCCUGAAACGAAAGAGACAACAACGACGUGCACAAAUAAAAUAUUUGUAUUUUGAUGAUUUUGGGUUACAAUCUCUCUCUAUUUUGAUCAUCUGAUUCGAUCUCCGUAAGGUGUUGAUUGGUGGAUGUUUUGUUGAUCCAAGGGCCGUUGAUGCUUGAUCUUGGAUGAACUGUUGGAAGUUUCUUCAAAGGGCCGUGGGCUUGAUCUUUAAGGUGGAUUUGAGCGGAUCUUCAAGGAGCCGUUGGGACUUGAUCUUGAAGAACAGUGAUGAACGGAUCUUCAAGGGGUUUUGGGCUUGAUCUUGAAGAACAGUGAUGAACGGAUCUUCAAGGGCCGUUGGGGCUUGAUCUUGAAUUGGUGGAAGUUCUUCAAGGGCCGUUGGGGCUUGAUCUUGAAUUGGUGGAUGAUUGUUGAUCCAAAGGGCCGUUGGGGCUUGAUCUUAGGAUGAACGAUGAACAAUGAACGAAGAACGCUUUCUUGAUUCUUCGGGAACCUGGAUGCUUGAGAGCUUCGGAGUUUCAGAGCUUCAGGGCUUCAAGGUGUAAUCUCAAUUGGUCCCCCCCUUUGGAAUGAAAUAGCCUUCUAUUUAUAGAAAUUUCCAAGGCCUAAUUUUGAAUAUAAUAUUCCAGAUGAAAUAAGUCGUUUCUGCCAGGUGUUGACACGUGUCCUAUUUGAUGACUUUUCCAACUCAUUUCAAUUUUCGUUGAGUCACACGCUACGUGUAAAAUUUAUGUAAUACAUGAGCGUUGACACUUUGAUUUAUCGGUCAACAUUUAUUUACCAAAAUUUCGAUGUCUACAGUAUAUACCGAAAUAUAGUAUAUUAAAUUAAUGUACCUAAAAGUCAAUACUCAAAUGUGUGUACCAAAAUGUACGUACUGAAAUGCAUUAUAUUGAAUUAAUGUACCUAUAUGUUUGUAUCGAUGAAUAUACCGAAAUAUUCAAAUGCAUUAAUGUAUCUAAAUGAAGAACAUACAAAAUUGUUAUUAGAAUAUAUAUUAUAAAAAAAUUAGUUACCUAAAUGUAGACAUUAAAAUAUAUUACGAUGAAUGAAAUAAAAAUUAAAUUUAAAUGUAAUUAAUACAUCAAAAUAUAAAUAUAAAUAUAAAUAAAACAUCAAAAUAUAACUAAUAAAUGAGAUUAUUAAAUGUACUAGGGAUUAGAGCAUCUUCAAAGGAGAUGUCAAAAUUGCCACGUAGACAUACAACAGUAAAAAAUGGUAGCAAAGUCUCUCUAACCGAGCCUUCAAUUUCUUACGUGGAGCUGAAUCAUUUGAAGGCAAAGUAUUUUGCUGUCAAAUUUGACAGCAGAUGUCAAAUUCAUUAAAUGAUUUUUUUAAUAGAUUAAUAUAAUAUAUAAUAAAUGUUGUUAUGUUUUGGAAAUAUUUGAUUGGUUGCCUUAAUCAUUGGACUCCACAAAAAGAUAAAACAUUUAAUAAAUGUCAUUAUUAUUUAACAUAUCGGGUGAAGCAAAAUAUUGUACAAAAUAUCAAAUUGCCACACAAGCUAUCAAUUAUCAUUUGAUGUUUAAAAUUUGACAUCUCAUUUAGAGAUGCUCUUACAAAGCAGAUCACAUCCAAAAACAUUGAAAGAAGGAAAUCAUUUAAGUAAAUAAGCAAAUGUGCAUCCACAACCCAAUUAAAAAAAAAUGACGGAAACCACUUGCAUAGAAAGGAAUCCUAUGAGAAGAGAAUUAAACUUCUCCCUUGGCUUAAUGUCAGAUUCCGAUGAAUUAAUCGAAAUUUGUUGUUUCUCCAGCGGAUUUUGCUUCUUUUCUUGCCCUUGUUCUGCCCUGCAUGGUCAUUUUGAGGGAAAAUCGAGGUGGUAAAUGUGUUAGGGUUAUUGAUGCUUAGAUUUUGAUAUAAGAUUUGUCGAAAACGAUAACCAAAUGAAAAAGAUGUGAAGAUUUGAAGUUAGGGGAGCCAAAUGGAGAAGAAAAAAAUAAUCAAGAAUAGCAGCAGAGCUGCUAGUUUUACACGCAGUUCAAAUUUACCAAAAUCCCCUUUUAUUUAGAAAAUUCGUAACUUUCUCGUUCGAAUUUCAAACUCCAAUAUGUUUGCGUUUAUGCGUUCAUAGUAACACAUACUAUCUAGUGAAUAUAACAGAAAAUUAACCCUUAAUUUCAAAAAUGUUAUUUUUUGUAAAAACUUUCAAAUAUAUCCAAAAUUUCACUUAAAUAGACACACAUACCCUUAAAUUUAUCAAUCAAAUAAAUUAAAGGCUUUUUAGCCAUCAUCGCCUCAAGCACCGGUCCAACGUCACCUUGACUCCUACACUCCACCACCAUAACCUUAUCCCCUUCGACCUCCUCAUCAAUGACAAUGAGCAUUGCCGCAAUUAUCGCCAAUCAUGCCUUCAACGCCUUUUUUCUUCCCAGGACUCGAGUCUUAGCCCCCGUCGCUAAUUCAUUGACACACAAACUCUUUCCGUAUCUAUGACAAUCUCGUCUUUAAUUUUACGUUUUUAGUCAUUUUGAAUGUGUGAAUUGACGAAAAUGCCCUUAGAGGCGAGGGUGUUGACUUUUGUUGACCAGCAUAUUAUAAGAUGUAUGAAACAUUCUUUUAGCAUAUGAUCGUUGUCACAUCCCGCCCUGGGCCCCUACCACAUCCUGGGCUUGACUCCGCCGUACCACAACAUUGUUCGCUUUAGGCCCCGACCAUGCCCUCACGAUUUUGUUUCUGGGAACUCACACGAGAACUUCCUAAUAGGUCGCCCAUCCUGGGAUUGCUCUCGCGCGAACUCACUUAACUUUGGAGUCCCAAAAGGCCUCGUGCUAGGUAGAGAUGGGAAUAUACAUAUAAGGCUUACAAGAUCCACUCCCUGGGCGAUGUGGGAUGUUACAAUCCACUCCCCUUAGAGGCCCGACGUCCUCGUCGGCACACUUCCGGCCAGGGAUUGGCUCUGAUAUCGAAUUGUCACAUCCCGGGCUCGAAUCCGCCGUAGCACAAUAUUGUCCACUUUAGGCCCCGACCAUGCCCUCACGGUUUUGGUUCUGGGAACUCACACGAGAACUUCCUAGUAGGUCACCCAUCAUGGGAUUGCUCUCGCGUGAACUGGCUUAACUUCAGAGUUUCGAUGGAACCCGAAGCCAGUGAGCUCCCAAAAAGCCUCGUAUUAGGUAAAGAUGGGAAUAUACAUAUAAGGCUUAUAGGAUCCACUCCUCUGGGCGAUAUAGGAUGUUACAAUCAUAGUGCUCGUCACUAUGAACGCGAAGGCACAAGCAGAAUCGAAAUUUGAGUUACGAUGAAGAUUUUACAGAACUACUAAUAUGAAAAUACUUUUAAAAAAUUAUUAUUUUAUAUUUUAUAUCUUUAUUCAAAAUUUUAUAUUAUUAUAUCUUUAUUUUAAUUAUUUUUUAAAAGAUAUUUUAUUAAUUUAUUUUGUGGCCGUGGGGCCCACACCUCAACUUAUCCUCUCCCUCUUUUCCACAUGGGUCUCUCUCCCCCACAAUUAUGGGCUCUCUCUCUCCCUCGAAUCUCUCACACUCUAACUUUCUCAAAGUCUCUCAGUCGUAUCUCUCUUUCUCUGCAAAUUGAUCACCCAUCACCAUUGCACAUCGCCACUUCAGCGAGAUGGUCACCACGUAUCACCCCAACCACCGUGUCUCUUCCUCUCUCUCUUGUCACUUUCCUUUACCUCAACCUCUGUCUCCCUCACCUUCUCUGCGCUCGUGGUGUUAAGACACCGAGACCAUCACCAUUCCCAACGAAUCCCCGCCGUUCAUGACCUACGUAAGCUUUGGGGUUCCUUCUUUCUUUUCCUUUUUGAUGUUUAGGUCAAUUUCUAUGUCGGCAUGCUCGUUUUGGUGAGUUCGGAAUGCAGAAGCAACGAGGACAAAUUUUCCCCAGAUUUCGGUGAAAAUCCGACAGCUUUAGAGCUUUUUUCUGGCCAACUUCGACCACAACCAAGGAACCCAAUGGUAUAUUUCGAUUCCUUAUUCCUUGAGCUUCAAUUUGAUAUAUUGGGUUGCUAGUUUUAGUUGAGAUUUGAAGCUAAACAGAACCGGAGAAGUUCCCAACCAAAAUUCCUGUGUUCUUAUUCUUUGGGUUCGGCGGGUGCAACUCGUGUGCCCACCGGGUCGACCGAACCCAAUUUAAAAAAAAGGGCCUAAGCCCAAACCCGGCCCCAAUUAGACAACUGUUCCAGCUCGGCCGAGUUCUAAAAUGAGCUCAGAAUAUUCUAAGGAUAUUCUUUGUGUUGACUUUUGGGGAAAUUUAUCAAAAACCUCAUAGGCUAAUUUCAACGCCCUGAGUCCAUUUAGUGAAAUUCUAAAGUUGUAACGUAGUUGACCACUGUGGCGUCUUGGUUGACUUUUUAGAGUUGACCAUUAAGUUUUUCGUUGACUUUUUUCUAAAAUUUGUCAAGGACUCUCCUUAGCGUAUUUCGACGUCUUAAUUCCAAAUAAGCACUCCGUUUUCCAAAUUUAAUUGUCUAAGUGGAUUUAAGUAAUGGGUCCCAAUAUUAUGUUUAGGUGCAAUUACUAUCGAAGCCUCCAACUUCCUAACUUGAACGGAUGUGACAUCGCAAGUAACUAUGAGUGAGUCUUUUCUUUUAUAUAAUAUAUAUAUAUAUAUAUACUUGUUAGUAUCCAUUUAUACGUUUCAUAAAGAGUUUCUACAAUACGCCUAGAGUGACGUUUAUAAGUUUUAGCGCAUUGAUAGAAAUUAUGAAAUUAGGCUACAUCCUACAGGAUGUACGGGUAUGCGUAUUAUUAUUGAUGCCUAAAUUAUAUUUAUGGUCAUGAAUAGUAUUACGAUGACAUGAAUUAUCGAUUUACUGCUGUAUGAUUUUAUUUACGUUAUCUGCUCAUUGUUACUGCACUUGUGUUAGUACUCGCCCGGGCCAGAACCAGUCUUUCACGUGUAUGUGCACAUCGCACCGUAUGCUCACCUUGGAUCUAUCGUAGGUGCCAGUCCUGUCCUAGAUUGCUAUAAUCAAUUAGGACUCGUAUGUGCUACGCAUAGCGCCAAUCUUCACGUCCUGUUCAUGUCAAAAUACCUUUGCAUGAACUCGUGUGUUAGCAUAUGUCGAUGAGCACUCAAUAUGAUAUGUUUAUUUAUGCAAAAAUAUGUGAUUACGGACAUCAUGUGUUUACUUACAAAAUAUUGUGCCGUAUUGAAUUCUUGAGAUAUUGCAGCCUACGAUAAGUAUUUUCUUACUAUACGUAGUAUGUAUAUUUUGGAAACUAUACUUGUUUUACGAUGAGGGGUUAUUAUGUUUUCGAAAGGUUUUUACAAAGCUUUAUUUUUAGGACCACUCACCCUUGUUUUUCGCCCCUCUAGGUUUUAAUAGCUGAGCUUUUGUGUCGACGAGGAUUCUUGGCAAAUCUUGGUAUAGGUGGUUACCUUCGAUGGUAUAAUUCUCAUCCUACAUUACUGUACUUUACUUAUGCUCUGACAUCACGUGUGAAAUGAGUUCAUUUCCGCUCACAUGUGCACUCUUAUAUUUAGGCAAUUUUAGGUUUAAAUUUAUUAACAUAUUUCACCUCACUAUACUUUAUGGCUUCAUCACCCUUCUGGUGUCGGUUAGCACAACUCUAUUCGGAGUCCAGGUGGACAUUUUGGGUUGGGGUGUGUCAGUAUCACAUCAAUUCUCUAUAAUCAUCAAACCCAAAUGGAAAAGGAAGAUUUUAAGAGAGAACCACUCAGGGUGCGGAAAUUUGGAUUGGAAGGUGAAGGGUUUGGAUUGUGAGAGAAUAAAGGUAUAGGUAGGUUAGGGUUUAGGGUUUUUGGUUUGGGCAUGUCUAUUGGAUUUACCCACCAAAUGAAGAAGAUGACUUCUUCUUUUAAUUUUUUUUCGUACUAAUAUCAUUUUUAGUUUUAAAUAUAAAUAUAGUUUUUAAAGUUAAUUCACAUGUUGUUAUAUGAUUGUAUUUGUGAGACCCAAGUGGCGCCACAUCAUUGCACUAACAAAGCAAUUUGACAGAUUUUUCACAGAAAGACUCGGGGGAAAGACUAAAAUGAUUCACAACAGACAAAUUCAAGGACACUACUUUUGAUUUUCAUUGUUAAGGACCAAACUAAUGAGUCAUGUCAAUGUCACAAACCAUUUUGGUUAAAAAGUCUAUAAUUUAUUUGAUUGUUAAAUUUGAGGGUAUUUGCGCCUAUUUAAGUGAAAUUUUCAAUAUAUUUGAAAGUUUUCAUAAAAAGUGACAUUUUUUAAAUUAAAGGUUAAUUUUUUGUUAUAUUGCAUAAAUACUCGAUUAGGAUUGUGCCGUGGGCUGGGAGGUCGACGCCGCGGCGGCGGAAGGAACCCAGACCUAGAUUAUAGGUAAAACCGUAAAAGGUAUUAGACAUAUUUAUAGGCUGGUAUUUGUUCAAUUAAUCUAUGGGCUAGUAUUUGUUUAGUAAAUCUAUGGGCUGGUAUCUGUUUAAAUAAUAUAUGGGCUGGUGUUUGUUUAAUUAAAACAUGGGCUGGUGUUUCAAUAUGACUUGGAUUUAAGGUAAAAUUAUUAGAAAAUUUUCUAUCAAAAUAUGGGAAGUGUUAUUGGCACUCUAAAAUCUCAUUCUACACUUCUCAUAAAUAUAUUUUUUCUUCCUAAUAUAGAAAAUUUGAAGUAUAAAAUGAAAUUUUUGGAGUGUUAAUAACAAUUUCCUAAAAUAUUUGAUGGUCAUUACUUUUACCUAAUGUGAAGACGCAGAAGAUAAACAUUGAAUAAAAAAAGGGGAAGAUAAGAUUCUUAAAAAAAAAAGUUGGAUAAAUUAUCAUCCAAGCUUAUGAUAUUUUUAGUCAUUUCCAUAUGGGCUUGUUUGACGGGGUGAAAUAGAUUCGUACUUAGAGAUAAGAUUAGAAUAGCAGGAAUUUGAAAGAUAAAAAUUUAUAACUCAUGUAUAAAGAUAGGUUAGAUAACGCACUGAAUUCAUAACUCAUUAUAUCGUGUCCAUCUUACAUUUUGACACAGCAAACAAUGAACUGUGCUAAUUUUCUUUUUACUUAUUUGUUAUUAAAUUUUAUAGAACCCACAUGUGUGUCACAUUAACAUAUUAACAAAAGUUUUGACGAAAAUAUUACAGUAUAAUUGAUUUGCAGCACUCAAUUCAAAAGCAACAUUGAUCGAAUUUUACUUUCAAAACCACCUUAAUUAGUGCGUCAAUUUCUGUACUAUUUGUGUUAAACGACACUUUUUAAAGAAAUCUACUACUUUGAACGUGUGGUAUGUUGAUUUGAACGAACGGUAAGACCAAAACAUGUAGCCAGAAAAUUCGGUGUCUCGCCUUCCCAACUCAUUCGACCUAUAUAUGUGUGCGGAAACAAACAGAGUCGAAAACAAACAACGCACGCAACAUUCUCAGUUUCUCAUCAAACUACAUUAUUUUACAUUCUCUCUGUAAACCGUUGGAAUUUCGGUAGUUCUUUUCAUUACCCAAGAACAGAUUAGGAAAUUGAAUUAAGUUUUGAGUGUUUCCGUAAUUAUGUCUCUGGCUUCAGUCGGAAUGGGUGCUCUGGGAACGUCAUUUCAAAUGCUGUUUGAUGCUGUAAAAUCAGUGCAGGAGGAGAAUACAAUGUUCCAACACCUCCUCGGAGACAUCAAAUCCACACUGAACUCUCUACAACCACUCAUCAAAGACAUCGAAAAGUAUAACUCCAAGGAGGGACUGGAAAAUUAUGCAAUACAGAUGGAGGAAGGAGCAAAGCUUGUUCAGAAGUGCAGCAAAGUAGGCGUGUGGAGAAAACACACAUACACCAAGAAGCUUAGUCAACUGGACAAAUCUCUCCGAAGAGUGUUUGAUGUGCUUAAACGGCAGGGUAUGAGGGAUGCGAGGGAGACGUUAGUUUCUUUGAGGAGUAUCCAGACGGUGCUCUCUCGAAUAGAAGAGAGUUUGAAGAUGAAAAAUAAUCAGCCUGAAAUGGUUAAAUGUUCGUCUGCGGUGCCUGAAGCGCCAUCAGUUACAGUCGGGUUAGAUUUACCGUUGAAGGAGUUGAAGAUGAAGCUCCUUAAGGAUGAACAGGUGUCUAUGCUUGUGCUGACUGCUGCUGGAGGAUGCGGGAAAACCACCUUGGCUAAAAUGUUUUGUCAAGAUCAAGAAGUCAAAGGUAUGCUAAUUAAAAAGUAAUACACCGUGUAGAGGAUUAUGCAAGUAGAACUACGCGCUAGGGCCUAUAAAAUGUCCGCUAUACUCCCUCCAAACAUACACAGUAACCAAAAUUUGUUAAAAGAAAAACAACGAAGGGGACAUGAAACUAAAGCGCACGAAAGGAAUAUAAGAAAGAUUAGAAAGACCUAAAUGGGCAUGCCCAACAUAUAACAAGUGGUAGUGAUAUGAACUUGACAUGAUUUUCUUUGUACUAAAUGUAAGUUAAGCUGAUGCCUUCCUCUUAGAGUUAACAAGUCUUGCACUGAGCUACCGCUUGAUUACUUACUUGAUCUCAGAAUUGCAGACAUAUCUUGUCAACCUUAUAUUAACACCUUUCCUACAUUCUGUUUGGUUAGAUACAUUCAAGAACAACAUCUUCUUUGUCAAUGUCUCGAAAAAGCCCAACUUGGACCUUAUUGUACAUGAACUAUAUCAACGGAAGGGGUUCGAGCUGCCUGCUUUCGAAAACGAAGUCAUGGCAGCUAACUGGUUGCAACAAUUUCUGAAGGAAUCAAGACAAAAUCCUCUACUGUUUGUCCUGGAUGAUGUUUGGUCAGGAUCAGAGUCCCUUCUUGAGAAGUUUGAUCAAUUCAAGUUUUCAAAUUGCAAGAUUUUGGUCACUUCAAGAUUUGCAUUUCCAAGAUUCGGUUCUCCUUAUCAUUUGGCACCAUUGAAUGAUGAAGAUGCAAUGGCUCUUUUUCAGUAUUCUGCAUCCUCGGAGGAUAAGAGCUCUUAUACUUAUGAAGAUCCUUCGAGAAAGGUGAUUUCUUAGUCCACAACACACACACACACACACAUAUAUAUAUAUGCUUAUUUAUGCCUCAGAAGAGGGUAAAGAAAUAACGUUUGAGCAUCCACACACGUUAAUGAACUGUGAAGAAUGAAGUAAGAAGAAUGAAAGAGUAGACAGUUUACAAUUUUAUCAUCUUUAUGAAUCCAUUUAGAUGAUUUUCAAGAAUUUAAUCAAAUAAUAGUAAUUGAAUUCUUUUUGGAUAAUUAAAUUGCAGAUUAUCAAGCGCUGUAAGGGAUGCCCACUUGCCAUUGCAUUGGUCGGGAGAUCACUUCGCGGCCAGCCUAUAGAAAUCUGGCACAAAAGAGUAGUGGAAUGGUGCAAAGGUUCAUCUAUUCUUGAUUCUGACAAGGAUUUACUUGCUUGCCUCCAAAGCAGCUUAGAUGCCUUGGAUAAAGAGAAGGCUAUCAUCAAGGAAUGUUUCCUCGAUCUAGGUUCUUUUCCGGAGGACCAAAGAAUUGCUGCUGCCACCCUCAUUGAUAUGUGGGCGGAGUUAUAUGGUCUAGAUGAAGAAAUUCUGACCAUUGCCAACCUUCACGAGCUCACCACCCGAAGUUUAGCUAAUCUUGUUGUCACAAGGUAUGCAGGCUGCUCAUAAUUUUUUCUAUUUCAUUAUGUAUGCCGAACAAAUCAUUAAAUAAAUUAGUAUUGAUCAUCCAGACAUGAGGGGGAGACAGAUGGCUAUUACGCUGAACACUUUGUCACCCUGCACGGCAUGCUUAGAGAGUUGGCGAUCCAUCAGGCGAGUCAAGACCCAAUAGAACAUAGGAAACGACUAUUUUUAAAUAUCUGUGGGAACAAACUUCCUAAGUGGUUGACAGAACAAAAGUAUCAAGCGAUCAAGGCUGGGCUAUUAUCUAUCUCAACAGGUUCAAUCAAUCUCUCUUUAGUAAAUACUUAUACGCUCGGGACACACGUGUGCACACACACCCAUGCUCUUUCUUACUAAGACUUCAAUCGGACUUCGACACAUUUAAGUUCAACCCACGCUAACAUCUUAAAGCUUAUUGUUUGCAGAUGGAGCCUUCUCAGCAAAAUGGCCAAACAUGCAAGUACCCGAAGCAGAGGUUCUAGUUCUGAAUUUUCAAACAAAGAACUAUGCCUUACCUGAGUUUGUGGAGAAAAUGGAUAAACUAAAGGUUCUAAUACUAAAUAAUUACGGUAUGUUACCUGCUGAACUAGAUAAUUUUGAACUACUUGGUUCGCUAUCAAAUCUUAAGAGAAUUAGAUUAGAACGUAUUUCAAUUCCUCCCAUAAGCAAGGUCCUUAAACAGUUGAAAAGCUUGCAAAAGAUCUCUCUGUUCAUGUGUGAUAUCGGCCAAGGUUUCGUCAAAAAUUUAGAUGCACUGCCAAAUCUAGUGGAAUUGAACAUUGAUUAUUGCCAUGAUCUGGUGCAACUUCCUCCCAACCUUUGUGACCUUGUUCACCUUAAGAAGCUUAGCAUCACCAACUGUCAUAAGCUUUCUGCCUUGCCUGCAGACAUCGGAAAGCUAGUCAAUCUUGAAGUGUUGAGGCUUAGGUCAUGUGCAGAUUUGUUAGAGUUGCCAGGCUCGAUUAGGAACCUUAAAGUUUUAAAAUUUCUCGACAUAUCUGAUUGCUUUAGCGUAAAGGAGUUGCCAGAGGACAUUGGUGCAAUGUGCAGCAUGGAAAAGAUCAACGUGAGCCAGUGUUCUAGACUGAAAGGGCUGCCUGCUUCUGUUAUGGAUCUUGAGCAGUUGAACGAAGUGAUAUGCGACGAGGAGACGAAAACUUUAUGGGAACCCUUCUUGCCAAUUCUCACAAACAUGCGCAUUAAGGUGAUCAAAGAAGAUAUCAACCUAAAUUGGCUCAACAAGCUUCCACCCUAAGGCUAUGGCCCUUCCAUCAAUGAGUGUUGGUGCAAUGUAUGCAGUAUGAUUGUGUAUAAUGUUAUUUUUCCUUUGUAAUUUACUUCUAUUUUAUGUUUUAUGUGUUUUUAAAUAACCUGGCAGCACUGUAAAUUAUUGUAAGGCCAAAUUGAAUAAAUGAUCCCUAUGGUUAUAAGGUAUUUGGAAGAUAACCUCUGUGCUUAAAAAUCUUAGAUUUAAACCCCUAUGGUGUACUCCAUGAAAAACUUUAGUCCAAAAGUGAUUUUUCCGUUAACUAUAUGUUAAUAUAUGGGUAAAAUUGUACUUUGACAUGUGCACUCUUCCUCGUCUCUCUGCUCUCUCUUCAACACAUCCCCCACCAGUACCUCUUGAAGCAGGUUACUGAAACGCUGCUCCUUCACGUCAACCGGCAAUAAAUCAUCAAUCUCUUUCUCAAUAUCAAAUACUGUCUCAUCAACUGGUGCAUCCAUAUAACUUCCCAUACUUGAAGCUGCCUGGAUGGUUGAUUCUUUUAAUUCAUUUAGUCCCUACAAUACAAAUGUGUUUCAAUUAAAGCACGAUGAUCACCUGGUAAUUAUUAUUGUUGAUGCACAAAACUGGAGGGGUCUUGGAAUAACGUAAAUCCGACCGUGAAUCUGCAAGAAAGUAAAGAACAUAAGAUGUAUCGUGGUUCACCCCAAUUUUUGGGCUACAUCCGCACUGAUGUUGAUAUUGUUUCACUCUGAAUGAUGAAUAUACAAGAAGGCUAGAGCCAGUGUGCUGUCUAGCCUAUUUUCUCUCUUCCCUUGGCCUGAAACUUGACCUCCCUCAAUGAAGAGAGUGAGGAGUCCUUUUAUAGAAUAAGGGCUCCUCACUUAUUACAUAUUUGCCCCUUCAUUUAUUACAUAAUUACAUUUGAGUCCCCCGAGUAUUUAUACAAGAUCUAAAUACAGAGGCCCUAAGUAUGGUACAAACAAUAGUCUCCCAAGUCUUCAGUCAAGAGAGUCUUUUGGCUGGAGACUUGAAAUUCAGUCCAUGUGUGGGCCGAAGUAACUAGAUGUCGUCUAGAACUGAAUACUCGAUAUGAGGCGGUGCUCAAUAUGAAAUGAUACUCAACUAGAAGUAGCACAUGUUGCGAGGCUGCUCGACUUGUGGCUUAUAUUGCCUUGGUUGGCUCAGCUUGUGGCGUUGAAUGUGAAGGAGUCCCUUUUAUAUAAUAAGGGCUCGCUCCUCAAUACAUAAGUGAUGGGUUAGGAGUGAUGCUCGUGGCGAGGCGGUUGCUUAGCAGGCGGCGAUGUUCUCUAAUGAUGGUGAAGGAGUCCCUUUUAUAGAAUAAGGGCUCGCUCCUCAAUACAUAAAUGAUGGGGUAGAGUUGAUGCUCGCGACGAGGCGAUUGCUCAGCAGGCGGCGAUGCUCUCUAAUGAUGGUGAGGGAGUCCCUUUUAUAGAAUAAGGGCUCGCUCCUUAAUACAUAAAUGAUGGGUUAGAGUUGAUGCUCGCGGCGAGGCGAUUGCUCAGCAGGUGACGAUGCUCUCUAAUGAUGGUGAGGGGGUCCCUUUUAUAGAAUAAGGGUUCGCUCCUCAAUACAUAAGUGAUGGGCCAAGAGUGAUGCUUACGGCGAAGCGGUUGCUCAGUUGGCGGCGAUACUCUCUAAUGAAGGUGAGGGAGUCCUUUUUAUAGAAUAAGGUUUCGUUCCUCAAUAUAUAAAUAAUGGGCUAAGUCCCCCAAGUGUUUUUCAUGAGGCCCAGUUGCGGAAGCCCAAUAUAUGGUACAUAGUGUAGUCUCCCAAGUCUUCAGUCAAUAGAGUCUGUUGGUUGGAGACUUCAAAUUCAAUCCAUGUAUGGGUCGAAGUGGCGGUUGUUCGGAGGCGGUCUUUGUAUACCAUGCACUGAAGCUUUGUAGGUGAAGCUUUGAAGCUAGAGCUUUUGUAAAUGAAGCUUUGAAGUCAGAGCUUUGUAAAUGAAGCUUUUGAAACUGAAGCUCUUGUAAAUGAAGCUUUCGAAGCUAGAGUUCUUGUAAAUGAAGCUUUCGAAGCUGGAGCUCUCGAAGCUGGAGCUCUGUAAAUGAAGCUUUCGAAACUGAUUGACAUAAGUGAUGCUCAUGAAUGUUUAUGUUGAUUGACAUGAGUGAUGCUCAUGGAUGUUGACAUGAGUGAUGCUCAUGAAUGUUGACAUGAGUGAUGUUCAUGAAUGUUUAUGUAUGAUUGACAUGAGUGAUGCUCAUGAAUGUUUAUGCAUGAUUGACAUGAGUGAUGCUCAUGUAUAAUUUUGGAGUACUGGACGUACUUUUGAUCACCUGAUUGGUGAUAAUAGUGGCAGGCUGUUGAAUAAUUUUGGAGUACUGAACGUACUUUUGAUCACCUGGUUGGUGAUAAUAGAGGGUGAACCUAAAGUGGAGGGAUAGAGGUUGGAGUUUGAAGCCAUAGGGCCUGGCUCUUUUGGGCAUAUGGGCCUUCGCCCUUCACAUAACAUUCCAGCCUACUAUCAUUUUGCCCUUUUUUUUUUGGCAUGCUGCCUUCUUUCUUUAUUUAUGAUUACCCUCUGGUGGGGUUAUACAGAUGUCUCCAAAAGAUAAGAAAAAGUAAAUCACAUCAUUAAAAAAAAACUGUUGUGCUGGGACUUGGCAACAACGAGAUUUCUCCCUUCACAUCAACCUCAGUGGUCUAGCUAUUGGAGGAAACCUUCACGUGGAGGCAGGUUUGGUCCGCAGGCAUGAUCUCUCAUACUUUGAUAGUACAAUCCCGUGGCUUUUUCAGAAAAUGGGGGGAACAUGCACUCCCCUUCAUGAUGAAAGUUUCAUCUUUUUCAACAUGUUGAUGGGCAUCUUCUGGUCCAACAUGAAGUGGAGACGGGGGACCUUGGUGGGCAUCUUCUUAUCUUAAUCAUGUUAUCCUGUGGGAUAGUGGAAUAGUGGAACAUAAUAAAUAAAAGAGGUAUUUAUCAAUUUCCCCCCUGAACUUGUGAUUAUUGGCCAAUUUCCCCCCUCAACUCUCAUAAUUAGACAAUUUCCCCCCUUAACUUUAAUUUGGCCAAUUUCCCCCCUCAACUCUCAUAAUUAGUCAAUUUGCACCCUACUGUUAAUUUUUUAAUUUGAUCAUAAUUAAACAAGUGUGUGUAAGAAACUAAAUAAGAUGUAUGUUAAUCAUUUUCCUAAGUCUUUAUCCUAUUACAAAUAGAUUAAAAUUUAGAAUUUUACAAUUUAUCAUAGAUAGUAUUAUUAGUCAUAAUAAAUCAGUAUGGAGUAAUUUUAUUUGAUUUUUUACUAUACAAAAUUGAUAACGAAACGGAUUGAUGUGUACAUUUUUGUAUGUGAAUACAAUUUUCUUUAUAAAAGUGAGAGCUAAGUUCAAGUAAAUUGCGGAGAAUCGAGCUUUAGUGCAAAAAUGGCUAAUCAAUUCAUAAUUUUCGACUCCUUAUUAAGAAUAACCCAUUUUAUUGAAAUAGGUCGGAUCCAUGAGUUUAGGAUUAUUAUUUCUUCUUCUACAUGCUUUAAACCCGAUUCAUAACUUUUUCUUAUAAUCAACCCAUAUCACAUACUAAUUGUAUUAUGUUUUUGUACAUUUUACCCUAUAUUAUGCAGGUGAGUUUAUGUUAAUUUUAGUACUUUGUUGGAAGUUAUUAGAAAGAUUGAAAGAAAACAAAAAGAAUAGAUGAAAAAUUAAAAAAAUUAACAGUAGGGUGCAAAUUGACUAAUUAUGAUAGUUGAGGGGGGAAAUUGGUCAAAUUAAAGUUGAGGGGGGGAAUUGACUAAUUAUGAGAGUUGAGGGGGGAAAUUGGCCAAAAUUAAAGUUGAGGGGGGGAAUCGGCCAAUGGUCGCAAGUUUAGGGGGGGAAUUGAUAAAUACCUCUAAAUAAAAUAAAGCAUUCGUUGGGGACCACCAUCAUAGGGACCCGAACUCUCGAAUUCCAGAUUGUCGCACGCACUUUUGCUUUAUUCGUCGGUGUUCGUACCAUUGGUCCCAGUUGCCCUCCAUUUUUUGUAGGGGAAACAUAACUUCCACCAUUGUUUUCCUCCUCUGUUCAAAAACAGAUGGCGCAAAAUGUCUGUCUUUCUUGACACUUUUUGAAGCUGCUGCACCAACAGCUGAAUGAGUAUUUGGCAUUACCCUAAUAAAUUGGCUAUGACCUGCCCAUUCCUGCAGAUCUUUCAAUUUGAUACCAGCAUCAAUUGAAACAAGCAACUUCUUCCUGGAAAGCAGCGGCCUCAACUGCAAAACUACAUCUUUAACAACUUGAGGUUUGACCAAGAAAAUGACAACGUCAUUCUCUUCCACCACGUCGUCGUUUUUGGAGAUGAGAUGGACUCAAGAGGACUCGAAGGCUUGGCGUCGACUGGCGUCAGGGUGGAAGAUAGCGAUGCGAUUGGGAGGGAGAACGCCCGAUCAGAUGAUUCAUCUGGCGAUGCUCUCGGUCAUUUUACCAGCUCCGACAAACCCUAGCUUUUAUGUUUCCGUCGGGAUGGGUACCGCCUCCAUGGCUGCAAUGCGACGUCGUAUCGUUGCUAAGUCUUCUGAUUCAGUUUGCUUAGAUUGGGGAUUUAGGGUUACGGAAGAGAGAGGAGAAGCGGGGGUUUAUCAUUCGAUAAGCCUGUGAGCGUCUUUGGGGGAGAGCUUAGGGGCGAAGGCAGGAUCCGUGUCCAGGACGAUGCCGUUCUCGUCCAGCUUUCGCUUCUUGGUUGAGUCCAUUGGCAGAAGAGCAAGUUUAAACCCUAACCCUUGGGAAGAGAAACAGAGAGUCUAGAGAGAGAGAGCGAGUUGGGAUUUUUUUUGUUUACUAGCAGAGAGAGACCAGGCUCUUCUUGUUUGUGGUCAUGUGGAAUGUAGAGGUAGAAUGGUCGGAGUUUGGGGUUUGGUUUUCUUGGGUUUUUUGCAGAUUCACGGUGGAUAUUGUGGUGAGGUUUCACGGUGGUGAGAUGAAAAAAUGAAAGAGAACCGACAUAGCUUUUUGUGUCGAUUCCCACAGACGGCACUAAAUGUUGAUGCACAAAACCGGAGGGGUCUUGGAACAACGUAAAUUCGACCGUGAAUCUGCAAGAAAGUAAAGAACACAAGAUGUAUCGUGGUUCACCCCAAUGUUUGGGCUACGUCCACACUGAUGUUGAUAUUGUUUCACUCUGAAGGGUGAAUAUACAAGAAGGCUAGAGGCAGUGUGCUCUCUAGCCUAUUUUCUUUCUUCCCUUGGCCUGAAACUUAACUUCCCUCAAUGAGGAGAGUGAGGAGUCAUUUUAUAGAAUAAGGGCUCCUCACUUAUUACAUAUUUACCCCUUCAUUUAUUACAUAAUUACAUUUGAGUCCCAUGAGUAUUUAUAUGAGAUCUAAACACGGAGGACCUAAAUAUGGUACAAACAGUAGUCCCCCACCAUCAUUAGAGAGAGACUCUUAGCCCAUGAAAAAUACUUGAAGGACUUAGCCUAUUACUUAUGUACUGUGGAGCAAAGCCUUAUUUUAUAAAAGGGACUCCCUCACCUUCAUUAGAGAGAGACUCUUAGCCCAUCACUUAUGUAUUGAGGAGCGAACCCUUAUUCUAUAAAAGGGACUACCUCACCUUCAUUAGAGAGCAUUGUCGCCAACUGAGCAACCGCCUCGCCGCCAGCUGAGCAACCGCCUCGCCGCCAGCAUCACUCCUAACCCAUCACUUAUGUAUUGAAGAGCGAGCCUUUAUUCUAUAAAAGGGACUCCCUCACCAUCAUUAGAGAGCAUCGCCACCUAGCAACUGCCUCGCCACCUAGCAACUGCCUCGCCACGAGCAUCAACUCUAGCCCAUCAUUUAUGUAUUGAGAAGCGAGCCCUUAUUCUAUAAAAAGGACUCCCUCACCUUCAUUAGAGAGCAUCGCCGCCAGCUGAGCAACCUCCUCGCCGCAAGCAUCACUCCUAACCCAUCACUUAUGUAUUGAGGAGCGAGCCCUUAUUCUAUAAAAAGGACUCCAUCACCAUCAUUAGAGAGUAUUGCCGCCUGCUGAGCAACCACCUCGCUGCGAGCAUAAACUCUAGCCCAUCAUUUAUGUAUUGAGGAGCGAGCCCUUAUUCUAUAAAAGGGACUCCCUCACCUUCAAAGCCACAAGCCGAGCCAACCAAGGCAACAUAAGCCACAAGCCGAGCAGCAUUGCAACAUGUGCUACUUCUACUUAAGCAUCAUUUCACAUUGAGCACCGCCUCAUAUCGAGUAUCAGUUCUAGACGACAUCUAGUUACUUCGGCCCACACAUGGACUGAAAUUCAAGUCUCCAGCCAAAAGACUCACUUGACUGAGGACUUGGGGGACUACUGUUUGUACCAUACUUAGGGCCUCCGAAUUUAGAUCUCGUAUAAAUACUCGGGGGACUUAAAUGUAAUUAUGUAAUAAAUGAAAGGGAAAAUAUAUAAUAAGUAAGGAGCCCUUAUUCUAUAAAAUGACUUCUCACUCUCCUUAUUAGGAGAGGUCAAAAUUUCAGACCAUGGGAAGAGAGAAAAUAGGCUAGAGAGCAUACUGCCUCUAGCCUUCUUGUAUAUUCACCAUUCAGAGUGAAACAAUAUCAACAUCAGUGUGGACGUAGCCCAAACAUUGAGGUAAACCACGAUACAUCUUGUGUUCUUUACUUUCUUGCAGACUGACGGUUGGAUUUACGUUGUUCCAAGACCCCUUCGGUUUUGUGCAUCAACAAAUAUCAUCAAAUCUUCUAAACUACGGCCUUCUUGCCAUUGCAAAUCAAAGCCACAUGUUUAAUAUAUCAAAAAAUUUGAAAAUUAAAAUAUAUAUUCUUGUCAUACUCGAGAUGAGGCCUCCUGGUAAACCAAAGGCGUCUGCAUUUGUCGAUAGGCAUCUUGCAUAUUUCCAUACAGUUAGAUAAAGAAAAGGUUUUGUGUGAUUACCUGUUAUUUAAGAGUAGCCAAACUCUUUGUAUGCAUUGGACACUGUGGGAUGACUCCAUUUCAUGGAGGAAUUCCAAGCAGACCACACAUUAAAGUAUGCCAUGAAAAGCUCCAAUGAUAUAGAGGACUGGAACAUUGAGCAUGUCCUGUGAGAGGCCAGUCUUUCAAGCCUUUCAAUUCUUGUUGUUCGUAGAAAACAACGAGAGGCCAGUCUUGAAGCUUCCUGCCGAUCUCAAUGACGGCUUUCUUAGAAUUGGUUUGUGAAAAUUCAAAUUACAGAGAGAGUAGAGAAACAAGGAAGAGUGUACAUGUCAAAGUCCAAUUUUAUCCAUGUAUUAACAGAUAGUUAACGGAAAAAUCACUUUUGGGCUAAAUUUGGUAACGGAGUACAUCACAUGGGUUUAAAUCUGAGUUUUUUUAGCACAUGGGCUAUUUUCCGAAUACCUUAUGACCAUAGGGAUCAUUUAUCCGAUUUGGCCUUAUUGUAAUUAUUCACCAUGGCUAUUAUUGUAAAUAACAUGUUUGCACUCCUCAUUGUGCAACUCUUUUAUUGAUUCUCUUUGAUUUAUCCAAUCAAUGGGUGUUUGUAGGGGUGGGUUCAAAAAACCGAAAACCAAAAAAAAAUCGAGAACCGAACCGGACCGAGGCCGAAAAAACCGAAUCGAAAAAAACCGAACCGAAAACUAUCAAACCGAACCAAACCGAUAUAUAUAUAUAUUUAAUUAUUUUUUAUAAUAUUUUAAUUAUAAAAAUCAUAAAAAUAAAAAAAAAUAUCUAAAACCUAGAGGCUUGAGGGUUCGAACCCAAGCCUUUCAGGUUGAAAGGUUUCACUAAAACUAACCUGGCAACGGGUCUUGUUUUGUUAUGAUUGUAAGAUUAAAGUAUUUAUAAAGAUUGAAACCUAUAGUCUUUUGUGAAAUUAGAAAUCAAUAAAACCCUAGCCACUAGUGGUAGCAGCCAUACCUUUUUUAUUUUUCAUUCCCCUCUUCUCCUUUUCGCCCCUCCAUGUCCAUGCCUCCAAUUUCUCCAUUAUUUUCUCUCCGUUUCUCGAUCUUCUCACUCCUGGGUAAGAUCUCUAACCUCUCUUGUUUAUUUAGUUGAUUUAUGGUUUUUUUUUUUUGGAGUAAAGUCCAUGGAGGGAAUCUAAAAUUUUGGUGAUUGUUAUGGUUCGUAUUGCAGAUUUGUUUGAUUUUUGUGUUGUGAGAGUCUCACCCAUUUUUUUCCUUUUGUUUUUUUUUCUCCCCUGGUAUCAUUAUUUGAUUGGUUUUCCUCUUUUUUUGCCUCAGCUGCAGCAAGGGCAGUGACAGCACCACCACCACAACCAGUUGCAGCAACUGCAAUAGCACCACCUCCACCAGCUGUGGUGGUCUUGCCGCCCAACACAGCCAAUAAGUAUGCAGCGACCACUUUCAUCUCUGCUUGAGAUGGCUUUGGAUCUGCGGAGUGUGGAGAGAAAGGGUAAAUUUGCAGCCGAAUGCGGAAAAAAAGUACUUUAAGCUCCAGAUAUUAAAAAAAAUGCAUGAAAAAACCGAAAAAAAAAAUCGAAACCGAACCGUUUAGAACCGAACCCAGCCCUAGGUGUUUGUGCAAUGUAUGCCGGGAUAAGUGCAUGGAAAGAAAAUAAGAGUUCAAAAAUAACAACCCUUUGAUUUAUCCAAUUAAUGAGUGUUGGUGCAAAAUGUAUUAACUUUUGGUUGUUUCUCCACUCUCUCUCUUGCUACACCUCUUUAUCCCCUUCAGUUAAAUAUGCCAUAACAUUACUGUUUUAUUUAAGGGUAAUUUAAAUUAGUAGAUAAAAUUUUGCAAACUAAGUGACAUGGAAAUUGAUAAUUGGAAUAUGACUUAAACGUAGAUAAAUGUGCUUAAUCCUAUUGGUAACAUAUCAUUUAGUUUGCAAAUUUUGUCCUCUUAACAUUACUCAUAUUUUAAAUUAUUUAUUCAAGAGCACAACAUUUUUUUUACUAUUUUAUUUUCAACUAUAUAUGCUACAACACAAAAUUUUAAAAGCAGUGCAAUACCAAAUCAUAUGCACUAGAAAAUUCUGUAUCUUCUCGCCUCCUAAUGGCGCGUCAAAUGUCUUACCCGACUCAUUCGUUUUCUUUGGGUGAAAUUCAUUGCUCUUCGUUAAGUUGUAUAUAUGUGUGCUGAAACCAACAGACAGCUUACAUCACAUUCUUACUUUCUCAUCAAACUAAAUUAACAAAGAGGAUUAAGGGUUAGUUUGGGAUUGUUGUGUUUUGUUGAUGCACAAAAUCAGUGAGGACUUUGGUACAACAGAAAGUGUCAAGUUUGUGACCUUCGUUAGAUUGCUCCAGUCACUAGUGUGGAUAAGUAUGUAAAUGAAUAGAGGCAAGGAAGCAAGUAUAAGGUGUACGUGGUUCACCUAGAUUGGCUACGUCCAAGGAGUCGAGGAGUUCUCAUUAAUUGUGAAGGGUUUACACAAGUAUAUAGGUUCAAGCUCUCCUUUAAUGAGUACUAGUGAAUGAUUUAAUACAAAUGACAUUAGGGAUUAUUGUGGGAGAAUGAUCUCCUUUUAUAAAAGAGAGUUUCUAGCUUUGUUAUGGCUUUGACACGUGUCAUGCUAUGAUUGACCUUUGAUGUUGACAUGUGUCUCCUGUGAUUGGCCUCUUGGUGUUGACACGUGUUACGUUGUGAUUGGCCUUCUGGUUGAAGGGAAACUCUUCUGGGUCCUUGACGGUAUAACGCUGACCGGUGCUUAGUAGUUUCGGGAUUGGGGUCAAGUAUGGUACAAACAGUGCUCCCCUAAGUUCUCGAGUGAGGGAAGCUCCUCGGUUGGGGACUUGUAAGAUCCAAGCCGCUGAGUAAUCACGAAACUUCUAAGUACCGAAGUGUGGUAUUGUUUUCACUUGCCUUAUCUGUCUCAUAGGUAGAUGUGGCAUCUUCUCUGGAAGUACUUUUCCUCUAUCUAGUGGUGGUAUCUUUAACCGAUGGACAUGCAUAAGGUAAUGUAUCAAUUUCACUUGAAGCUUACUUGUAGUUUUGGGCUUGGACAAGCGCAAUACAAACCCUAUAGUAGGAGUCCCCCAAGUCUUUGAGCGAGGAGAUCUGCUGAAAGAGGUGACAGACAAAGUAAGCAAUCAGAGUUCCAAGCAGUCAGUCUUAGAUCAAAAGUUUGAUCUCAUGUUCCGGCUGAUUGUUCUCCUUCUUCUUAUUCUGUAGACAUCAACAAGGACAAAGAAAAUGACAUGGAGAAGAGAUGAUAUAAGAUACUUUUGCUUUUGAAGAAGUAACUUUCCACAUGCUUAUUCUUGAACUGGGCUGGAGGGUUUUCUGGUUUCCUCUAGAGUAUAAGGCUAACUUAAGAAUUUGAGGGUCAAAACAAGUCCAUCAAAUCAAGAGUGCGUUCGACCUUGAUGUUAUGGGAUACUUUUGUUGUUGACAAAGUAAUAGAUAAAUCGACACAUGUUCUGUUGCACUUGUCUCCACAUACUUCCUUGUAUCCUUCUCACUUACCCUAUCUGUUCCUCAGGCAGAUGUGGUAUCUUUUCUGGAAGCACAAGAUGUUGAAGAUGAAUACUCGAGAGAAAUGCCAGGUAAGUAAUCAGGCAAGGGGUUCCAGGCAGUCAGUUCAUGACUGGAAGCUUAAUUCCAAGUGCUGACUGAUUGCUCUCUUUCUCAUUGUCUUGCAGGUAAGAACAAGGGCAAAGGAAAAGACAGGGAAAAAGAAUGAUAUGGGAUACUCUUGCUUUAACCCCGAUGAUAUGAGAUACUCUUGCUCUGGUGUGGCUUGUUUGCAGAGGUAUUAUCGGGGGAAAGAAAGUUGAGUAUUUCGAGAGGCUUCGUUGGAAGUGCCCUCUUAGAUAUGAGGAAGGGUUGAGCAUUUUUGCAGGUCUGACUGUCCGUGAAGGAUGGAGGUAGCCAUAUAUAGGAGUUUCCCCAACAAGUAGUAAUGUUAUUCCUUUACCCUUCUUGGUCAUAGCAAUGUAGUGGGAGCUGCAAGCUUCACGUGUUUUAACUUUGUCAGCACUUUGAAAAAGUGGUCCAUGGUGUCUGGAGAGCUGAUAUUGCGUGUGAAGAUUGCAGACAAGCUUUAUCCAAGGAAAUCUGGCUCUUGAAGCUCAAAGAGUGGUGCCUUUUCAGUUUUCGGGAAAGAAGAUAUGUUAAAGAUUUGGCUCUCGAAAUUUGGAGAGCGUUGCCUCUUCGAUUUUUCAACAAGCAAUCCUAUUGGGAGUCUGGCUUUAAAUAUUCAGAGAGCGGUGCCUCUUUGAUUUUUGAGAAAGCAAUCAUGUUGGGAGUCUGACUCUCGAGAUUCGAAGAGCGGUGCCUCUUCGAUUUUUGAGCAAGUAAUCCUGUUAGGGGUCUGGCUCUCGAGAUUCGGAGAGCGGUGCCUUUUCGAUUUUUUAGCAAGUAAUCCUGUUGGGAGUGUUUUCUCAGAUGUGAGUAAAGGUUGAGCAUUUUUGCCAGUCUGCCUUGCCACGGAGCACGAAGGUUGACACACAUAGGGACUUUCCAGUUAUCAAGCAGUGGUGAUGUUCCUUUACCCUUGUGGGUAAUAGUAGGGUAGCUGGACCUUCAAAUUUUAUGUGGCUAAACUUUGUCAGAGAUCUUUGGCAAAGUUAUCUAGGGUACCCGAGGAAUUGAUGUUGCGCGUAGAGAUUGUCAACAGAUUUUACUCAAGAAAAUCCGCUUCUCGAAAUCCAGAGAGUGGUGCCUCUUCAAUUUUUGAACAAACGGCCCUGCUGCCCUUUCUUUUAUAGGGGCACCAAUUGUGUGCAGGAAGUAUGUUUAGAGAGUUAUUGCUUGUAGGAAUUUUCCCCUUAUUUUUGUACUUUAGAGAUUUAUUGGACCUCAUUUCUCCUUCAUCAUUUCUGAAAAUAUCUGGCCCAUCUGACCGUUGUUUUGACUUGAACUUUGGUGAAGAGGCAGCCAUGCCUCCUCAAGACAACAUAUGGCGCCCAUCUUUCUUAUCCCUUACUGGUUCUCUUACCGAUGGGGACUCUAUGAUGAAGAAUGAUAUGACCGCUACGGUGGUGGCCAGAAACCUUCUCACUCCCAAAGAUAACAGACUACUUUCCAAACGGUCUGAUGAGUUGGCUUAAGGAUUCUCUGGCUCUCAGUGUUUAGUGUGCGGGUUCUGUGUCUAAUAUGGCCCAACGCCUAUUUGCUCGAACCCGUCAAGUUGAAUCAUUGGUGACUGAAGUGAUAAGUCUCAAAUAGGAGAUCAGAGGGCUCCAGCAUGAGAAUAAACAGUUGCACAGGCUCGCACAUGACUAUGCUACAAACAUGAAGAGGAAGCUUGACCAGCUACAGGAAUUUGAUGGUCAGAUUUUACUUGAUUAUCAGAGGUUUAUGGGUUUGUUCCAAAGGCAUUUAUUGCCUUCAUCUUCUGGGGCUGUACCGCGUAAUGAAGCUCCAAAUGAUCAACCUCCAAUGCCUCCUCCUUCUGGGGUUCUGCCCAGUACUGAGGCUCCGAAUGAUCACCCUCCGAUGCCUCCUCUUUCUGGGGCUCUGCCGAUUGCUGAGACUUCUCCUGAGCAACCUUUGUGAAGGCUACCUCUUGUUUGUUUAUUUUGAUUCAUGUAUAUGUACAUAUUUGUAACUUAUCGGAGAUAUCAAUAAAUAAGCUUUGCUUCAUUUCAACGUAUUGUGUUAAAUACACCAAGGCCUCAUUCACUAAGUUCUUUGAAUUUAUUCUUUUGUUGAAGCUUAUAUGUUGAAGCUUUGUGAGUGAAGCAUAUAGGUUGAGGUAGUGCUCCCUUAAUUUCUCGAGUGAGAAAAACUUCUUGGUUGGAGACUUGAAAGAUCCAAAUCACUGAGUAGUCGUGAACCUUCCAAGUACCGAGGUGUAGUAGCAUAUGGUAGGAGUCCCCCAAGUCUCCGGUCGAGAGAGUUGACGAAGGAGGUGUCUUGCUAGUAGCCAAGUUUCCAAAGAAACAAAACUUCACCAUUUUCCUUUCUAAGUGGUAGCCCAAAACUCCUCCUUCAUUUGUAUUUGUUAUGAAAGUUGUUAGGCCCAAAGAAGGGGAGGCCUAGGCCUUUUUUUUUUUUUUUUUUUUUUUGAAUUUUUGAAUUUUUUUUUUCUCGAAUUUUCAAAAAAAUAUAUAUUUUUUAAAGCUUUAUAGGUAAAGCUUUGUAGGGUGAAGCUUUGAUGUUGAAGCUUUGUAGGUGAAGCUUUGGAGUUUGAAGCUUUGUAGGUGAAUCUUUGUGUUGAAGCUUUUGUAGGUGAAGCUUUUGUGUUGAAGCUUUGUAGGUGAAGCUUUUAUGUUGAAGCUUUGUAGGUGAAGCCUUUGAGGUUGAAGCUUUGUUGGGUACCAUGAAUUGAUUUUGCUUCACACUAUCUUGAUGAAGAGUGUGUGAAGCUUUUGAGAAUUGUAGUUGCCCUCCAUUUGUUGAAGCUUUUGUGGUGAAGCUUUGUUGGGUACCAUGAAUUGAUUUUGCUUCACACUAUCUUGAUCAAGAGUGUGUGAAGCUUUUGGCAUUUGUAGUUACCCUCCAUUUGUUGAAGCUUUUGUGGUGAAGCUUUUGUGUUGAAGCUUUAUAGAUGAAGCUUUGAGGUUGAAGCUUUGUUGGGUACCAUGAAUUGAUUUUGCUUCACACUAUCUUGAUCAAGAGUGUGUGAAGCUUUUGACAUUUUGGGGAAAACUAGAAAUUUGAAAAUGUGGGAGAGACAACACAUACAAAUUUUUCUUCCACACUUUGAGCAAGAGAUUGUGGUGCAAGCCACACCUUGUAGUAGUCAAAGGUUUGGAUGAACCAUAUAAAUUGAAUUUGCUUCAAACAGUCUUGAUCAAGAGUGUGUGAAGCUUUCUAUGAGUUGUAGUGUUUGCAUUGUUACAAAGGAGAAAUGUCCGAAGCAGAUGCAAGAGGGCUGAAGAGCUUAAUCUUCGUAUGCCAUGCACUGAAGCCAUUGUUGGCUUGCAAUAAGACCUUGUUGGUGACUAUAACUCUUGUUAGGCAUAAGUGUUCUCCUAGUUGAGUUGUAAAGCUUGAGGGUUUUUGAUUAUUUGUGAAUGCUAGGAGUUCACAUGUACAAGUUGUACCAUUCGUCUUCUGGUUGGUGGAAUGAAUGGUGAGUUGCUUUCAUCACUUUGAUUCAUGGUACGAAGGUGAGUUCCUUCAUCACCUUUUAUCACAUUUCAUCACCUGGUUGGUGGCACGAAGAUGAGUUCCUUCUUCACCUGGUUGGUAAUAAGAGUGGCAAGUUGCCAAAUAAGAUUAGAGUACGGGUUGUACAUUUCAUCAUCUAGUUGGUGGCAUGAAGAUGAGUUCCUUCUUCACCUGGUUGGUGGCAUGAGUGUUAAGUUGCCAAAUGAUAUUAGAGUAAGGGUUGUACAUUUCAUCACAUGGUUGGUGGCAUGAAAGAGAGUACAGGUUGUACAUUUCAUCACCUGGUUGGUGAGAAUAAGGGCAAUGUGUCGAGGCACAUUGUAGCAAGUGUUGAAUGACACAAACUAUGUUGAACCCUUUCGAAGCACAGUUGGCUUAUGUAUGGAUGCGUUGGAAUGUAUUAUGUUUAUGUAUGAAUGUGUUGAAAUGUAUGAUGUUUAUUUAUGAAUGUGUUGGAAUGUAUGAUGUUUAUGUUGAUUGACAUGAGUGUUGCUUAUGAAUGUUUUGCUAUGCAUGAAGGGAUCCAUGCUUUCGAUAUGCGAACCAUGUUGGUUGUAACACUUAGUAUCACAUACUUUGUGUCAAAGUACGCAUGUUGAAGCUCUGAGUUGGAUUAUAGGGGUAGGUCAGUGUAGACCAAGUGUUCCAGUGUUAGAAAUGCAAAAGACUCAGAAGAAGUUGUCUGAAUUCCCUCUUCUUUAAAUAUGUGCCGAAUGGCUUAUGUGACAAAAGAUCUCAAACGGUUGAGAGUCAAAACAUUUGUAAUGUGUAUGCCUUCUUAUAAUAGCAUUUCCUUUAGUACCUAGUCCUCCACUUUGAAAGAGUGAGGCUUGGCCCCAUAGUCAUAAUAGUCGACGGUACGUUCACCCCUGGUUUUCUUGAUACGAACUUUUAUCCCUCUUGUUGUAAUGGGCUUGCUGAGAGUAAAAAUCUUUCCUCUUACCAAGAGACAAAUAUGUUUGGUGACUUAGUGAGUAGCUAAAUGAGGCAGUAGAUGAUGCAAUGGGUGUCUUAAUGGCCAAGAUCUCCUCACUUGGUAGAACUUGACUUCCACUUCCCACUUGUUGAUAGGGGUUAACCAUAUAGGGGUUCCCUUGGUAUGUCCUUGCUUCGGCGGAAGCGUGGCUGUAAGCCUGUGCCAUCACCUCAGAGUAAGUCUUCCAAGUGUUGGCAUUGAUCAUGUACUUGAAGAAACAAUCACGUAGGCUUGUCGUGAAGGCUUUGAGGGCAGUCUUGUCAUCUGCCUCAGCGCAGCGAGAAUACUCAUAGCUAAAGCGACAUGCAUACUCUCAUAAUGACUCGUCCGACUUCUGGCGAAUAGGGUACAAGUCAUUUGCAGAAUGUAAGCGAUCAGUCUGAAAGAUGUGUUGAGAGACAAACAAUUUCCUUAGUUCUUCAAAUGAGUCUACUGUUUCGGGUGGAAGAUGACAAUACUAGUUUAGAGCUCCGUCAGAAAGGGUGGAAGGGAAAAGAAGACAUCGCUCUUCGUCGGUGUGCAUCCGAUAUGCCAUGGUGGACUCAAAGAGGUUAAGGUGUUCAAUCGGGUCCUCCAUUCUAGUAUAGAGUUGUAAACCAAACUUUUGUUUUGUCUUCGCUUGAAGAGGGGUGUCAAGGAUCCUCCUUAUGAUAGGGCUAGGCUUGGGUUGGUUCCAGUUAAGUAUCUCGGCCUGACGUUCGGCCUUCAACUUUUUUACUUCCUCAAGGAGCUGUAGGACAAUGGGGUCCUGAGUAGAGUCAUGUACCACUGGAAUUUUCUUCCGUAAGUCUCCAUUGUCUCUCAGAAGUAGAAAAGUUUAAGUAAGAGCGUGUGAUUUUUCCUUGGACUCGCCGUACUGACUUCUAGGGCGAGUCUGUCGGAAUACCUCCGAGUCCCCUGUACUUUCAUAUUCCUCUGGGACUUGUCGUUCCUUCCUUAGAUGGGCAGCUGGCUUGGGUCGUGGGAGGGGACCGAGUUUUUCAGAAACCCUUGGGUCAUUGAUCUUGGAGCUUAUGUGAAGGGGAUUCUCUCAAUGUUGUUUUAGGAAGUCUCGGCAGUCACGAUAAACAGCUUUCGAUCCUUCCAACUCUUCUGCAAGGAGGUGUCUUCCUCCACUUCUCCUGCUUCAGGUCGAAGCAGCUUGGUUGAGAGAAGUCUCAUGUUGAUCAAUGUUUUGAUGAUUAGCUCGCUCCUCAUUAGGGAUACCCAUGUCGAAGGAAGGUGACCCUCCGUGUUGAGGGGUACCCAGAUGAUGGUUGAUGUCCACAGGGGCAACAAGCUCGCGUGUUUGAGUACGCCUAGUUUCGUGGAACGUCUCGAAGAGCUUCUCAUAUUGUUCUUGGAGGAUCUCAUUCUUUAUUGCUAUCUUGAUCCUCCAGCUUCUCGACUUUAGCUUGAAGAAUGAGCUUCUUUCCUUCUUUCUUUCUUUGCUUCGCACUAGGUGUAAGAAGGGUGUCAUUAUGUGUGUCGUGGCUUCCUUUGCUCCCUAUGUUAGAGAGGGAUGCCUGGUCAAAAGAGAGUGUACAAAUGGUGGAAACCAGCUUGACAAAGUGAAGAAAGUGGGAAUAAGUGUCAUUCCAACAUACGGCGCCAAAUGUUGAUGCACAAAAUCAGUGAGGACAUUGGUACAACAGAAAAUGCAAGUUUAUGACCUUCGCUAAAUUGCUCCGGUCACUAGUAUGGAUAAGUAUGUAAAUGGAUAGAGACAAGGAAGCAAACACAAGAUAUACGUGAUGUAAGGUUAGUAUUUGUAGUGGUAGGUGAUAACAUUUAUUUUAUUCUCUAAGGAAUGUGUUUGGAAGGUUAAACAAUGUCAUUUAAAAAAAAAAAUUAAUGAGGUAUUACAACAAUUGAAAAUAAUUAUUAUAAACACAACUCUACUUUUUUUUAUUAAAGCAGCUUUUAAAAGCAACUUGUGGGCUGCUUUUAAAAGAUGCUCUUUGGAGUCUCUUUGUUUUGGUAAAUAUGUCUCUGGCUUCGGUCGGAAUGGGUGCUUUCAGAACGGCAUUUGAAAUGUUGUUUGAUGCUGUAAAAUCAGUGCAGGAGGAGAAUAAAAUGUUCCAACACCUCUCCCGAGACAUCAAGUUCGCACUAGACUCUGUACAACCACUCAUCAAAGACAUCGAAAAGUAUAACUCGAAAGAGGGACUGCAAAAUUUUGCAAUACAGAUGGAGGAGGGAGCAAGUUUUCAACAACUGUUACAUAAUCUCAGUGGCAUUCUCGAAUAUAGAAGAAAUGUAUAUCGACUAUUGCAGUGAUUUAAUAGAGUUGCCCGCCGAGUUUUGUGAUCUUAGUAAACUAAAGAAGCUCAGUGUCACUAACUGUCAUAAGAUAUCUGUCUUUACCUGAAGGGAUUGGAAAGUCGGAAAAUUUAGAAAUGUUCAGGCUAAGAUCCUGCACAGAACUGUCAAAGCUUCCAACCACGAUGAAGAACCUUGGAAAGGUAAACUUUCUUGACAUAUCUAUUUGCUUCAGCAUCAAGAUGUUGCCCAAAGACAUAGGUGAAAUGAGUAGUUUAAAGAAGAUCAACGUGAGACAAUGCUCAAGGUUGCAAGACCUGCCUCCAUCAGUCAUGGAUCUUAAGCAGUUAAAGGAAGUUGUCUGUGAUGAAGAGAUAAAAUACUUAUGGGAAUCUUUCUCAUUGCGUCUCAACAACGUAAGGAUAAUUGUGGCCAAAGAGAAUAUCAACCUAAAUUGGAUCCACAAGACUCAGUUCUGAUACCUGUGUUUCCUCGGUGAACGUUGCUCUUCAACCUCUCUUGACUUGUGUUUCAUUGUCUUCCUAUUUUAGGCUAUUUCCCAUCUCCUUUUCAGUUUACGCCCUUCGUUUCGUAAAUAGUAGUGUGGGAUAUUAAACCAUUGGUAUUAAAUAUAGAAAUUAUGAAAAUAACACAAGAAUUUCAAUAAUAAUAAUUACAAGGAAAUUCACAACAUCACAUGUGCACAAAAUUAAUAUAAACAACCAGAGAGAAAGUUAGAAAAACUGACAAACUUGGAGAUUGAGGCUUGCAUAAAUGCAAUGUCCUAAAGACAGAAUUUCGCCCCUACUCUUAUGCUUGUAGUUCGGUAGGCAUCCGUCUCCUAGGAUUCAACAAUCUAUAAUCCGAAGUCAAAGCAUUCAAUCUUCGGACUUUGGCUAACUUUAUAUAUUAUGUACUCUCAAGACACGACUCAGAAGUUUGACUAAGACAUUAGAGAAAACUAUUCUCAUAAUACUCUCACGACUAUACUAACGUGAGUUUAUAUAAAACCUAAGAUACUGGUUGAUUAAGAGACACAAGCAUUCAUGUAUUAGAUGAUACCGUUUACCAAAGAUUGCCUUGAUCCCUUUCAAAAGGUUAUGCAUUUUUCAUUCAAUAUUUUGAAUUAAAUAUUAUAAUUAUUAAUAUUAUAAUAUAUAAAUUCCAACAAUCCCCCACAUGAAUGAAAAAUUAGGAAGAAUUUAAGAGUACAGGCGAAAAAGAGAUGCAUCGGGAGAGGUAUCUUUUGGACUUGAACCUACCCUAGUGAAUACUUAUCGGAUUUACUUGGUGACGCAGUGAAUAUAGAAUCUUAAACUGUUCACCGUAAUAGUAAACCGAGACAAUAAGCAACACACAUCACUAAUCCUAAUAUAUUUUGGUUCAUAUGGUUGUGUUCAUUUUGGUCCUGAACAAAUCCCAGAUUCAUGAGAGCUUUAGAGAAUUUAGCCAUCUCAUACGCAUAGAAGCGACCCACUUCUACUCUCACAUAGGUGACCACUGAUUAAGAAUAGUCUACUCUAUUCCUCUUAUUUAUAAGAUAUCACUGUCAUUAAGUAUAAAUAUACAACCUAAAACCUCUGCAGACAACACACUUUUUCCAUCAUAGGAAUGAGGUAUAUAGUGUGUUAACUUCUUUGAAUCAUGCCCAACCAGUUUGCCUAUUGAACUUAGACCAUGGGAUCUCCAAUCAACAAAGUUAGGUUUCCGCUCGGCUGAUUCAUUAGUUAUGUUGGCUUUAGCCUCAUUCCCAUCGAUGAUCAACUUUCUCUCUAGUCUAACCUUUAAUAAUUGAAUCCACUACUAGGUUGACUAUUUUUAAUGGUGUGCACAAUCCAUCUUAUGAAAUUAUAUUUCAUACGAGAGGAGUUGUUUGACAUUACUUGAAAUGUCAAGUCCUCAAAAUUAUAUUAGAAAUCUCAAGAGUAAAAAUUAACUCUAAUUUUCUAUAUUUAAUACCAAUGGUUUCAUGGGUUUAUAUAGAAUCCAACUUCUACUUAUUAAAGAGAUGUAACUUUUCAUCUAUAAGUAUACAUCACUUAUUAAGGGAAUACACCUAAACAACAUAACCUUUCUAAGUAAUUUGCUAACACUAAGCACUUGGGUAAACUCCCCCACAUUUAAGGUAUUUGUAAGAAGAUCUCUAACCUUGCCAUACCUUAAAAUUAUUCAUUACAACAGAUGACAUCUUAAAUGUCGUUCAAUUAGCAAAUUACUUUUAACCAACUCCCACAAUUCUUUCAUAAUUGUAGUUGCUUUUAAUGCUAUCAUUAAAUCGAUCACAUUUUCCACUUUAAGAAGUAAGAAACAACUAAGAUAGACUCUAUCUAUCUUUUUAGGCCUUCAUGCUUCACUAGAAAUGAUGAGAAAAUCACUUCUUGACUUUCAUUCUUUCCUUACUCUGACUAACAUGCAUGAUCCGACUCAUAUGCUUACUUAAUAAGCAUCAUUAUGUCGAAUUCAAAUCUGUGAAAUGUCUUUCACAUUUUUAGUAUGGUCUUGUCCUUUUUUGAAAGACCCCCACACUUUCAUGAUUAUUUCUUUAUAUUAAUAUCACUUUAAAUGACACUCAAUAUCAUCAUGGGCCUCUUGUAAUUUAGAAAUAUAUCACUUCAAAGAAAGCAUAUAAAUGAUUUUGCAACAUUAUUAUCACUAUAUGAUAAUACAUCCAAUCGGUAUGUGGAAGUUUACAUACCAGCCAAUGAACACAUUUGAAUAUGCCAAUGACUAGUUGAAAAUGUCAUACCCCUUCACUGUCAAAAGCAGCACUUCAAAUGGCAUGCUUUUCCUUUGAAUCUCACAUGGUAGAUUUCAAUUUUCAAUUCCACCUUACAAAACCAUCCAUUUGUUAAAUAGUUGCAUAUUUAUGCAACUUUACCGCCACAUGGUUCAAUAUAAGUCUUGGACCUUGACCCCAUAAUUCAAUAAGCAUCUUUCGACGUUGAUAGAUAACUCAUCUAAAAUGAGUUCAGUUUAUUAGUUUAUUUUUGUUGCUUCUCAAAGCCAAAUUCAUCCACUUUCUGGGUUCUUAUCAUGACUGAAGGCUAGACCCAAUUCUGCAUAUGCACACAUAUGCCUGAGUAAUUGUUCAAUUUUCCUCAUACGUAUUCCAUUCAUUCCAUGAGUGGACAUGUACAUAUGAGUACUGCACUCAUCUUAUAUUCCAUGAUACCAUGGAAGUUGGGUUCAUAUCUUGUACUGGAGUUUUCCAACUGUUUCAAUACAAAUUUGAAACAACCCCAUUUUAUUUGUGUAUUCACUCUUCAUCAAGAGCUUUCGCUGACAUCUUUAUGAAUAUAAGGGUUUUCUCAACAAAAACCUAUUAAUCAUCAUCGUGCCCAAUCAAAUAUUGAUCUCCUUUGUCCCAAGAAAGAAACAUUGCAUUAGUCCACGAACUGGUACAUUAUGUCCCUUUUAGAUUUGCAAAUAAUGCAAAUUUUUGUAUGACUAUUGAAGAAAGUUGGGAUUCCAACAUAUAACCAAUUGAGAAUAUGGAGAACAAUCUAAUUCCUUAUAAGCUUUUGUUAUAUUUCUCAUUUCACCAAUGUGAAACCCCUUUUGUCUUCACAUCCUCACAAUCAUACCAUUUCACUUGGCCUUAUUCGAAACCUUUCUUCAUAUAAAGGAGACAAACACUGAACAUGGAUUUUAAGUAGAUCUGAUAAUAAUUGCAGUAGCCAUAUAAUAAAAAUUGUUAUCACUGUAUCGUUCUGGAAACUAGAAUCUUGAUCUUUUCUAUAUAAAACAGUUAUAGAGACAUGUAUAAAGUAACAGCCAAGUAUGAGAUUUCUAUAUAUCAAAGGAUUUAUAUAAUUAACAACAACAGCAACAACAGUUGCGGCAUGCAUAAUAAUUUACCAUGCCUCAAAGUUUAAAACAUUGUCUGAUCGCGACAUGCCUAGAAUGCCAAGAGAAGGUAAAUUCAAACUAACAUUAAUUUAAAAGCAGUUAGAUUCUAAUUUCUAAUAAAUAUAUAUAAGACAAAUAACCUUCUAUCCUAAUCAUCAUCAUCAUCAUCAAUAAAUCCCAAAAUUGUUGUGUUGUUUUGUGUGUGUAUAUAUAUAUAUAACUUUCAACACAUCAUCUAGCCCUGAUCUAUCUUUUCGUAGAAAUUUAAAGGAUUCAUGUCUUAGAUGCAUCGGUGAAAUAUACUGAUGUCUUCUUCUUUAUUUCUUCAAGAGGGCUAGGCUAAACAUAAAUUACAAUAUUUUCAUUGCGAAUCCCUAAAGUCCUAGGCUUUACUCAUAUUUUCUAAUUGUUUCAUAAACAAAUUUCUGUCUUUAGAUUGUUGGAGCAAUAUUAGAAAGUAUGAAAAUAACACAAGAAUUCCAAUAUUAAUAAUUACAAAGAAAUUCACAACAUCACAUGUGCACAAAAUUAAUAUCAACAACUAGAGAGAAAGUUAGAAAAACUAACAAACUUGGAGAUUGAGGCUUGCAUAAAUGCAAUGUCCUAAAGACAGAAUUUCGCCCAUACUUUUAUGCUUGUAUUUUGGUAGGCCUUCGUCUCCCAGGAUUCAACAAUCCAUAAUCCGAAGUCAAAGCAUUCAAUCUUCGGACUCUGGCUAACUUUAUAUAUUAUGUACUCUUAAGACACGACUCAGAAGUUUGACUAAGACAUUAGAGAAAACUAUUCUCAUAAUACUCUCACGACUAUACUAACAUGAGUUUAUAUAAAACGUAAGAUGCUGGUUGAUUAAGAUAUACAAGCAUUCAUCUAUUAGAUGAUACCGUUUACCAAAGAUUGCCUUGAUCCCUUUCAAAUGGUUAUGCAUUUUUCAUUCAAUAUUUUGAAUUAAAUAUUAUAAUUAUUAAUAUUAUAAUAUAUAAAUUCCAACAAGGUAUAAUCAUUUGUCGUUAAAUGAGCACUAUUUUGACAACCUUAAGAAAUUUUCUAAACUUGUGAAAUGUGAGGGGAAAUUUAAUAUCUGAGCAAUAAGUUUAAUGUGAAAGUUGUUUUUUUAGAGGGAAAAUGUGGUUUGUGUUUUUAAUGGGACUUCUUAAACUCUACUCUGACAUAGUUUCACAAUCAAUCCCUAUACACAGUUUCUUAACCUUUUGGUUUGAAAAUCUGUAUGUAUAGUUCAACAUCACAGUGUGAUUAUGCUCUCCCAAAAUAAGUUUUAUAAGUAAAAGGAACCAAAAAGAAGGGGUUGAAGAGUCUCCAUAAGACAAGAACUUUUAUGUCACAGAGUCAAGUAUUAAUCUCGUCAUCGGUAAGUUUCUCAAGUAUCUAUAUUCACAUUUGUUGGUCAAGUUUUCAGAAUUGUGUUCACAUAUAAUCUAAAUUCAUUGCCAAAUGUUGAGGAAUUGAUUGUUAUUGACUAUUGCGAUGAAUUGGUCUCAAACUACGUUUUCCAACCAACACGGUUUGAUCAGUUUUAAAAAAACCACUGUUUGAUUAGUCUCGUUCAAUACCAUUACGUGAUUAGCUUAAAUUUACUUUUCAUGUUCAAACUAGUUAAACUAAGAAAGAACGGGCCAUAUUUUCUUUCUUUUCAAAGUUGUUCACAUAGAAGUGGACAUUGACAAAGUAGAUAAUGAAUAACAUUAUAACAUUGUAAUUUGGAUGAAAAUACACAAAUCCAAUACUUUAAUUAGAUGCAUUAUACUUUAAAUGAAAAUAAAUAAAUUUAAUAUUCUUAGAGGUCACAAUAGAAAUUUCACAACUAAGAACGGAUUAGGGCAUGCCAAUACUUAAAAAGCCGACUUUUCUAAUUCAAUUCACAAGAUUCUCAAAACCAUUGCUCACACAUAUUCUAAAACUAAGGCUAGAGUGACACAGUUAAGCCAAGCCUACAUCUUUGAAGCUGAUAUCAAAUCUAAGAAACCAACAAGUCAAGUGAUGCAACUUUGGACCACUUAAACGAAUCCAAACCAGAAAACAAUUCCGAACCAUCACUCAACGGAAUCGUGGAGUAGAAGGGAUUUAGGACCAUCACUCAAAGGAAUCCAAACAAGGAUACGAUUCCGGACCAUCACUCAACGGAAUCGAGGAGUAGAAAGGAUUCCGGACCAUCACUCAAUGGAAUCCAAACAAGGAUAUGAUUCUGGACCAUCACUCAAUGGAAUCACUUGCACUAUCAACUUCUCAUGACCACUAUCUUGUCAUACAAGCAUAAAAGUUAUACAUAAUACUUCUCAUAAGAUUCUGGGUUCACAUCGUCCUAAAAACAAUCAUACACAUCAUAUUGAUCAUACAUAUCUAACCACAUUUCAUAAAUGUUUCCAAGCUACAAUCGAAUCACAAUUAAUAAACAUAGAUCGAUGCUAAAAUAAAAUAACACUUCAAUAGAAAGCACAUUUAAUUAACAAGUAUAACUCAAUAUGAUGCAACUAAUACAUAUAUCGAGACACACAUCAACCAAGAAUGACACGUCAUCGUGAUGAGCCAACUAAGUUCCAUCAAGCCUCAACAGCAAACUAGAGAUAAACGACACUCUAGAGUAUAACACGUUGACUAGAACGUUAACCGUCAAUAAGGUAGGUCCAUUAAGAUCAACAAUCUAAGGUUAUUUAAACCAGAAGAUCCGCACAUCAGAUUUCCGAUCCGUAAGUUCUCAAAGGUCCAACAACUGAUACCUAAGGUGCUCACAAAAUUGUACGACGAUCCAACAAUCGGAUUGUCAUCAAUCAUACAAACAAGUGGUAGUCCAAUUUGAUUACCACAUCAAACAAUUUAAUUUCGGGAAACCGAGCUAGACAUAGGUUCAUAGAGUCACUAGAAGGUAUUUAGUACUUAGACAACAUUCAUGGACGGUCUCACGCACCGCCACAAGCGAUGGUAGCCAUGGUGAAGGGUUUGAAAACCCAAAUUUUCAACCUUAACCAAAAAGGUUCAAAUUUAUGUGGUAACUAGAGCUCAACAAGGGAAACAUUAUUCACAACUAGGCCAAUGACAAAUUCUAACCGGAAACCAUCCAAAUUCAUCGGGAAAAACCGGGUUUCUAGGGUUCUAAACACCCAACUCUAAAACAAAUACGAAAGCACAAAACAAGCAUAUCAACUUGAAGAUUAUGAAGAGUAGAUGAAGCUUAAUACCUCACUCGAAAGAAAUGGUUGCCGAAAUCACCGGAAAAAUGACAAAAUCGUCGGAAACCAAGGAACUUUGCUGCCUCGAACUGGAAAAAUGGAUAAGAAAAUUGGAAAUGUAACACUGCAGAGAUGUAGGGCUCGUCAAGAGCUUUCUAUGGACUCCAAGAUCACCCAAAACGGAGAUCGGAUGAAGGAGAUAUGAGCAGAUCAAGUUUGCGGGUUAACGGGUCUAAUUCGCCCCAAAACGGGUUUUUUCUUCUUUUCUCUCGCCACACUUCCGUGGCUUUCUUUUCCUUCCCUCUUUUAGCCACUCCCGUGGCUUUUUCCUUCUCUUUUCAUUUUUUUUAUUUUUUAUUUUUUUAGCAACAACUUCAAACGUCCGUAACUAUACCGUUACAAUUUGGACUCGCAAACGGUUUUUGCCUAUACGUUCAUAAUCUCGAUAUCUAUUCGACAAUAUAAAUUGUGACCUCGAAUGGUCUACAGAUUUUAAAUAAUUAAUUUCCCGAAAAAUAAUAUAAAAUUUCUAUAAUACCAAUACGUAGAUUAUAAUAAUGAAAUCCAGGAACGGGAUUUGACAUUCUCCCCCCCUUAAAAAAAUUUUGUCCUCGAAAUUUUAGUAUCAAUUCAAUAUCCACCAAUGCCACAAUUCAACCGAAUGACAAUUUCGAAAUGGUAUUUACUCUUUAAUUAUAAUCGAAUUUAAUUAACAUCAAACUCGACAACAUCGAAUCACAAGUCACAAAUACAAUUAUCAUCGUCUCAGCACGACUUCACCACCAAUCUUUGCACAAUCACAAAGAAUGGCACUACUAAUAAGAAUUCAUCAAUAUACUCAUAAUUCUGGCAACCAUACCAACCAAUUUUGUAAUUACAAGCAUUUCCCAUUAUUCCAUUUAUGGUGAAUAAGAUCAUAACCUCAGUCUACGAGUUUAUUCAACUCAAAACAAAUAAAUUAACGGAUAGAUCAUCAUGAUUCUCACCCAUAUACUCAGAUUCACAGCAAUAUUUAUUGGCAGAAUAAAUAUUAGAAAUUCUAGCCAUACACAUUGUCAAAAUAUUUAUUAAACAUCAAGCCACAGUCUUCAUAACUUAAAAUAAUUACUAAAUUAUCAAAUCACAUUUACUAUUGGUUAGACAUAUACUAACAUAAUAAUUACAAUUAUUGGUAAACCAUCCACCAUCAUUGGCUAUACAUAGUCGUAACUACGAUUCUUUCUCAAAAUUUCUAGCCACACUCCCUUGCAAAAUAAUAUCCACCUUAAACCAUAAGUCUUGUUGGCUAAAUGAAUAUUAAAAUUUCAGCCAACCAUUAAAAUUGACAAAUCAAGUUCCAAAAUUCCAACCAAAAUUAUUGGAAUUUCCAAACACAUCACUAGGUAAUGGAAAGAAGAAUACCAAGUGAUCACAAAUAAACCGAAUUAUGAGUCAUUGAUUAAUUUGACUCAAAUUAUUUCCAUAUCAUCUAUUAUAUGCUUAUUUUUGCUCAAAAACAAAUUUUGACAUUCCUUUAGUGUUGUUUUCAGAGCAUACCUACGUCAUAUUUUACUACACAAGGAACGAGAUCAUAGGUAUCAAUGUAAACGUCGUGAAAACAAUCUUUGAAUCAAGAAUAGCUAUCAUGGCAGCAGUUAUUCUCUUCCUUACAAACGAAGGGUUAAAAUUUAGUCACCAUUCCACAUUCAACCAAUUUGUUUUGAAUCAAGGUUAUAGCGGUGAGACGAGCAUCGAUAUUAGAUCAUUUAUUGGCUGAGUUGUGCAAUAGCAAUUUUUAUAAACUUUCACAUACUCCAACACAAUGAAUAAGAUAGUAAUAAUUCAACCAAUUUCUUCCCAAUUUCUCACCAAAACAGAUUAUGCAACCAGUUCAUGUAUCAAUUUAAAGAUAGUCUCAGUCAUAGAACUAACUUAUCUCACAUUGACAAAGUCACAUGCCAAAUCUCAAGCCAUGACUAACAUGGCUAACAAAAUAUCAUAAUUUCAUACCAUAAUACGUUAAUGGUAAACCAACCAAUCAAGUUUAUAAUUAUCAACCUUUCGCGUCAAUUCUUUUCAUCAGACGAAGAAACUCAGUUGGGAAAGCAUUUAUAUUAAAUGAAUUCAAAUUUUCAUUCUAUAAUUUCAUUCAUAUUCACCCACCAUUCUCAUUAUAAUGGCAAACCAUAAUCACAGUUUAUAAUUUCAUUCCCCUUCAACAAAUCACCAUAUCUUCCUUAAAUGUUAACAUUUCCAACCACUUUUAUCGUUGGCCAAAACAUUUUAAAAUUUCUAUCCACACCUAUCAUUGACGGAAUAAUGAUUUCACCAUCUUUUUCUUUUAUUUCAAUCAGUGACUAGUAAUCUGGAAAAGAUUGUAAUAUACCUGACCAAUACACAUCACACUUUCUUUUUCUUUUCUUCUUCUUCUUUUUCUUUCUUUUUCUUCUUCUUUUUCUUCUUCUUUUUUUUCUUCUUUCUCACAUCUACGGGCCUUUUCCGCCCAUUUACACAUUCGCAGGCCUUUCUUGCCCAAUUUCACAUUUCCACCCUUAUAUCCACGGGCCUUUUGCCCAAUUCAAUUUCUCAAGUGCCAGGUCUAAUACAAACUCUCCAUCUACUUAUCACCACCUCAAAAUCACCUUAACAUUCAACAUUUUCAUAAUACAUAGAAAAAUAACCAAGUAGGCAAUUACGUGACUCCCUAAUGCGGAUUAACCAGCAGGACCACAAAUGGCCCCCCAAUGCGGAUUAACCAAGCAGGGUCAAGAUAAUCAGGUAGGUAGUGACCCCCCAAUGAGGAUUAACCAAGCAGAGUCACACCUGCAGAACUGUUAGGCAGUGAUCACCCAACGCGGAUUAACCAAGCAUGAUCACCCCUAAGUAUAAAUAGCCAUCAGGAUCGCCCAACGCGGAUUAACCAAGCGCGAUCCAUAUAUAGUAUGGUCCCCUAAUGCAGAUUAACCAAGUAGGAUCACUAAUGACCCCCUAUCGUAGAUUAACCAAGCAGGGUCAUAGUCUCCUAUUAGGCCUCAAUUUAACAACCAUUCCAAUAUGCAAUUCAAUUCACUUUUUCAAAAAUAUUAUCAAUCCAAUUUACUUCACUUCAUGAUGUUUCACAACAUAAAUAUACUUCUCACAUAACUUUCUCAUUACUUAAAGAACUUAGGGAAUAAUGCAAUACCAAUGCAAAUCAUAAUUCCCAUUAAUGAGUUUUUCAUAAUCACCAUGGAAAUUUCACCACAACACAAUGCAAUUCAUAUAUGUAUCUCAAAAGUAUAUGUGUCCAUAUAUCACAUGAAUGCAUCUUUAUGCCCAAAAAAAUUAUGAAAUCAUGCAACCACAAUGCAUAUCGUAAUUCACGCCAACAAGACUCGAAAAGGUUGUAUAUCAUAGAGUAUGAUCAUUUGCUCUGAUACCAUUAAAUGUUGUCACGCCCCGAUCCCGACAUACGUCUAGAAUCGACACGUGACGUCACCAAAUACCCAUAUCUAUCAUACCUCGCCUUUGGGAUAUGGGCAGAGCACAAUUCGAUAAUCGAAUCGCAUAGUAAUUUUACGUAUGCUUUAUGGCUGCAUUUAACCUCCUCGUUAGACUGCCUACGUACCCUAAACAGGGAUCAAGUCAUUCGUAGUUCGUCAUGUACUAUAAUUGACAUAUGUCACAGUCCGUUUAAGGCGAAGGGCAUAACAUUUCUCAAUCAAUCAAUAGCUUAACAAGCAUGAAAUUUCUAGACUCAAGGUUACAUAACAAACCCACCUGAAAGUCAUGAUUUCCCUUCCAGCUUCUGUAUAAGUCAUUAUGUCGCAACAUGAUACCGUAAUUCACAACAUAUAUCAUAUCAAGAAACCGACGAAGCACAAUACAAUUCUCUAGCCACAUUAAUUAACUAAUUUGCCCAAAAUAAUAACAACUAUAACCAUAUCUUCUAAAUUCAUACUUUAUGAAAUCAUAAUUGAAUCAUAGAAAAUCAUGAAGGAGUCACCCAAACGUCCAACAACUUUUCUAAUUCAAUUCACAAGAUUCUCAAAACCAUUGCUCACACAUAUUCUAAAACUAAGGCUAGAGUGACACAGUUAAGCCAAGCCUACAUCUCUGAAGUUGAUAUCAAAUAUAAGAAACCAACAAGUCAAGUGAUGCAACUUUGGACCACUUAAACGAAUUCAAACCAGGAAACGAUUCCGGACCAUCACUCAACGGAAUCGUGAAGUAGAAAGGAUUCUGGACCAUCACUCAACGGAAUCCAAACAAGGAUACGAUUCCGGACCAUCACUCAACGGAAUCGCGGAGUAGAAAGGAUUCCGGACCAUCACUCAACGGAAUCCAAACAAGGAUACGAUUCCGGACCAUCACUCAACGGAAUCACUUGCACUAUCAACUUCUCAUGACCACUAACUAUCUUAUCAUACAAGCAUAAAAGUUAUACGUAAUACUUCUCAUAAGAUUCUGGGUUCACAUCAUCCUAAAAAAAAUCAUACAAAUCAUACUGAUUAUACAUAUCUAACCACAUUUCAUAAAUGUUUCCAAGCUACAGUCGAAUCACAAUUAAUAAACAUAGAUCGAUGCUAAAAUAAAAUAACACUUCAAUAGAAAGCACAUUUAAUUAACAAGUAUAACUCAAUAUGAUGCCACUAAUACAUAUAUUGAGACACAUGUCAACCAAGAACGACACGUCAUCGUGAUGAGCCAACUAAGUUCCAUCAAGUCUCAACAACAAACUAGAGAUAAACGACACUCUAGUGUAUAACACGUUGACUAGAACGUCAACCGUCAAUAAGGUAGGUCCAUUAAGAUCAACAAUCUAAGUUAUUCAAACCGGAAGAUCCGCACAUCAGAUUUCCGAUCCGUAAGUUCUCAAAGGUCCAACAACUGAUAACUAAGGUGCUCACAAAAUUGUACGACGAUCCAACGAUCGGAUUGUCGUCAAUCAUACAAACAAGUGGUGGUCCAUUUUGAUCACCACAUCAAACAAUUGAAUUUCGGGAAACCGAGCUAGACAUAGGUUCUUAGGAUCACUAGAAGGUAUUUCGUACUUAGACAACACUCAUGCACAGUCCCACGCACCGCCACACGCAAUGGUAGCCAUGGUGAAGGGUUUGAAAACCCAAUUUUCAACCUUAACCAAAAAGGCUCAAAUUUACGUGGUAACUAGAGCUCAACAAGGGAAACAUUAUUCACAACUAGGCCAACGACAAAUUCUAACCGGAAACCAUCCAAAUUCAUCAGGGAAAACCGGGUUUCUAGGGUUCUAAACACCUAACUCUAAAACGAAAACGAAACCACAAACCAAGCAUACCAACUUGAAGAUUAUGAAGAGUAGAUGAAGUUUAAUACCUCACUCGAAAGAAAUGGUUGCCGAAAUCACCGGAAACCCAAGGAACUUUGCUGCCUAUAACUGGAAAAAUGGAUAAGAAAAUGGGAAAUGUAACACUGCAGAGAUAUAGGGCUCAUCAAGAGCUUUCAAUGGACACCAAGAUCACCCAAAACAGAGAUCGGAAGAAGGAGAUAUGAGCGGAUCAAGUUUGCGGGUUAACGGGUCUAAUUCGCCCCAAAACGGGUUUUUUCUUCCUUUCUCUCGCCACACUCCAGUGGCUUUCUUUUCCUUCCCUCUUUUAGCCACUCCGGUGGCUUUUUUCUUCUCUUUUCAUUUUUUUUAGCAACAACUUUAAACAUCCGUAGCUAUACCGUUACAAUCCGGACUCGCAAACGGUUUUCGCAUAUGCGUUCAUAAUCUCGAUAUCUAUUCAACAAUAUAAAUUGUGACCUCGAAUGGUCUACGGAUUUUAAAUAAUUAAUUUCCCGAAAAAUAAUAUAAAAUUUCUAUAAUACCAAUACGUAGAUUAUAAUAAUGAAAUUUAGGAAUGAGAUUUCACACUUAUAGUUUUGAAACAAAUAAUUUUACAUUAGAAAAGAUAACUUAUACUUUCACUAAAAAGGAGAGCUGAUUUUUAUUAAUUAACAUUGAAGUUUUUGCCUAUUCAAGAGAUGUGGGUCCUGUAUUUCAAUCAACACAUGUGAGUCUCAUCUCUAUUAAAAAAAUGAUACAAAUGAUGGUUACAAAUAAAUGAUAAGAAUAAUAUUUUUAUUUACAAAAAAAUUAUUAUGCACUCCUAUCUAAUAAAGUAAACAAGGUCAAAAGGAGGACAAAGUGGGUUUCUUUUAGCGCUAAUAUUCUUUUAGAAACUAUAUAUUUGAUUGUAUGAACAAUAAAGUCAUUGUACAAUUUAAAUUUAAAACUCAUAAAGAAAAUUAUACAAGGCAUACAAAGUUUAUUAAUCAACAUUGAACCUUUUGUGCAUAUUCUUUGAAAACAUAAGGAAAUUAUACAAUGGUCUCCUCACAAGAAAUUCUCAACUCUUUCAUUUUUUGUGAACUUGUGAUACACGCUAAAGGGGAUGAAUUCUUCAAUGAAAUUUUGACAUGUAAAAAUGAGACCUAUUCGUAAGUUUAUUGAAAAUAAUAAAGCUCAUAUGAGUAGCCCAGAAUAUAAUUUCCUUGUGUUUUCAUAGCAUAUGAACACAAAAUAUAAUGUUGCAAAAUAAGUUUGAUGUUUUAUGUAUAUAAUUAUAAGUAUAAUAUUUUCUCACCUUCUAGUACAAGUUUUGUGCAUAUUCUACAAAACCAAAAACAAAUUAAAACUCAACAUCAUAGCAAUAUUUUCUCAAAAAUAAAAAAGCAUUUCGUAGUAAACGAAUAUACUUUUCCCUCACACUAAAUUUCGUAAAUAUUUUAUGAAAAUAUAAGGAAAUUACACUAUGGUCUCCCCUCAAGAAAUUCCAAGAAAUUCCCAGCUCCAUUAUUUUUUGUUAACUUAUAAUUCAUGGGAUCAAUUUACCAAAGGACGUAUGAUACACGUAAAUAAGAUCAAUUUAUAAGUGCAUUGAACAUGACAUAUUAUGUUAAUAGAGAAACAUAUAAUUUUCUUAUGUUUCAUGGCAUGUGCACAAAAAGUUUUAUUGUUGAAAAUUUUAUAUGUAUAUAAGCAUAUUUUCUCAUCUUAUAGUAUGCUAAAAGGAAACCAAAUAGUAGCAUCUUCAUAAUAAAUUCUCUAACUUGCUUACACCAGGCCUAUAGUGGCGAAGCCACGUGAGGGCGAGGAGUGGCGUCCACCACUCCCCUAGCCUGAAAAACAAGACUGGAGCGCUGAUUUUGCCCCUCCCCUGCCGGAAAACCCACUGGUUCUACUAUUGUUGGUCUUCGUCUCCGACUCUCCGGUCUGCUUUGCAGAUCUAACUUUUUUUUUUUUUAAACAACCAGGCCAAAACAACGUCGUUUUGGACCUGGUAAAAAAAUUUUAAAAAGAAAAAGAAAAAAAAAUGAAACGGGCAGUUUUGAUAAGUUGGAAGUCAAAAAAAAAAAUUAUAUAGGGGGACCGCGUGUCCCCCAUUCAUUCAAUCUCUUCCUUUCUCUCUCUGUUGUGUCGUUUUGCACCUUUCCCCUUUUCAUCCUCCAAUCACAGCAGCAAAGGGCAGCCAUUGCUCCCCUUUUCGAAGCAGAAAAUGGAACGGAACUUCUGCACAGCAGCACCGUUUGGCAUUAGACCAAUUAGCACUCAACAGCAGCACAGCGCCACUGCCAGGGCCCAGCUUCCAACCAUCAAACACAAUAUUUAGGUAAAUUUUUUAAUUCCCAAAUUUAUAAUCCCUAACCCUAAUUAAUUAUUUAAAAUGAAUUUUGUUUAAUUGGUAUAGAAUCAUAUAGUAAAACACUCAAUGCACUAAUAUGGUUAUAGUUAUUGAUUAUUGAUAUGAAAUUAUGAAAUUAUUUUUUAGGGUAAAAAUUAAAAUUUGAAUUCUCGAUUAUUUAUUAAUUAAUUGAAUUAUUACAUAAUGUAUUACAAUUAUUCAUGUGAUUAGUUGAAUUGAAUUUUUAUUUAUCGAAUAAUUGUUUGUUUAUUGGUAUUGAUUAAUUGAAUUGUUGGUUGGAUUAGUUAUUAUGCAUACUAUAGUAUAGUCUACUCUAGGAUUAAGAGUCUAAGAAUUUUUUUUUUCUUUCCAUUUUACAGUUAUGUAAUGGAACGAUACUAUAAGAAACAAUGCUUAAAUCCUCCUUCAAACAUUUCGGGUAGUCCUUCUCCUUCAAACAUUUCGGGUAGUCCUUUUCCUUCAAAUAUUCCGAGUAGUCCUCCUCCUCCUUCAAAUAUUCCAAGAAGUCCUCCUUCGAAUAUUCCUAGUAGGUCACAACAAAGUAAGGCCACUGAGUUGGAUGAAAUAUUAGCUAAUCUUCCUGCAGACCCUGGACAUAGACGUCAAAUGCUUGAUUAUCCACCUAAUUAUCGUGAAGCAAUUCGUAGACACUAUCUCCAAAAUGAUCCUUGUCAACCUAGAGACCACAUCAUGCCAAGAAAAGUUUGUGACAAAAGAUGUUUUAUCAUCGGUUGGUUUGAUAAGUUUAAGUGUUUGGAGUAUAGUAUAUCAAAAAAUGCUUCAUUUUGCCGUUAUUGCUAUCUUUUCAAAUGUGAUUUCGAUCAAAUGGGUAGCACUAGAAGUGAUGUCUUCACUAAGAAAAGGUUUACAAAUUAGAAGAAAGGACCUCAAAAUCUUCGAGUCCAUGAGGGAGGUGUUGGAAGUCUUCAUAAUAAAGCUGUACAAUAAGCUAGAGAUUUGAUGGCACAAAAACAACACAUUGAAACAUUUGUGAGUAAGCAAACCGAUGAAGCUCGCAUUAAUUAUCGUACUUUCUUGAAUGCCUCACUUGAGUGUACAAGAUGGUUGUUAGGACAAGGUUUGCCUUUUCGUGAUCACGAUGAAUCAUUCAAAUCAAGCAAUAGAGGUAAUUAUUUGGAGCUUAUGCAAUUUCUUUCCAAGCAUAAUGAGCAAGUUAGGAAAGUUGUGUUGAGAAUGCUCCCAAGAAUCUUAAGUAUACUUCUUCCGAUAUUCAAAAAGAUCUUGUCCGUGCUUGUGCCAUUGAAAUUAUAGAUGCAAUCACUAAAGAUAUGGAAGGUGCAUUCUUUUCUCUUUUGGUUGAUGGAUCACAUGAUUCUUCAACUAAAGAGCAAAUGGCAGUAGUAUUGCGUUAUGUGAACAAAAAAGGAGAAGCAAUUGAAAAGUUUUUGGGUGUACAACAUGUCACUUCUACAACUAGUAGCUCACUUGAAGAGGCUAUUGAGAGAUUUUUUGCUACAACAAAUUUGAGUAUGUCCAAGUUACAGGACAAAGCUAUGAUGGAGCUAGUAAUAUGAAAGGUGAGCUAAUGGCCUUAAAACAAAGAUUUUGAACAAGUAUCCUCAAGCAUUUUAUGUUCAUUGUUUUGCACACCAACUUCAACUAGCUCAUGUAGCCGUUGCAAAGGGAAUUGAGGGCGUCGCCAUUUUCUUCAACAAUGCUAGUAUCUUGGUCAAUACUAUUGGAUCAUCGUGUAAGCAUCGUGAUGCAUUUAGAGAGAAACAACUAGAACAAAUUACAAAAACUCUUGAUAUUGUUGAUCUUGAAAUGGGUAGAGGGUUAAAUCAAGAGAGCAGUCUCAUGUGUCUUUGUGAUAUACGUUGGAACUCACAUUAUGGUACUAUAAUGAGUAUUAUUGUCAAUUUUGAAGCUGUGGUGGAGGUGCUUGAAUGGAUUAAAGAUGAUACCAACCAAGACAAUUUCGAAGAAGCAAGUAAGUUAUUCCAUGACAUACAAACUUUUGAUUUUGUGUUUCACCUUUUUUUUAUGAGACACAUAUUGGGAAUUAUAGAUGAGUUAUCACAAGCAUUACAAAAGAAAGAUGAAGAUAUUGUGAAUGCGAUGGCAUUAGUGGAGGUAUGCAAGCAAAGAUUACAAUCCUUGAGAGAUGAUGAUUUUGGGAACUUGCUUGAUGAUGUACAAAAGUUUUGUGAAGAGCAUGAUAUUGUUGUUCCUAACAUGGAGGAUUUGCAUUUCGUACCCGAAAAAUCAAGGCGUAAAGCUCCAAGACUCACAAACUUCCAUUACUAUCGUGUGGACCUCUAUUUUCAAGUCCUUGAUACGCAAUUAAAGGAAUUGAAUGAUCACUUCGAUGAGGUAAACACUGAAUUGCUUCUUUGUAUGGCAUGUUUGAGUCUGGUGAAUAAUUUUGCAUCUUUUGAUAAAGCAAAAAUUGUUCAUCUAGCCCAACAUUAUCCUCAAGAUUUUGAUCGUAUGGACCUCAUAAAUCUUCCAAUUCAACUUGACAAUUACAUUCAUGAUAUGAAGAUGCAUAGUGAGUUUUCAUCAUUGAGAGGAAUUGUGAUCUUGCAAAGGAGUUGGUGAAGACCGGAAGGUGUGCAAGCUAUAUCUUAGUGUAUAAGCUUCUUACAUUGGCUUUAGUGUUACCGGUUGCAACCGCUUCGGUGGAGAGAGCUUUUUAUGCUAUGAAGAUUGUGAAAACACCAUUGCGUAACAAAAUGGGAGAUCAAUUGUUAAGUGAUAACAUGCUUGUUUACAUUGAGAGAGAUGUAUUUGCUUUUAUUGAUAAUGAGCCUAUUAUGCGACGUUUUCAUGAUAUGAAACCUCACCGGCAACAAUUGUAAUUGUAUUGAUAAAUUAUGGAAGACAUUACUAUAUAAAAGGAUUUGGUUGUUGCUAUUCUUUUGAACUUUGCAAUCUUUUAACUUCGCCCCUCCCCCCGUCAAUUCCUGGUUUCGCCACUGCAGGCCUAUGAAUUCACUCGCAACAAAAUUUGAAUUGAGAAAAAAAUUCAUCUUACACUAUUCUCCAAUGAAAUAAGAAAGGUCAAAAGGAGGGCAAAGUGAAUUUCUUUUAGCAAUAAUAACAGUUUUUUUUUUUUGAACAAACAAUAUAAUCCAUACUAAGGAGGUGAGGGAGGUGGGCUAAGCCUCACAAUGACUAACAAUAAUGUGGUUCAAAUUCUUCUUUGGUGAGAAUCGAACCUAAGAACUCUUACUUACAAGUGAAAAGGAAUACUACUAGACCGUAGUACUAAGUUGCCUAAUAAUAGUUCUUUUAAAAACUAUAUAUUUGAUUACAUGAACAAUAAAGUCAUUGUAUAAUUUAUAUUUAAAACUCAUAAAGAAAAUUAUUUAGGAAAUAAAAUUAUAUUUAAAGACAUUCAAGUUUUAUUAAUCAAUAUUGAAACAAUUGUGCAUAUUCCAUGAAAGCAUAUUGAUGAGAUUAUAAUAUAGUCUCCCACAUGAAAUUCUCAGAUCUAUUAAUUUCCGUGAACUUGUGAUACACAAUAAAUGUGUGAAUUCUCCAAUGGACUUCUGAUAAUUGUAAAUGAAAUCCAUUCUUAAGUUUAAACUGGAAAUGACGAAGCAACCAAGAAGAACAAAGUAGACCCAGGAGGAGCCAAUAACACACCAACACAAAACUAAAAUACUCACUAGAGAUACUCACAAAUAACCUCAAGAAAAUAGUAAGGCUAGGAGAACGGAGAUGGGCAGCCAUUGGCCACAAGCUAAAGAAAGGGGUCAGGAGCUGUGAAUUUUAUAAAUAUAAGAUUUUAGUAGAGGAAAGGAGAGAGACGCUAGCAGUAGUUUCUUAUAUAUUAGCAUUCCAAGAAUCCAUCCUUUUGACUUUUAUUAAUGUAUUUCUAGUACAAUUUUAAUAAGAGUAUUAUCGGAAAGUAAAUAUGUAUUUUACACUAAUAAGAAAGAUGUAAAUUUGGGAGCUCAUUUAUUUAUGGUCUCUUUUAACCAAUGAAAAUGGAUAUACAUAUUUUUUUAGUCCACCUCUUAAAAAUGUAAAUAUACAUUUUAUUCACAUGUUUACACUAAUCCUUUGAGAGCUUUCCAACCAAAAAAAAUUAAAUUGUAGUACACCACAUGCUAUUAUAUAAUUGGAAAAAAAAAUUAAUUUUUCAAGUGUUAUUCUAUUUGUAUAAUGAUAUGUGUUAUAUUACUUUGUGUUUUGUGCACUGAAAAAUAUCUCGUAUCAGAUAUGCUAGUGGAGUACCAAUUUGGGGUUGUUGAAAUUAAUUUUUUUUUGUCAAAGGGUUGUUGAAAUUAUUUAAAAGAAUAAAUUGUAGCAAUGGUACCUCAAUUUUAAUGAAAUUAGAGCAAUGAUUCUUCAACUAAAAACCUAUUAUCAUUCGUCCUUCAACUCAUCAAAACGUGUAGCUGUGAUCCUUUUCGUCAACUUGGUCAAAAUGAAUUAUGUUGGAAGGACCAUUGCUACAAUUAGAUUAAAGUUUAGGGACCAUUCUCCAAUUGGAUUAAAAUUGAGAGACCAUUUUUUCAGUUAAAUUAGAAUUGAAGAACCAUUGGUAAUAGAUUUUUAGUUGAGGGACUAUAGCUGCACGUUUUGAUGAGUUAAAAGACCAAUGCUAAUAGAUUUUUAGUUAGAGAUCAUUAUUUCAAUUGAGUUAAAGUUAAUUGACUAUUACUAUAAUUUACUAUAUUUAAAAAGCAACUUAUUAAAAAAUCUGGUGAAUGGUGAACAUUAAAGUUUAAUGAAAAUUUUAUGAGGAUAGCAGUACCCUGGGUUUUUAAUUAAAAUUACAGCCAGUAUCUUCGCUUCUCCUUUCCCCUUUCUCCAUGUCGUCCUUCAAAUCGAAGGUUGGCGACCUUCAAUUACCUGGAGAAAUCAACAAUAAGCCAUAAUUCCUUCAAUUAGAGGAUGCUCUGCUCGUCUUCUGCUGACUUUUCUUUAAAUUUUGAGCUUACAGUGCUCACAUGGGAACAUAGAGAGAGAGAGAGAGAGAUAAAGAGAGAGAGAGAGAGAGAGAGAUUGAAGUUUUUAUGGAAGGAAAGAAAUUUGAGCUUUGUGUAGGAUAGAGCAGGCGAGUGAGAUUGCAUGCGACGAAUCAGUUAGGUUUCUGACUUCAAAUGGCGCCGUUUGUGGUCUGAUCCGUCCGAGUUAUGGAGAUCGGACAUUGGAGCUCCUAACUAGCAAUAAUUUGGAGCUGCAGAUUCGGUGAGAAAUUCAAAAUAUUUGGAAUGGCUAUGGGGAAACGGGAUGACACAGAGAGAUUGGGUGAUUAGGAUUGUGCCGUGGGCUGGGAGGUCGCGGCGGCGGCGGAAGGAACCCAGACAUAAAACCGUAUAAUUAUUAGAAAUAUUUAGAAAUUGAUGGGCUGGUAUUUGUUCAAUAAAUCUAUGGGCUGGAUAUAUGGGCUGGUGUUUGUUUAAUUAAUCCAUGGGCUGGUGUUCAAUAUGACUUGGAUUUAAGGUGAAAUUAUUAGAAAAUUUCUAUUAAACUAUUUGAUGGCACGUAAGUGCAGAAGCUGAAGAUAAACAUUGAAGAAGAUAAACAUCGAAGGAAAAAUGGGGAAGAUAAGAUUAUUAAAGAAAAAGGUUAGAUAAAUUAUCAUCCAACCUUAUGAUAUUUUCAGUCAUCUCUAUAUGGGCUUGUUUGACGGCCUGAAAGAUUUUGGACCUUAGAGAGAAAAUUAUAUUAAUAGGGAUUUGAAAGGUAAAACUUGUAACCUAUGUAUAAAGAUAAAUUAGAUAACAUAUUUUAUUGUGAAUUCAUAAUUCAUCAUUGUAGAUGUAAAUUUCUUUCUCCUUGUUCUUGGACAAAAUUGCACCUACAAAAUAAAUAACAACUUAGAUCAAGACCAAGAGCCUCACGCGCCCACGAUGAAUUAGGGGGGCUUUGGUCGAAAAACCUCUGAUGUCAAAAUUAGAAUUUUUAGAGAAAAUUGUUUGAAGAAUUUUGAGUGUUUAGCAAGAGUGAAACUUAGGUUUUUAAAGAAAAUAAGGAAGAAUAUAUAAGGCAUGGCCGGCCCCCUUGGGAGAGAAGAUGACCGGCCUCUUGUGUGUUUUUUUGGUGUAAUUGGUAGUUUAAUUAGCCAUUAAUAAAUUAAUUAGGUAAUAAAUCCAUUAAUUAGUUAAUUAACAUAAUUUAAAAGGAAUGUUUUAGGGGUUACCUCGUGGAGAAGAUAUGAUAAGGGACGGAUGAAAUAAGUUAUAAAUAAAUACCUAUUUGUGCACUUUUGACUUGAUUGUGAGAUGAUUGUCCACUGCUCGUGUGUAGUAAUUCCAGUGUGCCUCAAGGAUAAUUUUGUCAUUUUAACCCAACAAUCCACGUGUCGCCUCUUGAUUAUUUUUAGCUCCACAAUCAUGUCAUGUCCACUUUACUUUUUAACACAACAAACAACGAAUUAGAUUAAGGUCUAUUUUAACUAUUACAUGCUAACACAUAUUGUGCGAAAAAUUUCUUUUUAUUUUGUUUUGUAUUAUAAAGUGUUGAUUAUUUUAAAAAUUCUCGAAAAAGCUUACAUGAGGUGCUCAGAUCAGAGUCGAUCGUUUUCAAGUCGUAACCCUUUUCGGAGCUGUGGGGAAGAUGGUGGCUUGGUAGUUGGGUUGGGUGAUAUCCGCCUCUUAUGAAGCUUUUUCUAUUUUUUUUAUUUUUUAUUGUUAAUUUUCUUUUUAUUUGUUUGUUAUUAAAUUUUGUGGGAUUCACAUGUGUGUCACGUUAACAUUCUAACAGAAGUUUUGACGAAAAUAUAAUGGCAAAUUGAUUUGUAGCAUCCAAUUCAAAGGCUACACUGAUCGAUUUCAAUUUCAAAUGUCACCUUAAUUAGUGCGUCAAUUUCCGACUAUUUGCGUUGAAGACACAUUAUAGAAAAAUCUACUACACACACAACGUGUGGGGGGUGUUGAUUUGAACGCCCGGUGAAGUCACGGUAAGACCAAAACAUGUAGCCAGAAAAUUCGGUGUCUCGCCUUCCCAACUCGUUCGACCUAUGUAUGUGUGCUGAAACAGAGUCGAAAACAAACAACGCACGACAUUCUCAGUUUCUCAUCAAACUAAAUUAUUUUACGUUCUCUCUGUAAACCGUUGGAAUUUCUGUUCUUCUUUCGUCACCCAAGAACAGAUUACGUAAUUGAAUCAAGUUUUGAGUCUCAUUGUUUCCGUAAAUUAUGUCUCUGGUUUCGGUCAGAAUGGGUGCUCUGAGAACGUCAUUUCAAAUGCUGUUUGAUGCGGUAAAAUCAGCGCAGGAGGAGAAUACAAUGUUCCAACACCUCCUCGGAGACAUCAAAUCCACACUGGAAUCUCUACAACCACUCAUCAAAGACAUCGAAAAGUAUAACUCCAAGGAGGGGCGGGAAAAUUAUGCAAUACAGAUGGAGGAAGGAGCAAAGCUUGUUCAAAAGUGCAGCAAAGUUGGCGUGUGGAGAAAACACACAUACACCAAGAAGCUUAAUCAACUGGACAAAUCUCUUCGAAGAGUGUUUGAUGUGCUUAAACUGCAGGUUAUGAGGGUGCGAGGGAGACGUUGGUUCCUUUGAGGAAUAUCGAGACGGUGCUCUCUCGAAUAGAAGAGAGAUUGAAGAUAAAAAAUAACCAGCCUGAAAUGGUUAAAUGUUCGUCUGCGGUGCCUGAAGCGCCAUCAGUUACAGUCGGGUUGGAUUUGCCGUUGAAGGAGUUGAAGGUGAAGCUCCUUAAGGAUGAAAAGGUGUCUAUGCUUGUGCUGACCGCCGCUGGACGAUGCGGGAAAACCACCUUGGCUAAAAUGUUUUGUCAAGAUCAAGAAGUCAAAGGUAUGCUAUUUAUGAUUUCAACCAUACACAGUAACCAAAAUUUGUUAAAAGAAAAACAACGAAAGGGGACAUGAAACUAAAGCGCACGAAAGGAAUAUAAGAAAGAUUAGAAAGACCUAUAUUCUCUGUACUAAAGUUAAGCUGAUGCCUUCCUUUUAUUAACACCUUUCCUACAUUCUGUUUGAAUAGAUACAUUCAAGAACAACAUCUUCUUUGUCAAUGUCUCGAAAAAACCCAACUUGGACCUUAUUGUACACGAACUAUAUCAACGGAAGGGGUCCGAGCUGCCUGCUUUCGAAAACGAAGACAUGGCAGCUAACUGGUUGCAACAAUUUCUGAUGGAAUCAAGACAAAAUCCUCUACUGUUUGUCCUGGAUGAUGUUUGGUCAGGAUCAGAGUCCCUUCUUGAGAAGUUUGAUCAAUUCAAGUUUUCAAAUUACAAGAUUUUGGUCACAUCAAGAUUUGCAUUUCCAAGAUUCGGUUCUCCUUAUCAUUUGGCACCAUUGAAUGAUGAAGAUGCAAUGGCUCUUUUUCACUAUUCUGCAUCCUUGGAAGAUAAGAGCUCUUAUACUUACGAAGAUCUUUCGAGAAAGGUGAUUUCUUAGUCCACAAUACACACACACACACACACACACACACACACACACAUAUAUAUAUAUGCUUAUUUAUGCCUCAGAAGAAGGUAAAGAAUAACAUUUGAGCAUCCACACACGUUAAUGAACUGUGAAGAGUGAAGUAAGAAGAAUGAAAGACUAGACAGUUUACAAUUUUAUCAUCUAUACGAAACCAUAGUAAUUGAAUUCAUUUUGGAUAAUGAUAUUGCAGAUUAUCAAGCGCUGUAAGGGAUGCCCACUUGCCAUUGCAUUGGUUGGGAGAUCACUUCGCGGCCAGCCUAUAGAAAUCUGGCACAAAAGAGUAGUGGAAUGGUGCAAAAGUUCAUCUAUUCUUGAUUCUGACAAGGAUUUACUUGCUUGCCUCCAAAGCAGCUUAGAUGCCUUGGAUAAAGAGAAGGUUAUCAUCAAGGAAUGUUUCCUCGAUCUAGGUUCUUUUCCGGAGGACCAAAGAAUUGCUGCUGCCGCUCUCAUUGAUAUGUGGGCGCAGUUAUAUGGUCUAGAUGAAGAAAUUCUGACCAUUGCCAACCUUCACGAGCUCACCGCUCGAAGUUUAGCUAAUCUUGUUGUCACAAGGUAUGCAGGCUGCUCAUAAUUUUUUCUAUUUAAUUAUGUAUGCCGAACAAAUCAUUAAAGAAAGUAGUAUUGAUCAUCCAGACAUGAGGGGGAGACAGAUGGCUAUUACACUGAACACUUUGUCACCCAGCACGACAUGCUUAAGAGAGUUGGCGAUCCAUCCGGCGAGUCAAGACCCAGCACGACAUCACUUGAUUUAGUUGAGUAUUGAAGAAGUUACGGACGUUUAAAGUUUACCCAGUUUCCGGCGAGUUUUCUAGUUUUCCCUUGGACCAGUCAACUUUGAGGCUGUUGUCUGACCAUCUCUGGCAACCAUUGGGCUUCUAAAUAGGUAUAAUCUUAUUCUACACUUUCCUAUCUUCAUUUUGAUAUUAUGGAUCGAAUUUGAUUAAGAAACAAUUGAGUUACGAGGCUUUGAAAAUUGCCCAAACUUCCGGCCAAGAGCUCCGGGACACUGAACGGAGUUUUUAACAGAUUGACCACUAUGAUGGAUAGUGAACAAUCUCAGGGACCACUUCUAUUGAUUUGAAAUCUCAGGUACCCAAAUGAGGAGUUAUGCAAAUCUCAGGGACCAUUUUGGCUAAAAAGCCUAUUGUAAAUAACAUGUUUGCACUCCUCAUUGUUCAACUCUUCAUUGAUUCUCUUUGAUUUAUCCAAUCAAUGGGUGUUUGUGCAAUGUAUGCAGAAAAUAAGGGCAUGGAAAGAAAAUAAGAGUUAAAAAAUAACUUCCCUUUGAUUUAUCCAAUCAAUGAGUGUUGGUGCAAUGUAUUAACUCUAUUGGUUGUUUCUCCACUCUUUCUCUUGCUGAACCUCUUCAUUCCCUUUCAGUUAAAUAGGCCAUUAAAUUAAUGUUUUAUUUUAAGGGUAAUGCUAAAGACAUUAAAUUUGUAGACAAAAUUUUGCAAACUAAGUGACAUAGAAGUUGAUGAUUAGAUUAUGGCUUAAGUGUAGAUAAACGUGCUUAAUCAUAUUGGUAACAUAUCAUUUAGUUUACAAAUUUUGUCUCUAUAACAUUACUCGUAUUUAAAACUAUUUAUUCAAGAGCACAACAUUUUUUUUACUAUUUUAUUUUAAACUAUUUAUGCUACAGCACAACAUUUUAAAAGCAGUGCAAUACCAAAUCAUAUGUACUAGAAAAUUAUGUAUCUCCUCGCCUCCUAAGAGCAAGUCCACCCCUGUGGACUUUGCGCCAGCACCCAGCGCAUUUAUCCACUCAAAUGAACAGUAACAGACUCCAAUGAACAGUAAUAGGCCAAGGCAUCUCCACCCCUAAAACUAAAUAGCCUAGUCAAUUUUAUUAAAAUAUUAUUAAUUUUUAUUAUAAAAUAAUAAUUUUUAUUAAAGUACUCUUUGGACUCCAUUCUUCUUUUUCUUCCGUGAUUUUCCAACUGUGCUGUCAAGCACAGUUUCACCACUUUUUCUUCCCUUCUUCUUUUUCUUCUCUUCAAACCACCAAAACCCAUGUGAGAUUAGCCAAGUUCAGCCCUACCCCACGAGCUGCAACCACCAAACGAACCCGACGACCCACAAUCCCACCCAACCUUCCUCCCCGAUCCCCUCACCCACUGGUGCGCCAACCAAAACUGCAAACCCUUCGCCGUCGAUCCUCUCGAUCCCCGGAGCUCAUCCGAUUACGACUGGUUCUCCGACGCCGCCUCCGAUUCAGACCAUGACGUCAGCUACUUCGUCACCGAUCUAUUCAAUCGCUGCAGCUCCGAGCAACAGCCCAAGACCGAGAGGGAGAGUUUUGGAUAUGGAAGCUCGAGUUGGGGUGGUGGUGGAAGGAAAGCAGAGAGCUUCGAAUUCAGCUCAAGGAGAUAUGGCGGUAUCACCUGGCAUCAUGUAGGCCGGGCAAGAGCUCAGCACAUUCUGAGCCGGCCUAGAGACCAGCUUGGGCUGGGUGCCAGCCUAUCUGCUCGGCUGGAAUGGAUUGGCUGGGUGUCGGGCCAAUAAUUUGGCUGGGUGCUGGCCUAAAGGUUCCCCGGUGGAACUGCUCUAAUAACGCGUCAAAUGUCUUUCCCAGCUCGUUCGUUUUCUUUGGGUGAAAUUCAUUGCUCGUUCGUUAAGUUGUAUAUAUGUGUGCUAAAACCAACAAAUAGCUUACAUAUCAUUCUCACUUUCUCAUCAAACUAGAUUAACGAAGAGGAUUAAGGGCCAGUUUAGGAUUGCUGUAUUAAAAAAAACUAAUUAUGUUAUGCUUUAAGAAUAAUCAGCUGUAAAAUAAAGCUGAUGACCGUUUGGUUAAUUGAAUUUUAAAAGUGUUGUGAAUAUGAAAAGCAACAUAAAAGCGUUUGGUAAAAUUUAAUGUAAAAGUGAUAUGAUUGUAUACAAUGAUAGAUGGACAUAGUAGUAGGAGUGGGGGCAACGACAACAGUGGUGGUGGUGGUGGUGGAGGUGGUGGUUGCGGUAGAGGUGGUGGUGGUGGUGGUGGUGGUGCUAAUAGUGGGAUGUGUUGGUUGAGGUGGAAAGGUAACACUAGUGGCAAGGCGUGGUGGUGCUAAUAAUGGGAUGUGUUGGUUGAGGUGGAAAGGUAACAUUGGUGGUAAGGUGGUGGCAGUGGUGGCGAUUGCGGUUAUGGUGGUGUCGGCAGUGGCGGCAAUGAUGGUGGCAAUGACAGUUGUGGUUGUGAUGGCAAUGGUGGCAGUUGCAGUAAUGGUGGUGGUGAUGGUGUUUGCGAUAGCAGCAUCGAUGGUGGUAGUAGUGGUGGUGGCAAUGGCGGCGGUGCGAUAAUGGUAGUGAUGGUGGUGACAAUGAUGGUAGUGAUGAUAGUGGUGGAGGUUGUGGUCAUGGCAGUGGUGGUGACAAAAUUGGUGGUUGUAAUGGCGAUGAUGGCGUAAAGUUAGUAUUUGUAGUGGUAGGUGGUAGCGUUCACUUUAUUCUCUAAGGAAUAAAAUGUGUGUGGAAGGCUAAACAAUGUCAUUUAAAAAAAAUUAAUGAAUGUAUUACAGCAAUUAAAAAUAAUUAUUAUAGACCCAACUUUGCUUUUUAUUAAAGCAACUUACAUGCUGCUUUUAAAAACUGAUGUAUGAAGCCCAUUGUUUGGAGUCUCUUUGUUUUGGUAAAUAUGUCUCUUGCUUCAGUCGGAAUGGGUGCUCUCAGAAUGGCAUUUGAAAUGUUGUUUGAUGCUGUAAAAUUAGCGCAUGAGGAGAAUAAAAUGUUCCAACACCUCUCCCGAGACAUCAUGUCCACACUCGACUCUGUACAACCACUCAUCAAAGACUUCGAGAAAAGUAUAACUCGAGGAGGGAGCAAGCUUUCAACAGUUGUUACUUAAUCUCAGUGGCAUUCCUGAAUCUAGAAGAAAUGUACAUCGACUAUUGCAGUGAUUUAAUAGAGUUGCCUGCCGAGAUUUGUGAACUUAGUAAACUAAAGAAGUUCAGUGUCACUGUCAUAAGCUGUCUGCCAUACUUGAAGGGAUUGGAAAGUCGAAAAAUUUAGAAAUGUUGAGGCUAAGAUCCUGCACAGAACUGUCAAAGCUUCCAACCACGAUGAAGAACCUUGGAAAGGUAAAAUUUCUUGACAUAUCUGUAUGCUUUAGCAUCAAGAUGUUGCCCAAAGACUUAGGUGAAAUGAGUAGUUUAAAGAAGAUCAACAUGAGACAAUGCUCAAGGUUGCAAGAGCUGCCUCCAUCAGUCAUGGAUCUUAAGCAGUUAAAGGAAGUAGUCUGUGAUGAAGAGACAAAAUACUUAUGGGAAUAUUUCUCAUUGUGUCUCAAUAACGUAAGGAUAAUUGUGGCCAGAGAGAAUAUCAACCUAAAUUGGAUCCACAAGACUCAGUUCUGAUACCUGUGUUUCCUCAGAGAACGUUGCUAUUCAACCUCUCUUGACUUGUGUUUCAUUGUCUUCCUAUUUUAGGCUAUUUCCCAUCUCCUUUUCAGUUUACGCCCUUCAUUUCGUAAAUGUGGGAUAUUGCAAGUUAUAAUCAUUUGUCGUUAAAUUAGAACUAUUUUGACAACCUUAAGAAAUUUUCUAAACUUGUGAAAUGUGAAGAGAAAUUUAAUAUCUAAGCAAUAAGUUUAAUGUGAAAAUUGUUUUAUCAGAUGGAAAAUGUGGUUUGUGCUUUUAAUGGGACUUUUUAAACUCUACUCUAACAUAGUUUCACAAUCAAUCCCUAUACACAGUUUCUUAACCUUUUGGUUUGAAAAUCUGUAUGUAUAAUAAUUCAACACCACCAUCUGAUUCAUGCUCUCCAAAAUAAAUUUUAUAAGUAAAAGGAACCAAAAAGAGAAGGUUGAAGAUUCUCCAUAAGACAAGAACUUUUAUGCCACGGGGUCAAGUGUUAAUCUUGUCCUCGAUAAGUUUUUCUAGUAUCUAAACUCACAUUUGUUGGUCAAGUUUCCAGAACUGUGUUCAUAUAUAAUCUGGAUUCAUUACCAAAUCUAGAGGAAUUGAUUGUUAUUGACUAUUGCGAUGAAUUGGUCUCAAACUAUGUUUUCCAACCAACACAGAUUGAUCAGCCUUUUUUUUUUUUUAAAUAAAAAACUGUUUGAUUAGCUUAAACUUAUUUUUCUUGUUCAAACUUUUAAUAGUUAAACUAAUAAAGAAUGGACCAUAUUUUCUUUCUUUUAAAAGUUGUUCACAUAGAAGUGGUCAUUGACAAAGUAGAUAAUGAAUAAACAUUGUAAUUUGGAUGAAAUUACACAAAUUCAAUACUUUAAUUAGAUUUAUAUACUUUAAAUGAAAAUAAAUAAAUUUAAUAUUCUUAGAGAAGGGCACAAUAGAAAUUUCACAACUAAGAAUCGAUUAUAGCAUGCCAAUACUUAAAUAGCCGACUUGGCUUUGUAAUGGGAAGGGUACAAAGAAAUUUCACAACUAAAAAUUAAUUAGAUCAUGACAAUUAGGUAGAUGAGGGGUUCUUUUCUCCAAAUGAACUCUUGAAGUAUUUUUAUAGAAAACUUAUAGUUUUGAAACAAAUAAUUGUACAUUAGAAAAAGAUAGCUCAUAGUUUCACUGAAAAAGAGAGUUGAUUUUUAUUAAUUAGCAUUGAAGAUUUUGCCUAUUAAAAAGAUGUGGGUCUCAUCUUUUUAAUAGAGGUAUGACCCAUCAAUACAUAUUAAUCUCAUCUUUAAUAACAUUUUUUUUGCAAAAAUUAUUAGGCACUGCUUCCUAAUAAAGUAAACAAGGUCAAAGGAGGACAAAGUGGUUUUCUUUUAGCACUAAUACUCUUUUCGAAACUAUAGAUUUGAUUGUAUGAACAAUAAAGUCAUUGUACAAUUUAAAUUUAAAACUCAUAAAGAAAAUUAUACAAGGCAUAAAAAGUUUAUUAAUCAACAUUGAAACUUUUGUGCAUAUUCUAUGAAAACAUAAGGAAACUUUACUAUGGUCUCCUCACAAGAAAUUCUCAACUCUUUCAUUUUUCGUGAAUUUCUGACACACGCUAAAGGGGAUGAAUUCUUCAAUGAAAUUUUGAUACGCAUAAAAAUGAGACCUAUUCGUAAGUUUAUUGAAAAUAAUGAAGCGCAUAUGAGUACUCCAGCCCAUAAUACAAUUUCCUUGUGUUUUCAUAGCAUAUGCACACAAAAUAUAAUGUUGAAAAAUAAGUUUUAUUUUUUAUGUAUAUAAGUAUAAUAUUUUCUCAUCUUCUAGUACAAGUUUUGUGCAUAUUCUACAAACCCAAAAAAUAAAUUAAAAAUCAACAUCUUAGCAAUAUUUUCUCAAAAAAAUUAAAUAAAAUAAAUUUCACGGUAAACAAAUAUACUUUUCCACACUAAAUUUUGCAAAUAUUCUAUGAAAAUAUAAGGAAAUUACACUAUGGUCUCAUCUAAAAAAAUUCCAAGAAAUUCCUAGCUCUAUCAUUUUUCGUUAACCUAUAAUUCAUGCAAACGAGAUCAAAUUAUCAAAGGACGUAUGAUACACGUAAAUGAGGUCAAUUUAUAAGUGCAUUGAACAUGGCAUAUCAUGUGAAUGGGAAUAAAGAAGCAUAUAAGUUUCUUAUGUUUUCAUGGCAUGUGCACAAAAAGUUUUAUUGGUGUUGAAAAUUUUAUAAUGUAUAUAAGCAUAUUUUCUCAUCUUGUUGUAUGCUAAAAGGAGCAGAUAGCGGCAUCUUCAUAAUAAAUUCUCUAACUAACUUACACCAAGCUUAUGAAUUCACUCGCAAAAAAAAAAUUUGAACUGAAAAAAAAAAAAUCUUACACUAUUCUCUAAUGAAAUAAGAAAGGUCAAAAUGAGGGCAAAGUGACUUUCUUUUAGCACUAAUAAUAUUUUUUUUUUUUUUGAAUAAACGAUAUUAUCUACCCUAAGAGGGUGGGGGAGUAGGCUAAGCCUCACAAUAGCUGGCAGUAAUGUGGUUCAAUGUGGUUCAAAUUUGUCUUUUGUGGAAAUCGAACCUAAGACCUCUCACUUACAAGUGAAGAGAAACAUCACUCAACCGUAGUACUAAGUGGCCUAAUAUGUCACACCCCGACCCGGAAUGUCCAGUAGGACUCCGAAUCGAGCUGUGCUGACCGACACCUGGAAGGUGACGAAGUCAUAAAAUGUGAUGAUGUGGAAAAAAAAUGAAUAAAUUUAAACCUAAAAGUGCAUAAAUACAACAGUGCGCCGCGAACGGAAAUGAACCCAUUUCACACGUGACGUCAAAGCAUAAAUAAAGUACAAUAGAGUGGAUUGAAAAUCAUACCAUCAAAGGUAAUCUCCAAUACCAAGACUUGCCAUGAAUCCUCGUCGAUAUGAAAGCUUUGCUACUAGACUUGGAGGGACAAAACAAGAGUAAGUGGCCAGAACAUAAAGCUUUAAUAAAGACCUUCUAAACGAUAUAAUCCCUCACCGUAACACCUGUUUAGCUUCCAAAAAAUCAUACUACGGAUAAGUAUGAAAUCAAAAGUAUACUAACAUUAAAUCCAGAAGUAUACCACGACACAGCAUCUCAAUAACAAUAUAAAUAAUCAAGUGCUUAAUAACCCAUACUAGCACGCCAACCAUAUCUCAUCAAUCAAUACUAACACAUAAGUCGGAGUCACCUGUAGUGACCUGUACAACUUAUCCACAUCUCAUUAAUCAAUGCUAGCUCAUAAGUCGAAGUCACCUAUAGUGACCUAUACGACUUAUCCAUAUCUCAUCAAUCAAUGCUAGCUCAUAAGUCGGAGUCACCUAUAGUGACCUGUACGAGUUAUCCAUACCUCAUCAAUCAAUGCUAGCUCAUAAGUCGGAGUGACAUAUAGUGACUUGUACAACUUAUCCAUAUCUCAUCAAUCAAUGCCAGCUCAUAAGUCGAAGUCGCUUAAAACAUCAUAUAGUCAUGCCAUCACUCGAUCGUUCCAAAUAAAAUGUAAUCAUAAUUAUGCAUCCCACAUUUCACAACAUAUACUCACCUGAACUUAUCUAUGCAUCCUGCACUCACCUUCGUACUUUAAAGCAUUCAUAAUAAUUAUGUGCAAUAUAUACUUAUGGACAUGCCUUGAUGCAAUUCAAAACUUAACCAUAUCAUAGUGCUUCCAAAUAUAUAUAUAUAUAUAUAUAUAUAUAUAUAUAUAUAUAUAUAUAUAUAUAUAUAUAUAUAUAUAUAUCAAUACUGUGGCGUAAAAUGCACAAUCUAUAACGCCCUACUCCCGAACUAUUAAUUUUUAGGAAUAAUUAUUGGUGACAAGCUCAACUAAACAUUAGUUUAACUAACUAUCAAUACUUACAAUUCUUUACUUCAAAUUCUCGAUCCUUCACACAAUGAUUUAUGACCAACAUCCAAUCACUAAAUCAUAAGGUUAACUCUCACAUUUUCCACCAAUGUCCCUCACCUUGCACAAUUUCCCAAACAAGGCUAUUGCCUCAAUUAUUUAAUCUCAUUUAUGUUAUGGCUACAUCUAACGUCUCGUUAGACUGCCUACGUACCCUAAACAGAAAUCAAGCCAUUCGUAGUUCGCAUUAGUACUUCACAGCAUUCACAGUAAUUAUAUGAAAUAAUCAAUUUAUAAGCAUUUGUGGAAUUAUCAAUAUAUAUAUAUAUAUACACACACGAUAGAAAGGAAGAGACCCACUCACCUGAGGUCCGCGCUAUGACUCCCUAGCAUGAAUAUUGCGACAUCACGAACCAUCAUCGCCUAUAACAAUUAUCAAAUCACGUCUCAAAGUUCUUAUCAAUAAAAUAUGCAACUUACAUAACAUACAUCCCUGCGUAGUUCGAUUCGGAAGAUCCGCAUCACGGAUUUCCGAUCCCUUACUUCCAAAGAUCCACAUUAUACUUCUAGAACAACAUCCUAAAGUUCCAUUACGAUCCAACAGUCGGAUUUCCACCAAUUGCCAAAACCAAGUGGCGGUUAAUAUUUUAUUUUAUGAACUUAAAAAUCCAAUUCGGGAAGAUCCGUAUAUUGGAUUCCCGAUCCGUAAGUUCCUAUGGCCCUUAAAUAUCACGUACUAUAACAUAUUAAAGUUUGGGGACAAUCCAAUAGUCGGAUUGUCGAUUCAAAUAAUGACCUAUUAACGUAACAUAGAGAAUUUAGGUUCCAACAAUCAACCUACAUCAUACAAUUACCAAAACUGAGCUCAAGGUAUCUAAUUUAGCCUAAGAAUAACAUCGACUGCCCCCUGGCCACGCGACACCGCACGCACCGCCGUGGGUGGCAGUCGACCGCCCCGACUCGCCGGAAAAUCCAACUAUUUCCAAAAAUUACCAAAAUUUACAAGAAUGAAGAUCUCAAUGAGUAGAGUAAACUUUAUACAUGUGGCCAAUUCCAAUUUGGCCGGGAAAAGCUUCAAUUUCACUCAAACCUGCCGAAACCUAGAAAAUGGUGUGCUCCAAUUCGACCUCCAUACUCAUUCUGACGCCUCGACCAUUGCUUGGGCUUUAUGGUAAUUGGUUGGGUUAGCUUCAAUUUUUUACUGAUUGUCUCCAUACACCCACAGGGCCCACCGUCGGUUUUUCCUCCAAAAUACCACCAAAUUCUUCUAAUUUUGGGAUGAAAAUGGAAGAGAGAGAGUUAUGGUGGUAUUUCCAAGUAGUGAUUCAACACAAUUCACCGGAAAUUGGCCGGAAAAUGCACGAAUUUGGCCUUGAUACUCGGCCGGGUCGCACGGGUCAAGAAGGAGACCCGAUUUCCCCCUCUUUCUCACCUUCCUUCCUUUCCCUCCUUUCCUUUCUCUCUGGUUGGUCAGUCUCAUCUCUUCAUUUCCUCCGAUUGAGCAGCAGCCCUUCUGUCUUCUCUCUCCCGUUCCCCCCACUUCUUCUUUCUCUUUUUCAACUUUUAAAAAUCACUAAAUGAUAAAUAAAAUAUAGACAUUAUAAAAAUAUAUAAAUAGUGACUAAACAAAAGUACUUCUCGGGUUUACAGUUCUGUAAAACUUUAACCGUAACCCUAAAUCCUUUUCUGCUUACACCUAUGAGUCCGUAAUGUUGAGUACUUCAGGAAAACGCUAAAGGAUUAAUUCAUACACCUCGAUAUACGUUGGUCAACGGAAGUCAAGACCCUCGCCUCUAAGGGCAUUUUCGUAAAAACACACUUUUAAAUUUUGUAAAAACAUAAGAUUAGGGACGGGUCGUCACAUAAUAAUAGUUCUUUGAAAAACUAUAUAUUUGAUUGUAUAAACAAUAAAGUCAUUGUUUAAUUCAUAUUUAAAUUAAAACUCAUAAAGAAAAUUAUAAUUGUCACGCCCCAAUCCCGACAUACGUCCAAGAUCGACAUGUGAUGUUAGCUCAUCCCUGUUUAUUUAUCAUGUCUCGUCUCUGAGACAAUUCCAAAACGCAAUCAAUGAUUCAACCAAGCAGUGACUUUCCUUUAUUUCAUGGCUGAAUCUAACCUUUGCGUUAGACCCCAUACGUACCCUAAAUAGGGAUCAAGCCAUUCGUAGUUCACCAUUUACUACACUCUGACGUUUAUCAUAGUACAUUCUAACAGAAGGGCAUAUCAUCCCUCAAUCAAUUAUUAGAACUGGAAAAGCAUGAAAUUACUAGAUUCAGGGCUACAUAAUAAACCCACAUGACAAUCAAGAUUUCCACUUCAUCCAUCAUAUAAAUCACUAUGUUUCAACAUAAUACUGCAAUUCAUAGCAUGCAACAUCUAAAAGAACAAUCAACGAAGCGCAAUAUUAUUCUCUAGUCACAUUGGUCAAUGAGUCUAAUCGUAAUAAUAACAAUCAUAUCCAAUAUCGUUCCACAAUCACUCCAAUUAAUCAAUUCCAUGAAUCAAAGAAGAACGAUAUUAACAUUUAACUACGUUCAUCAAUCAAUAAGAUAACAUAUUAAUUCACAAAAUUUAAUAAAGGAAUCCUAUAUAAUUUCCUACUUGGAUUCCAAGUAAUAACAUGAUAAAUCUAAUUUAUAAACACAAUGUCUACUGUGAGCAAUUCCUAUUCACUCGAAUCUAGGGGCCGGACUAACUUUAUGGAAAUGAUAAAGAAUAAGGAUUCCGGACACUCACCGGAAUCCAACUAAAUUAUGGUUGCCUAUCAAACUAUACUAACCCUCAUCACCCCUGGAAUGCGUAUGGUCCCCAAUUGUGGAUAUACCAAGCAGAACCAUAGGCAUAAUCUAAGCGUGCAGGCAGUGAUCACCCAUCAUGGAUAUACCAAGUAUGAUCACCCUUGAAAUACGUAUGGUCCCCCAUCGCGGAUAUAACAAGCAGGACCGUAUCCUAUAGCUCUAGGUAGUGAGCACCCAUCGAGGAUAUACCAAGCAUGGUCACUCCUAGAAUGCGUGUAUGGUCCCCCCAUUGUGGAUAAACCAAGCAGAACCAUAUGCAUAGUCUAAUAAUGUAGGCAAUGAUCACCCAUCGCGGAUAUACCAAUCAUGAUCACUCCUAAAAUGUGUAUGGUCCCCCAUUGCGGAUAAACCAAGCAGAACCAUAAGUAUAGUCUAAUCGUGCAAGCGGUGAUCACCCAUCGCAGAUAUACCAAGCAUGAUCACCCUUGAAAUACGUAUGGUCCCCUAUCGUGGAUAUACCAAGCAGGACCAUCCUAACCACUGCUACAUGGUGCAGUCACAUCAAUACACAACAAGCACCAAAUUAAUAUGAAUCAUAAUUCCUAGCAUACACACCAUCAAUUCGACAAGACAACGAUCAUUGAAUCACAUCAUACACAUUCUAUAACAUGUGUCUAUGCCGAAAUAUAUAAAAUUAACUUUUUUUUACCAAAAUAAUUGUACAUACAUGAUUGUACCACAAUAUAUUAUAAUGAACCUAAAUGUAUGUACCAAAAUGUAUUCUAUAGAAUUAAUGUACCUAAAUGUUAGUACCAAAAUGUAUUCUAUAGAAUUAAUGUACCUAAAUGUUAUGUACCGAAAUAUAGUAUAUUAAAUUAAUGUACCUAAAAGUCAAUACUCAAAUGUGUGUACCAAAACGUACGUACCGAAAUGCAUUAUAUUGAAUUAAUGUACCUAUAUGUUUGUAUCGAUGAAUAUACCUAAAUAUUCAAAUGUAUUAAUGUACCUAAAUGAAGAACAUACAAAAUUGUUAUCAGAAUAUAUAUUAUAAAAAAAUUAGUUGCUUAAAUGUAGACAUUAAAAUAUAUUAUGAUGAAUGAAAUAAAAAUUAAAUUUAAAUGUAAUUAAUACAUUAAAAUAAAAAUAAAAAGAUAAAUAAAACAUCAAAAUAUAACUAAUAAAUGAGAUUAUUAAAUGUACUAGGCAUUAGAGCAUCUCCAAAGGAGAUGUCUAAAUUGCCAUGUAGGCAUACAACAAUAAAAAAUGGUAGCAAACUCUCUCCAAUCGAGCCUUCAAUUUCUUACAUGGCGCUGAGUCAUUUGAAGGCAAAGCAUUUUGCUGUUAUGUUUUUGAAAUAUUUGAUUGGUUGCCUUAAUAAUUGGACUCCACAAAAAGAUAAAAAAUUUAUUAAAUGACAUUAUUAUUUACUAUAUCGGAUGGAGCAAAAUAUUGUACAAAAUGUCAAAACUGCCACAUAAGCUAUCAACUAUCAUUUUUUAUGUUUAAAAUUUGACAUCUCCUUUGGAGAUGCUUUUACAAAGCAAAUCACAUCCAAAAACAUUGAAAGGAAGAAAUCAUUAAAGUAAAUAAGCAAAUGUGCAUCCACAACCCAAUUAAAAAAAAAUAAAGGAAACCACUUACAUAGAAAGGAAUCUCAUGAGAAGAGAAUUAAACUUCUCCCUUGGCUUAAAGUCAGAUUUCGAUGAAUUGGUCGGAAUUUUUUGUUUCUCCGUCGGGUGCUUCUUUUCUUGCCCUUGUUCUGCCCUGCGUGGUCAUUUCGAAGGAAAAUCGGGGUGGUAAAUGUGUUAGGGUUAUUGAUGCUUAGAUUGAUAUAAGAUUUGUCGAAAACGAUAACCGAAUGAAAAAGAUGUGAAGAUUUGAAGUUAGAGGAGCCAAAUGGAGAAGAGAAAAAAAAAUCAAGAACAGCAGCAGAGCUGCUAGUUUCACACGCAGUUCGAAUUUACCAAAAUCCCCUUUUAUUUAGAAAAUUCGUAAAUUUCUCGUUCGAAUUUCAAACUCCAAUUUGUUUGCGCUUACGUGUUCAUAGUAACAUGUACUAUCUAAUUAAAUAUCCGAAGAACAAUAGAAAAAUAUGAAAGGAUCAAAUACAUCCAUGUAAAAUCUCGUUUAGCACAAGAGGGGCAUCUUCAUCUUUUAACCAUUUCAAGAAAAAAUUAAACGCAGCAAAUAUAAACGCGUCGAAACUAAGAAUACAAAAUACCUAAUUUUAAAUCGUGAAAUCCGGAGAUGGGGGUUCACAAUAAUAUUUUAGGAAAUACAUUUAUGUGGAGCCAAAAAUAAUCACAAGGCGACACGUGGAUUUUUUAGUGAAAGAGGACCAAACUACCCUUGAGGCACACCGGGAUUCCUACAUGCGAGCAACUCAAAAAUGCUCCAAAGAGGUAACAAUUCAACAUUCAUCUCAUCAAAUUCCCUUUUUUGCAAAGUAACCUCCAAAAUAAUAUUAAUUGGUAAAUUAAUAGAUUAAUUAUCCAAUUAAUCCAUUAAUUACCUAUUAAAUUAUACAAUUUAACCUAAAAAUUGUUAAAGGGCUGGCUACUUCCUUUUCAUCCUCACCUUUCUCACUUUUCUCCAUUUUAUUAACCCAUUUAUACAAAUAAAUAAUUUUGUAACCUCCCGCCGAGCAGCCCAUUCUCGUGGCCCAGCCUGCUCCCGCCGAGCAGCCCAUUCUCGUGGCCUAGUCUGCUUCCACGGCCCAGCCUGCUUCUGCCGAGCAGUCCACUCUCGCGGCCCAGUCUGCUUCCGCCGAGUAGCCCACUCUCAUGGCCCAGUCUGCUCCCGCGGCCCAGCCUAUUCCUGCUGAGCAGCCCACUCUCGUGGCAUAGCCUGUUUCCGCCAAGCAGCCCACUCUCAUGGCUCAGUCUGCUUCCGCGGUCGAGCCUACUUCCGUAGCAUUCCAAGCAGCCCAAAUCGGCUCAAGACUAUUUCGACCAUUCGGACCAACCAUCAAGCCGAGGGCAUUUUCACCAUGUUUCUCUGUGGAUUUGACAUUUCCCAAUUUAAAUCUCGCGCCCGGAGCCUACCACACUUCCACUGCUCAAUGAGGCACAUUCCUUCCAAGCUCUUUCAAUCCAAAUGGCAAACAACACUUGUCUCGACAAGUUAUAGAGUUGAUGAGCGCCCUUGCACAACAAACGACCUUGGUGAAUCAACUUUUGCAGCUCACCGAGAUCCAACGUGCCCCGAACGAGGUGUCACGAAGUAGGAUAAGGGCAGACGAAUCUUUCCAGUAGCGUCAAAUGCAAGCAGCCACUCGAUCAGCCAUGAGCCGAGCGUUCAGGCAGUGUACAUUCCCGAUUAGGCCCCCAAGAUAGCGUAUACUCCCGUCUUAGCGCGCGGAUGAGUGUGCACUCUUGAUUGGGCCCGAAGACAAGUAUACACUUACGGUUGGAGUCACAUUCCGAUAAUCAACAUAAGAAGCCUUUCAGGCAAAGUGUUUAUUCGCGGCUGGGCCUGCAAGGAGUAUCCUCCACAUUACAUCAGAGCAGGCAGCACGACGGAUAGAGAGAAACAGUCACUCAAUCUGCCUCAAGUUCAACCGGCAGUCUGCGAAGGAGUAUCCUCCACAUUACAUCAAAGCAGGCAGCACGACGGAUAGAGAGAAACAGUCACUCAAUCCGCCUCAAGUUCAACCGGCAGUCUGCGAAUAAUUCCCUUGUUUGCCAAGAGUGGACCACAUGCACCCUGCCACGACGUAGACGAGCUGAGAACAUGGAAAAGUAGCCUAGACCAGUAGGUCAAGACCGGGGCAACCGAUAGCCCUGCCACCCCCAACAAAGGUAAAUUUAGGAAGAAGUAGAAAGGCUCAUGACCAAGCGAUUGCGUAAUUUCCCGCACAACGAAGUUAUUAAUAAGACACUCCGAUGAGACAUGACCAACAUAAGCGAGUCAUCUUUCAAUGACAAGAUCGAGCAGAAGGGAUUACCCCACAUAGAUUGUCGAAUAUAAAGAUAACUUCUGCUCUGACAAACAUAGCAGCUCAGCCUAAUGGCGCACCGGGGGCAAACGAGUACCAAAAGGACACAUUAACCCAACUACCAAGAACCGGGGGCAGGUUAAGGAUUAUUUCAGUUGUCUCAUCAGUCUAGCUUUCCUCAGCUGCACUCACAACAACGACUUCCAUGCUCUCCAGUGCGAUAGGGUAAACCAAUUCCCCGACACCCAAAAGGGUAUGUUCUCUAGUGCGAGAGGUUAAACUAAUAUGCUUUCCAGUGCGAGAGGGUAAACCAAUUCCCCAACACCAAAAAGGGUCUGCUCUCUAGUGCGAGAGGUUAAACUAAUUGCUCUCCAGUGCGAGAGGGUAAACCAAUUCCCCGACACCCAUAUGGGUAAGCUCUCGAGUGCGAGAGGAUAAACUAAUUACUCUCCAGUGCGAGAGGGUAAACUAAUUUCCCGACACCCACCUAGGUAAGCUCUCCAAUGCGAGAAGGCCACAUAGUUCAAAAGAUCAAAUGCUUGAAGAUCAACUAAGUAACAAAUGGUUAGGGGGUAGCAGCUACUUUUACACUUAACAGUUCGAUCAUCCGACACUUCGUCUUCGACAACUCCGAUCUUGGCAACUUCAUCCUUGACUACUCCAUCUACGACAUCUGAGAAAUCAAACUCAAGCAGUUUCCUCAUUUUUGGCAAACAGCCCAGACGUGGCAGCCCAAAUCGUUGUCCAUGCCACGCCAUUUCCUCGGCCUAUGCUGAGCCAAUCCUUGGCUUCAAUCAAGCCAAGUAACACAAACAAUGGCCUUUGCCACAUCACCUCCUUGGCCCAUGCCAAGUCGACUCCUGGCCCCUACCAACCGAUGUGCCGUACCACCCCGAUGGUUGCCCCGUGGCAGCACCUUUCAAGAAGAAGAUAAGGAGAAUUAAGUUUUUCUUACAUCGGUGCGGCGUGGAGAAGACGAAGAAAGCAACGAAAAACGGUCUUUUGCACGGGCAAGAUAUAGAAGAUUGGUAGAGGAGGGGGAACAAGUAUCAUCUAAGCUCUCUCUCUCUCUCUUGUAGGGUAGAAUAAAUCACUUUUCAAAGUUGAUUUAAUAACCCACUUAAGGUGGACUUAAAUAAGCUUUGGGAGAAAUUUAUUUUCCUUUCCUAGAAGGAUCUAAUUUCAUAUUAAAGAGGGAAUCUACAUCAAAAUAGGAAGCAGUUCUAAGUUUCCUAGAGCAAGAAGAUCUCUACACCUGCUGCCUUUUUCUACGAGUAGUCCAGCAGGUGUGGGGGCAUUUGUGGAGCCAAAAAUAAUCACAAGGCAACACGUGGAUUUUUUAGUAAAAGAGGACCAAACUAUCCUUGAGGCACACUGGGAUUCUUACAUGCGAGCAGCUCAAAAAUGCUCCAAAGAGGUAACAAUUCAACAUUCAUCUUAUCAAAUUCCCUUUUUUUGCAAAGUAACCUCCAAAAUAAUAUUAAUUGGUAAAUUAAUAGAUUAAUUACCCAAUUAAUCCAUUAAUUAACUAUUAAAUUAUACAAUUUAACCUAAAAAUUGUUAAAGGGCCGACCACUUCCUUUUCAUCCUCACCUUUCUCACUUUUCUCCAUUUUAUUACCCCAUUUAUACAAAUAAAUAAUUUUGUAACCUCCCAUUUACUUCUUUCAUACUUAAUUAGCCUAUAAAUUGGCUAAUUAAGCCAAAACCAUAACCACAAAAUCCCUUGAAAAACCGGCCAUCCUAGCCCUAUAAAUAGGCUCCUAUUUUCACCAAACACUCAUUCGAAUACUUUGGCAAAAAUCCCAAAAAACUCUCCAAAUACUUUUCUCUCUAAAUUCUAACUUUGGCAUUGGAGGUUCUUCGGCCAAAGCCCCCCCCAUUCAUCGUGGGCGCGUGAGGCUCUUGGCCUUGACCUAAGGUGUUAAUUGUUUUGUAGGUGCAAUUUUGUCCAAGAAGAAGAAGGUGGGAAUUUGCAUCCACAAUUUAUACUUACAAAGACAUACAAAUUUUACUAAUCAACAUUGAAACAAUUGUGCAUAUUCCAUGAAAGCGUAAUGAGAUUAUAAAAUAGUCCCCCACAUGAAAUUUUCAGAUCUACAAUUUUCGUAAACUUGUGAUACACGGUAAAUGUGUGAAUUCUUCAAUGAAUUGUCUGGAGCCUAAAAUAAUUCCAAAAAUUCUAGAGGCAACACGUGGACUUUUGUUCGAGAAAGACAAGAUUGCCCUCAAUAACUGGACAUGCUCCUCAGAUACUCCCAUGCGCAGCUUACACCCCUGAAGGUCUCAACAGUUAAAUACAGUCUACACAUAGCUCACCUGCCCUUAGCAAGGAAAAGUCAAAGCAUGAAAGAUAAGGAUUAAUUACCCAAAUCCUAUCUUUAAUACAUUCCCAAUUGAAGAUUAACUCCAAUCAAGUAAGUAAUCCCAAUUUAAAUCAAUUAGGGAUAAUUACUCCAUUAUCUCAAGAUAUUAUUUCCUAUUUAAUAUCUUGAGAAUAUUUCUCCAUAAACAUUGAUCAAUAGGAUGCCGCCAUGUGUAGGGUAAAACCCUAACACUAUGGCCAGCCCUCUCCCUUAUAUAUACCCCAUAUUCUACCAAAUUUCAAAAGCUUUUGCUACCCUAAAAAAGCCCUAAUCACUUUACUCUCUCAGAGAAACUGAUUUAGGCAUCGGAGAUCCAUUGGCCUAACGCCCUCCCCUCCACCUUGUGGGCGCGUGAGGCUUAGGUCUUUGAUCAAAGGUGUUGAUUGUUUUGUAGGUGCAUUUUCGUUAAGACUGAAGACAGUGGAAAUUUGCAUCGACAAAUUAGUGCUUUCAUUGAGAGCUGAUUCAAAUACUUGAAGAAGCCUUUUGCAUUUGGUUUCUAGAAUUUUCUGUUACGUUGAAUUUCUCACAUGUAUCAAUUAGUUUUUCCUAGAAAAGUUUCUUGAUCAAUCCCUAGAGAAAGGAUAUAAUGGUAGAAAAUUCAAAAACCACGACGAAAGGAGUGUAAGUACAAGGACUUGGACCGGAGAGUGGAGAUGAGGACAUGGCCACACGACGGCGAUCCUCAAGGCUCAAUGGGAUGGCAGGAGGAUCCCCACUGCCACGGAAUCGCACCACCACCGUUGCCGCGACCCAGUAGCCACGACAAGGCCACCAGGCCACGGCUCAGGCUCCUACAACGCUGCCCUUGCAGUGGCCCAAUCCCCAAAACCCUGGGCAGGAGGCCUAAAGCCUGGCAGCUAGCACAGCAAGCCCAGGACAGGAGGCCCAGCCCACCGCAGUAGCAAGCUGCAUCGCGGACCUAAGCCCACAAGAGCCUAGUAGACCUGGCCCAGCCAGUAGGAGCAGCCCAAGGACAGGCGGCCCAAGCCCAGCUCACUGCUAGCCGAGCCCAAGCUUGUGAGGAGCAAGGAGCGGCCCAGCGUCAGCCAGCCCACGCGCUACCCUAGAGCGUCCCCACACAGACUCUAAUUGCGCAGAUUAAAGUCUAUUUUAACUAGUACAUGCUUACAUAUAUUGUGUGAACAAUUUCAUUUUAUUUUGCUUUGUAUUAUAAAGUGUUGAUUAUUUUAAAAAUUCUCGAAAAAGCUUACAUGAGGUGCUUGGAUCAGAGUCGAUCGUUUUCGAGUCGUAACCCUUUUCGGGGCAGUGAGGAAGAUGGUGGCUUGGUAGUUGGGUUUGGGUGAUCUUAGCCUCUUAUGAAGCUUUUCUAUUUUUUAUUGUUAAGUUUCUUUUUAUUUAUUUGUUAUUAAAUUUUGUGGGAUCCACAUGUGUAUCACGUUAGCAUUCUAACAGAAGUUUUGACGAAAAUAUAAUGGCAAAUUGAUUUGUGGCAUCCAAUUCAAAUGUUACACUGAUCGAUUUCAAUUUCAAAUGUCACCUUAAUUAAUGCGUCAAUUUCCGAAUAUUUGCGUUGAAGACACAUUUUAGAAAAAUCUACUACACAACGUGUGGGGUGUUGAUUUGAAAACGCACGGUCAAGCACGGUAAUACCAAAAUAUUUGGAAUGGCCAUGGGGAAAAUUCCGUAUCUCGUCUCGCUUGAACUCGUUCGCUAACCUAUAUAUGUGUGCUGAAACACAGAGUCGAAAACAAACAACGCACGUAACAUUCUCAGCUUCUCAUCAAACUAGAUUAUUUUACUUUCUCUCUGUAAACCGUUGGAAUUUCUGUUCUUUCAUCACCCAAGAACAGAUUACGUAAUUGAAUUAAGUUUUGAGUCACUUUGUUUCCUAAAUUAUGUCUGUAGUUUCGGUCGGAAUGGGUGCUCUGAGAACGUCAUUUCAAAUGCUGUUUGAUGCGGUAAAAUCAGCGCAGGAGGAGAAUACAAUGUUCCAACACCUCCUCGGAAACAUCAAAUCCACACUGGAAUCUCUACAACCACUCAUCAAAGACAUCGAAAAGUAUAACUCCAAGGAGGGGCGGGAAAAUUAUGCAAUACAGAUGGAGGAAGGAGCAAAGCUUGUUCAAAAGUGCAGCAAAGUUGGCGUGGGGAGAAAACACGCAUACACAAAGAAGCUUAAUCAACUGGACAAGUCUCUUCGAAGAGUCUUUGAUGUGCUUAAACUGCAGGUUAUGAGGGAUGCGAGGGAGACGUUGGUUCCUUUGAGGAAAAUCGAGACGGUGCUCUCUCGAAUAGAAGAGAGAUUGAAGAUAAAAAAUAACCAGCCUGAAAUGGUUAAAUGUUCGUCUGCGGUGCCUGAAGCGCCAUCGGUUACAGUCGGGUUGGAUUUGCCGUUGAAGGAGUUGAAGGUUAAGCUCCUUAAGGAUGAAAAGGUGUCUAUGCUUGUGCUGACCGCUGCUGGAGGAUGCGGGAAAACCACCUUGGCUAAAAUGUUUUGUCAAGAUCAAGAAGUCAAAGGUAUGCUAAUUAAAAAGUAAUACACCGUGUAGAGGAUUAUGCAAGUAGAACUACGCGCUAGGGCCUAUAAAAUGUCCGCUAUACUCCCUCCAAACAUACACAGUAACCAAAAUUUGUUAAAGAAAAACAACGAAGGAGACAUGAAACUAAAGCGCACGAAAGGAAUAUAAGAAAGAUUAGAAAGGCCUAAAUGGGCAUGCCCAACAAAUAACAAGUGGUAGUGAUAUGAACUUGGCAUGAUUUUCUUUGUACUAAUUGUAAGUUAAGCUGAUGCCUUCCUCUUAGAGUUAACAGGUCUUGCAAUGAGCUACUGCUUGAUUACUUGGUCUCAGAAUUGCAGACAUAUCUAGUCAACCUUUUAUUAACACCUUUCCUACAUUCUGUUUGGAUAGAUACAUUCAAGAACAACAUCUUCUUUGUCAAUGUCUCGAAAAAGCCCAACUUGGACCUUAUUGUACACGAACUAUAUCAACGGAAGGGGUCCGAGCUGCCUGCUUUCGAAAACGAAGUCAUGGCGGCUAAAUGGUUGCAACAAUUUCUGAAGGAAUCAAGACAAAAUCCUCUACUGUUUGUCCUGGAUGAUGUUUGGUCAGAAUCAGGGUCCCUUCUUGAGAAGUUUGAUCAAUUCAAGUUUUCAAAUUGCAAGAUUUUGGUCACAUCAAGAUUUGCAUUUCCAAGAUUCGGUUCUCCUUAUCAUUUGGCACCAUUGAAUGAUGAAGAUGCAAUGGAUCUUUUUCACUAUUCUGCAUCCUUGGAGGAUAAGAGCUCUUAUACUUAUGAAGAUCUUUCGAGAAAGGUGAUUUCUUAGUCCACAAUACACACACACACACACAUACAUAUAUAUGCUUAUUUAUGCCCCAGAAGAAGGUAAAGAAAUAACAUUUGAGCAUCCACACACGUUAAUGAACUGUGAAGAAUGAAGUAAGAAGAAUGAAAGACUAGACAGUUUACAAUUUUAUCAUCUUUAUGAAACCAUUUAGAUGAUUUUCAACAAUUUAAUCAAAUAAUAGUAAUUGAAUUCAUUUUGGAUAAUUAAAUUGCAGAUUAUCAAGCGCUUUAAGGGAUGCCCACUUGCCAUUGCAUUGGUUGGGAGAUCACUUCGCGGCCAGCCUAUAGAAAUCUGGCACAAAAGAGUAGUGGAAUGGUGCAAAGGUUCAUCUAUUCUUGAUUCUGACAGGGAUUUACUUGCUUGCCUCCAAAGCAGCUUAGAUGCCUUGGAUAAAGAGAAGGCUAUCAUCAAGGAAUGUUUCCUCGAUCUAGGUUCUUUUUCGGAGGACCAAAGAAUUGCUGCUGCCGCCCUCAUUGAUAUGUGGGCGGAGUUAUAUGGUCUAGAUGAAGAAAUUCUGACCAUUGCCAACCUUCAUGAGCUCACCGCCCGAAGUUUAGCUACUCUUGUUGUCACAAGGUAUGCGGGCUGCUCAUAAUUUUCUAUUUCAUUAUGUAUGCCGAACAAAUCAUUAAAGAAUUAAGCAUCGAUCAUCCAGGCAUGAGAGGGAGGCGGAUGGCUAUUACACUGAACACUUUGUCACCCAGCACAACAUGCUUAGAGAGUUGGCGAUCCAUCAGGGGAGUCAAGACCCAAUAGAACAUAGGAAACGACUAUUUAUAAACAUAUGCGGGGACAAACUUCCUAAGUGGUUGACAGAACAAAAGUAUCAAGCAAUCAAGGCUCGACUGUUAUCUAUCUCAACAGGUUCCAUCAAUCUCUCUUUAGUAAAUACUUAUACAUGUGCGCUCGGGACAUGGUUUGUGUGCACACACACACACGCUCAUUCAUACUAAAACUUCAAUAGGACUUCCACACAUUUAGGCUAAUAUCUUAAAGCUUAUUGUUUGCAGAUGGAGCCUUCUCAGCAAAAUGGCCAAACAUGCAAGCACCUGAAGCAGAGGUUCUAGUUCUGAAUUUUCAAACAAAGAACUAUGCCUUACCUGAGUUUGUGGAGAAAAUGGAUAUACUAAAGGUUCUAAUACUAAAAAAUUAUGGUUUGUUAUCUGCUGAACUAGAUAAUUUUGAACUACUUGGUUCGUUAUCAAAUCUUAAGAGAAUUAGAUUAGAACGUAUUUCAAUUCCAUCCAUAAGCAAGGUCCUUAAACAGUUGAAAAGUUUGCAAAAGAUAUCUUUUUUCAUGUGUGAUAUCGGCCAAGGUUUCGUCCAAAUUUUAGAUGCUCUGCCAAAUCUAGUGGAAUUGAACAUAGAUUAUUGCCAUGAUCUGGUGCAACUUCCUGCCAACCUCUGUAACCUUGUUCACCUUAAGAAGCUUAGCAUCACCAACUGUCAUAAGCUAUCUACCUUGCCUGCAGACAUCGGAAAGCUUGUAAAUCUAGAAGUGUUGAGGCUUAGGUCAUGUGCAGACUUGUUAGAGUUGCCAGGCUCGAUUAGGAACCUUAAAGUUUUGAAAUUUCUCGACAUAUCCGAUUGCUUUAGCGUAAAGGAGUUGCCCGAGGACAUUGGUGCAAUGUGCAGCAUGGAAAAGAUCAACGUGAGCCAGUGUUCAAGACUGAAAGAGCUCCCUGCUUCUGUUAUGGAUCUUGAGCAGUUGAACGAAGUGAUAUGCGACGAGGAGACGAAAACUUUAUGGGAACCCUUCUUACCGUUUCUCACAAACAUACACUUGAAGGUGAUCAAAGAAGAUAUCAACCUAAAUUGGCUCAACAAGCUUCCAUCCUAAGGCCAUCCUAAGGCCAUGGUCCUUCCAUCAAUGAGUGUUGGUGCAAUGUAUGCAUCGUGAUUGUGUUUAAUGUUAUUUUUCCUUUGUAAUUUGCUUCUAUUUUAUGUUUUAUAUGAUUUAAAAUAACACGGCAAUACUGUAGAAUUAUUGUAAUUACUCACCAUGGGUAUUAUUGUAAUACCAUGUUUGCAUUCCUCACUCUUCAUCAAGGUAUUAAAUAUCAGUAAUAUCGGAAAUAUUGGUAGUCCGAAAACACGGAAAUAUCGAUGGAAAUAUCGGGAUAAUAUCGAUAUCGAUAAAAAUUACAUGGAAACCACGGAAAUUGUAAGAAAAACUUGGAAAUUUUUAUUGAAACUUUGCAGGAUGUUUAUUUAGUCAAUUAUCUAUUAGUUUAUCACAAAAAAUUGGAAAGAAAUGCAUUGCAUGAUGGAUUUAACAUUAUCAAGUUGAUUAUAUAGCGAGCUGACAAACAUUGUGAGUGUAGAAAAUAUGUAGUAAUUAAUGAAAGAAGUCUAAACACACCAUAAUUAUUUAUAUAUAAUGAAUUAGUACAAUAUUUUACACUUUAUACAUUGUAUGGUAAGAUACAUGAGUGACUUAGUACCACAUAGAGUUCCUAUGAGGUUCAAAUUUUUCACUAUGUUCAUCAUCUCUAUGUGUAGAGUGAGUGUAUUGUGAAGAGUAGUUAUCAAAUGAUAAAUCCCCAAAAUAGUUUUGCAUGUAAUUGUUAACAUGCCACCCAUAUGGAUCCGAGAUUGGUUGACCUUGUCCAUAAGCAAAAUCAUUUGAAGAUUGAGUCUCGGAUUGUUUCCAUGAGUCGCUCGAUUCCAUCCCAACAGGAUUGGGAUAUGAAGGGUAGGGAAAUGGUUGGUUAUGAGUAUAACCAUAGUUACUACUUCCCAAUCCAACAGAAUCCGAAGUUAUAGAUAACGAGUCAUCUUCUUGACUUGACAAAAUCCCCUUGCCUCUUUCUCUAUAAGUAUAGUCCUUCCCUAUGGCACCAAUUCCUGGUCCUGCCCGCCUACUGUCAUAGUCAUCAUCCUGUUUUGCAUGCGUGAAGUUUCCCUCACCAGUGAAGGGGCUCAUAAAUCCGGGAGGUGCUCCAACAUAAUUUCCAUAUCCACCACCACUACCUCCAGCUCCACUAUAUCCUUCAUCAUUCCCACCUCCGGUGGUAGGUGAGUCUCCUGAUCUUGUACUAAAGCUAUCAUUAGUAUCAGCAUGAUGUUGUGGUUGUGUAGGAUUGGAAGAAGGUGGAAUUCCAGUGUUUCUUGGUCUUGGGCGCAAAAGUUCUUCCAAAGAGUCAGCGCUGCUAGAUCCCACCUCUUCCUCUAAUACUCUUUCUACAUUUAUCCCUUCAUUACGUGCUUCUUCAGCAACUCUGGGAGCUGGGUUGCCUUCAUCAUCAUCUAAAUGAAGAUGUCUAAUCCAUUGAUAAAAUUGGUUACCCUCUGUAUCAUCAUCUUCACCACAAUAUCAAACAUAUCUAAUGGGUCACCACGGUCGACAUGAUCUAUUUCUGCUUCCUUAUCUCGAAUUUGAAGCUUCAUGUUAUAGUAGCAAUAAACUAAUUUUUCCAACCUACUAUGAGCCAACCUAUUUCUUUGCUUUGUGUGUAUGAGUACAAAUGUGCUCCAAUUUCUUUCACAAGCAGAUGAGGAAGCUGUUUGUGAUAAUACUUUGAUUGCUAACUUUCUCACAGUUAGUGCAUCGGUCCCAUACAUGAUCCACCAUUCAGCUACAAUGAAAAACAAUGUUGAUAAGCCUAAUAACUCCAACAAAUUCUAUUAUAAACUUAUAGUGAAAUAUGUUUACACUCACUAGGAGACAUUGUUGUUCGAGCAACAAUUGAUGUUGGUUCUCCAAAAGUUCUCCAAAAGUUCUUCUUGCAUCUUUAAACCAUGUUAGCUGAAUUCAAUAAAUCGUGUUAGUUUAAUCCAACAAAGUAAUUAUUAUAAUUUAAGUAACUGUGUACCUCAUUUCCAAAUUGGCCAACUGCUGGUGAUGCAAGGUCUAAUUUAGAGUAAACAUUAUGUACAGCAUGUAUAAGGGUACCAUCAUCUUCAACACCUGGUCUGUAUUGGUAUCGAGGAUUCAAAUAAUAUGUUGUUCAAAUAAACACAUACUCUAAUAAGAGAAAUAAUACUUAUGCAACUAAAGAAAUGAAUUGCAAAUUAUGACAUAAUUUAUACCUGCUACAUGCAAAUCGUGGUAUAAUGUUUUAUACCAUCGGUCUUCAAUUAUCUUUAUGACCCACCUUGCACCAUGUUUUCUUUCCAAUUCAUCCUUCACUACACGCAUUAACUCAUAUACUGCCCCUAUAGUAGGAUACACUUCUGUGUCAACAAUCCGUAAAACCUUGUAAAGAGGUUCAAACACUUGGCACACAUGUUCUGAUUAAGUCCAAAAAGCAUGAUCAAGCACUAUACUUUCCACCAUACGACCUGCAUUUGAGCGGCUGAAAUUGUGGUUGGCCCAAUUGUCACUAGUGAAUAGUUGCUUCAACCCUGCUUUCUUCUUAAGUAGGCUGUCUAAUGCAAUAUAGUUGGUGGCGAAUCGAGUGGUAGCUGGACGAAUAAUUUCUCCUUUGCAAAAUUCACGCAUCUUUGCCAACAACCAACCGUGAUUGUAAAUAUAAUUUGUGAUCGGUCUAGCUCUUUUGACCACAGUAGCAACAUUCUCUCUCUUCCCCAUUGCCUCAAACAUGAGAUCAAUACAAUGUGCUGCACAUGAUGUCCAAAACACAUUAUGAUGCUUCAUUAACUUUUUUCCAGCUUUGACAAAUGCAGAACUAUUGUCGGUCACGACUUGGACAACAUUAUGCUCUCCCAUCUCCAUGAUUACAUCCCUCAAUAAUUUGUAAAUAUACUUGUAGUUCUUUAUAUGGUCUGAAGCAUCAACAAACUUCAAAAAAAAUUGUCUUUCCCUUGGAGUAUACCAUGAAGUUUAUGAUAGACAAUCUGGUCGGGCUGGUCCAUCCGUCACACAUGAUUGUGCAACCAUUAGUUUCCCACUUUGACCUCAACUUGUUAACAUACUCGCCAAUGUCUUUAUACUCCAUAUCCAAAUAUUUGUUUCUUAUCUCAUAGGGAGUGGGAGGUUGUACUCCAACACCGGCCUGUUGACAUCCCACUACCAUAUUUUUGAAAUGAUAUGAUGAUGUUUUCUCAGCAGGGACAUUUUCAUAGAUAAAGAACUUGCUAAUUAGACGCCCCAUUCCCCCCUUCACAUUACCUCCAGUGAAAUAACUCCAAACACUAUUUUGAUGUGCUUUGGAUGACUUAUAUAAACUUGGGGCUAUUGGUGGUGUUGGUUGUGAUUCUCUAAGAUUGCCUCCCCGUCUCAUUUGUGCACCACCACUUGUCCCGGAACCUUGUGCUCUAUUAGGAAUUUUAUGAAGGUGUUCUCUUUCCCAUGCUGACUGUUUGGAGGCACGUAAUGCUUGUUUCAAACUACGUCGUUCUUCAGGUCUCAUGUCAUCAUCACAUUCGUCCUCAUCAUCAUCAUCAUCACUGUCAACCGCUUGGCCAUAGACUUCUCCCCGUAGCCCAGCUCGAAUAUUUUCCAUUCCAUGUGUUAUCUUUUCCUUCUGCUGUUUUUUAUUUUUUAAUAAUGUGUUGAUGAAUGCCUUCACUUCUGGGGGGACAUUAUUGCAUCGUUGGACAUUUUUUGAUGGAUCUAAUCCACUAAGAUGGUACUUAAGUCGUGUCACUCCGCCACUCUUCAUUACCCGACCAUAAUAUUUGCAAAUUGUGCCAUGUUUGUUUCCGUCUAUUGGGUCUCCAUGUUCCCAAGCUGGAUCACGUUUAGUAACUCCACUAGACAUCUUAAACGUACCUAUAUUUAUUUUUCAUGAAAAUUACACAAUUAUUUUUUGGUAAAAUAAGAGAACCUAAAUAAUAAAGUUAUUCUACAGAAGAAUUAAAUACGAAGUAAAGAAAAUGAUUGUAAAAAUUUAAGUAAUUAUACAAAUAAUAUGGAAUAAUAAAACCUAAUAUUAAUGAAUAAUAAUCCAAUUUGAUAAAAAAAUAAUCCUAAUAUAAAACAUGGUGAUGAAUAAUAAUCCAAUUUGAUAAUAAUCCAAUUUAAUGAAUAAUCCAAUUUGAUAAUAAUCCAAUUUAAUGAAUAAUAAUCCAAUUUGAUAAUAAAAAAACCUAAUAUUAAUGAAUAAUAAUCCAAUUUGAUAAUAAAACCUAAUAUUAAUGAAUAAUAAUCCAAUUUGAUAAAAAAAAUAAUCCUAAUAUAAAACAUGGUGAUGAAUAAUAAUCCAAUUUGAUAAUAAUCCAAUUUAAUGAAUAAUCCAAUUUGAUAAUAAUCCAAUUUAAUGAAUAAUAAUCCAAUUUGAUAAUAAAAAAAACCUAAUAUUAAUGAAUAAUAAUCCAAUUUGAUAAUAAAACCUAAUAUUAAUGAAUAAUAAUCCAAUUUGAUAAAAAAAUAAUCCUAAUAUAAAACAUGGUGAUGAAUAAUAAUCCAAUUUGAUAAUAAUCCAAUUUAAUGAAUAAUAAUCCAAUUUAAUGAAUAAUAAUCCAAUUUGAUAAUAAUCCAAUUUAAUGAAUAAUAAUCCAAUUUGAUAAUAAAACCUAAUAUUAAUGAAUAAUAAUCCAAUUUGAUAAAAAAAAUAAUCCUAAUAUAAAACAUGGUGAUGAAUAAUAAUCCAAUUUGAUAAUAAUCCAAUUUAAUGAAUAAUAAUCCAAUUUAAUGAAUAAUAAUCCAAUUUGAUAAUAAAAAAAACCUAAUAUUAAUGAAUAAUAAUCCAAUUUGAUAAUAAAACCUAAUAUUAAUAAAAUAAUAAAUAACAUUAAACAUAUUAAAAUUAUCCUAGGGAAUAAUUAUACAACAUUACUUAAUUACUUAAAAAAAUUAACAUGUAAUUGUUAACAUUACUUAAUUACUUACAAAAAUUAACAUGCAAGUAUUAAUUACUUAAAAAAUUAACAUACGAGUCCACACAAAUUUAUUUGUUGUUGUAUAAAUCACAAUAAUAUAAAUAUAAGUUUGUAAACUUACCUUAAAUAUGGAACUCUUUGUGUUCAAGCUUUGGAAUGGAUCUGGAAUGGCUUUGAAAAUGGUAAGGGAAGAAGAAGAAACGAAAAUGCUCUGAAUGCCUCUGAUACUCCACCUCUGAUAAGGUGAAAGAAUAUAACAGACAAUGGCAAACUGUUUUGCAUGUGAAAGAAUAUCACGGACUCACAGUGGCACACGGUUUCAUUAUGAAAGCACUAUUAUUUGUUGUCCAUGGUCUGAAAUUGCAAAAAGUUAUUUGGAUCAUUGGAUCAGAGAGCUAGAGACAGGUUUUGAAUUAUUUGGAUCAUUGGAUGCUUUUUUUUUCUCACACGCCACCACACACACACAGAGUCAGAGAGUGAGUCACACUCACACGCCACCACACACGCACUUCGAGACCCCCCACACCACACACGCACACAGAGACUGAGCUCAGUCUCUCGAUCCUUCCUUUUCUCUCUUCUGAGUUCUGAGUCUUCUCCCUUCCUUCUCUCUUCUGAGUUUUCUCCCUUCCCUUCUCCCUUCUCUAGUUCUCCCACACACACACACAGACAUCAUCUCUCGAUCCAUCUCUCGAUCCUCCUCGUCCGCGUCUCCCUCUGCUCCUCCCUCGCCUUCCUCCUCGUCGAGCUCGUCACCAUGUCCCGCGACCUCUAUCUCUCCUCUGUCGUCCCCAUCGAUGCGAUCCUCCUCGUCCGCGUCUCCCUCUGCUCCUCCCUCACCUUCCUCCUCGUCGAGCCCGUCACCAUGUCCCGCGACCUCUACCUCUCCUCCGUCGUCCCCAUCGGCGCUCUCUACUCCCUCUCCCUCUGGCUCUCCAACUCCGCCUACAUCUUCCUCUCCGUCUCCUUCAUCUAGAUGCUCAAGGCCCUCAUACCCGUCGGCCGUCGCCGUCUACUCCAUCGGCGUCUCCUUCAAGCAAUGUUGCGAUAAUAUCGCUAAUAUCGCGAUAUUAUCUCGAUAUUUUGACGGAAACCUAUUGGAUAUGUGUAGAAAUAUUGGACUCCCAAAAAAAAACGAUAAUAUUAGUGAAAUAUCGCCGAUAUUAUCGAUUUUUUAUAUCUUGCUCUUCAUUGAUUCUCCUUUGAUUUAUUCAAUCAAUAGGUGUUGGUGCAAUGUAUGUACGGAGAAGUGCAUGGAAAGAAAAUAAGAGUUAAAAAAAAUACCCUUUGAUUUAUCCAAUCAAUGAGUUUUGGUGCAAUGUAUUAAUCUAUUGGUUGUUUCUCCACUCUCUCUUGCCGCACCUCUUUAUCCCCUAGGUCAAAACAUUACUGUUUUAUUUUGAGGAUAAUGCUAAGGUGAUUAAAUUUGUAAACAGAAUUUUACAAAGUAAGUGACAUUAAAGUUGAUGAUUGGAUUAAAACUUAAGCGUUGAUAAACUUGCUUAUUUUGAUUGAUGAUAUAUCAUUUAGUUUAUAAAUUUUGUCUUCCUAACAUUACCUCUUAUUUUAAAACUAUUUUUUAACAAGAUUUUAAACUAUUUAUUCUAAAGCACAACAUUUUUUUUACUAUUUUAUUUUAAACUAUUUAUGCUACAGCAGAACAUUUUUUAAAAGCAGUGCAAUACCAAAUCAUAUGUGCUAGAAAAUUCUGUCUCUCUCGCCUCCUAAUAGAGCGUCAAAUGUCUUUCCCAGCUCGUUCGUUUUCUUUUGGGUGAAACUUCGUUUUCUUUUGGGUGAAACUCCUUGCUCGUUCGUUAAGCUGAAACCGACAAACAGCUUACAUAACCUCCUGAGUUUCUCAUCAAACUAGAUUAUUUUACAUUCUCUCCGUGUAUCCAUUCGAAUUUCUUUCUUUCUUUCUUCAGCCAAGAACAGAUUACCUAAUUGAGUCAAGUUUUGAGUCUCUUUGUUAUGCUAAAUAUGUCUCUGGCUUCAGUCAGAAUGGGUGCUCUCAGAACGCCAUUUCAAAUGCCGUUUGAUGCUGUAAAAUCAGCAGAGGAGGAGAAAAAAUGUUCCCACACCUCCCUCCGAGACAUCAAUCCACACUGGAAUCUCUACAACCACUCAUCAAAACAUGGAAAAGUAUAACACGAAAGAGGGACUGCAAAAUUUUGCAAUACAGAUGAAGGAGGGAGCAAAACUUGUUCAGAAGUGCAGCAAAGUUGGCCUGUGGAGAAAAUACAAGUACGUCAACAAGCUUCAUCAACUGGACAAAUCUCUUCGGAGAGUGUUGAUGUGCUUAAACUGCUGGGUAUGAGGGAUGCAAGGGAGACAUUGGUUCUUUUGAGGAAUAUCGAAGUCUCUCGAAUACAAGAGAAUUUGUGAUGAAAAAUAAUCAGCCUGAAAAGGUUAAGUGUUCGCCUGUGGUGCCUGAACCGCAGUCAGUUACGAUCGGUUGUCCAUGCUUAUGUUGACUGUUGCUGGAGGUUGACCUUACCCAAAAAGUUUUGUCCAGACCAAGAAGUCAAAGGUAUGCUCUCUAUGAUUUCAACUAUUUUUUUGGUGAAGUUUUACGUCCUAUUAAAAAAGUAAUACACUAUAUAGAAGAUUAUGGGGCCUAAAAAUGCCCUCUACUCUCUCCCAGCAUAUCACUAACCAAAAUUUUCAUUUUCAAUUGUGAGUGUAGACAUCGAAAUUUUGGUAAAUAAAUUUUGACCGAUAAAUCAAAGUUUCAACGCUCAUGAAUUACAUAAAUUUUACACGUAGCGUGUGCCUCGACGAAAAAUUGAAAUGAGUCGGAAAAGUCAUCAAACAGGACACGUGUCAACACCUGGCAAAAACAACUUAUUUCAUUUGGAAUAUUAUAUUCAAAAUUAGGCCUUGGAAAUUUCUAUAAAUAGAAGGCUAAUUCAUUCAUUUGAAGGAACCAAAAUCAUUAGGCAAAAUUCUUGAAGCUCUGAAGCUCUGAAACGCCGAAGCUCUCAAGCAUCCAGGUUCCCGAAGAAUCAAGAAAGCUCUCUUCGUUCUUCGUUCUUCGUUCAUCGUUCAUCCUAAGAUCAAGCCCAAACGGCCCUUUGGAUCAACAAUCAUCCACCAAUUCAAGAUCAAGCCCCGAUGGCCCUUGAAGAAAGUGUUAUUCGUUCUUUGUUCAUCAGUCUUCCAAGAUUAAACCCCAACGGCCCUUUGGAUCAACAAUCAUCCACCAAUUCAAGAUCAAGCCCCGACGGCCCUUGAAGAAAACGUUCUUCGUUCUUCGUUCAUCGUUCUUCCAGGAUCAAACCCCAACGGCCCUUUGGAUCAAUAAUCAUCCACCAAUUCAAGAUCAAGCCCCGACGGCCCUUGAAGAAAGCGUUCUUCGUUCUUCCAAGAUCAAGCCCAGACGGCCCUUGGAUCAACAAUCCACCAAUUCAAGAUCAAGCCCCAAAGGCCCUUGAAGAACUUCCACCAAUUCAAGAUCAAGCCCCGACGGCCCUUGAAGAAAGCACCAUCGUUCAUCAUCCGUUCAUCUUAAGAUCAAGUCCCAACGACCCUUUGGAUCAACAACGUCGACAAAUCCACACAUCCAACCGUUCUUCAAAAUCAAGCCCAAAAGCUCUUGAAGAUCCGUUCAUCAUUGUUCUUCAAGAUCAAGCCCAAAAACCUUUGAAGAUCCGUUCAUCACUGUUAUUCAAGAUCAAGCCUCAACGGCCCUUGAAGAAACACUCAUCCUCAAGAUCAAGCCCCAACGACUCCUUGAAGAUUCGCUCAAAUCCACCUUCAAAGAUCAAGCCCAUGGCCCUUGAAGAAACUUCCAACAGUUCAUCCAAAAUCAAGCCUCGAUGGCCCUUGGAUCAACGAAACAUCCACAAAUCAACACCUUACAGAGAUUGAAUCAGAGGAUCAAAUUUGAGAGAGAUUGUAACCCAAAACCAUCAAAUACAAAUAUUAUUUUGUGCACGUUGUUCUUGUCGCUUUCGUUUCAGGAAAAUUUCGUGUUCACAAAUUUGGCACGCCUAGUGGGACUAUCUCUGCCUAUCAUCUCUUUCUCCGUUCAAGAAAAUCAAGCACACUUCCAAAAUCAAUGGCAUCAAGCAAAGGACAAGCCGUUCUCACAAAGGGAAGAAGCUUGAGCACUUCCGCCAUGAACGGAGCAUCCAUUGGCGCCACAACCGCUCCUCAACAUGCCACUUCAAAAUUGGUGUCGCUAAAAGAGCAAGGGGAUCAUCAAAGGCGCGAGUCCGUCAUCAACCUGACCUCGCUGGAGGCACCGAAGCAUGAUGCUGAGGCACACAAGAUGACAUCCCAAAGCAGCCAACGAUGUUCUUCGUCAGCUUCCUGGAUGUCUAAAGGAAAGUCACGUCUAUUGGUUGCACAAGUCAUGACCAUCGACGUUACCUCCAUCGAAGAACAACUGGCUCAAAUAAAUGAAGCGAUUGCAAGGCUAACACAGAUUGUGGAAGAAAAAUACUUGCAAAUCGCUGUACUCGUCAGCCGACUGGAGCCACAGGACGACGAGAACCCCAACCCAGAAGAUGAUCCACUAAAAAGAGAAGCUGGCGAAUAAGAUAAGCCUCCGAUAGAGAGAAUCGAUGUGAAGCCGGAGCUAGACCAAGCAGCGGCACUUAUGGGAUUUCUUUCUAUCCAGCAGCUGUAGGAGAUGAUCACCAACACCAUCAAGGCACAGUACGAAAGGAGCUCAAAUACUUCCGGGUUCUACUCGAAGCCUUAUUCCAAGAAGAUUGAUACCCUGAAGAUGCCAAAGGGUUAUCAACCACCAAAGUUCAUGCAGUUUGAUGGAAAAGGAAACCCAAAGCAGCAUGUUGCACAUUUCGUUGAAACUUGCAACAACGUGGGGACGGAGGGAGACUACCUCGCCAAGCAGUUUGUGCGCUCGCUGAAAGGAAACGCCUUUGAGUGGUACACGGACCUAGAGUCUGAGUCCAUCAACAACUAGGAGCAAUUGGAAAGAGAGUUCUUUAAUCGCUUCUACAGCACCCGCCGCACUGUAAGCAUGUUAAAGCUGACAAGUACAAAGCAAUGGAAAGAUAAGCCGGUCAUUGACUACAUCAACAGAUGGCGCACUCUAAGCCUCGACUGCAAAGACAGGCUCUCGGAGACCUCUUCAAUCGAGAUGUGCAUCCAAGGCAUGCAAUGGGGUUUGCAAUACAUCCUUCAAGGCAUCAAACCACGGACCUUCGAAGAGCUAGCCACCCGCGCCCAUGACAUGGAGUUAAGCAUCGCCCAUCAUGGGAAGAAGGAACCAAUCGCCGACUACAAGAACGACAAAGUUCUUGAGACAAAGGUGGAGAAGGUUGUGUGGAAAUCCACCAAGGAAGCAAUGACGGUCAACACAGCUCCCGUCAAAAUCCCUACAUGAGGCAAGGCGAUUCAAGCUGAAGCUUUUCGUGAUCAAGAGAUGCGUAAACGCACUUUGAAGGAGCUUGAGGAAAAGACUUAUCCAUUCCCCGACUCUGAUGUGGUUGCCAUGUUAGAAGACUUGCUGGAAAAGAAGGUGAUCGGCUUGCCUAAGUGCAGACGGCCAGAAGAGAUGAAUCGCACCGACAGUCUAAGGUACUGUAAAUUCCAUCGCUUCAUCAGUCAUCCGACAAAAAAGUGCUUCGUGCUGAAAGAUCUCAUCAUGAAGCUGGCACAGAAAGGAAUCAUCGAGCUAGAUCUUGACGAUAUGGUGAAGUCAAACUAUACCACCAUCAUUUUUGGCUCUUCUGACUCAAAGUUUUUACCUCAACCUCCGGGGGCAUCCUUCAAGACAAGUAAAGUUGAAGGAUGGACUCAAGUCAUUCCUAAGAAAUUGCACAAGAAGCAUACGUCUCCUCCAUAAGUCCGCCAAUCGGAAAGGGGGCAAAGCAGCUCUUGUCAACCUUCAAAGCAACGUGAACGUGUUAAAGAUGAUGAAAUUGCGAUACAAAGAUCGUCUGUUGCCAUCACGAUGCGCGACUUCUUACCCGAAGACUUCUUCAAUCACGCGGUCAAGGCUCCUUACUAUGAAGAUUGUGAGGAACGCCUCUCCAAAAUUGCUUGACAAAUUCACCAAUUUUCCUCACCCGCGUGAGUCUAAACUGCAUGGCACAAAGCUCCUGGUCUGCACGAGCAUAAAAGGCAACACUAAUGCUCCUUCUCCGCAAGAGCCUAAACUGCAGAACACUAAAGCUCUUGGUUUGCACGAGCAUAAAAGGCAACACCAAACGCUCCUUGCCUGCACGAGUUAAAACUGCAAACGGCACAAAAAAAAAUUCCAAAAAAAAAAAUCUGUAUUUGAACUACGUUUUCAUUUGAUCUCUUCCUUGGAGGGGUACGUAGGCAGCUCGAACAUUAAAUUUCGAGUUUAGUCACAUCAAAAUAAAAUUUAAAAAAAAUAAAUGUUUUAUUAAUGAAAGUCAAUUUCAUUACAAGAAAAAGAAUACAUAUGCUAUUACUAUGUAUUUUAGAAAAAAAGAAAAAAAAAGAAAAAAAAUAAAUACAUAUAUUAAAAAAAAAAGAAACACACACACAUAUAUAUAUAUAUAUAUAUAUAUAUAUAUAUAUAUAUAUAUAUAUAUAUAUAUAUUUGUAUAGCCCAGCUACAAAUCAGGCUUCUUUCAGUUCACAGGCCCAAUCUGACCACCAAGCAGCAGCAAGCCCAUCCUCACUUGUGUCUGGGCCCAGCAGCAGAAAGCUCAACCCCCUAGCCCUGAUCUCUCCCUGCGACUCCAAACUGCUCUUCUCCGCUCGCCAAUCGCAGAUCCAAACCGCCGCACGAUGGCAAAAAAAGCAAUCAAAACCCAAACAGAUUUCGCCGGCGAACGCAGUCUUUCUCGACGCUCUAGCUCCUGGCGUUAACAGUCCAAUAUGGACGACGCUGAGAUUUGUGUUUGUAAUGCUGGCUGGAGCUUUGUAACGUCAACUAUGGCUCGGCCAAGGCAUGUGCAUGAACGCAACAAGCUACGGCGUUGUUCGAUUGUCGCGGUGCUUACAACAGUGGCGGAGAAUAUGAACAUAGCAACAGAUACAAGACCGGCAGAUGCUGCAGUAGAAGAGAAGAUAGUGAGUCAUCCCUUGCCUCUAGCUGCAUCUUCCUGACGCUGUCUCUGCGUUCGCUGCCGUCGGUGUGCAGCUUCCUCUUGAUCCUGCUCCACGUGUUGACAAUUGACGGGGCUACAUCUAGAUGCGCAGCGGCGAGGAAAAAGUCGAGCUCCAAGUAGUACGGAGCGCACAUGGUGCUAAAGGCACUGACGGCGAUUCCAAGGGUCGCUGGCACCAGCAGUCGCUGACGGUGCUGGUGUUCACGAGGGCCUUCUCCUGCAAAUAUCCUGUCUCUCGUCAUCCGCCACGUCUUCUUCCUCUCAUGAAAGUGGCGGAGUCACCCACAAACAAAAGGAAGACCCGCAGAUGCACAAGAUCUGGAUAUUGUUGGAUGGCUUGCUAGGGAUCCUAAUGUCCUGCGUCGUGUUGGACACUUGCUGCUGCAACUUCCUUAUACAGUUUCACGCAGUCCAAGACAAAUUGUAAUAGCUGAUGAUUGCUUUCAAGAAGUAAAGAUUCCCGUUGAUAGGAUUGUUCAAGUGGUGAUCAAAUCCACUGAGAAGCUUUUUGGAAAACAAGUUUUGAAACAUGAAAAUAUUGGGGAAUACUGCAAUUCAAAAGUUCCAAGCUUGAAAAAGAUUUCACGGCCAGAAGAAGCUUCAUCCCUCAAAUUGCUUGCCAAUGUUGUGCAGUUUCUUCAAAGGCAUGAGUUCAGACAUAAUCAUGGGGAGUGGAUUGAUUCGGUAAAGCCUGUUUUGGAGUCUGCUACUUCAGCUCAGCACUGCGUCCUCCUCGGGCGACCACGGUCCCCUCACUUUCCUGCUGGGCAUUGCGCCCUCGUUCAACUCAGCUUCGGUGCCGGGGCGGUUGUCGGCUUCUUUGGGGACAACGUCGUUUAGGACUGUCAUUGGUGGUCCCCAUUGCUGGCAUUAUCCUCACAACAACUCUAUUGACAAGACCCCAAGGACUCGUCGGACAUUUCCCGCAUCUCCUCCUUGCUGUUGGAAUGGACCAAGCUCCUCUGCAACAAGCACAACACCAUCAAUACAGCUGCUUCAUCCACUGCCUCAGAACAAUCAUCUUCUCCGUCAAGCAGAAAAGUUAGAGGUGCAGGAAGCUGUCAAAGUUGUAGUGAUAUAUAGAAAGAAAUAAUAAUAAUAAAAAACAUUGGUGCGGCAUGAGUGGUGGUACCACCGAAAGCAAAGAAAAAAUAAUAAUAAUAAAAAUUCAAUAGAGUCAUGAUGCGGUGUGUUUGAGCACUACCAAAUGCCAAAAUAUAAAAAUAAAAAAAGGGAUGGUGGAGUAAAGUGGUGCUGGCACCACGUGAAAAAAAAAGAGGGUGCAUCUCGCACCGAAAGCAAAAAAAAAAAAUAUAUAUAUAUAUAUAUAUAAAAAAUAAAAAAAAUGCAUUGAGAGAAAUAAAGUCUAUUUUAUUUAUUUUUCUGAAAAUUUUACAUAAAUUUGCAUUAUACAUACCUAAAAAUAAAAGAGUAAACUGUCGAUUUACCCCCUGAACUUUCACCUCGCUUUCAAUUUCCCCCCUUUUCUAUUGGAAAAUUAAGGACUCAAACUAAUUUUUUUAGCCGAUUUGCCCCCUACCGUUAGUUUUUCAUAUAUUCCAUCCAUAUUUCUGUUAUGUGAUAAUUCUUUAAGGGCAGAAAAGUCAUUUAGCAAGACUUUCACACAAUAUACCCUUUGCACCAUCGCUGUUUAGAAAUUUAGGGUUUACACGCGACUUGCAAGGUGGGUGUUCACUGAAACUUGGGGGAAAUUGACUUCAUAGUUUGCUGAUGGUGGAUUCGACAAAAUCAUUAAGAUUACAAAAAGUUUUGAGAGUUGAAGAUGCCUUUGGAGGUGCGCAGUGGGGGAAUCGUCCAAAGUACUGCAAGUAUAUUUUAUACCUUUUGUAAUUGUUUGUUUAAUAGGAAGAUGUUCAUAAUACUCAUAAAAAAAUGUUCAAGAUAAUUAUAUACUUUUCAUAAUGUCAUAAUCCCAAUACAAUUCCACAAAAUGAUCCUUAAGAAGUUGGAAAACAUAAGAGAUUUUACCAUCCAUAAGGUAUAUAACCCAUAUAAUCUCGAUUACAAAAUAUGGGCAUUCCACUUAACCAAACACAAGCAAAAUAAGGUUUUAGUUAUCAAAACAAGAGCACAAACAUUCUGCUCGAAACGCACAUGACACGUGGAGAUCAACUACACUUUCCAUGGCCUUCCUCGUUUGGCUGGAAUCUUGUACCUAAACCUAUUUUCAUUUCUGAUGGCUGAGUAAGGUUGAGGGUGUGAUGUAGAAACAGCAACUUGAGGUUAUGCUUCACAUUGUGCUUGAGAUACAUACCCUUCUCUUGUAACCUAAAAAAAAAUAUCAGUUAAAGCAUUAACAUAAAUCAGUUGAAAUAUAAAAACUGCAUACCUUCCUCUUGUAUUUUCAUUUAUACCUAUAGAAUAGAAAAUGAUGUACUUACAGAAAAAAUUGUCGUCCUUUGAGCUUGAGAUUGAGAUUGAAUUGGACAUUCAGAAUGAGCUUGAGUUGGAACUUGAGAAUGAGUUUCACCUUGAUCUUGCUUACCUCCUAAACCCUGAAGUAAUUCAAUGAUGUUAACAAUAGUUUAUUUACCAAUUUAAAUAAAAAUAAAAACUUAAAUUGAUGGUUUUCAUCACCCCUGUUAAGUUUAGAGCUCCUCUGCCUCCUCUUGCUCCUCCACGUUGUCCUCUUGCUUCUCCACGUUGUCAUCUUGCUCCUUUACCUCCCCUUGCUCCUCUUCCUCUUCUACCUCCUUGUCCAUCCAUCUGCAAUAAAGUUGGGAAUUUCAAUGAAAUGCGUGUGAAACUAUGAGAACUAAAUUAAGUUCAAGUCAAAAUUUGAGAAUAUCAGAAAUACAUGCUCAUUGUUGCGACAAGUUGCUGAGUUAUGACCAUCAACACCACAAAUGUUGCAAUUAAUAACAAUGCCAUAUCUUCUCAACUUUGUUGCCUUUUUUGGUAUCUCAUCAGCUUCCCUUUUUCUACAAGUUUUAGGUCUCCCAGGUUGUUUGUGAUACAAAGGGGGCUUGAUAGGCACAAGGCCUGUUUUCCUCCACUCUUUUGGACCAGGCAUCGGAGAAAUGUAUCCCUCAUAAGCCCUGUCAUAUGCUGGCCUCUUAUAACAAGAAUGAACAUAAUCAAGUGGGUUAUGCUCUUUCUUGCCUAUUGCAGUAAUAGCAUGUGGACAUGGGAUUCCACAUAAAUCCCACUUUCGACAAGAACAUGUAUGACGUUCCAAAUCAACAGCGUACAUACCACCAUGAAGAUGGUUCACCUGAUACUUUCCCCCACCAGCAUAUGAGGCUAUGCAUAAAAAACUUUCAAUUUUAUAUUUCUCAACCAUUUCAAAUAUUCUGGGCCCAACUUCAUGAUUCCAAAUUAUCUCUCGAACCCUAGCCAUCCUAAGCAUCAAGUAUGGAUGCAUCCUUUGUAGCAAAGUCAGAAUGGGCUUAUCUCUUGCUUCCAAUAUAGCAGCAUUAAAAGACUCACACAAGUUAUUGAGUAGUAUAUCACACUUUGCAUUAGUAUUGAAAUGUGACCUACUCCAAUUAUUUGCUGGCUUAUCCUCAAACCAAUCAAAUGCUGACUUAGAUUGAGCUAACAUUUUAUCCAUUUCAGCCUCCCACAUAGGGAUUGUUGUUGCCCUUGCCGCAGCCCACAAUCUUUGUUUUAGUGCAAGACCAGUGUGACCUGCAGUCUUAAAAUUAUUGUGCAAAUGCCUAACGCAAUGCCUAUGUUCUGCAUUUGGCAUCAAAGCGGUAAUCGCAUUUCCUAAUCCUUUUUGCUUAUCAGUUAUAAACACCCAUCCAUUGCCAUUUUCAAUCCCAACAUCAGCAAAAAAUAUUUCCAUAAACCAUGUCCAUGUCUCCGUAUUCUCAAUCUCAACCACCGCAAAUGCAAUUGGAAACAUCCCAUUAUUUGCGUCGAUUCCGACUGCACUUAGUAUUUGCCCAGGAUGAGACCCUUUAAUGUGACAGCCAUCAAAGCCUACGACGGGCCUACAUCCUUCUACAAAACCCCUCUUCAAAGCUGCAAAACAUAUAUAAAUCCGUUUAAAAAUAGGAUUCUCACCUUGCAAGUCAGUUUUUACUACCACAGUACUACUAGGAUUAUUUCUCUUUAUCUCAUCGCAAUAAUCCCAUAUCUUUGCAUAUUGCUCUUCAAUACUACCUUGUAUCCUCCCUCUAGCUUUUCUCUUGGCUUUAUACACUUGGUUCUCUGUGAUGUCUAUACCAUAGUGUUUCCUCACAAGCUUCUUGAAUGCACCAACACUCAUAUUUGGAUUAUCUCUAAGCUCUUCAUCAAAUCUUUCAGCUAGCCAAGAAGAAGUGGCAUACUUUGUCUUUUGCAAUCUUCCACAAGUAUGUUCUGGUACAAAUGUUUAAUCCUUGUAGUCAGCCCCCUCCCUACAUGAGCUGCAUAUAGUAACCAAGGACAUUUUAUUUUAGAUGUUCCUAAACAUGAUACUCGAAGCCUAGUUCGAUCAUUCUUAUCCCAAUGCAAUGGUCUACUAAUAGCAACCGAAUAGUACCUUACAGCCUCCCUGCAUGCCUUCAUGUCAGGAAACUUCAUACCCAAAUAAAAGGUUGGAUUUAAUAAGUCAGUCUCUCUUCUGAAUUGUUUAAACCUUGGAGCUUUUCUCUUUCGUCUAACCUUUUUCACAACAAUACCUUCUUCAUCUGAAUGCUACUCUUCAUCAAGACUUACCAGCUCAUCUGAGUUGUACUCAUCAGUAGAAAUUUCGCCAGGCUCUUUAUGCGAUGCCUCAAAAGCCUCAUCAACCACAAACCUCUCAAAUAGAGUAUCAUCUUUCACAACUUCAGUAUCAUUUUCAGAUUGCACAUAAUCAGAGUCAACAUAUUCAAAGUCAUUUUCACUUUCCUCUCUUGCACCAUCAUCUUCCUCCAUAUCAAGCUCUGAUCCCACUUCAUCAUCAUCACCAACAUCUUCAUCAUCUUCAUUUUCAUUUUCAUAUUCAUCAUCAGCAUCUACAUCAAAUAUUUUUACAUCAACUCUUUGAUUCACACUAGCUUCAACAUUCACACCUUUUUCACAUUGUACUGUAGCAUCUACAAGAUGGUUGUCUAAGUCAGUUGCCAACAUUUCUUUCUCAAACCAAUUAUCCCAACCAUUACCCCACUGACCAUUAUUUGUCAAAUAUAAAACUUGAACCCUAAAUGAAGGUAUAUGAGAAACAAAUUCACUAACAUCGGCAUCUGCAAUAAGAGGGACAAACCCCUUUACUUUGUCUUUGUAGUGAAACCCUGUUUGUAGAUGGUUGUAGCCAAGUGAUACAGCCACAUCAUAUAUAUCUAGCAUAGACAUUAAGUCAGCGUCGAAGUUGUCCACCCACUGUACAAGACCACCAACAUACUUUCCAUCCUUAAGAUGACCUCCAUGGUGAAUCUCUAUUGUGAAUAAAUCAGGCUUAGCUACAAAAAUAAAAACACAUAAUUAAAAAUCUAUUUUUGUUAAAAUAACAAAAGGCCCAAGGUUCAAAUCCCUACAAUGUAAACAAACAAAAAAAAUAACAUAAACACAUCCCAUGGAGAGUAUUAGAAUCUAGAGAGUGGUAUUACAAGAUUUUUCAUCCAAAACUUCAAAAAAAAAGAUAUGGGACGACAAACUGACUAAAGCAACUACAAAAGGUAUAAAAUAUACUUACAGUACUUUGGCCGAUUCCCCCCACUGCGCACCUCCAAAGGCAUCUUCAACUCUCAAAACUUUUUGUAAUCUCAAUGAUUUUGUCGAAUCCACCAUCAGCAAACUAUGAAGUCAAUUUCCCCCAAGUUGUAAACCCUAAAUUUCUAAACAGCGAUGGUGCAAAGGGUAUAUUGUGUGAAAGUCUUGCUAAAUGACUUUUCUGCCCUUAAAGAAUUAUCACAUAACAGAAAUAUGGAUGGAAUAUAUGAAAAACUAACGGUAGGGGUAAAUCGGCUAAAAAAAUUAGUUUGAGUCCUUAAUUUUCCAAUAGAAAAGUUCAUGGGGGAAAUCGAAAGUGAGGUGAAAGUUCAGGGGGUAAAUCGACAGUUUACUCAAAAUAAAAAAUAAAUAAAAAGUCAAAUCAAAUUUACAGGAGGGGAUCUUCAAGGAUGAUCAGGUGGCGCCUCAUCACUCGGCGGAACUCCAGGAAGAAGAGGGAGUCAGAGGUUGAUCAUCUGGAGCUUCAUUACGCGGCAUAGCCCUAGAAGACGAAGACAACUGUUUUUGGAACAAACCCACAAACCUCUUAUGAUCAAGUAAAUCUGACCAUCAGAUUCCUGCACCUGGUCAAUCUUCCUUUUUAUGUUUGUAGCAUAGUUAUGUGCGAGCCUGUGCAAUUGUUUAUUUUCAUGCUUGAGCCCUCUAAUCUCCUGUUUGGGACUCAUCACUUCAGCUGCCAAUGAUUCAACUUGACGGGUCUGAGCAAAUAGGCGUUGGACCAUAUUAGACACAGAACCUGCACACUGAACACUGAGAGCCAGAGAAUCCUUAACAGCCAACUUAUCAGACCGUUUGGAAAGCAGUCUGUUAUCUUUGGGAGUGACAAGGUUCCGGGCCACCACCGUAGCGGUCAUAUCAUUCUUCAUCACCGAAUCCCCAACGAUAAGAGGACCAGUAGGGGAUAUGAAAGAUGGGCGCCAUAUGUUAUCUGGAGAAGGCGGGACUGCCUCUUCACCAAGGUUCAAAUCAAAACGACGGUCGGAGGGUCCAGACAUUUUCAAAGUUGUUGAAGAAAGAAGAGGUUAGACAAUUCAAGAUCUUAUAACUGCGAGAAAUGAGUUUCUACAAGCGAAAAUUCAAGUGUGCUUUGAAACGACCUGCAUGCCUCUAUAAAAAUCAGCACUCGACGGGAUUUCAAAGAUCGAAGAGGCGAGCUCAGAAUUUGAAGAGGCCAAUUCAAAAAUCGAAGAGGCAAGCUCAGAAAUCGGAGAGGCAUCUUGCUUUUCCAAACGUGUCAGCACCCGUCACACGCAAACUCAGCUUUGCAGAAAUCACGGGCAAUUUGUCGAAACGCUGAUCCCAGAUAUCGAAGAGGCGCCAGUCCUUUUCAGCCUCAUCAACACCUGUCACAUGCACACUCAGCUUGGCCACGAGUGAAAGAAUAGUACCUCUACAGGUAUUAAAAAAACUUCCUAUAACUGUCCACCUUCACCCUCCAUAGCAAGGCAGACAUACAGAACCUUUCUUCAUCUCCGAGGAUGUCUUCCUAACGAAGCCUCUCGAGUCACUCAGUUUUCCUUAUUCCUUGGGGUACCUCUGCAAACAAAUGACACCAAAGAAAAAGUAUCUCAUAUCACCAGGUUAGAAAGCAAGAGUUUCUCAUAUCAUGCGUUUUCCCUAUCAUUUCCUUUGUCCUUGUUCUUACCAGCAAAGACAAGGAUAAAGAAAGAAAUAUGCCGGAACCUCCACUCGAACUCGGGUAAGGAACCAACUGCUUGGAACCCUUCCCUGAUUGCCUACCUAGCACUGCUCUCGAAUACUCGUCUUCCACUGCUGCUGCACUUCCAGAGAAGCUGCCACAUCUGCCUGGAGAACAGAUAAGGCAAGUGAAAAUGAUACCUUGCAGCAUGUGGAGACAACGUGCAAAAGAAACAAGCAGAGAAGAAUGCAGCCUGCAUAGUCAACUUAGCAGACGGAGUCUGAGCUAAGGAACUCGAGAAGAUGCCACAUUCUGCCAGAAGAAUAGAUAAGGCAAGGGAAAAUGAUACAUUGAAGCAUGUGGAGACAAGCACAACAAAGCACGUGUCGAUUCAUCCGCUACUUCUUCAAAAUCAAAAGUAUCUCAUAUCAUCAAGGUUGCAAUCACUCUGGGUGGAGGACUCGUUUUGACCCUCAAAUUCUUGGGUCGACUCGCUAGGCGUUGUGGGUUACACGUGCCGAUUCACCACCCUUGAAUCAAAUCCUUAAAGAUCAAGUCACCAACUGGAAGAAGAGCCCAUCAAUCUUGAAUAUCAUACCGUUGACCAAACUGCUCAGGUGUGAAAUAGAAGGAUUGAACAAAGCAACAAGUCGUCACCUUUACCUCGUGCUUGCUUGCCAUAUAUUCAAUUCAACCUUCAAGAAUCAAACCAACGGCCCUUGAGGAAAUCACAAGUCCGAUUCAAGAUCAAGCAUCCGCCACCCUUGAAUCAAACCCAGUUCAAGAAUAAGUUGUGGAAAGUCAACAACUGGAGGAAUCCAGAAAAUCCUCCAACCCAGUUCAAGAUCAAAGCUGUGGAAAGUCAACAAGUGCAACAAAAUAUGUGCCGAUUCAUCCACUACCAAAGCCAAAGAUCAUCUACCACAUGAAGCUCCUUGUGGUCCAAUUUCAACCUUCAAGAUCAAGCCCCGACGGCCCUUGAAGAAAUUUCAAACAAAGUUCAAGAUCAAGCCUCAAUGGCCCUUGAAGAAAUUUCCCGCCCAAUUCAAGAUCAAGCCUCAACGGCCCUUGAAGAAAUUUCCAGUCCAAUUCAAGAUCAAGCCCCAACGGCCCUUGGAUCGACAUCUAUAAUAAGGGACUUCAAAAUGCAUCUCCUACACGUGACAAGCACGUGUAUACGACGUGCCUUGAAGUGGGGGCAUUUGUAGACAUCAAAAUUUUGGUAAAUAAAUGUUGACCGAUAAAUCAAAGUUUCAACGCUCAUGUAUUACAUAAAUUUUACACGUACCGUGUGACUCGACGAAAAAUUGAAAUGAGUCGGAAAAGUCAUCAAACAAGAUACGUGUCAACACUUGGCAAAAACGACUUAUUUCAUCUGGAAUAUUAUAUUCAAAAUUAGGCCUUGGAAAUUUCUAUAAAUAGAAGGCUAAUUCAUUCAUUUGAAGGAACCAAAAUCAUUAGGCAAAAUUCUUGAAGCUCUGAAGCUCUGAAACGCUGAAGCUCUCAAGCAUCCAGGUUCCCGAAGAAUCAAGAAAGCUCUCUUCGUUCUUCGUUCUUCGUUCUUCGUUCUUCGUUCAUCGUUCAUCCUAAGAUCAAGCCCAAACGGCCAUUUGGAUCAACAAUCAUCCACCAAUUUAAGAUCAAGCCCCGACGGCCCUUGAAGAAAGUGUUCUUCGUUCUUUGUUCAUCAUUCUUCCAAGAUCAAACCCCAACGGUCCUUUGGAUCAACAAUCAUCCACCAAUUCAAGAUCAAGCCCCGACGGCCCUUGAAGAAAACGUUCUUCGUUCUUCGUUCAUCGUUCUUCCAAGAUCAAACCCCAACGGCCCUUUAGAUCAACAAUCAUCCACCAAUUCAAGAUCAAGCCCCUUCGGCCCUUGAAGAAAGCGUUCUUCGUUCUUCGUUCAUUGUUCUUCCAAGAUCAAGCCCCAACGGCCCUUUGGAUCAACAAUCAUCCACCAAUUCAAGAUCAAGCCCCGACGGCCCUUAAAGAAAGCGUUCUUCGUUCUUCGUUCUUCGUUCAUCGUUCUUCCAAGAUCAAGCCUCGACGGCCCUUGGAUCAACAAUCCACCAAUUCAAGAUCAAGCCCCAAAGACCCUUGAAGAACUUCCACCAAUUCAAGAUCAAGCCCCGACGGCCCUUGAAGAAAGCACCAUCGUUCAUCAUCCGUUCAUCUUAAGAUCAAGCCCCAACGGCCCUUUGGAUCAACAACGUCGACAAAUCCACACAUCCAACCGUUCUUCAAGAUCAAGCCCAAAAGCCCUUGAAGAUCCGUUCAUCACUGUUCUUCAAGAUCAAGCCCAAAAGCUCUUGAAAAUCCGUUCAUCACCGUUAUUCAAGAUCAAGCCUCAACGGCCCUUGAAUAAACACUUAUCCUCAAGAUCAAGCCCCAAUGGCUCCUUGAAGAUUCGCUCAAAUCCACCUUCAAAGAUCAAGCCCACGGCCCUUGAAGAAACUUCCAACAGUUCAUCCAAAAUCAAGCCUCGACGGCCCUUGGAUCAACGAAACAUCCACAAAUCAACGCCUUACGGAGAUCGAAUCAGAGGAUCAAAUUUGAGAGAGAUUGUAACCCAAAACCAUCAAAUACAAAUAUUAUUUUGUGCACGUUGUUCUUGUCGCUUUCGUUUCAGGAAAAUUUCGUGUUCACAGUGAGAUCUGUGUUUCCUCAAUAAAUGUUGGAGCAACGUUUUUUUUUAUUUGUGUUGCAUUGUUGUCUUUAAUUUUCAUCAUCUUGUUGAAUUUUUCUUGUUUGAUUUCGUUCUUGGUUCUGUCUAAUUUCUAAGUUUUAUCACAUCAAUUUGUAAUACUAGUUAUAUCAAACUCUCUUGAGUCAUUAGAAAUUAUGUGUUAUUUUUUCCUGUAUAAUUGUCAUGUUAUUGUUUUACACAAAUAAAUAACGUGUGAUAAUUUCUUGGAUUGUACAAAAAAUGUGUAUUUACUACACAUAAUAUGUAUGUAUCUACAAGUUUUCUUUUAUUGCUUACUUUGGUAUAGCGGAAUAUAUAUUGAGACAUUCUAAGUUAAGGUUUACUGUAUAACGCGGACAUACAAUAAAUGCCAAUUUAUAUGCCUUUGUUAUUGUUAUGCCCUCGAUAUUACAAAGUUAAAAUUGUAAAAGACAAAUGUUAAAGAGAUUUUUUUCAAAAUUGAAACUCUCAAUAAAUUCUCUAUCACCUUAUAUUUUUAGUAUUCUUGUGCCAAUAGUAUAUAACAUUACGCAAAAUAUAUAAAAUAAUAGAAGAUUUAUGGAAAAUUACAUUUUAAGAGGAGUCUCUUUAGCAUUUCUCAUUGUAAAAUUAUUAUGAAUAGUGCUCGACCGUUGUUAAAAGGAAUGAUUUAUUAAUCAUUUAUUGCUCAUUGGUUCAAAACUUUUGUGCCUUUGCUUUUGUCUCCCUUCGAAACUAAACCUUCACAAUUUAAUGGGAUAAGGAACAAUAUUUUCUGACAAAAUUACAAUUGUGGUCAGCCUCUACCUGCGGUAUGGUUGGUGGGUGUCACCAUGAAACUUCCAAGAAAUGGUGAUGCAGUUUCCUGGUUAAUUUCCAAGUCUCCCACCACACUCAAUCAGCUAUCGUCAACGCGCUCCAACUCCGAAAUUUCUAUCGAGCUUCAAUCGUAAGUAUUUCUAUGCUAAAACCCAGAUAGUUUGGUGAAGAAAAUAUAUUUUUGUUUAUCCUGUUUUGCAUGACCACCAACAAUGUAAGAGAAAAUUUAACUUUGCAUUUCUUGAGUUGCAAAUUCUAGAGCGUCUCACUUUUUCACAGUUUCCACUGUUUCUAAUCUGUUGUUGUUUUCGGAAAGUGGCAAAAUGGUCCGAAAUCAAUCCAGUUGCUGAAUUGAUCAAAAUCUAAUAGCCAUGACAUACUGAAAAAUUGAUCAGUUCAUUGUGGCAAUUGGGUGAAAAAUGAUCAUUUCGGCCAAUUUCCAUAGUUUUUUUUUAUGUUGUAAUAAAUUUUAGUUUGAGACUUCUUUUGAGUUUUUCUGAUUUUGGUGUUGGGUUUUGUUGUUAAGAAUCAACGAAUGGGUGGAGGAGCAGAUGACCUUUUCGGAGGGGCUGGUGUCGGAGCAGUAUUCAAUGUGCUGUAUGACGUCCUCAAGGAGCUGACCACCAAGAAUGAAUGUUUAAGCCCCUCCUCAAAGACAUCAAAUUCAGGUUACACUCUGUGCAACCAUAGUUGUUUUGGUUUUUGUUUUUGUUUUUGUUUUUUGUUUUUUUUGGUCGAACUCUUUGCAACCAUAGUUGUUAGAUAUAGAAAAAUCCAACAAGAUAUUGGAUCUUCAGGAUAUGGAACUAGAAAACUUAAAACAACAUUUGGAGGAGGGCACAAGAAAUUUCACAACUAAAAAUCAACAAGAGCAUGACAUUUAGGUAGAUGAGGGGUUUAUUUUUUCUUUUCCAGUUGAGCUCUUGAAGUAUUGUUAUAUAAAAUUGUUUAAAACAAAUAAGUGUACAUUAGAAAAGAUCUAUAGCUGAUAUUUCACAAAAAAAAAAAAUAGAUCUGAUUUUUAUUAAUCAACAUUGAAGUUUUUACGUACAUUCUAUGAAAACAUAUGGAAAUUCACACAAUCGGAAUCAAUUUGUCAAUAUAUGUAUAAUACACGUAAAUGAGAUGGAUUCGUAUGUGCAUGUUUAUUAAACAUGACAUAGCCUAUGUGAGUAGGGAAGCAUAUAAUUUCCCUAUGUUGAUAGUAUAUUUUGUCAUCUUCUAGUAUAUAAAAAAUAAAUAAAAAAGUAGCAUCUUCUCAAUGUAUGUGUGGGUAAUGUUCGGGGGACCAAAUUUUUAAACUAAAUUUUGUAAACCAAAUUAUAUGGAUGUUGAUGAUUGAAUUAUUACUUAACUGUUGAUUAACGUGCUUACUUCUUAUAGAUGACACAUAAUUUAGUUUGCAAACUUAAUUUAAAAAUUUAAUCACUUUAGCAUCCUAUAGGUAUAUUGUGCUAUGCUUCCUAAUAAAAUAAACAAGAUUAAAAGGAGGACAAAGUGGCUCAAUCUUUUAGAAACUAUAUAUUUGAUUUCAAGAACAAUAAAGUUAUUCUAUACUUUAAAAUUAAAACUCAUAAAGAAAAGUAUUAUUUUUAAGGAAAGAAAAUUAUACAAGGACAUAAAAAGUUUAUAAUUAGCAUUGAAAUUUUGUGCACAUUCUGUGAAAACGUAAAGGUUAUACUAUGGGUACACAUAAACUUGUGAUACACCGUUAAAGGGGAUGAAUUCUUUAUUGAAAUUUUGAUACACGUAAAUGAACUAUUCGUAAGUUUAUUGAAAAUAAUAAAGCUCACAUGAGUAGGCCAGAAUACAAUUUCCUUGUGUUUUCAUAGCAUAUGCAUAAAUAGUGUUGAAAAUAAGUUUUAUUUAUUUAUUUUAUUUUAUUUUAUUUUAUUUUAUUUUAUUUUUUAGAAAACCUUGACGGUACGAGGGAUAUUUUAUAGACAAUGAAAAAAAAGUUAUACCUAGUUAGGGGGGACAUAAACCUUACCCCUCAUAAUACCAAGAAAAUGAGAAAAAGAACAUGAAUAAGAAAGGAGACAUAAAUCUUACCUCUCUAGAAACAAAAACAAAAAUGAUACGAGGAAAAGAGGGGGGACAUAAAACCUAACAUGUCUAAAGCCAAACCUAAAAUGUCUAAAACAUGCAAAACAAGUCAAACAAGACCACCACAAGGUUAGUAAAAAACAAGAAAUGAAGACAUACACAUAUGGCGAGAUGCACAUUAGUUUGAGAAAAGGAAACCGGGCAAGCUUACAUAGUCUGAAAACAAAGCAGCACGAGCCGGCGGUGGAAGGGAGUCAUGCCACACCAAAGUUGGAGAAGACAAGCUCAUGUUAGCAAAUUUUAUCCGCAACAACAUUUGUUUCACGAUAUAUGUGAGAGGUGUAGAAUGUCAUAUUUUGAAUGCAGUCUAGACAAAUGGACCAUUGUGUACGAAGAGGCCAAGGAGGAUAAAAUCAGUUGAUUGGAAAGUAGAAAUAACACUAGAAGAGUCACUUUCCAACCAAAGGCAAUGCCAACCCAGCUAAUAUGCAAACUCAACACCAAAAAUAAUUGCUGAUAAUUCUGCAAAAAGGGAGUUGCGAUGACCAAUCAAUUGGCAAAGCCCACCAAGAAACUGACCAUGGCAAUCUUUGAAAACUCCUCCACAUGCAGCAAGAUUAGGAUUUCCUUUGGACAAACCAUCUGUAUUUGAGCGAGGUUCAAAUGCGAUAAGUCUUGGGAUUGAAACUGGCAGACAGACUAAUGAUCGAAAGGGUUUAGGGUUUAGAUUAAGGACCCCUACGAGAAAUUUUUCAGUGUCCAAAAAUGAGGCAUUCUAAAAUACCUAACAUUUUUUUUUAAUUUGAAUUUGAUUUUUUUUAUGUAUGUAAGUAUAAUUUUCUCAUCUUCUAGUACAAGUUUUAUGGAUAUUCUACAAAACCGAAACUAAAUAAAAAAUCAGAAUCUAAGCACUAUUUUCUAAAAAAUAAAUAAAUAGAUAAACUUGCAUUAAGCCCAUGAAUUCACUCAAAAUAAAAUAAAAAACAUUGCAUGCUAAAUAUAGGUGUAAUUAUAUUAGCUAUAACAAAUAUACUUUCUCCUAACACCCAAUUUGUGCAUACUAUAUGAAAAUAUAAUGAAAUUAUACUAUGGUCUCCUCUCAAGAAAUUUCCAGUUCUAUCAUUUUUCGUUAACCUAUAAUUUAUGCAAAUAGGAUCAAUUAUUAAAAGACGUAUGGUACAUGUAAAUGAGAUCAAUUUAUAAGUGCAUUGAAGAGAAGCAUAUAAUUUCCUUAUGUUUUUCAUGGCAUGUGCACAAAUUUUUUUUCAAUGUUGAAAAUUUUAUAUGUAUAUAAGCAUAUUUUCACAUCUUCUAGUAUACCAAAAGGAAACCAUAUAGUAGCAUCUUCACAAUGAAAUCUCUAACUUACACUAAGCCUAUGAAUUCACUCGCAACAAAAUUUAAACCGAAACAAAAAAAAAAAUCAUUUUACACUACUCUAAUGAAAUAAAAAGAAAGGUCAAAAUGAGGGUAAGGUGACUUUCUUUUAAUGCUAGUAACGGUCCUCUUUUUUUUUUCUUUUUUUUUUCCUUCAAAAACUAUAUACUUGAUUGCAUGAAAAAUAACGUUACUGUACAAUUUAAAUUUAAAACUCAUAAAAAUUAUACUUUUUUAAGGAAAUAAAAUUAUACUUUCUGAGGAAAUAAAUUUAUACUUACAAAACAUACAAAAUUUAUUAAUCAACACUGAAACUAUGUGCAUAUUCCAUGAAGACAUGAUGAGAUUAUACCAAAGUCUCCCACAUGAAAUUAUUAUACCAAAGUCUCCCACAUGAAAUUAUUAGCUUUGUCAAUUUUUGUGAACUUGUGAUACACGCUAAAUAGUUGAAUUUUUCAAUGAACUUUUGAUAUACGUAAAUUAGAUCUAUUGAAAGUAGCUGCUUUAGCUUCAGCUACUCGAAUUUUUUAUAUUCCUUUUUUAUUUCUCAUCAAAAGAAUGACAUCUUAUUUUGAAAAUCGUAGCUAUCCUUAGCAUGAUAUUGGGGAAUCUUAUUGCUAUUACUCAAACAAGCAUGAAAUGUAUGCUUGCAUAUUCGUCCAUAGGUCAAAUUGAAUAUGUAAUUAUUGGAAUAAUUGUUAGAGACUCAUAUGGUGGAUAUGCAAGCAUGAUAACUUAUAUGUUAUCCUAUAUCUCCAUGAACUUGGGAACUUUUACUUGCAUUGUGACAUUUGGUCUAUGUAACUGAUAACAUUCGAGAUUAUGCAGGAUUAUAAACAAUGGAUCCUGUUUUGGCCCUCUCUUUAGCCUAUGUCUCUUAUCCUUAGAGCCGCUCUCGGCCCAAUAAUCUUCUAGAAUUUUUGUCAUGGGACGUCCAGUCUGUAUAGGCCUUCCAGUCAGGAUUGGCCGAAUCCUAUUCCGAGGGGAAUUAGUUUAGAUAAGAGCGCGAUAGUCGAAACCUAGUGCAAAAAUGAGUCUUAAGGCUAAGGAUGCUGAGACUUAGGAGAUGAAUCUGGUUUGUUAAAGAGCUUGGUUCAAAGUCCUAUUGGAGUUGGGAUUGGCCGAGACCUAAUUAGAUUAGGUUGAGGAGUUCUAAUCCAAAUACAAUUCUAGCUCGGUCAUGAAGAUGGUUUGCUACUAUAAAUAGAGAAAGGAGUGCAUAAUUCAAGGCCCCUCUAAAUCAACACACAAAUUGCCCUGCGCAAAGCUUCUUAACAACCUUUGAGAUUUUAUCUUCUUCCCCUUUCUUUCGCCAACACAUCUUCACUUCGGAUAAAUAGCACUGUGAAGGCAAUCAGCGACAUCUUCAGUUUGGAUAAACAGCAUUGGAGCCGUAGAAUCAGCCGAUCAAUGAGCACAUUCAGUUUGGAUAAACAACACUACUUUGAGACCGACUGGUUAUUUAUCCAAGUCUCAGUCGACAAGGAUUUUUAAGUUCUUGUUGGUAGAGGUUAUCACAUCAGCCUUCUCGGCGAAAUGAGGUGUUACAGGUUACUGGGCUCGGCAUAUUGAAUGCCAAGUUGUUUUAUGAUUGGAUACUCGCAAGUAAGUUUUAGAGUUCAACAUUCUGACGACCGAACAGCAUUUACCAUCAAGACAUACAUCUCUUUCGAGUAUUUGUGUCCAUAUAGUCUGGUACCAGUUCGGCGUGCUUAUACUCUUACGAAUAUAAUCACCGUAACUGAACCUAGUGCCGACGAUCGUGAACUUCGCAAGACUAGCAGCCUUGUCUUAAGGCUCUAGAACCCGAAGGCCAAUACGUGUUCCUUCCUUAACCACAGUUGUAAGAUCAAGAAGUCAACAUCGCACUCAACACCACAUCAACACAUUUUACUCCCCGACCGAGCUCGGCUGUCAAGUUGGCACGCCCCGUACAUAAUCGAAUGACGUAGUUAGCUUAUUAGUUACUUGGCCUGAACGCCAUGAAGGCUUGGUAGUUUUUAGAGUCAACAUUUUGGCACGCCCAGUGGGACCCAAUGCUAAAGCUACGAAGUUCAUGACCAUUGAGACAUGGUCAGUAAAAAAGUAAACAGUCGUAAGAAAGUGAAUGACUAAUUUUCCAGUUCAAAACCCAAGACAAGAUGGCUUGCCACAUGUACACAAUCAUUCUACUGUCGUGACACUUAAAGCCACAAGUACAACACGCCGAGAAAACGAAAUUAAUCUCGGCGAUCAGACUCGUGAUACAGAAAUCCCCGCCAAAACGACAAAGGUAUUUUUGUUGAAGGAUUAGUGGAAGAUUGCGAUGAGGAUAGUGGUGAGGCUUCUGAUCCACCAACUAGAUCGUUUUUUCGACAAUGACUUGAAGAAAAAUCCUGGUAGUUUGAGCAAAUGUUCAGCUGAAAGGUAAAAAGCAUACUCGAAGAUAUGCGUGAUAAUAGUGUUAUACACAACAUGCUGCUCAAAAUAAUGCUUAAUACAACCCACGUAGGAGGACCCGCCGAUUGUUCCAGGCAGCCUCCAAUUAAGAACAAUCUCUGCCAACGAUACAGGCCGAGACAGGAUCUGCUCAGCUCAAAAUGAUCGAUUUGGAAAAAAAAAGGUGGAUCAAGCAAUAGAUCGGACAAAUUUGACCAAGGAGCAGAAAUGACGUCUAUUGAUAUAGUCGAGGUCCAUAGAAUGAUUCAUUCGGCCUUCAAAAAGGGGUCGAAGUUUCCAAAAUUCAUUCACCCAUAUCUAGCAUUUGUAGAAAAGUUCAAAUAUCCCAAGGGAUUCAAAAUUCUGGAUUUCAGCCUUUUCGCUUGAGUGUUAUCCCUAUCGUCGUUAAAACACGUGGCUCGAUUCAAUGCUAAAUGUAGGGACGUUAACAGUGAUUUCCAUAAGCUAUAAUUGUUCAAUUUCUCGUUAACCAGCUCAACAUUUGCAUGGUAUAUCAACCUCCUACCCAACUUCAUUCAAAGCUGGGAAGAACUAGUUGAGAAAUUUCAUAAGCAAUUAUAUCUAGGGAUGGACGUGACAGUAUUUUCUUUGGCCAGGAUGGCUCAAGCCUCUCACGAGUCGCCAAUGGAAUACCUUACGAGGUUUAAGUCAGCCAGAAAUUGGUGCCGAGUACCUCUCUCUGAAUUCAAGUUUGUUAAGCUUGCCCUAAACGGCCUAGAUGUGGAGUACAAAAAGAAAUUCUUGGGGGCAAACUUUUGAGAUAUGUAUGAACUGGCCCAACAUGUUGAGUAAUAUGAUUAUUUGCUCCGAGAAGAAAACAUCUCGGAGUCUCCAUCCUGAAGAACGAUCUCCAAAAACCCUACGGUUAGUUAUGCAUCGGUCGAAGACGAAGAAUCGUAAUAUGCCAGUAUAGACGUGGCCAAGAUAGUGAUCGACAAACCAUACAUAUGCAAAGCAUUGGCUCAUGCUAAUUCCAAGGAUGCCAAAACCCGCUCGACCUAUGAGGAAGCUGCUUUCAAAACAUCGAAAGUCUAUACUUUUGACAUCACCAAGGGCGAUGCCAUCAUCAAGCUUUGGCUCGGGCAUAAUAUUCCCAAAGCUGAAGAUUUAAAAGGAAAGACAUAUUGCAAAUACCACAACUCAAACAAGCAUACGACAAAUAAUUUUGUAGUAUUUUGCGAUGCCAUUUAGAGCUAGAUCAACAAUGGUAAGCCUAAGUUUCUUGAGAAACAAAUGGUCGUCGAUGCCUAUCAUUUCCCUACGGCAACGGUAAGCAUGGUGAAUGCUCAUCUACCUAGGGAUAAAGGAAAAGGAAAGGCCGAGUUCAUUCCAAUGAAAUUCAUCCUUAAGCAGAACUCUUGGUCGCGAUUGAAAAUUGAUUUAUUUUCAAACGAGCCACCCAAAGAUUUGGCAGGACUAGCUAUUGUUGAGUCAGUGUCGGACUCUAAAAUGUAGGAAACUGACGGGCCGAUGGUUUUAUGUAGUUAGUGAAAAGAAAACAUCAUCUUGACUAAGCCAAAGAAAAGUCACUUCAGGUUGAAAUACGGCAAUAUCCCAAAAAGGUGCUCAGUGCAGGCCAACGUUAGAAAGUUUUCGAUAGGCUCAACCCUCAAGUACAAGAAAACAGGCAUUCUUUGCCUAGACGACGCCUUUCGACACACCAUUUUACAAUGAAAAUUAUUAUGUGUGCAACACUAGCAAUUCAAGUUCACCCAUGAACCAACGCACCUUUAGACCACCUGAGCCAUGUGACCAUCACUGGUAUACCUACAACUUCCCUACCGAUGUAUAUACUGCGUUGUCAAAAUCACAAAAACACCAGCGCCAUAAAAUGGACUGUAUGGCUCGCCGACAAACGGCCCAGGAUACCUCAGCCACCAAAUGGCAGCCGAAAAAGACAGUUGGCAGUAAAGAUGACCAACAACCUCCGGCAAUCAUAACCGAGUUACUUCAAGGAAAUAAGGUAAUUUAUCGCGAUUUCGAAACCAUAAUUAAGAAUCUAAAAAGCGAAUUAAGCUCAUUCUUUGGCCUGGGGAAAUAAAAGCUCACCUCGAACACUUCCGGAAGGAAGCCGAAAGCAAACUCCCCCUGCUAUAUACACAAGAACCGUUGAUAAAAGUUAGACGAAAUCUCCAUCCACCAUUUCUUGGUGAGGCUUUAGAAUACAUGCAAGAGUUUCACAAGAAGCAUUCGGCAAAUAACUUAAACGGCAUGCCAAAGGCAUGUCAAUAGGCUAUUGAUCUAGCUAUAACUUGCCUCAACGCCAAACAGAUCAUUCAAAAGACCACGGAUCCGGGGAUGAAGGCUAGGUUUCAGCAUAUACGCGAGGCUCGGGUUCUCAACUUUGAGGUAGACCCGUAUACUAUUAUCGACGUAGCUGACAUUCCCUUUUCUCUUGAGGACCUCUAAUAUUUGCGCUAUCAUUUUGAAGUUUACUCAACUGUUGCCCUCUUUGGUCUACGAUCGAUGAAAAUGAGCGCGUGGUACAAUUAGACACUUACCUGGACACGAUAGACGUCUGCAUCGCGUAUCAGGAACAGACUUACAAGGAUUUACAAGACCAAGUUCCAAUGCCGAGCGAGCCAGAGGUCGGAACUCAGAAUGAAACAGCUUUGACAAACAUGCCACAUGACCACAUAGCCACUACAGUCGAAGAUAGCUAAACAAGUGAUGCCCAUGAACAAGAUACCUAGCCAGAAAAUCCAGAGGCCGAGGAUCACGACCUGAUGGGCCCUUCGUUCUAGACAACAUGGAAAUCAGCAUGGUCCAUAUCUUACCUGUCAAGUUCCAGCCAACCUCAUAUCAACCAAAUUUUCUGGACGGUGACGUGGUUGCCGAGGAAGCCACACAAGUCGAUUUAAUGGUCACCGAAGAGAUCGGGCAAGAAAGCAAAUAUGAUAAACUUAGAGCAACCCUUACAUAAUUGUUUCCCCGAUCUUCAUCCAUUAAUCUUCAUCAUUUAAAGCCGAUGUAUGUUAUGGCUUAUAUUGAAGGAUACCCAGUUUCCAAAAUUUUCGUCGACUAUGAAAUAAUAGUCAACAUCAUGUCCAUUUCUAUCAUGAAAGCAUUACGUCGCUCCAACAACAAACUCAUUCCAUCGGGGGUAACCAUAAAUAGCUUUUUCGGCAACAAAUCUUAGACCAAGGGAGUGUUUCCCUUAGAGGUGACAAUCGCAGGUCGAAAUCACAUAACUGCGUUCUUUAUAGUAGAUUCGAAGAUUAGGUAUAAUGCCUUGCUUUGUCGGGAUUGGAUCCACCAAACUGGUUGUAUCCUCUCGUUUUUGUGUCAAGUCCUUAUCUUCUGGGAUGACAAGUCGGCCGUAGUUCAUCUGGCCGACAAUCAGCCGUUUGAAGCUAAUAUAAUUCAGGCUCACUAUUAUGAUAAUCACAUCGACUGCAUCACCCUACAAGGUUUUAACAAAAAAAGACGACCGACUCGGAUCUCAGUUCAGAAAACCAUCAAGGUUGACGCCAAAACUGUUCACCAGGAUUCAGUGAGACUCGGGUUGGCUGACCUAAUCGCUAAUCCUGAUGUCUGAUACCAAACAGGAAAAACAUCGGGCCACGGUUUCAUCUACCAUAGAAUGACUAGGCAUUGGUAUACUAUUUCUAAGCAAUUGAAUUUUGGUGUAAACUUAGUAGAGUUCUUCACCGAAGGAGACAACGGCCCAGUCCUGUCACUUGACAAAGUCCAAGCCACUCUAGCCGAGCUCGAAGAUAGUCUGCCCCAAGUCAAAGAUCCAUUAAAAGAAAUAAAUGUCGAAAUGACCAAUGAUCAUCGGCCUUUAUUUAUUAGUGCUUUGUUACCCCAACUUAUGAAAUCGAGCUUUGUAAAUUACUCGAAGAAUUUAAAGAUUGUUUUGCUUAAAGUUACCAUGAAAUGCCUGGUUUAGAUCGAACACUCGUCGAACACGAAUUACGCAUCAAGGCUGGUUCUAAACCUUUCCGCCAACCCCAUCGAAGAUUCUCGAUCGAAGUUCAACUCGGCAUAAAAGAUGAACUCAUUUGACUUUUAAAAGUUGGGUUUAUUCAGACAGCUUGAUGCGUCGGAUGGUUGGCGAACAUCGUCCCAGUUUUAAAGAAAAAUGGUGCUCUACGUAUUUGCAUUGGUUUUUGAAAUUUGAAUUUAGCAACCCCUAAAGAUGAAUAUACAAUGCCAAUUUCAUACUUGUUAAUCGACGCAGCAGCAAACCAUGAGCAGCAAACCAUAAAACUACUUUUUGUUGCCCCGGGGUGCUUGAGACCUACAAAUGGGUCGUCAUGCCUUUCAGCCUUAAGAACACUGGUACCAUAUAUCAAUGCACUAUGAAUAUCGAACCACCGCCGAUCACAUUUAGAAGAUAUUCGACAAACUUUCCUUCCAAUGCGCCAACAUAACCUCAAAAUGAACCCCACCAAGUGCACCAUUGGUGUAUCGAAAAACAACUUUUUAGGGUUCCUUGUACAUCGAAGUGGAUGUAAAUAAAGCUAAAGCAAUCAUUAAUGCUCUACACCUGACAACCAAGAAGCAAUUACAAUCAUUACUCGGUAAAAUCAAUUUCCUCCACCGUUUCAUUUCCAAUUCGGCAGGGAAGAUGAAAGUUUUCUCCACAAUCUUGAAACUUGAGGAUUCUGACAAAUUUGAAUGGCGCGAGGAACAUCAAGAUGUUUUCAUGCAAAUCAAGGUCUCCCUCACUACUCUACCUGUCUUCGUGCCACCUCGGUGCGGCAAACCCCUCAAGGUGUAUAUCUCGACGGUCGAGGAAUCCAUUGGCUAUCUUCUUGUACAAGACAACGACACGGGGCAGGAGCAGGCCAUUAUUUACCUUAGCCGAAAUCUUAACCCCGCUGAGAUAAAUUAUUCACCUGUCAAGAAACUCUGCUUAGCUUUGUUCUUCGCUACGUCUAAGCUCAGGCAUUACAUUCUCCAUUCUAUUACGCAGGUCAUUGCCCAAACAGACGUUAUUCGCUAUAUGCUCACUCGGUCGAUAGUGAAAGGUCGAAUCAGGAAGUGGACAAUGGUGCUGUCCAAAUUUAGUUUGCAAUACGUGCCCCAAAAAGCUGAACAUCCAUUUGCUGAUUUCUUGGCUCAACACCCUUCUCUAUAUGGUUUUGGAGGCAAUGAUGUCAAAAUUGGCAUGAUGAAAACACGUGAUAGUUAUUGGACGAUGUAUUUUGAUGGCUCUAGUACCUUGACCUCGACCGGCGUUAGAAUCGUCAUACAGUCCCCUGAUCACUACCGAUGGUAUUUUUCUUUUAAGCUGGAUUUUGACUGCACAAAUAACCAGGCCGAAUACGAAGUCCUUAUCAUCGGCCUUAACAUCCUUCACAACUUGAGGGCAGCCUGCGUGCUCAUCCUUGGCGAUUUAGAACUAGUGAUUAACCAACUCAAUGAGGCUUUUCGUUGCAUGAGUUGUACUCUAGCGCCCUAUCACAUGGUUGCUAACUAUUUAGUCAAAUCAUUUGAAGACAUUACAUUCAAGCACAUCUCACAGGUUCGAAAUACUGACGUAAACGAAUUGGCUCAAAUAGCCUCCAGAGCACAACUUCUGAAGGGCGAGCUAGGCUAGGUCAUACCAAUAAUGCGACGUCCACAUCUUGCCUUGGUUAAUCAACAAGUUCUCCAACACGACCAUGUAAUCUGUACACGAGUUAUGUCUCUAGUUUCGUUGUUGGAAUGAAAGGAUCCUAUAGAUGUUUGUGCGGUUAAGACAUUACCUGACGACUGGAGAAAGUCAAUUAUGCAGUAUCUUGAUAAUCCCAAUGGCAACCACGACCGCAAAACAAGGGUACAUGCCACAAAUUACGUAAGAAUAAGUUAUACCGAAACGGUGAAGACAGUCUGUUGUUAUUAUGUCUCGGUUCAGAAAAAGCCACCCAAGCUAUUACUGAGGUACACAAAGGAAUAUGCAGGGCUCAUCAAUUUGGACGUAAAACACGAUGGUUGCUUCACUGACACGGCUAUUUCUGGCCGAAUAUGUUGAAAAAUUACAUUGAAUACGCACGAUGAUGGGUACAAUGUCAAAUCCAUGGGCAUGUAUAGAAAGUCCUGGCCAAAUGACUUCAUUCAAUCACUAAACCAUGGCCAUUCAAAGGGUGGGCCAUGGAUGUGAUCGGCAAAAACAUGCCAUCUUCUGGAUUAGCAAAGCAUGCAUGGAUACUCAUUACGACAGAGUACUUCACUAAGUGGGUCGAAGUGAAGUCAUACGUGAGUUAACUUCUAAAGAGGUCUGCAACUUUGUAGAAGAAAACAUCGUGACAAGAUUCGGCAUACGAGAAAUGAUCAUCACGAACAACGACAUAAUUUUUACAUCCGACAGGUUUAAAAAAUACGCAGCGAGUUUGAAAAUUCGGCUCAAUCAGUCUACGCCCUAUUACCUACAGGCAAACGGAUAGGCCAAAGCAAGUAAUACAGUUUUAAUAGGUAUUCUUGAGAAAAUGAUAAAAGAAAAGCCUGGUAUGUGGCAUUUGAAGUUAAACGAGGCAUUAAGGGCAUAUCGAACUUCACUCUGAUCAACAACAGGGACAACCUUAUAAACUCGUUACGAGUUAUCUAACAAAGCAGUUUAUUCAAUGCCGAGUACAAUCAGGCCAUGAGGCAAAAGUUGGAAGACUUGGAGGAAGCUCGGCUUGAUGCUUAUAACUUACUAGUGGCAUAAAAAAAGAUUGUUGAACAAGCUUAUAAUCGAGGAGUUAGGCAAAAGACGUUUAGCGAAGGUGAAUUAGUAUGGCAAACCAUUUUGCUAGUGGGGAUCAAAGACCCUAGAUUUGGGAAAUGGUCGCCGAAUAGGGAAGGACCAUUCGCCGUCCACAAAGUUCUCGGCAAAGGGGCAUACCACCUUAAGGAUCAAAUUGGUUUAGUCCAUAAAUUACCAAUCGAUGGGAAAUUUUUAAAGAAGUAUCAUCCAAUUACUUGGGAAAUGCAAGAAUAAUUUUUUUUUUUCAUUAAUUCUCAAAAGGGGUACAAGCAAGAUUACAAAAAGUCAAUGGCCUACAACUGCAGACAAAAUCCUAAAGGGUCGAAGGAAGAAAAGCUUCAAGAGCGACUUUCAGUUCUAACCACCUUACUUCGCCUAUCGUGACUUCGACCUGCAUUGUUCUUUUAUCAAGUUGUAGUUGCUGUAUCUGCUUCGCGUCAGCUCCGUAUUCCGCCAGUAGAGGUUUAUUCGACUCAAAAUCCUUUUCAAGCUCCAAAGCAACGACCGACCUUUGACGUUGAAGUUCAGCGAUUUAACAGUCGAGGUCGGUCAGUCAUUUCUUCUUUGCCUUUAUUGCCUCAAGCUCUGGUCGGAUAGCUUCAUAAGCAACCAUUUCAGCAUUGAGGUCAUCCUCUGCCCAAAUAGCCCUCUCAAAAAUAGUGAAGUACUGCCAAGUUCGCUCUAGGACAUUGGACAUGUGAAUAACACUCUCAUUGCUCAGAAGGUCGUCGGUUGCAAGGUCGUUCAUUCAUUGUCCUACAGAAUAGUGGCCUUUGCGUUGGAGGAUUUGCGAGGCCAACAGGGAUAGAAGCUUCUGCAACAUGGCGAAUGUGCCAGACUUGGCGCAGUUGCAGAAGCCUCAGGGAUCCUAGAAGUGCUAGAGAGAAGAGCGUCGAGCUCGACUUCCCUUGAAGGCUGCAUAAAGAAUAAUUGUUAGGAAAAAGAGAAUUCAAAAGGGAUGGCUGAAAAUGAAGUGGUGUUAGACCUGCUAAGAUGAGACUUCAGCCAUGUCUGCUGGUUCGAUGCUCAAACCCAGAGAGCUUAAUGGUUGAGCCCAGUGUUUAAGACAGCCUUUUAAUUUAUAUGACCGAUGAAGGUUAUCUACGUUUGAUGGCCAUUGAGGUGGCCAGGAAAUAUAAAUAACGCCCUUUGGCGUAUAGAAUUUUCAAUGAAAUAAGGGAUUGGGCACCUGACAUUUAAUGGUUUUCUUGGUUUAGAAUUCUAAGGUUGUAAAUUAAUAAAAGAAAAUGAUUGAGCCUUACAAAAGUCGAAGUGAACUUUUGAGGAAGAAUGCCAAUAUUUUGGUCCUAAUGAUGAACCAGUGUCUCUGCUAUCGCCUCUGGCUCGACUAAAGGCGCCGCUUCAAGCCUAUGACCUACUUCAACCAGUCGAGGGUGCCUUACUAGCAAGGAUGCCUCGCUCUUCUUCUCCUGGUCAUAAAAAUUGGUCGUCCAGUUAAGAGAUUCAUUUAAAAUGAUAGAACACCAAAGGAAAUUGUUAUACCUUUUCUUCUAGGAUGAUCACUGAAUGUUUCUUUGGAUUAGGGGGAGGGUCCUUCUCGGCUGUAGAAGUCGUCUUCUGCAAAGUAGCAACCGUUGGGUCGACAUCAGCAUGAGCAACGCCCGGUGUCGAAGUUGCAAGUUCCUCGAUAACCGGAGCUAUGAUCGAUUCGACCACGACAACGACUUGCGUGGUAGGUUGGACCGCGGUCGCCUGGCCUGUGGUUGGACCGUCGGGUUUCGCAAUACCAUUGCUGAGACUUGGAUAACAUGAGAAAGGAGAGGGGCACUAUGAGUUAUUGCUCCCAUAGUUUGACUAGAGAUGAUGUGAAUUUCCUGUUAUUCCUCCCUUACCUUUUUCUUGAUGCUUUUUUCAGGCCAGGCAACAUUGCCAGUUGUCUUAAGCUCCGGGUGAGAUUGUUUACUCUGUCCAGUCAGCGUAGCAGGGGUUACUGCUCGAGUUGGUUCAAAUGAGGAAGGUACAACGGUCAUAGCCUUCUUGAGAGGAAGGGCGAGUUUUUUCUUGGCCGCGACCAUUGCAACCACAUCGGCCCAUUUUAUUAACCAACCACCUAGAAAAACUAAGCUUGAGUCAAAACGAAGUUUAAACAGACAAAGUUGAGGAGAAAUAACAAAGAAAUGAAGAGAUGUAUACCUUAAGCCAUUUCUUUGGAUUUUGGAGUAAGAGUCUUUUAAGGCCAAUCGCCAAAAAGCUUAUUUGAAGUAAGCAUCCCACCAAUCGGCAAAGGUGCUGGUACAGUGGGUUUCUGGAAUGCUCGGCCAAAGAUGGAAUUUAGUAUUUUGCUCUUGGAACUCUUUCUCGGCUUCUUUGCACUCCCUUUUCAAGGAGCCAGAGAGGCGUUCUCGGCGCAAGAGAGAGCGGGAAGUGAGGAGUGGCACAAGACAGCCUUGGAGGAAGCUUAGUUGACGAGCCAGAAAGUUGGGGUGAUAAACUUCCCAGCUAGCCCACCGAGGGUCGCAAACUAGGGUGAAUGAGCCCCAAGCUCGUCGAAAGUCGGCCUCUUCUGCUUCUUCCCAAGCCGAUGUUGAGAGUGUGAUGAAAUAUCGGUAUUUCUGGCGACGGUAGACUAGAAAUUCGUCGUUUGACAAAUCUUCAAGGCUGAAGAAAUAAUUGAAGAUUCCUUCAGUCGAGUGAGUAGGAAAAGGCACGAGGUCAAUUGGAGACCCAUCGAUUCGGAAGAAUUUGAAGCUUGGGAUUUCUUGCCUCAGUGUUGAAAAAAUAGACCUGCAGCCAGAGUUGGAAGACGUAGAAUGGGUCGUUCUCGUGUGUGUCAAUUUUUCCAACAAAAGCCUCGGCCAAGCACUAGUCGAGGUUGGCAAUGAUGGCUGGGCUAAGGGCUAGGACAUGGCCACUGGCUAGAGUUUCGGCCACUGGCAUGUUUUUGGCCAAGCACUUAUUUGACUUAGUACAAGAGACGAACUUAUUGUACCAAUAGAACAAGAAGGCCUCAUGCUCUCAUUUCUUAAGAGCUUCUCCAUUUGAGUCAGUGAAGUGGAUGAUCAGAAUACUGUAGUUGAAGAAAUUUUUGUGCAAUUUUUGCACGUCUUCUUAUGACGGCUCUUGAAAUCUUCGACGGCCCGCUCGUCGAAGACUGCUUUCAGGUCCAGGUUGAAUUCGUACCGAGAUAUAGUAGAUCAAUUAGGAGACCAAAAAGAGAGGUGCCAAGUAUGGCCGUGAUGUCUAGCACAGGUGAACUGAUGAAACCGAGAGGAAUGAUCAUGAUGUUGGUGGCUAAACACCAAAAGCUCAGGGAGGCCAUCAAGAGCUUUCCGUCCAUGGUGAUUUCAAAGGUCGACAGCUUGAUGGCAUCAAAGAUUCCGAGAGUCUUCCACUCGCCACUAAAAUGUGGUUCCAUUCGAGUGACCCAAGCAGCCCAGGUAGCAAGGGUCGAGGGCUAGGCUCUUUGGGGUUUGGCCGAUUCCCACUUCGACCAGUCGUACCCUUGGAGCAAGGGUUUCAGAUAGUGGGCCUUCAUCAUCUCGGUGAUGACUUCUAGGACGUUAUCUUUGAAAAGUGGGUCGACGAUUUGGUGGGAAGCACUCGAAUCACCCUUAAAUCGGAGGGUUUUGAUGGUAUUUCGAUCAAUGAAGUCUUCAUACUUGUCGCAUUCCUCGGCGAGCUUGGUGAUAAAGGUGUUGGUAGCCAUUGAUGAAGACUUGAAGGUUUUCUAGGUUUCCAGAUUUGGUUUCUUUUCUGGGUUGAGAGCAAAUGGCAAGAAAUUUUGGAGAUUUGAAAUCGUAAAAGGUCAAGUGAAUUUUGGAUGAGUAUUUAUAGGCAUUUGGAAAGAAGAUCAAUAGUUUAAUUUUCAGGAGUAAGGGGUAAAAUCGACCGAAGAGUUUUGUAAUCAUGAGAUAUUUGAAAAUACAGGUGAAGAGGCCGAAAAGCAUGGGGAUUUAGGUGCACGAUUGUGUGUAAUGGCGAAAUUUAUGACAAAGAGACGUUUAGGCGUUUGCACGCCUCGAACGUGAAGGCACGCAUGAUUGAAAAUGGACAGUCGCACGGAGAAGCUGCCACGUAUCGACCUAUGCAUGAAUAAGAUGGAAGUGGGAGAACGUGGGAGUUGCCAUGUGUCAAGUGGCGCAGCGUUGUCAGGGAAAUGAUGGGUGAAAAACCAUGUUUCAUAAAUGUGUUUGGACGAUUAGAGUGUUCGAGGUUUGUAGUGUUCUUUGGAUUUUCAAAGGGAAUAUGUUGAGGUUUCUUUGACAUGAAUAUCACUUCUUCCAGGUUGAGGCUUGGCUAGAGAUUGUAGGCCGAAGACCUCAGAAGUGAGGGGCAAUGUUUGGGCCCAAAAUGAUAGUUUGGGCCGAGCUUAGAGUCGCUCUCGGCCUAGUAAUCUUCUAGAAUUUUUGUCAUGGGCCGUCAAGUCAUCAUAGGCCAUCCAAUCAAGAUCGGUCGAAUCCUAUUGCGAGGGGGAUUGGUUUAGAUAAGAGCGGGAUAGUCGAAACCUAGCGCAAAAAUGAGUCUUAAGGCUAAGGAUGCUGAGACUUAGGAGAUGAAUCUGGUUUGUUAAAAAACUUGGUUUAAGGUCCUAUUGGAGUUGGGAUUGGCCGAGACCUAAUCAGAUUAGGUUGAGAAGUUCUAAUCCAAGUACAAUUCUAGCUCGGUCAUGAAGAGGGUUCACUACUAUAAAUAGAGAAGGGAGUGCAUAAUUCAAGGCCCCUACAAUUCAACACACAAAUUGCCAUGCGCAAAGCCUCUCAACAACCUUUGAGAUUUUAUCUUCUUCCCCUUUCUUUCGCCAACACAUCUUCAGUUUGGAUAAACAGUCCUGCUUCGAAACCGACUGGUUAUUUAUCCAAGUCUCGGUCGACAAGGAUUUUCGAGUCCUUGUUGGUAAAGGUCAUCUCAUCAGCUUUCUCGGCGAAGUGAAGUGUUACAGGUUACUAGGCUCGGCAUAUUGAACGCUGAGUUGUUUUAUGAUUGCAUACUCGCAAGUAAGUUUUAGAGUUCGGCAUUUUGACGGCCAGACCACAUUUACCAUCAAGACAUACAUCUCUUUCGAGUAUUUGUGUCCAUAUAGUCUGAUACCAAUUCAGCGUGCUUAUACUUUUACGAAUAUAAUCACUGUAACCGAACACGGUGCUGACGAUCCUUGAACUUUGCAAGACUAGCAGCCUUGUCUUUUGACUCUAGAACCUGAAGGCCGAGACGUGUUCCUUCCUCGGCCGCAGUUGCAAGAUUAAGAAGUCAACAGCGCGCUCAAUGCCACAUCAACACAUUUUAUUCCCCGACCGAGCUCGGCCGUCAAGUUGGCACACCCCGAACAUAAUCGAAAGAUGUAGUUAGCUUAUUAGUUAUUCGGCCUACGCGCCACGUAUGCUUGAUAGUUUUUAGGGUCAACAGCUCCUUACGAGCGUUGUUUUUGUUUACUAUUAUCUAAAACUAAUCAAAUUAUUAAUGACUUGACAAAACAAAGAAAUAAACCUUCACAUGAGUAGUGUCAAUAGGUACCACAACGCUGAAGUAACCCAUCCAGUGACGAUAUUGUAGCAGAGGCCUUGCGGAAAUAUAGCUCGACGCCAGGAUGAUAAAAAGUUUAACACCUCUCAUUCUUGUUACUUUUUCAAAACGGUAAACAAAAUUGAAAAUGAAACUUAAGUUUGAAAAUGACGAAGCUUGUGUGAGCAUAUCAUUAUACAAUUUCUUAUAUUUUCAUAGCAUAUGCACAAAAACUUUCAUGUUGAUGAAUAAGUUUAUUUUUAUGUAUAUAAUUAUAAUACUUUGUCAUCUUCUAUUAUAAGUUUUGUCCAUAUUUACGAAACUAAAAAAUAAAAAAAAUAAAAAAAUAAAAAAGUAGCACCUUCGCAAUAUUUAUUCAUGCCCAUAAAUCCACUCACAAUAAAAUUAAAAAACGAUGGCGUAAUCAUAUUGGUUAGAAAACCAGGAGGAUCCUCUUUGUGAGGAUCCGAGGGAUCCUCCAAUCACAUCUGUUCAUCGUACAUUGUGCGGUUAGAAACCAUUGUAAAUUUUUUUAUUUAAAAUUAAAUAUGAACAGUACCUGACAAAAAUUGAUCGCACAAUGUACGAUAAACAGAUGUGAUUGAAGGAUCCCCGAGAUCCUCACAAAGAGGAUCCGGCGAGGAUCCUCUCUCGUUAGAAAAGAUAUAUUAUUGCUUUAGCAUUAAUAUGUUGCCCCAAGGCAUUGGCAAAUUGAGUAGUUUAAAAAAGAUCAACAAUUAGUCAUUUAGUAUUGCAGUCUAGUCGUAUUCAUCUUCACUUGGAUGUGAGAGGUCUUUCCAAACUUGUGAGUUUAAGGGAAAUUUAAUAACUAAUCAAUAAGUUUAAUUUUUUAACUUGUUUUUCUCUUUCGGAGGGAAAAUGUGGUUUGUGUUUUUAAUGGGAGUCUUUAAACUUUUCUGUAACAUAGUUUCACAAUCAAUCAAUAUACAAAGUUUCUUGACUUUUUGGUCUGAAAUUCAGUAUGUGAAUCCAACACCACAAUCUGAUUCAUGCUCUCCCAAAAUAAUUUUUAAAAGAAAAAGGAACCAAAAAAAAAUGGUUGAAGAAUCUCUAUAGGAUAAGAACUUUCAUGUUACAAGAUCAAGUGUUAAUCAUGUCGUGUGUAAGUUUUUCUAGUAUCUAUACUCACGUAUGCCCGUCAAGUUUCCUGAGUUGUUCAUAUAUAAUAUUGAUGCAUUGCCAAAUCUAGAAGAAUUGAUUGUUAUUGACUAUUGCGAUGAAUCGGUCUCAAACUAUGUAUUCCAACUAAUACAGUUUGAUUAGUCUCGUUCAAUACUAUUAGAAAAAUUACAGUUUUUAUAGUUACCUUACUUGAUCAACUUUAAAUUUAUUUUCCUUGAAGUUGUCAUUGACAAAAUAGACAACGUAACUCAAAAGGAGGACAAAGUGGCUUUCUUUUAGUGCUAAUACAAAUUCUUAUAGAAACUAUAUAUUGAUUGCAUGAACAAGUUCAAUUUAAAUUUAAAUAUCAUAAAGAAAAAUUAUAUUUUUUAGGAAAGAAAAUUAUACAAGAUGUUUAUACCAUAUUUAGGGCCUCGUAUUUAGAUCUCGUACAAAUACUCAGGGGACUUAAAUGUAAUUAUGGAAUAAAGGAAGGGGCAAAUAUGUAAUUAGGGGAGGAGCCCUUAUUCUAUAAAAGGGCCUCCUCACCCUCACAAACCCUAAGCUUCCUCACACCCCCUAAGCUCUAAGCUCUCUCUCCCUCACUUCUCAGAGAAAUAUAAUACAAUCAGUGUGGACGUAGCCCAAACUUUGGGGUGAACCACGAUACAUCUUGUGUUAUUUACAUUACUUGCAGAUUCACGGUCGGAUUUACGUUGUACCAAGACCAUCCGGUUUUGUGCAUCAACAUUUGGCGCCGUCUGUGGGAAUCGACACAAAAAACUAUGUCGGUUCUCUUUCAUUUUUUCACCUCCACCAUGAAUCUGCAAAAUCUGCAAGAACCCAAAACCUUACUCCUAGCAAAGUGUGCCAUGAUUGUUGUUCCUUGGAGCGAAAUAUUAACAAUACGGGAAGGGUAUAGUGGUCCAGUGCAGAAGACGAAACGCAUGCUUAGACUCGGACUCAGCCUCGGGACAACGAUACCGCCGUCGCUGACCUUGACGCCGAUGGUGGCUUCUUUUCUCUGGAGGGAAUGUUACAGUGGGCCAUAGGCCACUCCGAUCCCGUCCAAUUGAAAGAGAAGGCGCGAGAUAUCGAGCGAUUGUCUCCCACCGACCUAAACGACUGCCGGCUGGCGAUAAAACAACUCACGGACGAGCUGAAGACGCCUUCGAACACGCAGCUGAUGCAGAUUACGAUUGACGACUUGAGUAACUUCUCGCUGUCGUUGGAAGAUCAACACCGUGCUCUGGAAGAACUGGUGCUCCAGCAGAUCCAUUGAGCCUCUGAUUUCAGACUAUGCAUCUGCCUCUACCUGUCAAACUCUUUCUCAUCUCUCUCUCUCUACAAAACCCAAAAAGCAGAAAAAUCAGAAAAAUGAAACCGAAAAGGGGAAACAUGUCAUGCUCCGUCGCAGUUGUUAACUCACCGAUGUCUUACCCGCCGUCGUCCCUAUUCUGCAACAAAUCCUCCAUGAUCUCUCUGGCCCCAGAAACCAUGACUUUACCUCCGCCGCCGUCGGCCUUGUCACCAUCGGGAUUGGCUUCGUGUUCGUCUCUGUCGUCAUCGUUUCGGAUUCGGAUCUUGAAUCCGUCGAACAGGUUGUCAUGUUCAGGUCCGGGGUCUCCAGUGAUGCAGCUGAAGAGGAAGAGGCCGGCGAAGCUUUGUAUUCUGGUGGUGUCCCCGGGAUUUGGAUCUGCUCCGCCGACGCUGUCGACGACCGAUUGGAGAUAGGUGAUAGAGGUUCGCUACUUAGCUAGUCUUAAUCUUGAAGGAACUGUUGAAAGCCGGGAGGAUCACAUUACCGACUCGAACGACUGAGAGUCAGAGGAGGAGAAACAACGUGGUAGUACAUGGUUUCCCCUCGUAGGAAAACUGUUGUAUAACCCCAUCAGUUCGAGCCCAGGCCAAUUACUCUGUGAUCAUCGGGGAAACAUGUCGUGCUCAGUCUCGUAGGGCCCACCAGAACCAGAAGGCGGAGCAACCCUGCGUGUCUGGAAGUGGAACCACAUAAUGUUUAAUGCAGACAAGGUGUGGUGUGUGGACCUGCAAGCCUAGUGAACUCAAUGAUGGAUCUAUACCAAAGAAAUCCAAAGAAAUCCAAGCUGGGAUCCACUGUGUACCCUUAUCCCCAGGUUUUUACAUCUGUGGUGGAGCUUUACAACAACAUUCUCUCAACCCAUUCUCUGCUGGAGCACACUAAUGUAUUUGUGUUGCUUGACAAUGAUGCCAUCUACGACAUCUGCAGAAACAAAAGCAAAAGAGAAAGGAAAAAGCAAAAGAGAGAGAUGCAAGCUAUCACCAAGUCGGUUCAAGCAAGGCUAGAGCAACAAAGGUGCAGAGAUCAAGAAAAAAGCAAAAAAGCAAGGGGGAACAAAGCAGAAAAGAGAAAGCAAAAGAGAAAAGCAAAAGAUUUUCCUAUUAUUAUGAUUCCUUCUGUCUACCAGGUUGCAAAAGUAAGGAAUAAACAUCCCACCCGAAUGAUGUAAUUUAUUUUUAUUAUCUUUCAAAAGGUAAUAUGUAUAAACCCCAUCAAAGGGUAAUAACAGUAAAAAAAAAAAAAAAAAAACGGCAAAGCCCAAAAUAAAUGGGCUGACAUGUUGUGGAGGGCAGAGGCCCAUAAGCCCAAAAUAGCUCCAAUCAGGCGAUCAAAAGUACGCUCAAUACUCAAAAAUUAUUCAGCAACCUGCCGCUAUUACCACCAACCAAGCAAUCAAAAGUACGCCCCGUACUCCACAAUUAUUCGGCAACCUGCCGCUAUUAUCACCAACCAGGUAAUCAAAAGUACGCCCAGUACUUCCAAAAUUAUUCGGCAACCCGCCGCUAUUAUCACCAACCAGAUGACCAAAAGUACGCCUAGUACUCCAAAAAUUAUUCGGCAACCUGUCGCUAUUACCACCAACCAGGUGAUGAAAUGUACAACCCGUACUCUAAUAUCAUUUGGCAACUAGCUAUUCAUACCACCAACCAGGUGAUGAAAUGUACAACCCGUACUCUAAUAUCAUUUGGCAACUAGCCAUUCAUGCCACCAACCAGGUGAUGAAAUGUACAACCCGUACUCUAAUAUCAUUUGGCAACUAGCUAUUCAUGCCACCAACCAGGUGAUGAAAUGUACAACCCGUACUCUCCUUCAUGCCACCAACCCGGUGAUCAAAAGUACGCCCAGUACUUCAAAUCAUACAUGAGCAUUACUCAUGUCAUUCAUACAUAAACAUUUAUGAGCAUCACUCAUGACAAUCAUACAUUAACAUUCAUGAGCAUCACUCAUGUCAAACAGCUUCAAAAGAUUCAUUUACAGAGCUCUAACUUCAAUGCUUCACUUGCAAAGCUUCACUUGCAAAGCUUCACCUACAAAGCUUCAGUGCAAGGUAUACAAAUACCGCCUCCGAACAACCGCCACUUCGGCCCAUACAUGGAUUCAAUUUGAAGUCUCUAGCCAACAUACUCUAUUGACCGAAGACUUGGGGGACUACACUAUACACCAUAUAUUGGGCCUCAACUGGGCCUCAUGAAAAAUACUCGAGGGACUUAGCCCAUUACUUAUGUAUGGAGGGGCGAGCUCUUAUUCUAUAAAAUGGACUCCCUCACUUUCAUUAAAGAGCACCCAUUAUUUAUGUACUGAGGAGUGAGCCCUUAUUUUAUAAAAGGGCCCCUCUCAUCACCAUUAGAGAGCAUCGCCGCCUACUGAGCAACCGUCUCGCUGCGAGCAUCAACUCUCACCCAUCACUUAUGUAUUGAGGAGCGAGCCCUUAUUCUAUAAAAUGGACUCCCUCACCUUCAAACGCCACAAGCCGAGCCAACCAAGGCAACAUAAGCUACAAGCAGAGCGGCCUCGCAACAUGUGCUACUUCUAGUUGAGCAUUAUUUCAGAUUGGGCACCGCCUCAUAUCAAGCAUUAGUUCUAGACGACAUCUAGUUACUUCGGCCCACACAUAGACUGAAUUUCAAGUCUCCAGCCAAAAGACUCUCUUGACUGAAGACUUGGGGGACUACUGUUUAUACCAUAUUUAGGGUCUCGUAUUUAGAUCUCGUACAAAUACUCAGGGGACUUAAAUGUAAUUAUGGGAUAAAGGAAGGGGCAAAUACGUAAUUAGGGGAGGAGCCCUUAUUCUAUAAAAGGGCCUCCUCACCUUCACAAACCCUAAGCUUCCUCACACCCCCUAAGCUCUAAGCUCUCUCUCCCUCACUUCUCAGAGAAAUAUAAUACAAUCAGUGUGGACGUAGCCCAAACUUUGGGGUGAACCACGAUACAUCUUGUGUUAUUUACAUUACUUGCAGAUUCACGGUCGGAUUUACGUUGUACCAAGACCAUCCGGUUUUGUGCAUCAACACAAGACAUAAAAAGUUUAUUAAUCAACAAUGAAAUUUUUGUGCAUCUUCCAUGAAAACAUAAGGAAAUUGUACUAUGGUCUCCUCAAAAGAAAUUCUCAAUUCUAUCAUUUUUCGUAACUUGUGAUACACGCUUAGGGAGAUGAAUUCUUCAAUUAAAUUUUAAUACACAUAAACGAGAUCUAUCUGUAGUUUAUUGAAAAUGAUGAAGCUCAAGAAUACAAUUUCCUAGUGUUUUCGUAGCAUAUGUAGACAAAUUUUUAUUUUUAAAAAUAAUAUUUUUUAUGUACAUAAGUAUAAUAUUUUUGCAUCUUUUAAUAUUAUUUUUCAGUUAAAACCUAUAUUUUUUGAAUUAAUUUUUAUUUUAUUUUAAUGCAAGAGUUGAAGAAGAUCUAAUAAUAAAAUACAUCAACUCACAAUAAAAUAAAAAAUAUACCGGCGUAAUUAUAUUGGCUAGAAUAAAUAUUUAAUUCCUUUCAAAAAUCAAAACACCUUGUUGAAUAAUUAAUUGAAAUUAUUGAAAAAGGUAAGUGUUAGAGUAAAUGUAGAAAUAUAGAGAAUAAAUUGAACGAUGACUUUGAGGUACAACUUGAAUUGUUUCCUUAAAGUGUUAUUUACCCCCACUCGAAUGAAUUUGCUAGAGUUCUUGGCAAAUCAUUUCCAGGAUACAACAAAAUAUGAAAUAUUCGAUUAGCAAAACCGAAUUGUAUUCCCUUAGAAAUAACUAGAAAGAAAUUGUAUGAGUGUGAUGGAGAGAAGAGAGAGCAAAGAAAUUGUGUAGACAACAAAUUUUUCAAUGAAUUUCUCUCUACCAAUUUACCAAUAUAUAGGGGAGAUUGCACCCGUUAGACAUAUCCUUUGGUUUUGGAUAUGCCUUCUCGGCAUGGGAUACAUCAUUUGGUUUUAGGUAUACCUUUUCGCCAUGGGAUACAACUGAAUUAAUAUUACAGCAAUAUGCUCAAUACGCAUGUCAGAUGUAAAGCAUCAAUUACCAAAGGCUAUGUCUGUUAGGCCCUGUUUGGCAGCCCGUAUAAAGCAUCGGAUAGGAUAAAUAAUACGGACCCGAGUGUUUGGCGUUGUUCCAUACUAAAUAGCAACCGGAUUAAUUAUACCGGCCCCACAUGAUUUAUACGGUACACACCUGUUAAUUUAUCCUCCCUAAAACGUAAGGAUUAUUAGUCGGGUGGGAAACAACGAUCGCUCUCUCCCUCUCUCCCUCUCUCCCUCUCUGUCCCUUACUCGUCGCGUUCCUUUCUCUCUCUCUCGCAUCGUUCAGCCACCGUCGUUCGUCGUUCGUCGUUCAGCCAUCGUUCAGACGUCGUCCAGCCGUCGCCGUCUAGCCGCCAUCGUUCUGCUUCUACUUUGCUCUGCUCAGUUCCUUUCUCUCUCUCGCAUCGUUCAGCCAUCGUCGUUCUUCUUCUACUUUGCUCUGCUCCGCCCUAAAUUAUUGGGGAAGUUAUAGAUCCCUUCAAAUUAAGUUUUAGAACUCCAUAAUUUCUAUAAAAUUCUAUGAAAUUACUGAGGGUUGGAAAUCCAAUUAAUAGAUUUGGUUAACAGGAUUUGAAACCCAACGACCUGCAAUCGCCUAUUCGCCGGAAUCUGGAGCAGAUCUCAUCGAUUCCCGGAAAACUUCAAGAGCCAAAUGCUCUGUCAAUCCUCGCCGACGUGGCUGGACCUUCUUCUCCGUUUGAAGCCGCACCUUCACAGUGCCUCGAUUUGUCGUAAAACACACCCUUAACGGAUCCAUGUUGUCUGCAGAAGAUCAACCAAAAAGGGUUUUAUGCCAAACAUGAAUGACAAAUUAAAGGCACUGCCCUUUUUUGAUUAUUCUAUCAUUUUUUUUUUUAUCAUAUCCGGUAUAAAACCAAACACCGUAUAAAUAAUACGGUCAUUAGUCCGAUACUGCACCAAACGUCCGACUAAUUUAGUCAGUACUAUCCGGUGACUAUUUAUCCUAUCCGACAGAAAUAGUCAGUACAGUCCGAGCUGUCAAACGAGACCUUAGUAAAUUAUGCACUAGUCAGACAUGGAUCAUGUCUUUUAGCAAAGUUGGAAAAGUCACAUUAAUCUAAUGAAGAGCAACUGUUGGGCAAAUACCCAACUUCUUCCACACGAACGUAUGACUUUUCAUUUAAUCUGAUGAGGCAAAUACCCAACUUCUUCCACACGAACGUAUGACUUUUCCUUCUUCCACACGAACGUAUGACUUUUCCUUUAAUCUGAUCAAGAAGAGCAACUGUUAGGCAAAUACCCAACUACUUCCACAAAAACAUAUUAAUAUAUUAUUAAAAUAUUCAACAGUAGGAACCUUGAAGGUAGUUGCAUGGUACUUUAACAUUUGGUUUUCUUUUACAAUUUCUUCGAAGUUGGGAAUGGAAUCAUCAAAAGAGAACAGGUUAAAGGUUUGUUGAAGAAAGUCACCCACUAUAGGACGGUCAACACGCUUUCGUUAUGAAUAAUGUUUUUGUGGUUGUUGUUGUCUUGGUCGUCGUUGUCAGGACAACUUUUCAAUUGAAUGCCCUUCCAUUUUUUUGGAACUGGAUUUCUCGAUCCAAAAUGAUUUAAGCCUACUAAUUAAUGAAUUCGAACCAUUAAAAUUUGAUUCAACGGUUAAAAAUAAAAGAUUCUUUUAAAAAUUAUAAUAAUUAUAGCUAUUGGAUUCAAUUUUAAUGGUCCAAAUUUAUUGAUUAGUGACCUCAUAUCCUUUUAAAUCCGGAGGAUCCGGUUCCCAUUUUCUUGACCCCGCCGUGCGCGUUAAACCGAAAGUCCUACCAAAUGACACGGUAACUCCAACAAACAUGGACAUGAAGUAUUAAAAUAUGUUUGAUAAUUAUUGUAGUUUUUCUAUUCUGGAUUUUAGUUUAAUUUAAAAGCUAAAAGUCAGAAAAAAUUUAAAAAUUUAAAUAUGUUUGGUAAUUGUUUUUAAAUUCAACAAAAAAAAAAGUUAAAAAUUGAAGAUGAAAUGGUAAUCAAUCAGCCUCAUAACUUUCAGUUAAUCAAUCGGUCUCGUAGCUUUCAGUUUUCAAUUAGCCUCACAAUAAGUGCAAACAAAAAUUAAAAAUGAAAUGAUUAGAAAACAGUCCCUAAAUUUUCUAAAUGCUAACUUGGCUAAACUAGUUGCCCCAACAUUGGCGGAUCUGAGAGUGAAACAGACAUGAUAAUAAGCAAAAAACACAUCCAAAUCUUGAAGUAAUCUAAACUCAAACUCAAAAGACUAAGAUGGAGCUCCAAAGCUAAAGAAACUUCAUGCAUGGUGAAAUUGUCAAACACUUCGCGAAUAAUAAGCAAAAAAUUGCAAUAUAACAAACAUGAAGACGCUAUUUGACAAUAAGCAGUGCCAACUCAAAGAAGAACUGGUAACAAAACAACUAGUGUCUGCCCAUGUGGAUUUUGUUAUCAACACCAUCACCGAAGCUACCAAGAACAACAAAGUAAACCAUAGAGGACCCAAUAACACACCAAUAAAAAAAACUAAAAUACUCACCAGGAGAGACUCACAAAAUCCACACCAAGAAGCCUCUUAUUGACGGAAAAAAUAAAACGAAAUUAAGGGCUGGUUUGGUAUUGCUGUGCUUUGAAAAAAAAAAAAAAAACUGAUUCUGCUGUGCUGUGAGAAUACGCUCAUUUUUGCUGCUUCAUGUUUUCAACUUUUUUCACCAAAAACUGUGAAAAUAAGCUGUUUUUAAGUGUUUACCAAACACUUUUUUGAGCUUAGCUUUUUUUUUAUACCCACUUUUUAUAAAAGCACCUUAGUACAAAACAAAUACUAAAUCUAUGACAAACCAUGAGAAGAGAAAAGUAGUAAGACUAGGAGAUGGGGAGGGGCUGCCAGGGGCCACAAGCUGGAGCAAGGGCCUAAGCUAUAAAUUUUGGAGAUUGAAAUUUUGGUAAGGGAAAGGACAAAAGCCACUAGUAGUAGUUUCUUAUAUAUUAGUAUUCUAAGAGCCAUGCUUUCGAGUUUUACUAACAAAACAUAAAGCAAAAAUAAUUGUAUAUCUACGUCUUGGUAAUUCAUUUGCAAUAAUUUUAGUAGGAAUUUUGUAAGUCCUGAGUGGUUUAUGCAUAAUGUUUUUUUGUAGUACAAUUUUUAAUAAGAGUAUCUCUGAUAAGUGUAAAUAUGAGUUCUACUUCAACGAAAAGAAUGUAAAUUCAAAAUUUUAUUAGUUUUGGCCUCUCUCUGAUCAGCAUAUUCCACCUCUUAAAUAUAUAAAUAUACAUUUCUAUUUACGUAUUACAUUAAUCAUUAGAGAGCUUCCGACAAAAAAUAUAUAUAAAUUGUUAAUUUCUGGACAUUUUGCAUCUUUUAUUAGAGAGGCUCUAAUUGAGAACCAUUUAUUUUGGGGGUGAGGUUGUUGAAAUUAUUUAAAAAACAACUUAUUAGAUGUUAUGGUAAAUGAAUGAAACUUGUUUUUUUUUUCUUCUUCUUUUUUUUCCUCAAAAUCAUAGGUUACUCACAGCAGAAAUCAAGAAAAAAGGUAAAUGUUGCCUCAUCAAUCACUUAGUACUACGGUCUAGUGAUAUUUCUCUUCACUUGUAAUAAUCUUAUGUUCGAUUCUCACCAAAGACAAAUUUUUAUCAUAUUAUUGUUAGCCCAUUGUGAAGUUAUGCACACCUCCUCCCCUUAGUGUAGAUAAUAUCAUUUGUUAAAAAAAAAUAUAUUAAAUAAAGAAAAAGAUGUCUCACUAAUAAGAAUGAACACUUUUAUCAACGUUUUAGUAAUAAAUCAAUAAUCAACUUUCAUAUCCUUUAGGCCAUCUCCAACCGAAGGUUGGCCAGAUGGCUCGUUUGAGCCCUCUAGCCCUCCAAGAUUCCCCAAGAUAUUAAUAUUUUAAUGAACAGUACAGGGCCAUAUUUGCCUCCGUAUCCAACCGAGGGCCAGAGGGCCAAAGGGCUCGUUUUAGCCCUGUCACAAAAAACCGUCUCCAACCGAGGGCCAAAGGGUCAUAGGGCCAAACAUAAUUUAUUAUUUAAAUUUAAAAACUACAACAACUUAAAUUUAAAAACAACAACUUAUAUUUAAACACUACAAAUUAAAUUUAAAAACAACAUUAACUUAAAUUUAAAAAUUACAACGACUUAAAUUUAAUAUCCAUAAUCAAUAUUAUCUUCAUCAUCCGCCAUUGUAGGAGUAUAGUCAGAGAUAAACAAUUGCCGCCGAGCCAUAAUUUCUUUUUUUUUCCUAUCAAAAUAGGUCUUACUCAUUGGAGUGUAAUUCGAAGUGUUCCUUUCCAUAUUCUUAUCAUUCAUCUCUUCUUGUAUUUGUUUGGCUCGCUCUUCAUGUCUACACUUCCUUUCUUCCGCCUCACGGGCAUUUUGCUCCGCCAGUAAUCGAAAUGAGGCCGCCACUUCAUGUUGAGCGGCGUAAUCAGCAUUUGCCUUGCCAUUUUCCCUCAACCUUCGGGCCUUGUUUCGUCCCAUAGGCCUAGGUAAAGAAAUUUCGGACAGAGUCGGAUUUUCUACCCUUGUUUGUUGAAUGGUAGGAGAUCCAUCUUCAUUCAUAUCUACAGAUGGGGAUGCAGCUUCCAAAGGAUCCACUCUAUGUUGAGGUGGAUCUUCAAAUAACACCCACCCUUUACAAAUUUCCCAACAACCGUGAAACUAAAAGGGUUUUGAGCUGCCCUCCAUAUACAAUUCCUCCGCUUGGCGUACCUAGAAAAUAUAAUUAAAAAAAUUUUAGGAAAUUAAUUCACGAAAUUAAUGUAGUAUAAUUAAACAUUUAAAAUAAACUGUAAAAACACUAACUUCGUCAUAGUAAUUGGCGCCGCUUUCAUGUCUACUUGCUGCUGCUAAUAGUGCUUGAUGCCAUUUAUUCAAACUUGGAUGAAGAUGUUUCUUCCAUCUUGAAGAGAACAACUUUCGUGGUUUCGGGUAUUCGGUGGAAUGGUGCCUUCGUAGAACUCUAAGUAUUUUUUGGACACACGAGUCCAAACACCUUCACUUGUUUGAGAAAUCCCCCUCACACUAUCUUCUGAGAUCCAUCUAUAAGCCUUGCAAAGAGCUUCAUCUUCUUUUCGAGUCCAAGCCCUACCUUUCAUUGCAGAUGAGGCCAUUUUUUUUUGAAAAAAAAUGAAGGAAAUAUUGAAGGAAAUAUUACAAAUGAAAUGAAGAAAUAUUAUAGAUGAAGGAAAUAUUGAAAAAUUGAAACAAAUAUUAUAGAUGAAGGAAAUAUUGGAAAAUAUAUUGAAGGAUAGAUGAAGGAAAUAUUGGAAAAUAUAUUGAAGGAAAUAUUGAAAAAUUGAAACAAAUAUUAUAGAUGAAGGAAAUAUUAGAAAAUAUAUUGAAGGAAAUAUUGAGAAAUAUAUUGAACAGUAAAAGAGUAUGGAAAAAGUAAUUUAAGCUGUGUGAAUAUAAGCUGUGUGAAUAUAAAGGGUGAACAGUAAAGUUUAAUGAAAUUUUCAUAAUGACAAUUAUACCCUAGCUAUAAGGUUUUAAUGAAAAAUCCUUAAAUUUUAAUAAAAAUGACAAAAAACUUAAUUUUUAAUGAAAAUGACACAAUUUAAAAAAAAUAAUAAAAAAACAAAAAAUCUGACAUGCACAGUACAUGUACACUGUUUAUAAAACUGAACAUUAUUUAUAAAAUUGAACACUAUUUAUGAAACUGCACUAUUUAUGAAACUGAACGGUAUUAUACUAUUUAUUGGUUCAAUUUCAAAAAUAGUGUUUAGUUUUUUGUUCACUUUUAUAAAAUAAUGUCUAGUUCUUGAUCAUGUUUCAUAAAUAAUGUCUAAUUAUUGGGUCCAGUUUCAUAAAUAAUGUAUAGUAAUUGGUAUAAUUUCAUUAAUAGUGUCUCUUUCUUAGUCCGAUUUCAUAAAUAAUGUCUAGUUAUUGAUCCACUUUCAUUAAAAAGACUAUAGCUACACAUUUUAAAAAGGAUUAUAGCUACACAUUUUGAUAAGUUGAGGGAAUUUUUUGUUACAGCCAGUUUCCUCCUUCUGCCCCCUCGCUCCUUAUCGUCCUUCAAAUUGAAGGUUGGCGACCUUCAAUUACCUGGAGAAAUCAACAAUAAGCCAUAAUUCCUUGAAUUAAUUAGAGUAUGCUCUGCUCGUUUUCUGCUGAGUUUUCUUUAAAUCUUGAUCUUACAGUGCUCACAUGGGAACAUAGAGAGAGAUUGAUGGUUUAUAGAAAGAAACAAGAAGGAAAAUGAAAUUUGAGCUUUGUGUGGAGGGAAGGUGAGCGAGACUGCAUGCGACGAAUCCAUUGAGUUUCGGACUUCAACUGGCGUCGUUGUGGUCUGAUCCGUCUGGGUUAUGGAGAUCGGACAUUGGAGCUCCUAGCUAGCGAUCACUUGGAGCCGUAUAUCCCAUGAGAAAUUGAAAUAUACGGGAAUGGCUAUGGGGAAACGGGAUGACAGAGAGAGAUUGGGUGGUUAGGAUUGUGCCUUGGGCUGGGAGGUCGCGGCGGCGGCGGAAGGAAGGAACCCAGACCUAGAUUAUAGGUAAAAGUAGGAGACGACGGCGACGGCGGAGGAAAAGGGGGUUUCUGCGAAACCGGAAGAUUUAAGGUAAAAUUGUUAGAAUUUUCCUAUUAAUAAAAAUGGAGAAGAUAAGAUUAUUAAAAAACAAAAGUAAGUUAAUUUUUUAUUCAAACAUCGUAAUUUUUUUAAUCAUUUAAUAGUCACUGUCACUUACUUUUACUGUUUUAUUUUAAACUAUUUAUUCGACAGCACAACUUUUUUUAAAAGCCGUGUAGGUGAAAAUUCGGCGUCCCUUCUCGCCUCCUGCAGAUGUCUUUCCUAGCUUCUUGGGUGAAUUUGCUAACAUCUGUUCGUGUCUAUAUAUAACCAACAGACAGCUGGAACCAACAAAAGCUUACAUAACAUUCUCAGUUUCUAAGCAAACUUAGAUUAUUAUUCGACUUUCUGUUCUUGUUUCUUCAGCCAAGAACAGAUUACCUAAUUGACUUGAGUUCUGAGUCUCCCUGUUUUGCUGAGUAUGUCUCUAGCUUCAGUCGGAAUAGGUGCUCUCAGUACGCCAUUUCAAAUGCUGUUUGAUGCUGUAAAAUCAGCGCAGCCGGAGAAUAAAAUGCUCCGGCACCGCCUCCGAGACAUCAAAUCCACACUAGACUCUCUACAACCACUCAUCAUAGACAUCGAAAAAUCUGACCCCAAAGAGCAACUGCAACAUUUUGCACUACAGAUGGAGGAGGGGGCAAAUCUUGUUCACAAGUGCACCAAAAAUCGUCUUCAGAAGUGCAGCAAAGUUGCCCUGUGGAGAAAAUACAUAUACGCCAAAAAGCUUCGUCAACUGGACAAAUCUCUUCGAAGAGUGUUUGAUGUUCUUAAACUGCAGGGUACGAGGGAUGCGAGGGAGACGUUGGUUUCUUUGAGGAUUAUCGAGAAGGUGCUCUCUCGAGUAGAAGAGAGUUUGAAGAUGAAAACUAAUCAGCCUGAAAUAGUUACAUGUUCGCCUAGGGUGCCUGAAGCGCCAUCGGUUGCAGUCGGGUUGGAUGUGCCGUUGAAGGAGUUGAAGAUGAAGCUCCUCAAGGAUGAAAAGGUGUCUAUGCUUGUGCUGACUGCUGCUGGAGGGUGUGGGAAAACCACCUUGGCUAAAAAGUUUUGUCAGGAUCAAGAAGUCAAAGGUAUGCUAUCUAUGAUUUCAACUUUUUUUGGUGAAGUUUUACUUCCUAGUGAUAAGUUGAUUCCUUCCUCUUAGAGUUAACAAAUCUUUGCAAUGAGCUCCCUGUUUGAUUACUUACUUGAUCUGAGAAUUGCAGACAUAUCUAGUUAACCUUUUAUUAACACCUUUCUUACAUUCUGUUUGGAUAGAUACAUUCAAGAAGAACAUCUUCUUUGUCAAUGUCUCGAAGAAGCCCAACUUGGGCCUUAUUGUACAUGAACUAUAUCAACAGAAGGGGACCGAGCUGCCUGCUGUCCAAAACGAAGUCAUGGCAGCUAACCGUUUGCAACAAUUUCUCAAGGAAUCAACACAAAAUCCUCUACUAUUUGUCCUGGAUGAUGUUUGGUCGGGAUCAGAGCCCCUUCUUGAGAAGUUUGAUCAAUUGAAGUUUUCAAAUUACAAGAUUUUGGUCACAUCAAGAUUUGCAUUUCCAAGAUUCGGUUCUCCUUAUCGUUUGGCAUCAUUGAGUGAUGAAGAUGCAAUGAUCCUUUUUCACUACUCGGCAUCCUUGGUGGAUAAGAGCUCUUAUACUUACGAAGAUCUUUCGAGAAAGGUGAUUUCUUAGUCCACUAUGCACAUACAUACAUGUAUAUGCUUAUUUAUGCCUCACAAGAGGGUAAAGAAAUAACGUCUGAGCAUCCACACACGUUCACACACGUUAAUGAAGUGUGAAGAAUGAAGUAAGAAGAAUGAAAGAGUAGACAAUUUACAAUUUUAUCAUCUUUAUGAAACCAUUUAGAUGAUUUUCAACAAUAUAAUCAAAUAAUAGUAAUUGAAUUCAUUUUGGAUAAUUAAAUUGCAGAUUAUCAAGCGCUGUAAGGGAUGCCCACUGGCCAUUGCAUUGGUCGGGAGAUCACUUCGCGGCCAGCCUAUAGAAAUCUGGCACAAAAGAGUAGUGGAAUGGUGCAAAGGUUCAUCUAUUCUUGAUUCUGACAAGGAAUUGCUUGCUUGCCUCCUAAGCAGUUUAGAUGCCUUGGAUAAAGAAAAAGCUAUCAUCAAGGAAUGUUUCCUCGAUCUAGGUUCUUUUCCGGAGGACCAAAGAAUUGCUGUUGCCGCCCUCAUUGAUAUGUGGGCAGAGUUAUAUGAUCUAGAUGAAGAGAUUCUGACCAUUGCCAAUCUUCACGAGCUCACCGCCCGAAGUUUAGCUAAUCUUGUUGUCACAAGGUAUGCAGGCUGCUCAUAAUUUUCUAUUUCAAUAUGUAUGCUGAACAAAUCACUAAAGAAAUUAGUAUUGUUCAUCCAGGCAUGAGAUGGGAGCGGAUGGCUAUUACACUGAACACUUCGUCACCCAGCACGACAUGCUUAGAGAGUUGGCGAUCCAUCAGGCGAGUCAAGGCCCAAUAGAACAUAGGGAACGACUAUUUAUAAACAUAUGUGGGGACAAACUUCCCAAGUGGUUGACAGAACAAAAGUAUCAAGCGAUCAAGGCUCGACUAUUAUCUAUCUCAACAGGUUCCAUCCAUCUCUCUCUAGUAAAUAUUUACACGUGCGCUCGGGACACGCUUGUGUGUGCUCGCGCGCGCACACACACAUGCUCAUUCAUACUAACACUUCAAUAGGACGUCCACACAUUUAGGCUAAUAUCUUGAAGCUUAUUGUUUGCAGAUGGAGCCUUCUCGGCAAAAUGGCCAAACAUGCAAGUACCCGAGGCAGAGGUUCUAGUUCUGAAUUUUCAAACGAGGAACUAUGCCUUACCUGAGUUUGUGGAGAAAAUGGAUAAACUAAAGGUUCUAAUACUAAAAAAUGACGGUUUGUUACCUGCUGAACUAGAUAAUUUUGAACUACUUGGUUCGCUAUCAAAUCUUAAGAGAAUUAGAUUAGAACGUAUUUCAAUUCCUCCCAUAAGCAAGGUCCUUAAACAGUUGAAAAGCUUGCAAAAGAUCUCUCUUUUCAUGUGUGAUAUCGGCCAAGGUUUCGGCCAAAUUUUAGAUGCACUGCCAAAUCUAGUGGAAUUGAACAUUGAUUAUUGCCAUGAUCUGGUGCAUCUUCCUGACUACGUUUGUGACCUUGUUCACCUUAAGAAGCUUAGCAUCACCAACUGUCAUAAGCUCUCUGCCUUGCCUGCAGACAUCGGAAAGCUAGUCAAUCUUGAAGUGUUGAGGCUUAGGUCAUGUGCAGAGUUGUUAGAGUUGCCAGGCUCGAUUAGGAACCUUAAAGUUUUGAAAUUUCUCGACAUAUCCGGUUGCUUUAGCGUAAAGGAGUUGCCCGAGGACAUUGGUGCAAUGGGCAGCAUGGAAAAGAUCAACGUGAGCCAGUGUUCGAGACUGAAAGAGCUGCCUGCUUCUGUUAUGGAUCUUGAACAGUUGAACGAAGUGAUAUGCGACGAGGAGACGAAAACUUUAUGGGAACCCUUCUUACCGUUUCUCACAAACAUACACAUAAAGGUGAUCAAAGAAGAUAUCAACCUAAAUUGGCUCAACAAGCUUCCAUCCUAAGGCCAUGGUCCUUCCAUCAAUUGUGUUGGUCCAAUGUAUGCAUCGUGAUUGU
rnacentral:lncRNA from 1 species